rnacentral:lncRNA from 1 species
UACAUCUGUAUAUCCAGUGUCUUCUUGCAUUAAUCCCUCAACCUCGGUUACCUCUGUAAAUGGUUUCAAAUGUCUUCCUCUUACAACAAAUAAAGCAGUCAUCAGAAUCAUGGCCAAAAAUAAGCCAGUCCAAUGCCUUGUCAGCGCCAAAUAUGAUAAUUUGACAGUUGAUAGGAGAUCAGCAAACUACCAACCUUCAAUUUGGGACCAUGAUUUUUUGCAGUCACUGAAUAGCAAGUAUACGGUAUUGAUUAUUAUUAUUAUUACGUAUUAAUUUCCUUUGUUCAUUUAAAAUUGGGACCAUGAAUAACUAAAAACUAAAUGCUGUGCGUGUACAGGAUGAAGCAUACAAAAGACGAGCAGAAGAGCUGAAGGGAAAAGUGAAGAUAGCGAUUAAGGAUGUAAUCGAGCCUCUGGAUCAGUUGGAGCUGAUUGAUAACUUGCAAAGACUUGGAUUGGCUCAUCGUUUUGAGACUGAGAUUAGGAACAUAUUGAAUAAUAUCUACAACAAUAAUAAAGAUUAUAAUUGGAGAAAAGAAAAUCUGUAUGCAACCUCCCUUGAAUUCAGACUACUUAGACUACAUGGCUAUCCUGUUUCUCAAGGUACAUUUCAUUAAUUCGCUUCCUUCUUCAUGCACAUGCAUGAUCUGAAUACUUGAAUCGAUCUCUCUGUUUUUUUUUCUUUUUUUUUUUAAUGUAAAGAAAUGGACGAAACCCAAAUCAGUUUUUUUUUCUCUAUCUCUCUAAUUAAUAGAUGGAUCAAAAAUUUUGACGAAUGUAACGUUUUUUGGUUGAGUGCUGCAGAGGUUUUCAAUGGUUUAAAAGACGACCAGGGAGGCUUCAUUUGUGAUGAUUUCAAGGGAAUACUGAGCAUGCACGAAGCCUCGUAUUACAGCUUAGAAGGAGAAAGCAUCAUGGAGGAGGCCUGGCAAUUUACCAGUAAACAUCUUAAAGAAGUGAUGAUCAGCAAGAGCAAGGAAGAGCAUGUAUUUGUAGCAGAACAAGCGAAGCGUACACUGGAGCUCCCUCUGCAUUGGAAUGUGCCAAUGUUAGAGGCAAGGUGGUUCAUACACGUUUAUGAGAAAAGAGAGGACAAGAACCACCUUUUACUUGAGCUCGCUAAGUUGGAGUUUAACACUUUGCAGGCAAUUUACCAGGAAGAACUUAAAGACAUUUCAGGGUAUCCAUUUGAUUGCAUAACUCAUAUAUAUAUAGACAGACACACACACACACACACACAUCAAAGAUUUGAUUUAAUAAUUUACAUAACUUGUAAAAUUUAAUCACAUGUAUAUUAAAUUAUUCUUAGGUGCAAACUCCGCCUUUUACAGAAGUUUAAAGGCAUGAGCUGUACUUUAUAUAGUGCAGACAUUGCACCAGAGUAUGACUCUAUAUAUCGGUGUAUUGUAAAGCCUUUAUACACUUUAUAAAGUGCUAUUGUCUGCAUUACAGAAAGACUCUUCAGAAUUCCAGAUUGAAAGCUGACUCUAUAUAUAUAGAUAUAUAUAACAUGUAUCGUAAUAUUCGUUUCAAUUUCCCUAUGAAGGUGGUGGAAGGACACAUGUCUUGGAGAGAAAUUGAGCUUUGCGAGGGACAGCUUGGUAGCAUCCUUCUUAUGGAGCAUGGGGAUAGGGUCUGAGCCUCAAUUCGCCUAUUGCAGGAGAAUAGUCACAAUUGCAAUAGCUCUAAUUACAGUGAUUGAUGACAUUUAUGAUGUUUAUGGAACUUUGGACGGACUUGAGCUAUUCACUGCUGCUGUUGAGAGGUUUGUUGGCAAACUAAUGUUAUAUUUAAUCGAUUGAUUCAAUUGCAAGCUAUCUGCCUGCUACUUCUCAAAUUAGUAGACCAUUUAUAAUAAUUUUUUUUCUCUUUUCUACAGGUGGGACAUCCAUUAUGCUUUGAACCACCUUCCGGACUCAUGAAAUUGUGUUUUUUUGCGCUUUACAACUUUGUUAAUGAAUUUGCUUAUUACGUACUCAAACAACAGGAUUUUGAUAUGCUUCGGAGUAUUAAAAAUUCAGUAUGUAAAAUGUUAAUUUCACCUCUCCCGCCGUUCCGUUCCUUUGAUUUAUCCUUUUUAAAUUACGAUGCUUUUGUCUCAAAAAUAAUAAAUGGUAACUAGCUUUAUUUUCUAUGUCAUGUGCAUCAGUGGCUUGGCUUACUACAAGCCUGCUUAGUGGAGGCAAAAUGGUACCAUAGUAAGUACACGCCAACGCUGGGAGAAUUCAUGGAAAAUGGAUUGGUAUCAAUAGGAGGCCCUAUGGGUACAAUGACUGCAUACCUUUCUGGGACAAAUCCAAUCAUUGAGAAGGAACUAGAAUUUUUAGAAAGUAAUCAAGAUAUAAUUCACUGGUCGUGCAAGAUUUUUCGUCUUCAAGAUGAUUUGGGAACUUCGUCGGUAUGUUUUCUUUUAUUUUCUUUUGAUUUUUAAGAAGAUAGAAAUUGAAAUAAUCCUCUAUAUGCGAAUUGAUUGUGUAUUUUUUUCCCCAAUAAUUCAUCAGGAUGAGAUACAGAGAGGGGAUGUUCCGAAAUCAAUCCAGUGUUACAUGCAUGAAACUGGUGCCUCGGAGGAAGUUGCUCGUGAACACAUCAAGGAUAUGAUGAGACAGAUGUGGAAGAAGGUGAAUGCAUACAGAGCUGAUAAAGAUUCUCCCUUAUCUCAAAAUACAGUUGACUUCAUGUUGAAUCUUGUGAGAAUGUCCCAUUUUAUGUAUCUACGUGGAGAUGGGCACGGUGCUCAAAACAAAGAGACUAUGGAUGUAGCUUCUACAUGGCUUUUUCAGCCCAUUCCCUUAGAGGACAAACACAUGGCUUUCACAGCACCAAAGGCUGAUGAAUUCCCAGAGUGCAGUUUCAGUUGAUGUUGGCCAGACUUUUCUCUCUAUUGGGGGAUCGCUUUUCUAUAAUAUAAUAAACUCCCUCAUUCAUCGAGGUCUAUAAAUGAAAAGCAAAUGAUAUAUAUGGUUCUUUUAUUGAGAAUAAAAGUCGUCAGUAUAUGCAUAUACUUAAGUGAGGCUCAUUCCAAUUCCUACAAGAUGAGGAUGGAUGCAGUUAUACUCGAUUAUUCAAGCAUGGUUCAUAUCAUGUUAAGCACAAGGGCUACUUUCAGUAUACAUGCAUCACCCAUUUAAAUCGCAUUUGAGAAAUCGUACCCAUUUAAAUUAAAUGAGGAUAGAAAUUAGAGCUGUGGCAUUUAAAGAAAAAAGUUACAAGGAUCAAAAAGUAAAUAUAACAAAAAAAUGAGUUCCUAAUUAUUGGGUUAGCUUAAAGAAGGAGCGCCUAAUUAUUGGAUUAGUCCAUUUUAAUUAUCUUCUAUUAUCAUAGUCAUUCCUAGAAACAAAUAUCCAACAAUGUCGUUUGUGUUUAUAAAAUAUGAGCGUAGAGACUUGGGUUCAAUCUUUCUAGUCUUCUCAAAACUUCGCCUCUAGCUACACAUAAGUUAGGACUUAAAUGAAAAUUCAAAUAUUAAAUUCUUUAUUUUUAUUUUUAUUUCAUUAUUUAUUUUAUGCCAAUAAGAAAAAUACAAAUAAUUUCCUUUCAUGAGCCUGACUGUUGACUCUGUGGUACUGGAAAUUUACAAAGCGAUGAAGUUGAUUGUGACUGCUGCCAGUUAGCCCAAGUCAAAAAGCCACAUGUAGCACCGACUCAAAACUAUUCUAACUAGAAAUAAUUAAAGGCCACCAGCCGGAGGAGGUAUGAAAGUGGUCAUAGACAAAUGAACUUUUACUUCGGGAUUGCAACGCGAAAGACUUAUCACAGCUACGCUGUUUUGCAGGAACUCUGCUCCUCCGUAAUUUUUCAUCUUGGUAAAGUGAGAGCGACCCUCAGAAGCACUCUCUGUUCACAACAUGUUAAGAGGCAGCAAAAAGAUCGAUGUGCAAGGCCCUUCAUGAGAAAAUUCUUCAUAUUUUAACAUUCGGAAAAAUUCCCAUGUCUUACCAUUUUAGAUCGAUUCUUCAAUGAUCAUUUUUAUGCUUUUUUUAAUUAAAAAUACCCAAAGUUGGUGGGGUUAGGCAGGACCCCUUACCUAUGAAUUAUUGAAAUAUAAAUAAAAUUACACAUGGAGGGGGACACAUAUCAAAAUCUACAGGAGGGCGGCUAAACAAAAGCUUACUAACAAGCGAAAGUUUGAAUGGUUAUGCCAUGGACUAGAUUUCUGCAGCUGAAAAGUGGAUAACAGGUUUACCAUGAAAUAUUGAAACCAGCUUUUCCCAAAUUGAAGAUUCUAGGGGGCCAGCAAUAGCAUCAACAAAAGACUUAGCAUUGGGGUUGAGGAUAACUUCAGGAUUAGUAAUAGAUGCAUAAGAGGCCUUGGAAGGUGGGUUGGAUGUACGACCAAGAGUGAGGGGGUGGAAAAGGGUCACGGGUUUGGGCUUGAUUUUUGGUCUAGUUUUGGGUUUGGAAAGCCGGAUGUUGGUCAGGGUUUCUUUUUUCAUCUUGGUAAAAUGAGAGCGACACUCAGAAGCACUCUCUAUUCACAACAUGUUAAGAGGCAGCAAAAGAUCGAUGUGCAAGGCCCUUCAUGAGAAAAUUCUUCAUAUUUUAAUAUCCGGAAAACUUCCCAUGUCUUACCAUUUUAGAUCGAUUCUUCAUUUGUAUGCUUUCUUUAAUUAAAAAUCUGUGAGGCCUGGAGUAGUUAUAUUCUGUUAAGAGUGAAUAAGGUGGCAUGCUGAGCUGGCAUUAGUGGGACCAUCUGUUGUUACAGUCGUUAUUAAAUAAUAACAACUCAUGCUUUUACUCUUUAAGAGAUAUACAAGAGGAAUUGCAGCGUGCAGACUGGUGUCAAGGAGUGAUGAUAUGAUAGUCUUAGUGAGAGAGAUAGAAAAAAUCUCAAUAGAGAAGAUUUAAUCUCUGUAAUCUCAAGAAUCUUCUGUAACUCAUCUCUUUCUAAUAAAGUUUCAAAGCAGAGUUGAUUUCAAUCGUGGAUGUAGGCAUCUUGUUGCCGAACCACGUUAUAUGAUCUUGUUAUUUUUCUUUCCUUUUCUUUUAAUCUCUUGUUUGCUCGUUGUUCUGGUUUAUAUCAGUUUCUGUUUUCUUGGUUUGAUUCAAUCUUUGAAAGACUUUCUUUUGUUCAGAACUUAACAAACUGGUAUCAGAGCUUGGUAGUUUGCUGAUCUUGGAUCUACAAUGGCUACCACCAGAUUUGAUCUUGAAAAGUUCAAUGGGGAGACAACGAGGUGUUGGUGAGAUAUAUGGCAGCUAGGGGGAUUUGUCUCAGUCAAAGGAGUCAAAGAUGGUGGGCAAUAAGUGGUGCCUGAGUUUUGGUUGUGCUCGUUCGUAUUGGUGCCUGAGGGGGUUGGUGGCAGCUGGAGGGUGUAAGGCAGCUGACAGUGUUGGGAGUACAAUAAGGUUCAACGGUGGUCCGUCAGCAAGUAAUCGCCACCAACGGAGGCAGGCAAUGUGGUUGUCUUCAUUACAUUUGUCUUUUGUCUUCCAUAGCUGCUUACAGGUUGCACUAAGGGUAAAAAUGGCUAUUCUAAAGCAUUAGAGAUGGUUCAGGAACUUAAGUAUAAUAGAGCGAAGAUGGAUGGCGUGAUGUAUGGGAUACUUUUGGCCAUUUGUGCUUCAAAUAAUCUAUGUGCCGAAGCUCAGAGCUAUUUUAACCAGAUGAAAGUUGAAGGCCAUUCACCUAACGUAUAUCACUAUAGCUCUUUGCUUAAUGCUUACUCCUCUGGUGGAGACUACAAGAAGGCUGAUGAAUUAAUUUACGAUAUGAAAUCUUCAGGGUUAGUACCAAAUAAGGUUUGUUUCAUGUUUAUAUGGCCAUCCUAGUUUCAAGAGUUACUAGUGCAUUACUUAAUAGUUGAGUUUUGUUCAUCUUGAAAUAGGAAAGAAUGAAAAUCGAUGUAUACAUGUGAAUUUGGUAGAAUAGAGAAUUUGUACUGAAUUUCAAAUGACAAAAGACCUGUGUUCUUCAAAAUUUAAGUUAUGAUACAUAGUUAUCAUGCUGAAUUGAGGCCUACCCAACCUCAUUUUGUCUAUGCUUUCAAAAGCAAGUGUAAUUGUUUUAGUGCAGAAAAAAUGUAAUAGUAUUAUGAUACUUGGAUGCUAUCCUGAUUGGAGGAUGCUAUUUUAAAGUUAAGGACCAUGGGGUUUAUUCCUAAAGAUUACUUGGUUUGUUUGGCCUUUUUCAGUGGAAGCAAGAAGUUAAGGGAUCAAGUCUAAAGGGAUACUUUAUAUUUGAUGACAAUGCUAUAUUUGCUGCAGGAUUUGAGCAAAAAUAAAAACAGCAUGAUUUGAUUAUGCUGUCAAUAAAAUCCUGCAAGAUUGUAGGAAAAAAUUAUUUUUGAAUUUUAUGAUAUCAGAUAUAUGUUAAAGAUAUGUAGGCAGAUUUUUUGGCUUUGUUUGUUUCUUUUCUUGUAUAAAUUCAAAUACUGCAGCAAUGAAUGUAAUGCAAUCAAUAGUCCCAAUUUCUCUGUGUUCUCUUUUCUUUGUUUAAAACAAACAAAGUGGUAUAAGAGCCCUCAUUCUUAAGGGACCUGUAACAUGAUUAGAGAGGCUUCCUACACUUCAAUAUGGCAGGAAAUGGUUUCUUAUCUGCUCCUGCAGUUUUCACAGGUGAAAAUUAUCAAAUAUGGGCUGUGAAAAUGGAAUCUUACUUGGAAGCAUGUGACCUAUGGGACUUAGUGGAAGCAGAUCCGAAGGAUCCACCAUUAGCUCAUAUGAGGAAUAACAAGGAUGAAAGAAAAAGGAGAUAUAAGGCCAAUACAUGCAUUCACUCUGCAGUUUUAGAGAAAAAUUUUACAAAGAUCAUGACCUGUGAAACAGCGAAACAGGCAUGGGAUCUUUGGAAGCAAGAAUAUCAGGGGAAUGUCAGGACAAAACAAAUGCAGGUCUUGAACCUGAGAAGGGAAUUUGAAAUGUAGAAAAUGAAGGAGACAGAAAUAGUUAAUGACUAUAAAGACAAGUUGAUGAUGAUUGCCAAUAAAAUUAGAAUGCUUGGGGAAGAGUUUUCUGAUAGAAGGAUUGUAGAGAAGAUUUUGGUGACCUUGCCUGAGAGAUUUGAAUCUAAAAUCUCUUCACUUGAAGAGUCCAGAGAUAUGUCAACAAUAACAUUGGCAGAGCUUGUCAAUGCACUGCAAGCUCAAGAACGAAUGAGAGCUUACAGAAAGGAGGAGAUGAUUGAAGGAGCAUUUCAAGUGAAAGAGCAUUUCAAGAAACGAAAUGGUGGAGUAAGAAGAAUUACAAGAAGGGGGAAAGUAGCAUCAAUGAAGGCAACAAGGGCAAGCACUCCCUCUGCCUCACUGUAAGAAAACCUCUCAUCCGCAAAAGAAAUGUUGGUUUAGGCCUGACAUUCAAUGCAGGGCAUGCAAGCAAAUGGGGCAUAUGGAGAGGGUGUGUAAAAAAAAACAGCAAGAAGGACACCAAGCUCAAGCAGCAGAACAACAACAGGAUGAGCAACUUUUUGUUGUAUCUUAUUUUUCAAGUAACAGUUCGAGUGAUGAUUGGCUCAUAGACAGCGGAUGCACAAAUCACAUGUCUUUCGAUGAAUCUCUUUCAAAGAAGUAAACAAGUCAGAAGUGUCAAGAGUUAAAGUUGGCAAUGGGCAAUAUAUUGAAGUGAAAGGUAAAAGGGACAGUUGCAAUAAAAAGCUCAGCAGGUAUCAAGUUAAUUUCUGAUGUAUUACUUGUUCAUAAAAUUGAUCGAAAUCUGCUGAGUGUGGGACAAUUGCUUGAGAAAGGUUAUUCUGUUGUAUUUAAGAAUAACAUGUGUGUCAUUACUGACCCAAAUGGUGUAGUGUUGUUCUCUGUAAAUAUGAACAGCAAAAGCUUCAACUUAAGUUGGAACAAGGAUUAAUGUAGUGCAUAUCAAUGUACUUUGAACCAGGCUGAGUUAUGGCACAAGCGGAUGGGCAUUUUCAUUAUUCUACAUUAGAUUACAUGUAGAAAAAUGAUCUUGUGCAAGAAAUUACUUUCAAUGGAGGAGGAGCAUCAAUGUGUGGAGUCUGUCAGCUGGGAAAACAAGCUAGAUUGUCAUUCCCUGUUAAUAAGGCAUGGAGAGCAGUUGAGAAGCUUCAGUUGAUCCACACAGAUGUUUGUGGACCUAUGAGGACUGCAUCCUUAAAUGGUAACAGGUACUUUAUGGUUCUUAUUGAUGAUUUUAGCAGAAUGUGUUGGGUUUACUUUCUCAAACAAAAGUCUGAAGUUGCUAGUGUGUUUUGGAAGUUUAAAACAUGGAUUGAAACUCAAAGUGGCUGUAAAAUCAAGGUGAUUAGGUCUGAUAAUGGGACUGAAUAUACAGCUGAUAAAUUUGCUAAGUUUUGUGAAGCUGCAGGGAUUGAACAUCAGCUUACAGCAACCUAUACACCUCAACAAAAUAGAGUCAGUGAGAGGAAAAAAACAGGACAAUCAUGGAGAUGGCUAGAUGUCUGUUGUUUGAGAAGGAAAUGCAAAAAACGUUUUGGGCUGAGGCUGUUAAUACUGAUGUAUUUCUGCAAAACAGGUUACCAACAAAGGCUUUAAAGGGAAAAACACCUUUUGAAGCCUGGUUUGGUUUUAAACCCUCUAUUCAUAACUUGAGAAUUUUUGGUUGCUUGUGUUUUACUCAUGUUCUAGAUGCAAAAAGAGAUAAGUUGGAUCAAAAGGCAGAAUAUGGAGUUUUUGUAGGAUACAACACUCUCACCAAAGGUUAUAGAGUUUAUCAACCUUUGGCGGGAAGAAUCAUAGUGAUUGGAGAUGUUAAAUUUGAUGAAGCCGAAGGAUGGAAUUGGACAACAACUGAACCAAAACAAGUUUAUGCAGAAGAAAAAGCACCAGAAUUGCAAGAUAAUGAUAUAAUUGAUGAUGAGCCAAUAAGAGGUACCAGACCAAUUACAUAAAUUUAUCAAAAGUGCAAUAUGGUUGUGCUUGAACCUGCAGGGUAUGAUGAGGGUGCUAAAGAUCCAAAGUGGCUUGAAGCAAUGGAAGAUGAGAUCAAGAUGAUUGACAAGAAUCAAACUUGGGAGUUGGUGGAUAGACCACUACACAAGAAGACUAUUGGUGUGAAAUGCGUUUAUAGAACCAAACUCAAUGCUGAUGGUUCUGUAAACAAAUUCAAAGUAAGGCUGGUUGUAAAAGGGUAUGCUCAACUAUUUGGUGUUGACUUUUCUGAAACUUUUGCACCUGUGGCACAGCUGGACACCAUCAGAUUGCUUCUAGCACUUGCAGCACAAAGCAGUGGAAAAUCUACCAGCUUGAUGUUAAAUCAACCUUUUUAAAUGGCUAUUUGGAUGAAGAAAUCUUUGUUGAGCAGCUUGAGGGUUUUGUUGCAGAUCCGAAGAAAGUAUAUUUGUUAAAAAAAUGCAUUAUAUGGCUUGAAGCAGGCUCUAAGAGCUUGGUACAGCAGGAUUGAUGAUCAUUUGUUGAACAUAGGCUUCAACAAGAGCAUGAGUGAAUCAACUUUGUAUAUUCAAGUAAUUAAUCAUGAAUUGAUUGUUGUUUCACUUUAUGUUGAUGAUUUUCUUGUCACAGGAAGCAAUGAAGAAUUGGUGAAGCAGUUUAAGGUUCAAAUGAUGCAAGCAUUUGAAAUGACUGAUCUAAGAGAGAUGGCUUUCUUUUUAGGUCUGGAGAUUCAAAAGUCACAGCAAAGGGAUCUUUAUUGGACAACAAAAAUAUGCUAAAGAAGUGCUAAAGAAAUUCAACAUGGAGGAUUGCAAAUAUAUGCAUUGUGCAAGUGAAUUUCACUACAAGGCUGCUAAAAGGGUGCUAAGGUAUAUCAAGGGAACUUUGGAUCAUGGAAUAAAAUUUGAAAAGGAAGACAAGUUGGUCUUGCAUGGUUUUGCUGAUAGUGAUUGGGCAGGAUCAUGUGAUGAUAUAAGGAGCACGUCAGGCUACUUGUUUAGUCUUGGUUCAGGUUGUUUCUGUUGGAGUUCAAAGAAGUAGGAAAUCGUAGCUCAGUCUACGGCUGAGGCUGAGUAUGUUGCAGCUGCUGCUGCAGUCAAUCAAGCCUUAUGGCUAAGGAAGCUUAUGGCAGAUUUGAAAAUGAUUCAGGAUUAUGCAACUGAAAUCUUUGCUGAUAAUCAAGCUGCCACAACAAUUUCUAACAAUCCAGUGUUCCAUGGGAAGACAAAACAUUUCAAAAUUAAGUAUUAUUUUGUUAGAGAAGUCCAGAAGAAUGAUGAAGUUGUUGGAUCAUAAACUUGAUCCAAGAUGAGUAAAUCAAGCCCAACUCAUGGAAGGUUCCAUGAGUAGGUAUGGUUGGUGAGCUUUGAAUUAUUUGUGUUAGGUGUGUUAGGUGUGGUUGGUGAAGUAGGUGAGUGGUAGGUUUUAAUGGAUGGUGAGGAUUUGUGUAUUAAUUGAAUAAAUGAAUGGUUGUGAUUAGUUUGUUUCAUGUAUAAAUACCCCCUCUCCCCUUUGGUUUAAUCAUCAAGUGAAGUAGCAAAAUCUCUAAGGUGUAGAGAGUGAAAAAUAAGAGUUGUAAUUGGUGAGGAGUGUUGUUGAAGAAAUAAAAUAGUGUUUUUUGUGUGUUUUAUUUUGUUAAUUCUCCAACAAAGUGGUAUCAGAGCUAUUACGUGAUGCUAUAUAUGGUCAUAUAGCAUAUCAAAUCGAAGAUCUCGAUGAGAGGAAAGUGACGCCGCAAAAAUUAUCCCGAUCGGAGACCGGACGCGCCCACACUUGCCGCCGGAAGUUUUCUGCCCUAAAGCUGAGUCGACUCACCGAGUUGAACCAAGCCGAACCGAGCUGAACCGAAUCAAGUCGAACCGAGCCAACUCGAGCUGAACCAAUCCGGACCGAACCAAGACUACCAAGCCGGUGUUGACCGUUGACCGACGUUGACCGUUGACCAGCGUUGACCGUUGACCGAAAAUUGACUCGAGUCAUUCCCAAGGUUUUUCGACGUGCUGGAUCCAUUUGUGCUUUCAGAAUCUCCAAAUUCUCACUCAAUUUGUGAGUUAUGGAAAACGGUGGUAUGAUGUCAUUUCAAGUUCCACAAUUAAAGGGAAGUAAGUUUGACAAUUGGAGUAUUAAAAUGAAGGCUCUAUUGGGCGCACAUGACGUAUGGGAUGUCGUGGAAAAAGGCUUUAUUGUGCCAGAAAAUGAAGCCACUUUAACUGCGGCGCAGAAGGAGAAUUUAAAAGACUUGAAGAAGAAAGAGAAUAAAGCAAAGUAUCUCAUCUUUCAAUCAUUAGAUGAAGAUGCUUUUGAAAAAAUUGCUGGUACAACCUCCUCAAAAGAAGCAUGGGAGAAACUAGAGACCUCUUACAAAGGAGCGGAACAAGUUAAGAAGGUUCGUCUCCAAACAUUACGAGGAGAAUUUGAGUCCUUACACAUGAAGGCGUCAGAGUCAAUUUCUGACUACGUUACUCGGGUUGUGACUGUUUCCAAUGAAUUAAAAAGAAAUGGCGAGGAGUUAAAAGAGGUAAGGAUCAUUGAAAAGAUACUUCGAUCAGUAGAGUCGAAGUUUGACCAUAUUGUUGUGACAAUUGAAGAAACAAGAGAUCUGGAGGAUAUGACGAUCGAGCAACUUCAAGGAAGGUUGCAAGCCUAUGAAGAAAAACAAAAAAAGAGGCAAGGAAUCGAAGAACAACUUCUCAAGAUGGAAGUCAAUCCAAAGAAAAGAGAAGAAAGCUCCGACAAUGAGAGAAGGCACUAUGUCCGAGGUAGAGGUCGUGGUCAUGGACGAGGUAGAGGUCGUGGUCAUGGACGAGGUUGGAAUUUCAACAACAACAACUCCAAUUAUGCCAAAGGAGAAAGCUCAACCAGAGGACGAGGCAGAGGCAAUCCAAGAUCGAGGUAUGACAAAUCCCAAGUACAGUGCUAUAAUUGUCAAAAGUUUGGGCAUUAUGCUUCAGAAUGCAGAGCUCCAAGCACCAGAAUUGAAGAGAGAGUGAACUAUGCUGAAGAGAAAAAUAGUGAAGAUGGCACACUUUUACUAGCACGCAAUGACACAAGUGGAGGUCAAGAAAAUACAUGGUAUCUUGACACAGGUGCUAGCAAUCAUAUGAGUGGAAACAUAAACAUGUUCGUGCAACUAAGUGAAUCUGUGAAUGGCAGUGUCGCUUUUGGAGAUGAUUCAAAAGUACCAGUGAAGGGUAGAGGUAACAUUCUUUUUCGUGCAAAAGAUGGUAGUCACCAAAUAAUUUCGAAUGUUUACUAUGUGCCCAAUAUGAAAAGCAACAUUCUUAGUUUGGGUCAACUUUUAGAAAAAGGCUAUGAUAUUCACUUAAAAGAUUAUAGUCUUUUCCUAAAAGAUGACAAAGGAAAUCUAAUUACAAAGGUGAAAAUGUCGAAGAAUAGAAUGUUUCCAUUAAAUAUUCAAAAUGAUGUUGCAAAAUGUCUCAAAGCCUGUCACAAAGAUCAAUCCUGGACUUGGCAUCUUCGAUAUGGGCAUCUCAACUUUGGAGGAUUGGAGCUACUAUUCAAGAAGAACAUGGUGAAAGGCUUACCAUACAUCAAUCACCCUGAUCAACUUUGUGAAGGAUGUUUACUUGGCAAGCAAUUCAGAAAGAGCUUUCCAAAGAAGUCAAACUCAAGAGCUCAGAAGCCACUCGAGCUCAUUCAUACUGAUGUGUGCGGUCCAUUCAAACCAAACUCCCUUGGUAAAAGUAACUACUUCCUUCUCUUCAUAGAUGAUUUUUCAAGAAAAACUUGGGUGUAUUUUUUGAAGCAAAAAUCAGAAGUUUUUGAAGCUUUCAAGAAGUUUAAAGCUGCAGUGGAAAAAGAAAGUGGAUACCAGAUUAAAGCCAUGAGAUCUGAUCGAGGUGGAGAGUUCACUUCCAAAGAAUUUUUAGAGUUUUGUGAAGCAAAUGGAAUUCGACGCCCUUUGACAGUUCCAAGAUCCCCUCAACAAAAUGGUGUUGCAGAAAGGAAGAACAGAACCAUCCUCGACAUGGCAAGAAGCAUGCUUAAGAGUAAGAGGCUACCUAAAGAAUUUUGGGCUGAAGCUGUUGCAUGUGCAGUCUACUUAUCCAAUCGAUCUCCAACAAGAAGCGUGUGGGGCAAGACGCCACAAGAAGCUUGGAGUGGAAGAAAACCCGGCAUCACCCAUCUAAGAGUUUUCGGAAGCAUUGCCCAUGUACAUGUACCAGAUGAAAGUAGAGCCAAGCUGGAUGACAAAAGUGAAAAGUUCAUCUUCAUCGGCUACGACAACAACUCCAAAGGAUACAAGCUUUACAAUCCAAACAACGGGAAGAUCGUGAUCAGUCGAGAUGUAGUUUUUGAUGAAGAAGGAGAAUGAGAUUUUGGCUCUGGUGUGGAUGACUUCAACUUCUUUCCCAUUGAAGAAGAUGAUCAUACACAGAUAAAACAAGUAGACGAACAACAAGAGCCUGCCACUCCACUUAUCUCACCGGUACCAACCACAUGCGGAGAUUCACCGCCGCCUUUCUUAAAUGAAAGAACCGAAGAACGUACAAGGAGUCUUCAAGAUCUCUAUGAGAUAACUGAGAGACAUGAUAAUCUCACUCUCUUUUGCCUCUUUGCUGAUUGUGAGCCAGUCAACUUCCAAGAAGCUACACUAGAUGAGAAGUGGAGAAUUGCAAUGGAUGAAGAAAUCAAAGCCAUUGUGAAGAAUGAUACUUGGGAGCUUACUACUCUUCCAAAAGGUCAUAAGGCGAUCGGUGUCAAAUGGGUGUAUAAAACAAAAAGAAAUGCGAAUGGAGAAAUUGAAAGGCACAAGGCGAGGCUAGUUGCAAAAGGCUAUAGUCAAAAGGCUGGCAUAGACUAUGACGAGGUAUUUGCUCCUGUAGCUCGACUUGAAACUAUUAGACUUAUUAUUUCUUUGGCUGCUCAGAACAAAUGGAAGAUUUUUCAAAUGGAUGUGAAGUCUGCUUUCUUGAAUGGAUUCCUUGAAGAAGAAGUUUACAUCAAACAACCAUUAGGCUAUAUGGUGAAAGGACAUGAAGACAAAGUUUUGAGAUUGAAGAAAGCUCUUUACGGGUUAAAGCAAGCACCAAGGGCAUGGAAUAGCAGAAUUGACAAGUAUUUUCAAGAGAAAGGCUUCACCAAAUGCCCAUAUGAACAUGCUCUCUACGUCAAAGAAAAAGAUGGAGAUAUUUUGAUUGUGUGCCUGUAUGUGGAUGAUCUCAUCUUCACUGGAAGUAAUCCAAGCUUGUUUGAAGAGUUCAAAAGAGUGAUGAUCAAAGAGUUCGAGAUGACUGACAUCGGACUGAUGACAUAUUACCUCGGCAUUGAAGUCAAGCAAAAGGAAGAAGACAUAUUUAUCUCCCAAGAAAGUUAUGCAAAGGAGAUUCUCAAAAGGUUCAAGAUGAAUGAUUGCAAGCCUAUAAGCACGCCAGUGGAAUGCAGAGUCAAGUUAUCCAAAUAUGAUGAAGGCGAAGAUAUAGAUCCAACAUUCUUUAAAAGUUUGGUUGGAAGCCUACGUUAUUUGACAUGCACAAGACCAGAUAUUCUUUAUGCUGUUGGACUUGUGAGCCGAUACAUGGAGAAUCCAAAGACCACUCAUUUUAAAGCUGCAAAAAGAAUCCUUCGCUAUAUCAAAGGUACAAUUAAUUUCGGCUUGUUAUACUCAUUUUCUAAUGACUACAAGCUUAUUGGAUAUAGCGAUAGCGAUUAGGGUGGAGAUGUAGAUGAUCGAAAGAGCACAACAGGAUUUGUGUUCUUCAUGGGAGAUACUGCUUUCACAUGGAUGUCAAAGAAGCAACCAAUUGUCACUCUAUCCACCUGUGAAGCUGAAUAUGUAGCUGCCACAUCAAGUGUUUGUCAUGCAAUUUGGCUCAGAAAUUUGCUGAAGGAGUUGAGUUUGGCACAAGAAGAGCCAACCGAGAUUUGUGUUGAUAACAAAUCAGCAAUUGCCCUAUCCAAGAAUCCAGUCUUUCAUGAUCGAAGUAAACACAUAGACACUCGCUAUCAUUUCAUAAGAGAGUGUAUUGCAAGAAAAGAAGUGCAAAUCAAGUAUGUAAAAUCACAAGAUCAAGCAGCUGAUAUCUUCACUAAACCACUCAAGCAAGAAGACUUUGUAAGAUUCAGAAGUUUGCUUGGUGUCACAGGAUCAAGUUUAAGGGGAGGUGUUGGAUCAUAAACUUGAUCCAAGAUGAGUAAAUCAAGCCCAACUCAUGGAAGGUUCCAUGAGUAGGUAUGGUUGGUGAGCUUUGAAUUAUUUGUGUUAGGUGUGUUAGGUGUGGUUGGUGAAGUAGGUGAGUGGUAGGUUUUAAUGGAUGGUGAGGAUUUGUGUAUUAAUUGAAUAAAUGAAUGGUUGUGAUUAGUUUGUUUCAUGUAUAAAUACCCCCUCUCCCCUUUGGUUUAAUCAUCAAGUGAAGUAGCAAAAUCUCUAAGGUGUAGAGAGUGAAAAAUAAGAGUUGUAAUUGGUGAGGAGUGUUGUUGAAGAAAUAAAAUAGUGUUUUUUGUGUGUUUUAUUUUGUUAAUUCUCCAACAGAAGUAAGGCUCGUGUAUUGUAGGACUGAAGAUCAGCUAGCUGACAUUUUGACAAAGGGACUGUCAAAGUCAAGAUUUGAGUUGUUGAAGAAAAAAAUUGGUGUCUGCAGCAAAAAUAGAAAGGAGGAGUGAUGACAAUGCUAUAUUUGCUGCAGGAUUUGAGCAAAAAUAAAAACAGCAAGAUUUGACUAUGCUGUCAAUAAAAUCCUACAAGAUUGUAGGAAAAAAUUGUUUUUGAAUUUUAUGAUAUCAGAUAUAUGUUAAAGAUAUGUAGGCAGAUUUUUUGGCUUUGUUUGUUUGUUUCUUGUAUAAAUUCAAAUACUGCAGCAAUGAAUGUAAUGCAAUUAACAGCCCCAAUUUCUCUGUGUUCUCUUUUCUUUGUUUAAAACCAACAAUAUUUGGGUUGAAACGCAACUAUAAAAGAAUAAAAAAGCACCAUGGGGGUUUGGAUUUCAUGCUAUAAGAGAUUAUUGUAAAGGAAUGAAUUGGUGCUUUUCAAUAUAUGCCAAAUCUAUUUUCAUGGGUAUCUAGGUCAAAAUAGCGCAUAAAGUAGUGAGUUUCUUGUUAUCUCUUUUCUUUUUGUUCUGUGCAUUUUCAAUAAUUUGCUUUGUUUCUAUUUGCUGUAAACACAUGUGUUGGCAAUUGUGUGCUUUUCUUAUGUUUUCUUUUUGAGGGUAAAUCAUUCUUUUUGCAGGUAAUACUGACAACAUUGCUGAAGGUAUACGUCAGAGGAGGUUUGUUUGAAAAAUCAAGGCUGAACUGGACACUUUAGGCUAUGCUGAAAAUGAGGUACAUUGAUGAAUUUUUACCUUUCAUAUGUAUGUUCAAAUAUCAAUCUUGUUGAAGAUAUGAUAUUUAGUUUUAAUAUUGUGUUUCGGAGUAGAAUAUGUUAUUUAUUACGUUCAGGAUCAUAGCAGAUCCUGAUAAGGAAGUUGGGAAUUCAGACAGAAAUGAGCAUAACAAAUUGGGCUGAAGUUCAACAUGUUCAAAAUUUUUUGUUUCUUUGCUUAACUUUAUUUUUUUAAUUCAUAGGUUGGUAUUACGAUUUAUAAUAACGCAUGAUUCGGCUGGGUCUGCUUAUUCUUCUUUUAAUUUAUUUUUAUUUAAAUUCUAAAUUUUAAUUUUUUAAUAGAAAACUGAAAUGAUUUAAGGUGAAAACGAAAUACGAAACUGAACCAGACUGGUGGGUAAUUUAUUAUAACAGUCAUAAAUUUCCUUAAGAACACUGCUCCUUUUUGAGGUUUUCGAGUGAAAAACAGACUUCCAAACAUCCACAUUGUUGAUUCAUUGUUGUGUGGUGCGUUUGCUUGCCCCAAUGUUGGCACAAGUUCUUCUUUAUGUAACGAAUGGCUUUGUUCAUAUGUGUCUAUAUUCUCAUCUACAAUUAUUUUUUUGAAAGAAUUCUUUGGAAUAACUCUUCUGCAGCUUAAGGUACACAUGCCAUUUUGCAGAUGUCCUAUUGUUUACUUAUGGAUGGUCUUUCUAAGGCUGGUCGUUUAGAUGAAGCAAGAGUAGUUUUUAACGAAAUGCAGGAAAAAUGCGUUAAAUCCGGUAUGUUUCCCAUUUGAUAAGGGUCCUUCUAGCACGCUGUUAGUUUCAAAUAUUUAUUAUUAUUAUUUUUUCUCUUUACCUAAGAAACAAGAACAUUCUCAAAAGUUAAAUCCUUCAUUUGACCAUUGUUGAAAAAUGCAGUGUUGUACAUGUCAUUUCAAUGCCAUGCCAAAAGAAUGGGGAUUGCUUUGGAAAUUAAGUUAAAUUUCUUUUUCCUUAAUCUAAAAGAAAAAUAAACUAUCUGAUUCUAGUUAUAAAGCUUUAUUUUCACCGUAAACUCACAUCUGUUUUAGUUCUGCCUUUAAUUAUUUCUAAUGCCCCCGAGAAAAUCUAACUUCUAUGUUUGUUGGACAUGCUAUGAACUCCCUAGUUGCCUUUUCCUAGAUUUGAAGGCUAGGGAGAAACAUUGUUAUUCCUAUAUUAGAGGUGAGUAGCCUGUAUAAUUUGAUUAGUUCACGUCUGUUUUACUUGAAUCAAGAAUAGAGCGGCCUAAUCUGAUCUCUGUCUUUGUUGGCAUUAUUUAUGCGUUGAAGAAUGCUGUAUUGAGGUAUAUUCAUUGUAUUUUGCUAAAUAAAUUUUGUUAGACUUGACUUGAAGUCUGAAAAAUACUUGCGAUGUUUUCUUACCUAAUAGCUUAAGCAUAUGGAUCAAGGGAUUUUACUAACUUGUGUUGCUCUAUCUCAAUUGAUUUUGAAAAAUAUAUCUCUUUCAAACCAAGGUCCUUACCUUACGGCUUAAGCUUUUAGGUUAAGCACAAAUUUUGUUUCCCUCACGCAGAUGGCUAUGCCCAUAGUAUCAUGAUUUCAGCAUUCUGCCGAGGUGGGUUUUUUGAAGAGGCAAAGCAGCUGGCUGGGGAUUUUGAAGCCAAGUAUGACAAAUAUGAUGUUGUUCUGUUAAUGGUGGACAUGCAUAGGAAAGGCCACCAACCUGAGGAGGUACGUCACAUAAAUUUAUUACUUCUUGUCAAGGAUUUACUCUAGUCCCUUGCAAUUCCACAGGCCUUCGUUACUACUGUGAUUUUAGAUAAUGAAAGUGGUCAUAGACAAAUGAACUUUCACUUCGGGACUGCAACACGAAAGACUUAUCACAUAUAUGCUGUUUUGCAGGAACUCUGCUCCUCCCUAAUUUUUCAUCUUGGUAAAAUGAGAGCACACUCAGAAGCUCUCUCUGUUUACAACAUGUUAAGAUAUAGCAAAAUAUCGAUUUGCAAGGCCCUUCAUGAGAAAAUUCUUCAUACUUUAAUAUCCGGAAAGCUUCUCAAAGAUGCUUAUGUAGUGGUUAAGGUCUGCUAUAUUGUCUUACCAUUUUAGAUUGAUUUUUCAACUGUCCUUUAUAUGCUUAUCAAUCUAAAUUACUCUCUUUUCAGGACAAUUCGGAGUCAAUUUCUCAUCCUGCUAUUAAAAAGUUUGCAUCUGCAUUUGAGAGGUUAGGAAAUAUUAACUUGGUUAAUGAUGUAAUGAAGGCAAUCCACGCAACUGGCUACAGGAUUGAUCAAGUAAGCAAUCAAGGAUUUGUAAAACAAACACAAGCUCGCAUGCGCGCGCGCGCACACACACACAAGAGUGGAAGUAAUAAUUUAGAAAUGCCCUGUAAUUCCUUUUCUUCUAUUAUCUCAGGGAAUAUUUCAUAUAGCAAUAGCACGAUAUAUAGCAGAACGUGAGAAGAAGGAAUUGCUGCUCAAGUUGCUAGAAUGGAUGACGGGUCAAGGUUAUGUUGUUGAUUCAUCAACAAGAAACCUGAUACUCAAAAACUCACACUUAUUCGGACGGCAACUCAUUGUUGAUAAACUGUCCAAGCAACAUAUGAAAUCAAAAUCGUCAAGAACUCUGAAAGAAUGAGCAAUUUGAUAUUAAUUAAUGCUCGAGUUCUAGAUAAAGAAAUGAAUAUGGCUUACGGUUUACCCUAUCAUGCUAUAAGCUAGCAUGUCUCAGUUAUGUGUUAAAAGUUAAAACUCUAAUAUUUUACUACAUAGAGCAGUUAAUCAAAAAAUAAAAGAAAAAAGAAGGGGGGACCGCGGGGGGGGGGGGGGGGGGGGAGUAGUUUUUGGGAAAGAAAGAAAUCAGACAGAGAUUAAAACGAUGUAGCAUUGAAGGUGAUGAAAUCCUACUAUACUUAUAAAUUAUGAAUUUACCGUUCAUCUUCAAGCUCCCAAGGUCUGCAACGUAGGUCUUUAACUUGCAAAAGACAGUUUAUUGCUACGCGCAAGUUAGCAUUUGGUUCAUGAGAAAAUUUGUCAAUAAAGUGUAAUGAAGCUGUACCAGAGUUGUAGCAAGAAUGUUUCUCUAGAGACCUACCUAUCGUCUUCUCUUUCUCUCCUUGGAUGGGAGAGUGUUUGGAUUCACUUAUUUUUUUAAUUUUUUUUUAAUUUUUCUGGUAGAGUCGCUUGGAUCCCCUUAUUAAUCAUCCUAAAUCUGGAUUUAUGGUCCCAAUUAGUUUGACACUUUUAUUUGUAACUGCCAUAUCAAGUAAGUUAUAAAUCAUUACAGAGAAAAUUGAAGCACUGAGAUCCCUAGUUUUAAUAUUCUAAUUAUAGUUGUUGCUAAUAUUACUAUCGCUAGCUUGCAAUUAAUUCCGCUUAAGUUGUCAAUUUCCUAUAAGCAAAAAAGAUGGUCAUUGAGCGUACUUGUAUGGAUACCUCUGUAAAGGAACUUGGAGACCCUCAUAUUUUCUAAAAGAGGAUGCAGACCUCUUUUUGGACAUACAAAAAAGUUUUUUUAGACAAACUUUGGGGUUUAAUGUGAGACGAUGAUUGUAUUUGAACACAAAAGAUAUUUAAGAAAGUAUGUUCCGAAUAAUUGCUAUUUGUGGAGGCUCGCCCUAGAAGUUUACAAGAAAUUGUUAGAAGUUUUAGGAAAGGACGAAAUCUCUAGUCAUAAGAGAGCAUUGCCACUUAUGGAUCAAUGUCCAAAUGAAUUUAGAGGUUCAACUCAGAAUGACACUUUAGGCUUUUAUAAUUUCAGUAUUUAUUUUAUAAUUUAUUGAUUUCAUCAAUCACUCUAGGAAUUCUAGGUUUUGAGUCGCAAAUGGAGUCUCAAUCAUGUGACAGUGUCAUGAAAACUUUUAUUCUUUAUCUAUAAUUGGGAGGGGAUAAUUUUUCUCUCCUACAAGACUCGUGAUAAUAAAGAUACCAAAAUGUACAUUAUUAGUCAAAUGUAUUUCUAUUAUUGAUCAAUAUGAGGAUCAACAAGAGAUGUUUUACUUGAAUUAGAAGAAAUUAGUGAAGAUUCUAAAAUAAAGAGUGAAACUAAGUGAUUAGCAACAUAUGAAUUAAAAGAUUUUGAACUCAUAUUAGAUGUGAUUAUUUAGUAUGAUAUUAUUUGUUGUUAACUCUAUAAGAUCGAUCUUGCAAAAAGAAGAUAUGCAUAUUAAUAUUGCCAUAGAUCAGCUUAAAGGUAUUUUUUCUUUCUUUGAAAGAAAAUAGAGAAAAUGGAUCCAUGUCUACUAUAAUUUGAGUUAAAGAAAUUGCAAGUUAAAUGGAAAUAGAACCUAAAAUGUAUAAUAGAUCAAGCCAUCUCUUCAAUAAUAAUAGAUUUGAAUAAUUUAAAAUGUAUGAUAAUUUAUUUGGGUUUUUGUAUAAUUUCAAAAAAUUACAACUGUCAAGUGACUAUGUUUUAAAAACUUAUUGUGUUAAUCUUGAAAAUACUUUAAAACAUGAUACACUUUUUGAUAUAGAUAGUUUAGAUUUGUUUUGAGAGUUGAGAAUUUUAAACAAGUUUUUCAAGGUGAAAAAAUAAUGUUUAUUUAUUUGAAAAAAAUUGAUUCUUUUCCAAAUGCAUAUAUUACUUAUAGAAUAUUAUUAACAAUACUAGUAACAGUUGCUUUUGUAGAAAGAAGUUUUUCAAAAUUAAAAUUGAUAAAAACUUAUUUAAGAUUAACAAUGAUGCAAGAAGAUUAAAUGGACUAACUAUAUUGUUUACUGAGAAAAAUAUAUUAAUAAAAUUAGAAUAUAAAAAUUUGAUCAAUAAUUUUGCAUCUAAAAAAACUAAAAAAAUUGAUUUUAAAUAAAUAAGUUUUAGUAAAAUUAAUACAUAUAUUUAACCUUAAAUUUUUGAAUAGUCUAAUUGAAACAAUUCCCCUAAAAACCCAUAAUUGAUUGAGCCGUUACUGUCUACAAGACUGGUAAAAACAAAGACAUCAAAGUGUACAUUGUUAGUCACAUGUAUUUUUAUUAUUUUUAUUUUUCAUGACACUUCUCAAGUUGUGAUUUGAUGGUUAAUAAUUUGCUUCAUCUUGUGUCAAAAAAGAGAGGCUCCCCGAACAAGCUCACACCAACUAGUCUAAUUUUGUAUGCGCAUGUGCUUAUGUAGUAUGUACUGCACACUGAUGUAGUACGUUAUCAUUGUGUCAAAAAGAAGAGGCUCUGACUCCUUGACACGCCCAAUACCGACUAGACUAAUUUUUCAUACGCACGUGGCUCAUGCACUGCACUACAGUGUAAUGUGGCAAAAUUAAGAAGAAAAAAAUAAAUAUUGAGAAAUUUUAAAAUACAUAAAAAAUUAUAUAAUUACUAUAUAUAUAUAUAUAUAUAUAUAUAACAUGUAUAUUUAAAUUUUAUAUAACUACUAAUUAUAUAUCAGUUCUUUCAAAUAAAUAUAUUUAUAUUAUAAAAUUAUUUAUUUAUUGUAUGAAUGGCAUAAUAUCUUAAAGGUAUUUUUAAAAUUUCUUUUAUGUCCGUUUUGUCAUUUUCGACUACCAGCCAAUGCGGUGGCAUUUUAUAAGCUGAUAUGGUGCCUCACAGAAACUCUUUUGUUUUGAGUUUGAUGAUCCCUAGGAAAUGGCACAAAUAUCUCUUCUAAUGGUAUUUUACAGGCUGUUGAUGAAAAGUAGCAUAUGUUUUGGAAGACUAAUGGUAUUUGCAUUUUGUUUGCAAAUUCUAGUAAAGUCGGGCAAUACAAGAUUUUUGAAUAAAAACUUGUUUAAUCUCUAUAUUUUGAGGUUAAUGUCUUUUUAGUUAAGAAAUAUAUCAAAAUAUUUUUAUUAUUAAAUUAUUGAUACUGUGACGUUAUUUUUUGUUCCUUUUCGAUUGCUUUUACAUACUAUCAUAUUACAAUAAUGUUUAUUUUUUGGAUAUUAAUAAAAAGAAAAAAAAAAUUAAAAUACCCAUUUAAUCCCAAAAAAUUAAUGUUGAAUACUCUACCGAGGAGUUACUAUAUUAAUUUUUUUAUUAAUGUCCAAAAAAAUUGGUAAUUUAUUUAUUUUUACAUUAUUAAUUUUUUUGACAUACAUGAGCUUCCAGAAAAUUAAUUUAUGUUUUUUAUUUUUAUUUUACUUUUAGGGUUAAAUUGAUAAUUUAAUUUUUCAUUUUUAUUAAUGUUCAAAAAGAAUUAUUGUAAGAGAGUAAUAUUAUAAAAGUAAGAUAAAAUACACAAAAGGUAACGGUAGAGGUGUCAAUAUUUUAACGACAUGAAACUUUGAGGUAUUUUUAAAAAUAUAGAGAUUAAAACAGAUACAAAACUCAAAAUACAGAGAUUAAACAACCUUUUUAUGCAUUCUUUUUGGUGCUCUAUAACUCUUAUGGAAAUAGUUUUGUUGAUUAUUAAACACAUGCUUCUACACGUUUCUGUUCACUGUAGGACUAUUAUAAAGAAAUACCGACAUCGUUGAUUAUUAUAAACACAUGCAUCGGCAAGUUAGAAUUACCUCAUGAAAAAAUAUGAUUAUUUUUUGCCUUCUGGUUGGGGUUCAUAGUUCCUUCUUUUCAUUCUUAAUUUUUAUGACUUCCACAAUUAAUUUUUGUAGUUGAAGUAAUAUUAAAUUGUACUAUGUGUAUGCAUGUGUGUAUAUGUUGCUUAUUACUUCGGAGGACUUGGGAUGUUUUCUUUGUGUGGAUUAAUCCUUAUAUAAUUAUGAAGUGUUUUUAGUUACUAUAAGAAAUAGAACGAAUUAAAUUAAAAAAAGAAAUAAAUAUAUAGUUUUUAUUUUGCGACAUAUUAUAAUGAAAUUCCUUUAAUAAAAACUAUCACCUAUAAUCCAGAAACAUUCAUAUUGUAUCACCAAAUAUUUAUGCAAAAGCGUACUUGAAUCUAUAUUGAUUAAUUGUCCUCUGGAGUUGCGUCAUUGGCUAUGCAGAUCUACACAUUCUCCUAAAAAUUACUUUAAAUUUCUCAUUCCUCUCUCUGAUUCAAAUAUUUAUGCAAAAGCGUACUUGAAUCUAUAAUGAUUAAUUGUCAUCUGGAGUUGCGUCGUUGGCUAUGCAGAUCUACACGUUCUCCUAAAAAAUACUUUAAAUUUCUCAUUGCUCUCUCUGAUGAUGGGAUGUCAGAAAGAAUAGAAAGAUAUAUGUGACCUGUGGACUAUAACCACUUAUAUAGAUAAUUUUUUUUCCUGUUGUCAUUAGGUUAUAUGCCCACACCUUAUUAAAUACAUUAAAACUUAUAAUACCGAAAACCUUAAUGGAUUACUUUUAAUUGGGCUUAACCUUAUAUGACAGUUUGCGACACAUAAUUAUUAACACAUUAGCCCAAUGUUGGAUUAAGGAUCUGACAAUGCUAGAUUAAAAAAUCCACCAAUCUCCCAUUUGGACUAUAUGUGUAACCUUAUAAUUAUGCUUUGCAAAAAUAAUUGUACGAGCUCAACCUUACUGUUAUUAUCAAAAUGUAUCUAUAACUAAUUUGAUCAAUUAAUCAUACCAAUAUAGGAUCAAAGCAGCCUUUGUUACAACUAUCGUAACUCAACCCAUCAAUGGUCACUAUGCCAAUACAUUUGAAUGACAUAGAUCAUAAUGUGGAUGUGUAGCAUGGAAAUUUCAUGCAAUGUGAUAUUGACAUGCCUAUUUCCAACUGGUCCAUCUUAAACCUUAGUGAAAUCAAGCUAUACCAAAAAUCAGAUUGUGAAUAAACUAAAACUUUAUUUCUGCAGAAAAUGACCCUAAAUAUCCAUAAACUAAAAUAAUUGAAAAAUAUCUAUAUUAUAAGAGCAUCCAAAAUCACAAACUCCCACUAAAUCUGAAAAGUAUAUUCAUUUUGCUUAAAAGAAUAUUCUCAAAAUAUUUAAAUUUUAUGAGUAGUAUCAAUAUAUACUAGGGAUAAAAUAGAAAAAUGAUAUUUAAAGCUAACAUCAUCAUAACUACCUACCAGGGGUUUUGGACAUAUUUUAGGCUCCGUUUGGUAUAACGUUUUAAGUGGAGUUUAAUUGAGUAGAGCUUUUAUUAGUAUAACUUUUUAUAAGUAGAGAUUUUACCCAAAAAAAAUUAGUUGUCUGGUUGUCAAUGAGAGUUUUUAUUAAAAAUUAUAAAAUUACUUUAAUAGAUAAGUUUUUAAAGUUAUGUUAUGAAAAGAAUAAAAUAAGAUUGUUAAAUAAGAAAAAUGUAUUUUGGAUAUUUAAACAUUUAAAAAAAACUUUUCAACCUCUAUUCCCAAAGGCCAAAAUUCAAGUUUUUACUAAUAGAGGUAAAAUAGCUUAUAUAAUUUUUAAAAACUUCAUUAAAAAAACAAAUAAACAACAACAAAUAUUUUGAUAAGAGCUUAUAAAAUUAAAUAAGCACUUAUGAUCAUUAGAUAAGUCAUACUAAGAGCUUGUUUGGUAUGGCUUAUCUAAUGGUCAUAAGUGCUUAUUUAAUCCCAUAAGCUCUUAUCAUAAUUUUUAUUGUUGUUUGGUUAUUUUUUUAGUAGAGCUUUUAGAGCUUAAAUAAGCUAUUUUACCUUUAUUAGCAAAAGCUCAAAUUUUGGGCUUUUGGGAGUAGAGGUUGAAAAACUUUUUUUAAAUGUUAAAAUAUUUUCUACUUAUUUGACAAUCUUAUUUUAUUUUUUUAUAUCAUAACUUUAAAAAUUUGUCUAUUAAAGUAAUUUUAUAAAAUUUUAAUAAAAGCUUUUAUUGACAGCCAAACAACUAAAUUUUUUAGGUAAAAGCUCUAUUUGUAAAAACUCUACUCUCAAAAGCUCUAUUUAAAUAAGCUCUACUUGAGUUUUGCUUAAUUUGUCUAAGGCAAAAGGACACCUACACCCCCAAGGUUUGCGGAAAUGUCGCCAACAUCCAUAAGUUUUCAAAAAAAUAUACCAAAACCCUCUCUUGACCAUUAUAUGCUUUACCUCUAUUAUCUCAAAAAAAUUGACAUAAAAUUUUUAAUAAAUGCAAAUACUAUGUAAAUAAUGUAAUCUAUGUAGAUGACUAAUGAUAUGAAAAUAUUUUAAUAAAUUUAAAUAUUGAAACUGAUCUUUACCAAGAGGUUUAGUAAAAAUGUCAGCCAAUUGUUGUCGUGAAGGCACAUAAGUUAAGGAAAUGAUUUUGGCAUGAAGCUUUUCAAGAACAAGAUGGCAGUCUAUUUCUAUGUGCUUGGUACGCUCAUGGAAGAUGGGAUUAGCAGCGAUAUAAAGCGCAGCUUGAUUGUCACAAUGUAAAGCUAUAGGCAUUGGUUGGGUCACAUGGAGAUCACGAAGUAGAGUUUUCAACCAAACCAAUUCACAUGUUGUUGUCGCCAUGGCUCGAUAUUCGGCUUUAGCUGAAGAGUGCGAUACAACUGGUUGCUUCUUGGUUUUCCAAGAAAUAGGAUUGUUGCCGAGCAUGAUAAAAUAUCCUGUGGUGGAUCGACGAGUCAUAGGGCAACUUGCCCAAUCUGAAUCUGAGAAGGCUGAGAGUUCCAAAGAGCUAGUGGAGGACAAGAGGAUACUAGCGCCUGGUGAAGAUUUGAUAUAACGUAAGACACGCAGGGCAGCAUCAUAAUGUGGUCGUCUUGGAGUGUGCAUAAAUUGACUAAGUGUGUUCACAGCAUAUGUAAUUUAUGACUCGGUGAUUGUCAAAUAUAUGAGACGUCCUACGAGUCGUCGGUUUUGGCCAGGAUUUUGACAAAGGGUUCCUUGUUCGUUGGAGUGCUUCAAGUUUUGUUCCAUUGGAAAAGAAGAUGGCAGUGUGCCUAAUUGUCCACUGUCUUGAAGUAUAUCUAAAGCAUAUUUCCGUUGAUUUAAGAAAAUCCCUUGCUUUGAACGAGCCACUUCAAUUCCUAAAAAAUAUUUCAAAGUUCCCAAGUCUUUAAUAUGAAAUUGAGCCUAUAAAAACAUCUUCAAUGCAGUUAUAAUGUCAAGAUGGUUACCAGCAACUAUUAUAUCAUCAAGAUACACAAGCACCAAUGUAAAAUGAGAAUCGUGCACAUUAGUGAAUAAACAAGAAUCAGCAUAAGAUUGAAUGUAACCAAUUUUUUAAAGAGCGGAUGAGAAUUUUUCAAACCAAUUUCGAGAAGUUUGCUUGAGACCAUAAAGGGACUUGUUUGACCGACAAAAUUGAGAAGACUCCCCCUGUUUAUGAACUCCUGGAGGUAAGGUCAUAUAAAUUUCCUCAUGCAAGUCUCCAUGAAGAAAUGCAUUAUGAACAUCUAAUUGAUUUAAUAACCACCCUUGAAUAGUUGCCACUGCCAAUACACAUCUAACAGUCACAAGUUUUGCAACAGGUGCAAAUGUCUCGUGUUAAUCGAAACCUUCAGUUUGUGUGUAUCCUUUAGCAACAAGGUGUGCUUUGUAUCUCUCAAUAGAACCAUCAGCUUUUCUUGUAAUUUUGUACACCCAUUUACAACCAAUUGGUUUCUUGCCGGGAGGUAGAUCUUGUAUUGUCCAAGUGUUAUUUUGCUCCAAAGCAUUAAUCUCUAUAUCCAUAGCAUUGUGCCAAUGAGCAUGUUGAACGGCUUGAGAAUAUGUAGUUGGUUCAACAUCGGGAGAUAUGGCUGAAAGAAAGGCUACAUGAUCACUAGAAAACUUGUCAUAUGAUAAAUACUUAGAUAAUGGAUAUCAAGAACUUACCAAAGGUGGAUGAUUAGUAAAAGUAUUAGAGUUGGCAAAUGUACUAUGAAGUGCAGUAGAGCAAAUAUAAUUAUGAAGAUAAUGUGGAUGGCAAGACUGUCGUUGGGACCGUCGAAGAGGUGGAGAAGAGACAACUAUUGAAUCAGAUGUACCUUGGUGGAGUGACUUCUCAUUGAAAGAAGUUGGAAGGAGUGGUGCAUUUUCAUUGGUAGGAAGUAUGAUAGGAAGAGGUAAAGCACUGUUAUUUUCUUGUUGAUUUGUGAUAGUUUUGAAUGGGAAUUCAGUUUCCACAAAAGUAACAUCACGAGAAAUGAAAGUCUUUCUAUUAAUGAUAUCAUAAACUUUAUAUCCGGGAUCCCCAAAUGGGUAACCAACAAAUAUACACUUGGUGGCACGAGGAGCAAAUUUAUGACGAUUAGCACUGUUGGUAUGAGCAUAACAAAGACAGCCAAAGACACGAAGACGAUCAUAGUGAGGUUUAGUCUUAAAAAGCAUUUCACAAGGAGAUUGACCACCAAGAUUAGGAGUGGGUAUACGAUUAAUCAAAUGGGUUGCAGUUAAAACACAAUCUCCCCAGAAAGACAAAGGUAAAUGUGCUUGAAAACAUAAUACACGUGCAACUUCUAAAAUAUGUCGGUGCUUGCGUUUCGCUACCCCAUUUUGUUGAGGUGUUUCAACACAAGUGUGUUCAUGCAAGAUGCCAUGCUCAUGAAAAAAAGAUUGCAUCUGAUUUGACAAAAAUUCACUUCCUUGAUCAGUACAAAUUUUUUUAAAUUGUGUGUGAAAUUGUGUCUUGAUCAAGAAGUAAAAGUUUUUUAAUAAUUGAAAAGCUUCAAACUUGUGCCGCAUGAGGUAAAUCCAAGUACAAUGGGUAUGGUCAUCAACAAUAGUAAGAAAAUAAUGUGCUCCCGUAUAUGUAGAUGUGUGAUGAGGCCCCCAAAUAUCACAAAAAAUUAAUUGAAAUGGCAUAUCUAAACGUUUUUUAUUCAACUGAAAUGAACUUCUAGUGUUUUUUGAAAGUUGAAAAAUUUCACAACAAGAAUUAAAUGUUGCAAUAUAAAAAAUAAACGCUGCAUUCGGUCUUUAGAAGGGUGACCGAGUCGCAAAUGCCAAAGAUUGGAAUUGGGUUCCUUUGCAACGUUCAUUACUGAAGGAAGGGAAGAAUGACCAUUGAUAUGCUCAUAAUAAUAUAGUCCAUCCCGAACUUCACCCUUUCCAAUCAGCUUCUUCGUUGAAAGGUCAUGAAAAACACAAAAUGAAGGGAAAAAUAUAGCAGCACAUUUCAAAUCCUUGGUUAGCUUGCUUACAGAUAAUAGAUUAAAAUUAAAAUGAGGAACCAAUACUGCAUUAUUUAAAGUCAAAGAGGAUGAUAAUUUAAUGGAUCCACAUUUUUUUGUAGGAACAGUCGUGCCAUUUGGUAGUCUCAUGGGUUUGACAUGAGACAUGGGCAUAAAAUUUUUAAAGGAAUAAAUAUUAUGGGUCAUGUGAUCAGAUGCCCCACGAUCAAUUAUCCAAGAAUCAUUAUGCUAGUUAAUAGCAUAAUUGCAAGAAUGAAGGAUUUUACCAGCUAAGUUUGCAGUAGAUGGUUGCUCACUUGUUGAAAGUAUAGAUAAUAACUGUUGAUAUUGUUCAGCCGUGAGACCGGGAAUUUGGAUAGUAGGCUAAGAUGAUGAAUUCUUGUCUGUUGGAAGGGGAUGAUCGUUUAGUUGUUGUGGCUUUGUGGUUGCAGGAGCAGCUACAUGCGAUCGAUUUGAAUGUUUCCAGUUUGGUGGGUAGCCAACAAUUUUGUAACAUUUGGCUUUUACAUGCCCAUAUUUUUCACAAUGAUCGCAAAAAGGUCUACCCCAUCCUUGUGUCUCUUGUACUCCAUGCAAAUGGCUAGGAUGUGAAUGAUUUUGAUGAUUGGUCAUUUGAGUCUUAUUAUUGGCUGUCAAAGUUGUUGAUUCAAUGGAUGGUUGACUGGAAACAUGGAGAAGUCGUUGACGUUCUUCCUGAUGAAUAAUUGAAUAUGCUUUUCCAACAUUUGGAAGUGGUUCCAUGGCUAAGAUUUGACUUCGUACUGAAGAAUAUGAGUCAUUGAGACCCAUUAGGAAUUGAAACACCUUUUCAGUCUCUAGUAAUCCCUGCAAUUCAUUUGAAGUUUCACACUUGAAAGAAGAAAUAGUGGUUAAUGUGGACAAUUCAUCCAAAUAAAAUUUCAAAGUAUUAAAAUAAAUCACUAAUGGUUUUUGCUCUUGCUGGUGAUUUCAUAUGGCUCUCUUAAGUUCAUAAAUCCGUAGAUUAUUACUUUGUGAAAAACGUUCUUCCAACCCAAGCCAAAGAGAGCGUGGAGUAUCACAAUAAAUGAGGCUGCUGGCAAGAUUUUUCUCUAUUCCAUUGAGCAUCCAUGAAAGGACCAUGUCAUUGCAUCGCUCCCACGUUUUUAAAUCUUGUGAGGUCGAUUAAGGUUUUUGUAUGCUUCCAUCAAUAAAACCCAAUUUGUUUUUGGCAUUCAAUACCAUCUUCAUGGAUCUUUUCCAUGUUGAAUAAUUAUCCCUUGUUAGCACAUUAGAUUCAAAAAUAGCUCUAGAUGAUCAGAUGAAUAAAGAAAGUAUGGUGAAGAAACAUUGGUAAGGAGGGAAUUUGAUGUUUCUGAUAUUGGAUUUAAACUACUAGACAUGAUUGUCAAAGAUAAAAACAGAAAUGAGCAAAACCUUGCUCUCAUACCAUGUAAAGAAUGUGGAAGUGCUCAAAAUUGUAUAUUAUUUGCUGCUGUGUACAAGAUCCUUAUAUACAAAAAAAUACUAGAAUCAUCUAAGGCAAGUACUAAACGGUCAAAUAAUAGAAAAGGAAAGAAUAUAAAGGAGAAUGAUAUUACAAUGAAGUAAAUAUGCUAAGUUAGUGACUAAGAUCAAGGACCGAUUGAUUCUUGUUCUAAUAGAGCAGAAGAGCUGAAGGGAAAAGUAAAGACAACGAUUAAGUAUGUAACCGAGCCAAUGGAUCAGUUGGAGCUGAUUGACAACUGGCAAAGACUUGGAUUGGCUUAUCAUUUUCAGACUGAAAUUAGGAACAUAUUGCAUGGUAUCUACAACAAUAAUAAGGAUGAUAAUUGGAGAAAGGAGAAUGUGUAUGCAGCCUCCCUUGAAUUUAGACUACUUCGACAACAUGGCUAUAAUGUCUCCCAAGGUACAUUUCAUCAAUUCACUUGCUUUGUCGUGCACAUGCAUGAUCUGGAUACUUGAAUCUCUGUUGUUGUUUUCUUCUUUUUUUCCUCCUAAAAAAUAUAGAAGAAUAGACAAAGCCCAAAUCAAUUUUUUGACUUGCUAUCUCCCGAGAAUUUGAACUUGUCCAGGCCACUAGGACCACUCAAAUUAUUUUCUAAUUAACAUACACAUAGAGUCCUUCUCUAGUAAAGGCAUUCACACUUUAUUAAAGUGAGGAUGCACACUAAAAUAUAAAAAAAACAUAGAUUUUAAUGCAAUGUGUUUUUUUUUUUAUGUUAUUGUAUUAAAAUUUGUGUUUUUUUGUCUAUUAGUAGUAUCCUCACUUUGGUUAAAUGAGGAUGUCCUCACUAGAGAAUUAUUACACACACACACACACAUAUAUAUAUAGACAAAGCUACGGUGCACGGGUGCAUGGUACCCCUAAUUUUUAGUAAAUUACUUUGCGGUCCCUCUUAUUUGUUGAAAAGUGAAAAAAUUAGAAGUUUUAAAAUUUUAAGAGAUGAGUCCAAUAUAUUUCUAUUAUUUACACUUAGAGUAUAUUCCUAUUGUUUAUAUUUAAAUACUAAACCAUAGUUGAUAAUUAUGAAAUUUUUUACAUUGUUAUUUGUUCAUAUUAUUAUUAAUAAUUUAAUUUUUAUAAUAUAUUUAAAUUAUUUAUAAUUGAUUAAAUAGAUUUUAUGCUGUUUCAAAAAAUAGAUUAAUAUUAUUGAUAAAUUAUUAUACUUUUAUUGUAUAUUUAAAUUAUUUAUUAUAGAUUAAAUUGAUAUUAUGUAGUUUUAUAAAAAAUAUUUUAUGUUCUAAAAUGUUUUACAAGUUAUUGUCCUUAUAUAUAAUUAAUUCUAAGAGUCAAAUUGGGUCAAUGGAUCAAAAUAUAAAAAUUUAAAAUAAUUUAAAAUUAGGUGUCAAUUUUUUUUUUACUCUUUUGCUUUUUUAAAAAACAUCAGGGACAUCAUGAAACGAUCUGCCCCGAAUCCCCCUAGGCGCGUCUAUCUAGUCUCAUCAAAACAGACUUGAUAAUAAUUUUAUUCGUACAGAUUCUGCCGAAAAUUCGGUAGAGUCUCCUUUAUAUAUAUAACACUCUCAAUCUACAAAUAUGAAUAUAACACUCCCAAUACAAUUCAAUAUACAACAAACUCCAGUGCUCAACAUCCUCAACCAAAAUGAUGAGUUUUAUAUCUCCAGAGUUUUAUUCUUAAUCCUAAAAGAAUAAUAUAACAAAAUUAUACAAUCCCAACAGGACAAGAUAACCAAGAUGUCCUAACAAAAAUAUUUAUAUCGUCUAACACCAUCACGUGGCCAAGACUCAAAAUAUAUUUACAGUCGCUGGGUCGAUCUGGUGUACCUGCAACCUCCUAGUGAGGGGGGAAAAUAUAAUAAAAACGGGAUGAGUUUAAAACUCAGUGAGAUCAGUGAAUGGAUAGUAGUUUUAAAAAUUAAUUCUUACUUUAAAAGAAAUAAUCAUACCAUUUACAAACACGCUUUCAUUAAACCAUAAGCGAGAAACCAGUAAUAAAUCAUUAAACAUUUAAAUCAGAUACUAACCAUGGAAAUCAUAUCACAAUAUCAUAUAGAAUUCACAAAUCUGGAAAUCAUCACCAAACAAGUACCCAGGGAAAUAAUCUCGUCAUAUCCGGACCUCAACGGACGGGCAACGACGUACUAUCUGGGUAACGUCACGCCCCGGAGCUACACGAAUAGACAGGGAAAUACCAUCUCAUAUCUCAUCAUAUCUGUGCAUGCAUAAUGUAGUCCCCAAAGGACAAAAGCGCCCAAGCACAUGGCCCAAAGCCUCUUUGUGUACUCAGACGGGCCCCAAAGGCUUGUAUUUCAUCUGUAUCAUUUGUAUCUCAAUAUCUAUUUGUAUCUCAUAUAUGUAUCUCUGUAAUCAUCAUACCGGAUGCAUAUGCCCCCAAAAGGCAAAAGCGCUCAAACACAUGGCCAAAAGCCUUUAUGUGUAUUCAGACAGGCCCCAAAGGCCUCUCAUCUCAUAUCACCUGUAUCACUGUAUCUGGAGGGAAGGGUACUGUAUAAUGAUUUCAAAAACAAUCAUUAUACUCAUAUUCACAUACCUCUUAACCAUAUUUUUAAAUCAUACCACAUUUGAAUCCACUUUUCUUAUUUUUAAAAUACUAUCAUGCUCAUUCAAAGUCGAUAUGCAAAAUCAUUAAUCAAACACUUUAAUAAUAUACCAAUGCGUGAAUAACAUGUAGUUCGAGGAAGUCAUUAAAUCAGAAUAUUUAAAAUACUUAUUUCGCAAACAUGAUUUACUAUCAUAAUUAACUAUGAAAAUAGGUUUUGUAUAUUCCACUCAUAGUGACGGUGUUCACGGUCGGUUAUCGUCCACGUCCGCGGACCGGUUCUCGCUCGCGGAUCCUCAUAAAUUAAAGAAACGACAUAAUUAUUUUCCGUAAAUCGGAAUUACGACUAACUUUAUGCAAUAAACUCGAAACGAACAUCUAUCCAUAAUUGACAACUCCCGUAUCCAUAAAAUUACUAAAAUGCCCUUGAGUUCGUAAAUCAUUAACACAUACUCUAAAAUUGUACAACACCGAAUUAUCCUCGGAAUCGUAAUUACACCCACUCCUCAAUUAUAGGAAUUACUAAAAUAUCCACAGGCUCAGAAAUUACAAAAUUGCCCUCAUAGUGUGAAAUUACCAAAAUGCCAUUGCCGGUCAACGGUCACCGGGAAGCUCAAAUCUAAAAGUUCCAAUCACGCUAAGUUCAAUGGUACCGGCGGUGAGCUCCAACGCGCGGCAACGGCGCCGGAAUCGAGCUCGGCAGCCGUGAAUUCCAACAAUCGACCGGCGGCAAAACAGUGACUCUCAGUGCCUAUGGAUGGUCGGAAAUGGAAGAGGGAGUUGUGUGGAGCAAGAUCCAACCGGUGGUGUCACCCAAAACCGGCGAAAAUCCCGGCGGAGUAAAGUGAAACAGUCGCGGGUUCAAGCUUCGAUUGCCGGCGUUCCGGUUGGUUUUCGGUGGCGAGGAUGGUAGGGGAACGACGGUCGGCUUCUAAGCUUCAGAUUGGUACCAAGCUCGGCCGAAACGGUGGCCGGAAAUGGGAGAUAUGGUCGGGUCAAGGUAGCGGGUUCCGGGUCGGCUUUUCGGGUCUGUAGUUGGGUCGGUUUGGCAGCUUCCCUUCACUCUCUCUCACACGUGCAUGUUUUUACCCUGUUUCCAGCUUAUUCUUUUACUUAUAAACUCCUUAACCGCCUCAUUUUCAUUUUGAAAUUCACAUAUGUUACACAUCAAUGUUAAAAAUCAGAAAAUAUAUCCAUGUCAUUUAAGCAAGUUCUAUGUUUGAUCUAACGGACAACUCAUAUAUAGACAAAAUGAGGGGUACCAUACACCAAAUGCACGGUAGCUGGACCUAUAUAUAGUGGAUUUCCAAUAAGCAAUUCCCGACCGUAUUAAAAUUAGGGAUGAGAUAAAAAAUAAAAAAAAUUACAAAUUUCAAUAUACUACAAGACAAGUUACAUUGCAUUGGAGUCUGUUUUUUUGUUUGUUAGUUUAUUCCUGACUUUAAUACGGUUAGGGAUCCUUGAUUGGAACAUAUAUAUAUAUAUAUAUACCUAAAAAUUUUGAUGAAUCUAAUUUGAUUUGGCUGAAUAGUGCAGAGGUUUUCAAUGGUUUUAAAGACGACAAAGGAGGCUUCAUUUGUGAUGAUUUCAAGGGAAUACUGAGCUUGCAUGAAGCCUCGUAUUACAGCUUAGAAGGAGAAAGCAUCAUGGAGGAGGCCUGGCAAUUUACCAGUAAACAUCUUAAAGAAGUGAUGAUCAGCAAGAGCAAGGAAGAGCAUGUAUUUGUAGCAGAACAAGCGAAGCGUGUCCUGGAGCUCCCUCUGCAUUGGAAAGUGCCAAUGUUAGAGGCAAGGUGGUUCAUACACGUUUAUGAGAAAAGAGAGGACAAGAAUCACCUUUUACUUGAGCUCGCUAAGUUGGAGUUUAACACUUUGCAGGCAAUUUACCAGGAAGAACUCAAAGACAUUUCGGGGUAUCCAUGCCUUGACUGCGUAACUCAUAUUUAUACAUAUAUCAAAGAUUUGAUUUUAUCAAAUGCAUAACUUGUACAAUUUAAUCAUGUGUAUUAAAAUAUUCUCAAGUGUAGACUCCACACCUUUUACAGUAAUGUAAAGGCAUGAGUCUGCACGUUAUAAACUGCAGAUGUUUGCACUAGAGAAUGACACUAAGGAAUCUUGGACUAGAAGAUGACUCUAUAUAUAAAUUAUUGGAAAGCCACGAGUCAUGCGCUUUAUAAAAUGGGAAUGUUUGCAUCAGAGAAAGAGUCUUCAGAAUUCCAGAUUGAAAGCUAACUCUCUAUAUAUAGAUAUAUGUAACGUGUGUCGUAAAUCGUAAUAUUCGUUUUAAUUUUCCCAUGAAGGUGGUGGAAGGAUACAGGUAUUGGAGAAAAAUUGAGCUUUGCGAGGAACUAGUUGGUAGCGUCCUUCUUAUGGAGCAUGGGGAUAGGAUCUGAGCCUCGAUUGGCCUACUGCAGGACAAUACUCACAAUCUUGAUUUCUAUAAUUACAGUGAUUGAUGACAUUUAUGAUGUUUAUGGAACUCUGCAUGAACUUGAGCGAUUCACCGAUGCUGUUGAGAGGUUUGCUGGCAAAUUAAUGUUCUAUCUAAUUGAUUAAUUCAACUGCAAGUUAGUUGCAUGCUGCUCCUCAGAUUAAUAGACCAUUUAUAUGAUUUUUUUGUUUCCCCCUUUUCUACAGGUGGGACAUCAAUUAUGCUUUGAACCACCUUCUGGACUAUAUGAAAUUGAGUUAUUUUGCUCUUUACAACUUUGUUAAUGAAUUUGCUUAUUACAUACUGUGAAAUGACCCGCCCCGAAUCCCCCCAGGCGAGUCUAUCUAGUCUCAUAAAAAUAAACUUGAUAAAAAUUCUAUUAGUAAAGAUUCUGCCGAAAAUUCGACAGAGUCUCCUUUAUAUAUAUAACACUCUCAAUCUACAAAUAUGAAUAUAACACUCCCAAUACAAUUCAAUAUACAACAAACUCCAGUGAUCAACAUCCUCAACCAAAAUGCUGAGUUUUAUAUCUCUAGAGUCUCAAAAGAUAAUAUUAUAACUAAUAUUAAUAUCUCAAUUUAUUCUUAAUCCCAAAAAGAAUAAUAUAACAAAAGUAUAUAAUCCCAAAAGAACAAGAUGACCAAGAUGUCCUAACAAAAACAUCUAUAUCUUCUAACACCAUCACGUGACCAAGACUCAAAAUAUAUUUACAGUCGCUGGGUUGGUCUGGUGUACCUACAACCUCUUGGUGAGGGGGAAAAAAUAUAAUAAAAACGGGGUGAGUUUAAAACUCAGUGAGAUCAGUGAGUGGAUAGUAGUUUUUAAAAAAUUAAUUAUUACUUUAAAAGAAAUAAUCAUACCAUUUCCAAACACGAUUUCAUCAAACCAUAUACAAGAAACCAGUAGUAAAUCAUUUAACAUUUAAAUCAGAUUUCUAACCAUGGAAAUCAUAUCACAAUAUCAUAUAGAAUUCACAAAUCUGAAAAUCAUCACCAAACAAGUACCCAGGGAAAUAAUCUCAUCAUAUCCGGACCUCAACGGACGGGCAAUGACGUACUAUCUGGGUAACGUCACGCUCCGGAGCUACACGGAUGGACAGGGAAACACCAUCUCAUAUCUCAUCAUAUCUGUGCAUGCAUAAUCUAGUCCCCAAGGGACAAAAGCACCCAAGCACACGGCCCAAAGCCUCUGUGUGUACUCAGACGGGCCCCAAAGGCCUGUAACUCAUCUGUAUCAUUUGUAUCUCAAUAUCUGUCUAUAUCUCAUAUAUGUAUCUCUGUAAUCAUCAUACCGGAUGCAUAUGCCCCCAAAAGGCAAAAGCGCCCAAACACACGGCCAAAAGCCUCUAUGUGUGUUCAGACGGGCCCCAAAGGCCUCUCAUCUCAUAUCACCUGUAUCACUGUAUCUAGAGGGAAGGGUACUGUAUAAUGAUUUCAAAAACAAUCAUUAUACUCAUAUUCACAUAACUCUUAACCAUAUUUUUAAAUCAUACCACAUUUGAAUCCACUUUUCUUAUUUUUAAAAUACUAUCAUGCUCAUUCAAAGUCGAUACGCAAAAUCAUUAAUCAAAUACUUUAAUAAUAUACCAAUGCGUGAAUAACAUCUAGUUCGAGGAAGUCAUUAAAUCAGAAUAUUUAAAAUACUUAUUUCGCAAACAUGAUUUACUAUCAUAAUUAACUAUGAAAAUAGGUUUUGUAUAUUCCACUCACAGUGACGGUGUUCACGGUCGGUUAUCGUCCACGUCCGCGGACCGAUUCUCGCUCGUGGAUCCUCCUAAAUCAAGGAAACGACAUAAUGAUUUUCAGUAAAUCGGAAUUAUGACUAAAUUUUAUGCAAUAAACUCGAAACGAACAUCUAUCCAUAAUUGACAACUCCCGUGUCCAUAAAAUUACUAAAAUGCCCUUGAGUUCGUAAAUUAUUAACACAUACUCUGAAAUCGUACAUCAUCGAAUUACCCUCGGAAUCGUAAUUACACCCAAUCCUCAAUUCUAGGAAUUACUAAAAUAUCCACAGGCUCAGAAAUUACAAAAUUGCCCUCAUAGUGUGAAAUUACCAAAAUGCCCUUGCCGGUCAACGGUCACCGGAAUUUGGUCAACGCUGGCGCCGGAAUCGAGCUCGGCAGCCGUGAAUUCCAACAAUCGACCGGCGGAAAAACAGUGACUCUCGGUGCCUAUGGAUGGUCGGAAAUGGAAGAGGGAGUCGUGGGGAACAGGAUCCAACCGGUCGUGUCACCCAAAACCGGCGAAAAUCCCGGCGAAGCAAAGUGAAACAGUCGCGGGUUUCAAGCUUCGAUCGCCGGCGGUCCGGUUAGUUUUCGGCGACGAGGAUGGCAGGGGAACGACGUUCGGCUUCUAAGCUUCAGAUUGGUACCAAGCUCGGCCGAAACUGUGGCCGGAAAUGGGAGUUAUGGCCGGGUCAAGGUUCCGGGUUCCGGGUCGGGUUUUCCGGACUGUAGUUGGGUCGGUUUGGCAGCUUCCCUUCACUCUCUCUCACACGUGCAUGUUUUUACCCUGUUUCCAGCUUAUUCUUUUACUUAUAAACUCCUUAACCGCCUCAUUUUCAUUUUGAAAUUCACAUAUGUUACAUACUCAAGCAACAGGAUUUUGAUAUGCUUCGGAGUAUUAAAAAAGCAGUACGCAAAAUAUUAAUUUUACCUCUCCUGCCGUUCCUUUCCUUUGAUUUAUCCUUUUUAAAUUACGAUGUUUUUGUCUCAAAAAUUAUAAAUUGUGACUAGUUUUAUUUUCUGUGUCAUGUGCAUCAGUGGCUUGGUAAGUACACACCAACACUGGGAGGAUUCUUGGAAAAUGGACUGGUAUCAAUAGCAGGCCCAAUAGUCACAAUAAGUGAAUACCUUUCUGGUACAAAUCCGAUCAUUGAGAAGGAGCUAGAAUUUCUAGAAAGUAAUCCAGAUUUAGUUCACUGGUCAUGCAAGAUUUUUCGUCUUCAAGAUGAUUUGGGAACUGCAUCGGUAUGAUUUUUUUUUUUUUAAAGAAGACAAAAGUUGAAUUAAUCCUCUAUAUAUGAAUUGAUCGUACUUUUUUCCCCCCACAAUAAUUCAUCAGCACGAGAUACAUAGAGGGGAUGUUCCGAAAUCAAUCCAGUGUUACAUGCAUGAAACUGGUGCCUCGGAGGAAGUUACUCGUGAACACAUCAAGGAUGUGAUGAGACAGAUGUGGAAGAAGGUGAAUGCAUACAGAGCUGAUAAAGAUUCUCCCUUAUCUCAAACUACAGUUGACUUCAUCUUGAAUCUUGUGAGAAUGUCCCAUUUUAUGUAUCUAGAUGGAGAUAGGCAUGGAAUUCGAAACCAAGAGAAUAUGGAUGUAGGUUUUACAUGGCUUUUUCAGCCCGUUCCGUUGGAGGACAAACACAUGGCUUUCACAGCAUCUCCUGGCACCAAAGGCUGACGCAUGAUGCGUUUCCAGAGUAUAGUUUCAGUUGACGUUGGCCUCAGAUUUUCUUCUGAGUUUCUUUUUCUUUCUGAUGAGGAGGUCUCAUUUUGAUGGUUUUAAUAAAUUCCCUCGUUCGUCGAGGUUUACAAAUGAAAUAAAAAUAUUACUUUUAUUGAGAGUAGAAGUCGUCAGGAUAUGAGAACUAUUUUCUAGCCAACGCAUGAGAAUGUCAGAAUUUGUUAUGUAUGCUAUUAUACUUUAUAUUCAAGCAUGGUUCAUAGCAUGUUAAGGCACAACAGAUACUCAGUAUACAUGAACCAUUUAAAUCGCAUACGACAAAUCAUACCCACGAAAAAUGAUAAUAAGCAGCGAACAGUGACAAACGCAACAACAGUUAAGGAUGGAAAUCAGAGCUCUGCAAUAAAAAAGGAAAUCACAAGGGUAAAAAAUUUAAUAUAACCAAUUAAAAACAGGAGUUCCUAAUUUUUGGAUUAGCAUAAAGACAGGAGCACCUAAUUAUUCGAUUACCCUAUUUUAUCUUUUAAUGUCGUAUGAGUUUAGAGAAUAUGAGUGUAGAGAGUUGGAUUCAAUCUUUCUCACUACUCAAAAGGAGAGGACUCUAGUGGAACCGACUUGGUACACACUGCUAACUGCCGAGAAAAUCAAAUCAUGAAAAGCUCAAGUUACAAACAGCGCUCAAAAGAAAGCACCAAACUGGUUUCAUAAAUUAUUAUGUGACCUUGAAGUACUGAGGUUAGUAAAAUUAUGAUUAAAUUAAAAAAUAAUAUUUGGGGUAUGAUAAGAUAAAAGGAGAGGUCUAAAAUUUAAAUGACUUUGCUCUUUAUUGAAAUACAGUUCGGACAUUCAGUGGGCUGUCUUAGUCAAUGGGCUGUUUAAUCAUCGAUUGGUCGUUUGUUGUUGGUGGAGGCUCAUCCAACACGUGUAAAAGCUUGUCGAACAUAACGAAUCUCUCUAGUCAAGUAAAAAAUUUUGUAUAGCCCUCUAAAAGCUCUAAAAGCUUCCACUGCACAUGAAUUUAAAUUAACUUAAUAUUAUUUUUCUUUUAUUAUUUCUUUUUUGUUAAUGAGAAAAAACAAAUAUUUUCUUUUCAUGAUAGCCUGACUUGAAUGACUGGCUUUAAACCUUAUUGGAAAUUUACAAUGCGGGAUGAAGCUGACUGUGAGGGUUGCUCACGCUGCUAAUUAAUCAAGUCAAACAGCCAGGUCGUGCUAUAUUACAUCAUGUGGAAUAUACAACAACUCUUGAACUAUCAUCCAAAAUAAAAAAAACCACGACAUAUGAAAUAAUGAAAUAAUUAAAUUGUCAUAGAUAACAACUCGUGGGUUUGCUAAUAUAAAACAUAGUCUAACCCCAAAAAACCACAUAUAGCACUGACUGAAAAUUAUUUGUUCUAAUAACAGUGAUCGAAUUUAACAGCUACUUGUCAUUAUUUGUUGAAAGAAGCCUUUCUUGUUGAACAUGCGUGUGCAUGUGUCAACUUUUGACUUUUGGCAUAAUUUGUUGACACUACUAGAAAAAUGGUCUUUACUGAUAUUUAGUUCGUGACACUUUAUUAAAAAGUAUCAGUAUUUACAUAUAUAUGGACCAUUUUUCGUGUUUAACAUAUAAGUAUCACAAAAUACUAAUACUAUGGUGUCUCUAAAUUAAACAUCAGAGAUUACUGACACUAAAGUAUCUGUAAAAAAUUUAAAGUAAUUCUGAUAUUGUUCCCGAUAAAACUCGAACCCAAGACCUAUAAAAAUUAAGCUUUUAAGUUUUAAACAAAAGCCAUUAUAAUUUUUUGCAAUGACACUAAGGUAUCGCUAACUAUUAAAAAAAAACAAAAACAAAAACACACGCACACAUUCACACAUGACACCUCACCCCACACACUCACAAGACGCAAAAACAAACCCUAAGUCCUUAACAAUUAACAUUACAAUACUUUGAAAGAGAGAGAGAGCGCCGCUACUCUCGAUCCAGUGCUCCAACACCGGCUCAGAUCUCUUGCUUUUAUAUCACCGCGUCAAGCCUCUCCGUCACGCCGUCAAGCCUCAAUCAAGUGUCACUGCUUCAAGCCUCCAUCAAGUGUCACUGCGUCAAGCCUCUCUGUCAUGCCGUCAAGCUUCCAUCAUGUGUCACCGCGUCAAGCCUCUCUCCGCUGUCAUAAGUCACCGAUGCGGCACCGCACCAUCACUAGCCAACCAGCCACCAAAAUUGACAGUCGUGCUAGCUACCCACCACCACAAUACCCUGCCACUGCCUGCUAAUACUCCACAAAAUCUUCUCAAAACUUCGAGCCACAGUGUCCAGGUCUGCUUUUUCAAGUCUUCUUCUUUAAGUUUUUAGUAUCAUCAAGUCUUGCUUCUUCAAGUCUUAAAAGGUUAAAACAACAAUUUUAGAUUUCAAAUCUUGUUUCUUCAAGUCUUAAAGUGUAUCUUUAGUCACCAAUUAUAUUUAUGGGUAUUCACUGGUUCGUUGAGUAAUUUUUUCAAACAUAUGGGGUAUCGCGUCAUAACAGCCUUGUAUAUUUCUAUAUCUAACAUUGAAUGAAUGAAUGAAUCUAUGUGUAGCUUACGAAAUGCAAAAUCAAGAGUAGUAACAAUUAAAGAACAAUAAAAAAUGAAAUGAAAGCAUAAUCACAAGUUGUCUGUUGAUUUACCUUUCAAUAAAUCUCUCUCUCACACUCACACACUCUACUCUCUAACCUACCUUCUUGACUUGGCUCCCAAAAAAUAAUAAAGUAAAAUUUUGGUCCCAAGAAAGUUUGAUUUCUAAACAAAGGGGAAAAAAAUUUAAAAGAAAGUAAGAUUUAUUUUACAAAUUUUACGGUGCUUAUCUUUUAGAACUGUAUGUAUAAAUAAUAAUAAUAAUAAUAUGAGUUUCAUAGAAAAUUUAGUUUAUUUGAUCAUGUUCAUUGAUAUGCUUUAACAAUGCUUUAUUAAUUCUUUUUAUUUCUUUAGGAAAGAUUGAUAGAGUGGAUAAUAUCUAACUAAUUUUAUGAUAAAGGGCAAAACGUGUGGAAUAUAAUUGGAAAAUGAUUGAAAUAAUUUAUUUCAGAUUUUUAUGUCCUCUUGUGUUAGUUUAUUGGAUAUGCUUUUAUUAAAUGUCCAUAAUUUACUUUGUUUAGGCCAAAUAAAAUAUUUUUUGUUGGAUGGGGCAAUAUAUAGUAUAGAUGGCCUAAUGUAACUCACCAGAAGCUGCAAAUUCUCUGUAAUUUGCAGAAUCUAUUUUUUUUUUUUUUUUAUCUGAGGUACAUGCACAAAUAUUUGGGUGCAUCCACUUCACACUUAUCAUUACAAAAGAAACCACGUAGCACAUAUUAAAAUCACAUGUACUUCACUUUUUCAAAGAUUUAAUUCAACAAUAAAAAAAUUUCAGAUUUAAUCCAACAUCACAUGCAAGUGGAGUUAAGUUCCCAAAUUCAUUAACUGAAAACCAUGUCCCAAAUUUGAUUUACAAGAAAUGCUUUUACAAGAGAGGACAAGGAGAAAUUUGAAGUAAUCUGGAAUUCUCCAUAGUCUUGGUUUCCUUGAUUUGCUAUUUGGCUUGUUGGCAUUCUCCAAUAUGUAAUAUGUUUGUACUAUUUUUGUAGAAGUUACGAAAAGACGAUGACUUCUACUUGAUUUGCUAUUUGGCAGGUUGCUAUCCAGCGCUGUGAGCCCUCUUGGUAAGGAUUGCAUUAUUUCAUCCAUGAAAGCAGUAAGUUGCCCAAUUAAUUCAUUUGCUUGCAUCAAUUUGCUAGAUUGUUUUAUGUAGGUAUCAAUUGUUAUGUGUUAAAUGUCCCAAAGUAUAAGAAACCAAAAGAGAGAAGAGUACAAAGACAUGGGGUGUGUAUUAAACAGACUAAUUUAUUGCGUCAAAUUGGAUAUUACAACCUACAGAAUCAGUAGAGAAUCAAUUAAAAAAAAAUGAAAUGACAUGAAAAAUGAAAAAUGUUUAUGGCAUGUUUUGUUGGCUUGUUGAACAUGUACAUGUAUUUAAGUGACUGUAAACAAACAAAACAUGGCUUUGUUUUGCAAUUUGUAUCUUUUAUUUAAACUUGAAAAGUUUAAUCUUUCAUUAUGUCUACAGGGCGUUAACACCUAUGUUAGAUUAAUUACAUGCUUGGUAACCCAAACUUUAAUUCAUUAAAAAAAAUAUAUUUAUCAUUUAGCUAUGAAGCUUAGGAGUAUUCAUGCACAUGUAAGAAGUUCAUGUAUCUAGUCUCUAUACUUUUUUCUUGGGGCUUAAAUUUCAAAUAGGGUUUAAAAUUUUAAUCUUAAUACUUUUUUCUGUUCUAUAAAUGUGCAGCAAAAUUCUUCAGCAAACUGUGAAUGAAGUCAAAAGAAAUCCUUCCUAGCUAGCACAUGCCGACUUUUAUGAAACUUGCAUUUUUUUUCUCGUCUCCCAUGGGGAGUAGCUGAACCCAUUGAGGUAAUGCUUAAUUCAAUCAUUUCUUGAUGGUUUAUUAACAUAUAGCAUAUAUGUUUUAUUGUCUUAUAUUCUGUACUUGUAUUUUGGAUUUGGAAUUUCUAUUAAUAGACUUCACUUUCUACCCAUAAAAUGAGAAUAUAAUUAUACUUUUGUAGCUAUUUUGAGCCACAAACAUAAAGAAUGUUCACCUUAGCAAAAAUAAGCUCCACCAUUUUUUAAAUAAUUGAUAGUGCACCGUGUCUAAGUGAAUGAUUGAGAGAUCUUUGUAAUUGAUCCAGUGAUCUUUCUUUAAUCUUUCCUUUUGGUUUCUUCAUCUCAAUGACCUUAAGUCAUUUUUUAUUCCUUUACCUUAAUAAAUGAAUAUGUUUAGUUUCUUUUUGUAAAAGUGAAGUUUCUAAAAAGCUGGUGUUGUAUUUUGACCCCAAAUUGUUAUAAUUGUGUCUCGAAGAUUUGAUAGGAAAUUGGAAAGUACCACAAGAGUUUGAUACUAUACAUUUUUUUCUCAAGAAUACUUAUUUAAUUCAUCAGUGAUACCCUAAGAAUACUUAAGAUGAAAAGGAUUAAUAUCAAUUCUGAGCUUGUUAGGGAUCCUUGGUAAUUACUGUUAGGUGUGCUAUGUGCUGGUUCUGUUUAUUUCCAUGUUCUUGCUUUUCGUAAUUUCUAGAAAAUGUUGAGUGGUUGGUUACAGAUUAUUGUUUUAGUUAUAUUGACUUGUUAGUAAUUGGAUUUGAAGUUGGAUGUGAUGAGUACACACUAUGGAUGAUCUUUCGUAACUUCUUGAUGAGUGGGCCGCAUAUGUUGCCAAGUUAUUUGUAGCAUACGAUAAUCAUAUAAUGUAUGAGUAUAUUUUUUAUUGUAAAUGUCCAAGACUUAAUUUGUCUGGCAUACUAAUUAAUUCUAUAUGUUACACUUGUAGGUGGGAAAACAAUGAAGUUUAAGGUGUAGAGGCAUUGAGGAAAAUUUUGUUGCCAACUAAAUACUUGUAUUUUUCUCAAAUCGAAUGUCUACUUGUGUGUCUUUCAAAACCAAGAGGUGGGCUUGGAAGCAGCCAUCCUUUGAAGAAAGCUUAAUAGUUCACUAGUCUAGCUCCAUGGCACCGAAAAUGAAUCAGGGCUCCUAUAUUUGAGAUAUUCUGAAUUUAUAUGUUUCUUUAAUACUUGUUUGAAUUUGUAUUUGAUACAAUUGUAAUAAUAUAUAUACUACCAAUAUUUAAAUAUGAAUUGAAAGAUUUUACAAUAUGAAUCGAGGUGUUUUUUUUUUUUAGAUUUGUGGUGCCUUUUAAUUUUACCAACAAAUCAAUUAGUAAUGAGACAAUUUAAAUUUUUAUUUUUCUAAAUAAAUUAAAUAGUGAUACCAUGGUAAUAGUAAUCAUAGACACUAAUAUUAUAUCAACAAUUACUAAUACUAUAGCAUCAUAAUAUUAGUGAUACUAUAGUAACAAUAAUCACUAACACCAAUUACAAGUGUCACUAUUUUUCUGACUCCCAGAUUACUGACACAAUUAAUAAGUGUCACUAAAAGUAAUUGCUGACACUAUUCUAAUGUCAGUAAAGACCAUUUUUCUAGUAGUGUGAGUAAGUGGAAGACAUGAGUAAGUGAGAGGGUAGCACACAAAUUUGACUUCCGCAUCAAAAUGGAGAGUUGAAUGAAAAUAUAUAUUAUUUUAAAGUCCAUUAUUGUUGAUUUUUUGGGCAUUGCUUGGCCUAUGAAUAGAGGCUUCACCUUCAUUUACCCUCUUCAUUCAUCCCAUUUUCUUCAAUUCUCAAUCUAAUUGAGAAAUAAGAGAGCCAUAAGUUGGAGAUUGAGAAUGCCCUGACAGCUUUAAGUUGUUGUUUUAGUGAUUUGAGAGUUUGGGUAUAGUGGGGUUUUGGGUUAUAAGACAAAAUACUACAAUACUUAUAACACAUUUUCACUAGUAAAAUAUUCUCUUUUAUAUUUGCCCGUAGACGUAGGCUAAAAGUCGGACCACUUAAAUUCUAGUAUCUCUAUGUGAUCAUUGUUUCUUAAUUUUACUUUAGUUGUGUGUCUACUUCACCCGUUAAUUUCCUAAUAGUGAUAUCAGAGCCAUUGGUUGUUUUUUUUUGGGAGUCGGGGUAGUGAUAAUAUAUAUGAUACUAUUCACGUGAAAUGGCGAGAGCGAUCUAAGAAUUAUGUGGUUCAAAGCAGGGAAUAGUAGUAUGAGUGGAAGUAAUCGCGUGGCCUUGUACAUGCCUAGAAAAGUUCUGUCACAAGGGCAAUAAGAGUCUAAGGAGCCUGAGUUUUAAAUUGGACCGUCCUGACCCAUAUAGUCUUUCCUGAGAACUUCCCUGAUGUGCAUUUUCACACGUACGAUCACUCAUAACUAUACAAAGUGGUCACUAACUUGUGCACGGUAUUUAUCAACAAAAUAACAGUAAAGUUUGAAAUUAAGAAGUUCAAUAAAAGUAAUUUCUUGUUGUGGAAAAUGAAAAUGCAAUCAAUCUUGAGGAAAAAUAAUUGUUUAGAAGCAAUUGGAGAAAGAACUGCUGAAAGAACUGAUGACAAGUGGAAUGAGAUGGACGGUAACGCAAUUGUUGAUCUUCACUUGACACUUGCGGAUGGGGUGUUAUCCAGUGUGGUGGAAGAAAAGACAGCAAAGGAUAUAUGGAAUACUCUCACAAAACUGUACGAGGCCAAGUCGCUACACAAUAAGAUCUUCUUAAAGAGGGGACUCUAUACUCUUCGAAUGGCAGAAACCACAUCGGUGACUGUUGGUAAAUUUUAUAAUCAAAUGCUACUAAUGCCAAUGUGCAAGUAUACACAAUAAGUAAUAAAGUGAUAAAUAUUCAAGAUCGUCUCCACAGGGAUUGAUGUCACUUGAAAUGCUACAUAUAGCAGUCACAAUAGUGCAAACUAACUUAAGUCCGAAGUUAACAAACGUAACGUAUGUUCUAUCGUAAUUGAUGAUUGUGAAAGAAUAAAAUAAAACAAUAUCGUAAUGAAAUAAACUAAAUUAAAUGUGUCUAAGAUUCAAUUGAGACUAUGGUAGUUGAAUGAUCAAACUCUCCUUAUGGGCUGACUGUUUAUCAUCAAGUUAACAUUAGUUGUUACGGCAAGUGCUGCAGCACUGGGCAUAAUUAAUCUGCAUCCUCAGCUAUCACAUAUUGGAACUCUCAUACCCUUAAAUCUAUUAACAAUGACCAGUUGCUAAUCUACUUAUGAUAUGGCAUUAUGACCCUUUAAUCUCUCCACCCUAGAAGGUGAGCACCUAUGUCUAAUGUGUCACAAAUCUUAACUUCAAGUAUAGCCCUUAUGAGAUUCAAGAUAACUUAAGCCAAGAAACGUAAAUUAAGAUCGAGUAAUACUCUAAUAAUAUCUACUAAGACAUGCCCUUUUGCGACUCUAUCUUAACUUGAACUAUUAAAUGAGUGGUCAACAGAAAUAACAGUUAUAUUAAUAAUAACUACUAGAGUAAAAUACUACAGCAACGACAUAACAACACAUAAGAACAAUCAAGAACCCAUUGGAUUAUUUGUCACUCAACUACAAGCAAAUCUAGUUCAUAUUCUAAAUGAGAAAAACAAACAGAAAUAUUUUGUUCACGGGAUACAUCAGAACAAUCAAAUAAAGAAGAGAAGUAUAAGUUGAGAACGGUAAAAAGCAAAUCCAAAUAACUCUGCACGAUUCCUCAAUGCUGCCGAAACUGCACUUGUCAAUUGUAAUCUUCUUCUCCUUUAUUCUCUAAUGAUUUCACGAUAAUUCCCUUGCCGCCUUUCUAUGUGGUGUGCCCCCCCCCUUUUAUACUGCAAAUUAGGGUAAAUAAAAGUCUGUGGGCGUACAUGAGUUAAAUUAUGAAACAUGCAGAUUGCGAUUCUGCAGCUGGCCCGUGCCUAAGUUUUCUCCCUCAUUGCUCCCAGAUUGCUACAGCACUGGUUGCUCUAACAACAACUACAACACUGCACUGUUCUCGAUUGUACUUUACUUCUUUUGCAGCCAUCUUCUUUCCUCCUCUUGCUAAUCUAAUGUCUCAGCAUCCCUUCAUGAGUUAAGACUUUCUGAAAACCUACAAUUAUGCAUCUGUUUUGAGCACAAAUUACUUUGAUUCAAGCAAAACUUAUUAAGACUCAAUUAAAAUGAAUGUUUAUGCAAAAUAUAAAUAAAAACACCUUAUUUGCUCUCUAAGUAAUCUUGAUUUAAGUCUAGAAUUGAUGUAAUAACUCUCAUUUCAUAGAGUUAUCACACCCCCAAACUUAAACCUUUACUUGUCCUCAAGUAAUGACAACAUACUAACACUUCACGCAAACAAUCAUGCAACACAACUUUAGCUCUUUUAUCAAAUUUACAUGGAUUCUUCCACCUUCAUAUCACAAUCCCAAUCAUGCAAAGUAACCACAGUAAAUCAGUUCUAGACUUAAGCUUCCUUCUGUCCACAGUGUGUGUGUGCUACUGUGAUUGAAUUCCAGAAAUGCUAUAACAUCACCAAAAGAUUGCAUGUAAUUCAGCAGUAACAAAAUUUCAUUCAUAUAUGGGGUAGCAUAAAUUUCACAUACUCAAACUGUGAUGAUUUUAAGAUUGAAAACUUGAGGAUAUUCAACCUCCUCACUGCAACAUUUAUUUUUCAUGUGAAUGUCGCUCAAUUGUAAUGAUGACACCCAAUUACUCAAACCAUGCACAGAUCAGAGUUGCUGUAGCAAUAUCUGUAAUAUAAUCUUGUCUAGAGAUAUCUUUUACUCAAGGCUGAACAUAGGGCUCAUGAACAGACCUGGCUACUCAAUGCCUUAGACAUAGGACUUUCUUGUUUUAUUAUCUUACUUUCCUUUUCUUUUCUUUUUUUUCUUUUUUUAUUUUUUAUAAAAUGCUACAGCAUUGCUCAUAACUCUUGUUACCUUUGAACACAACUCUGCAUAUGGGGUACAUACUCAGAUCUGGUUAUUCAGCAACUUGAGCCAUUGGAACAUAGUUUAUUUCAUAGAUAUCACAAUCAAUCAAACUUGCUUUCCCCCCAAACUUAAGAUCUUUUGGCUCUGCUCUAGCAGUCUCAUACAAUUCAACUAAAGUCUAAGUGUCAGGACAGAAUUUCAACCUCCAUCUAUAACUAUCUCUACUUUGCAUUCUCAUAAAUACUGAAUAACACUCAAUUUGUCUUCAUUAGGUUUUCAAAUCCACACACAAAUAUUAUAUAAUAGAGCUUUACACAACACACAAGCAUAAACACAUGCACUCAGAAACACAACCUCCCCAAACUUGAGAGGUGCUGUGUCCUCACAAGCAUACACAACAAAGUCACACAAGUUGACAAGGACAUGGAAUACCUUAGAAAAUACCACACAAAUUGAAAAACAGAAUGAAAGAAAAGUUUUUUUUUUUAAAAUGAACUAAAUUGACUAGCGAGGAUGGAAUAAUUCCCUGUGGUUGGUACUGUUGCAACAUGACGGGAAGACAUCAGCGCUUCUUGGAUGCACUGCGCAGCUUAUCAUUUGGUGAAACUUGUGGGGAAGUAGCUGACGACGUCUUUGUCUUUUUCUUCACUGGGCUGGUGAGAGGAGUUACGGCUGGGGUAGCUGGUAUGGUUGACACCGAUCUGGUCCGUUUUGGUGGUGUUGAUGCUGCUGUAGCAGUGCCUCUAGACGUACUGCCCUUUUUUUUACUGGAUUGUCACAGACUGGUACGAACAGGUUGGCUAGGAGUUUGCUGUGGAGGAGUUGGGGUUGAUGCAUCAGCUGCCUGGCCCUCAGUUGUGAUGACAGCAAUGAUAUCAAGUACUUGCUUGGCUUCUGUAGGUGUAGGAGUAACUCUAGUUGCUGCAGCAGCCAGCUCUACAUCAACUUGCUCCAUUUCAUCUUCAAAGGCUGGAGGUGUUGCUAUUUUUUCCUUGCCCUUGCCCUUGCCUGAAAGGACUGGAAUGGAGGGUUCCUCUUCAGGGUCCUCCUAUUCCUCCUCUUGAAUAAUGUGCCUUUUUCUGGUUUUGGAAUGGGUAUGGAUUGAGGGUUCCUCACGUUCUUUCUUAAAGUCGUCCUCUGCCUCUGUGGGUGAGCUGUCAGUCCCAGACUUGUCACCGUCUUCUUCUGGUCGAUUAGAUGGUUCAGCAUCUUUUGAUUCUACCUCUGCUUGUGGUUCGGCUGCAGCUUCUGCUUCUGGUUCAUCUAUGGCAGUGGCUUUUUCACUGGCUUCUGUUGGAGCACCUGUGGUGUUAGUGUCAAAAUUGUACUGCUGGAGCAAUGAAUCAGGGAAGUUUCAGUGAGUGCAUUUCGUGUAAAGAGCAAAUUCGUGUAGUUGGUUGUCCAGGUGUUGUAGAUAGCUCCAAAACCGAUCGUUUUCCCUCUACUGAGCCUCAACAUAUUGAGUUAUACUGGUGCUUAGUGCCUAGAUUGUCUGUUCUAAACCAAUAGCUCGUCGUGCUCCUAUUACAGUAGCUGGUUCAGUUGUUGUUCCAGCACUCUCACCAGCAACUCUCUCAAUGGUACGUGCCGUAAAGGCACCAUCAUUCUUGACAUGUUCAUCUUUCGCGUCAAGACGAACACCAGAUACUACACAGAUGCUGGUGAUGAGUGAAGGAAAUAGCAAGGCAGCAGUUUUGUGAUUCUUGACUGUACAAUCUCUGAUUUCUUUUUCGAUGAUGCUACCCACACCUUAGCAAUAGGUUUUAAAUCUACCAUAUUAACUACACGCCCUUCCUCAUUAGUCCAUGAUGCCCCCUCUAUUGUAAGAGUUGUGAAGAUGGUGUUCCAUUUUUCGGGGUCAAUUUAUCAAGGAACUUGGCAUACUCACAAUUAAUUUCCGCAGGUAAAUUAUAAAAAGCAUUUAUAACGUGGGAGUCUAAUGGAACAAGUGUGUUUCUUACCCAAAUGUUGUGCUGGUCAGGGCUUACCAAAUUGGCGUAAAAUUCCUUGACUACUGGUAGCACAAGAUCUCGAGGGUGGUUGCAAAACUCUAACCAUCCACGCUUUGCUGCAGCAUUGCGUAUUGUUUGUACAAUUCCGGUGAGUUGGCCUGGAAAUUGAAACCCUUUUUCUUCCAUAAUCUUCCGCGGCUCAAUGAAUUCUUCAUAUUUUCCUUCGGUGUGGUAACUCUGGAAGCGUGAAGGAUCUUUGAGUCGGCUGGCUGUUUUCUUAUACCUUGGCAUGGCUAUAGCAGUAACAAAGUGAGGAUAAUGUCCCUGAGAGUAAAAUAAGAAAAUGAGGAUAAGAAUUAUUAGAGUUGUGCUUGCGAAGGAGAGGGGGAAUAGUGUCGUAGGUCACUACGCACAGUGAUUCCCUUCUAUAGUUGAAUUUAAAUCAAGAUAAAUCCGGUAAAUAAAGAUAAAUUAGGGAAGAUAAUAUUUUGAAUAUAAUGAGUAUAUCCCAAAAACAUAGGCCAGCGAAAUUAAUGCAUUAAUUUUAGAGAUUUUUUCUCAAUUGCUAUCCAAAUUCAUGCAGCCAUAUGUCAUGAUUUAUCUCCGACGGUAAGUGAGAGGCUCCAAUUUUUAAUUUACUGUAACGGUAAUAUUUGUUGCUGCAGCACCCAUUUGCUUGCUCUAGCAACGGUUAUAUACUCCACUCCAAUACCCACUGACACGUGGCUUGCCUCUGCACUCUGCCACCAUACAACCCCACUUGUCAAAAAUGGAAUUCAAUUGCCACACAUACUUCCCACAAAAACCAAUUCUAAAAAUAAUUAAAAAGAAAGAGAUCAAAUGAUAGCAAAAGUAAAGAGUGCAAUAAUGUGAAAAGAUAAACUAAAUAACUUGAAUUGAAGAACAAAAUUAAAUAAAAUGGAAGAGAGGGAGAGCCGUCAACAAAACCAAAAAGGAUCAAACUUGGUUUGAGGUGGCUGUCUCCACAAUGGGUUGCCUCCCAUUGAGCGCUUGAUUUAAGGUCCUUCAGCCUGACCUUCUUUCACUGCUCAAUAGUUGGGUUCUUUAAGGAGUAAAACCUCCUUUGAACAAUCUGCCACUGGGUGUAAGUAAUGCUUAACCCUGUGUCCAUUAACUUUAAAUUCGUGACCUGUUUGUUCAUCUAGAAGAUCAACAGCUCCAUGAGGAUAAAAUUUCAACAUCUUAAAAGGUCCAGCCAUCGUGAUUUUAGCUUUCCCGAAAAUAAUCUUAGUCUUGUAUUAUAGAGCAGCAUUAAUUGACCAGGACUGAAUUGCCUGUUUUAAAUAUACUUGUCGUGCCAGUGUUUUGUUUUCUACUUAUAGAUUCUUGCAUUUUCAUAUGAAAAUAGCCGUAAUUCAUCAAGCUCAUAAAGUUAAAGCUUCCUUUGCUCUGUUGCAGCAUGAAUAUCCCAAUUUAAUUUCUUCAGUGCCUAGUGUACUUUAGCUCUAGCUCUAGUGGCAAGUGACAAGCCUUCCUAUAGACAAUUCGGUAAGGAGACAUGCCAAGUGGAGUUUUGUAUGUUGUUCUGUAGGCCCAUAGAGAGUCAUGUAACUACAAAGACCAAUCCUUCCUUGUUGGGUUCACUUUUUCUAAGAUCUUUUUAAUUUCUCUAUUGGACACUUCAGCCUGACCAUUGGAUUGUGGGUGAUAUGUUGUAGCUACCUUGUGUCUGACUCCACAUUUUACCAUAGCUGCAGCAAAGACUUUAUUGCAAAAAUGAGUACCCUCAUCACUAAUAAUUGCUCUAGGAGUGCCAAAUCUGGAAAAAAAAUAUUUUUUUGAAGAAAAGCCACCACUUUUUUAGCAUCAUUGGUAGGUAAUGCUGCAGCUUCUACCCACUUGGAGACAUAAUCCACAGCAACAUGAAUAUACAAAUUCUCAAAGGAUGGUGGAAAAGGUCCCAUGAAAUCUAUUUCCCAGACAUCAAAAACUUCCACUUCCAGAAUGUUGGUCAAUGGCAUUUCAUGUCUUUUAGUUAUGUUCCCUGUCCUUUGACACAUGUCACAACAUUUAACAAAUUCAUAAGCAUCUUUAAAAAUAGUAGGCCAGUAAUAACCUGAUUACAGAACUUUAGCAGUUGUUCUGUGACCACCAAAAUGUCAUCCAUAUGCUGCAGCAUGGCAUGACUCCAGUAUGUGGGGAAUUUCUCCUACUAAAGCACAUCUUAUAUAAAUGUGGGUCAUCCCACUGAUAACUACUAACAACAUGAAGAAAUUUCUUUUUCUCCUGAAACUUCAGCUUAGGUGGUAGCAACUCACUUACUAAGUAGUUAGCAAAAUCUGCAUACCAUGGAGAUCCUGACUGCUGCAUCAUUUGUGCUUGCUGUACUACCAAUAGCUGUUCAUCAGGAAAAGUUUCAGUGAUGUCCCUCAUUGUCAAUGUACUUGUGUCUGCUUCCAGCCGUGACAAGUGGUCUGCUACUUGAUUCUCAGUCCCUUUUCUAUAUUAAAUUUCUAGAUCAAAUUCCUGAAGCAAUAAAAUCCAUUUGAUUAAUCUUGGUUUGGCAUCCUUCUUUGAAAUUAAGUAUUUGAUGGCUGCAUGGUCUGUGUAUACAGUCACUUUAGUACCCACCAAGUAAGCUCUGAAUUUAUCAAAAGCAAAUACUACUGCUAGCAACUCUUUGUCUAUAGUGGUGUAAUUGAUUUGAGUUUGAGUAAGAGUUUUGCUUGCAUAGUAUAUGGAGUGAAAAACCUUAUCCUUUCUUUGCCUUAAUACUGCUCCCACAAAAUGGUCACUAGCAUCACACAUCAGUUCAAAUGGCAGAGUCCAAUAUGGAGAUAUAACCAUUGGUGCAGUGAUCGGAGCUUUCUUUAAUUCUCCAAAUGCUUGAAGACAAUGUUUGUCAAAGUGAAAAGGCUUGUCAUUUUCCAGCAAUAAGCAUAAUGGUUUAGCUACCUUGGAAAAAUCCUUAAUGAAUCUUCUGUAAAAUCCAGCAUGACACAAAAAACUCCUAAUACCCUUUAUUGAAGUGGGAGGUGGCAGUUUAUCUAUUACCUCUAUCUUGGCUUUGUCUACCUCAAUACCUUUCUUGGACACUUUAUGACCCAACACUAUUCCUUUUUGCACUAUGAAAUGGCAUUUUUCCCAAUUGAGUACUAAGUUAGUCUUCUUACAUCUUUUAAGAACUUCUUCCAAGUUAUGUAAACAAUCAUUGUAUGUCUCUCCAAAAAUUGAGAAGUCAUCCACGAAAACUUCUAAAGUCUGCUAUACCAUAUCAGAAAAAAUAGACAUCAUGCAUCUCUGAAACGUUGCUGGAGCAUUGCACAAACCAAAGGGCAUUCUUCUGAAGGCAAAUGUUCCAUAAGGACAGGUAAAUGUAGUUUUCUCCUGAUCUUCUGGAGCUAUAGCAAUCUAGUUGUAGCCUGAAUACCCAUCUAGGAAGUAAUAAUAUUGUUUUCCAGCAAGUCUGUCCUACAUCUGAUCUAUGUAUGGGAGUGGGAAGUGAUCUUUCCUUGUGGCUUUGUUGAGCUUCCUGUAAUCCAUACAUACCCUCCAUCUAGUCAUUGUCUUUGUAGGAAUACGUUCAUCCUUCUCAUUUGCUAUCAUUGUUAUCCUUCCCUUCUUUGGAACACAUUGAACUGGGCUCACCCAUGAACUAUCUGAUAUUAGAUAUAUGAUUCCAGUAUCCAACCAUUUGAUGAUUUCCUUUUUCACCACUUCUUUUAUGAUAGGGUUUAACAUUCUCUGAUGCUCCAUCGAAUUGCUGUGGCAAUCCUCUAAUAGGAUUUUAUGCAUGCAUAUUGAUGGGCUUAUCCCCUUGAUGUCUGCCAUGGUCCAUCUAAUUGCUCUUCUGUAUCUUCCAAGCAAAUCUACCAGACUCUGUUCUUGACCUGCAUUCAAGGUAGAAGAAAUGAUUACAGGGAGUGUGUUGUUUUGACCAAGAUAAACAUAUUUCAAAUGUGAAGGUAAUAAUUUUAAUUCAAGACUAGGAGGUGAUUCAAUAGAUGGUAAAGUUGUUUUAACUUCCCUGUCUGAAAGAUUCAGAUGCUCAAUAAACAUGUUAUGCCUAUCAGAUUGCUUUUCUUCUGUUUAAUCUAUCUGUUUGGCUGCAACAUCUUCCUCUUCUAAUCCUUCAAAGGUGGUGACUUUGCUGAUCUCAUUACUGCAGCAUCUGUCCAUUCUGUCUGCUACAACAAAAUCCACAACAUUUAGGAAAUUGCAAUCUUCUACUUCAUCAGGGUUCUUCGUAGCCUCUAGUACAUUAAAUGUGACUUGCUGAUCAUUCACUCUCAUGGUGAGCUCUCAUUUCUGCACAUCUAUCAAAGUCUUUCAGUUGCUAGGAAAUGUCUUCCAAGUAUAAUGGGUACCUCUUUAUCAGCUUCAAAGUCCAGUACAAUGAAGUCUACUAGGAAGAUGAAUUUGUCCACCUUCACCAGUACAUCCUCAAUUUUUCCUUCAGGAUAUGCAUGAGAUCUGUCAGCUAAUUGCAGAGUGACUGUUGUUGGUCUGCAUUCCCCUACUCCCAGCUGUUUAAAUACAGACAAUGGCAUCAGAUUAAUGCUGGCUCCCAAGUCAUAAAGUGCUCUGCCAGUGUACCUAGUUCCUAUAGAGCAGGGUAUUGUGAAACUUCCUGGAUCCUUUACUUUUGUAGGAAUCUUACUUUGGAGCAUAUGACUGCUUUCCUGUGUUAAAGUAACAGUUUCAAAUUCUCCCAGCCUUCUCUUUCGUGCCAAGAUGUCUUUUAGAAAUUUCACAUAAUUAGGCAUUUGUUCCAAAGCUUCCAUAAAAGGUAUGUUAAUGUGUAAUUGCUUCAGCACUUCUAGGAAUUUGCUGAACUGCUUGUCUUGUUUUUGUUUCUGGAAUCUCUGUGGGAAAGGUGGUGGAUGUCUAAACUGCUGGGUAGCUUCAGGAGGUACCAAACUUUGCUUGUUUGGUUUGUUGUAGGUCGUGGCUACUGGUAUUGCAACUUCGUUUUCAGCAUCCAUUGUUUGAGUUCAUUCUUUAGUUGUUGUAGCUUGAUGGUUGGGUUGUUGUAACAUGCUUCCAUCUUGAGGUGGGUUUUGUGAGGAAUUAACUUCCAUCCCCUUUUCAGUCACAUCUACUAGGAUAACAACAUUCUUUCCAGAUCUGAAAUUAAUUACUUUGCAGUGUUCUUUGCCCUCUCUGCUAGGGUCUUCUGUGUUGCUAGGUAAGCUUCCUUGAGUCCUGCUAUUCAUUGCUGUGGCAAGUUGCCCUAUUUGGUUUUCCAGGUUCCUCAAGGAUACGACUUGACUCUGCACAAUUGCUUCAUUUUUUGCAAUGUAUUCCUUAAUCAGUGCUUCCAAUGAAGUGAUUAGAUCCUGACUGAUAUGUUUUUGCCCUUGACUCUGCUGAUGAAAACCAGAUGGUUGAGUGUUCUUAUUUUGUCCAUUUAAUGCUGAAGCAUUUCGAUUAUGACUGUUCCAUGAAAAAUUUGGGUGUUGUUUCUGUUGUGCAAUAUUUUAAUGUACUCGCAAGCGCACGAAUCUAUUGUAGUAUGACUAAUGGUGACGAGUGUCGAUCCCACGAGGAGGUGGAUUUUUAAUUAUAUAUAGAAUUAAUUUUGUAAAUGGGUGGUUGGAAUUAUGGUGGAAGUGAUUUAAAAUAUGCUAAAAUUGGAAUUGCAAUGGCGAGAAUAAAUUGUAGAGAAAAUCGAUUAAAUUGACGUACUUGGGUAUCUGGAUCCGUAUCAACAUGCAUCAUGGGCUAAAUAAUCCGUAUUAAUGUCAAUUAAAUCAUGAGGGGGGAAUCCAUACCUCAUGAACCACGCUCUAAUCAAUAUGGUGCUAAGGGCUUAUCGUGCCAAAUAAUAAUAACCUUAUACUAGAGAGCCGGUGUAACCAAGGCGGUAUCUAGACAAGAUUAUUAUUAUUUAUCGACGAGAAGUCAAAACACCCACAAAAACUAGAGCGGAAGAGAAAAUAAAUUUACCAAAUUAAGCCCAUGACACAUGUUGAGACUUCACCUUCAACCUAAGCUUGAAAGGAAAUUAGCUACUCAUAAUUGAACUAGGGGCAAAAUGGGAAUUUAUUAAAAUACAAAGAAAAUACAAGAUGGAGAAGGAAUUACAGAAAAUGGAUCCCAAAAAUGGAUUCAGAGCUAUCAAAUUAGGGGGGAGAGGCCCCCUUUUUAUAAAUUCAUGGAGUAAAUUAUGGCCAUCGGAUUAAAAACAGUUUGGACGCUCAGGAUUGCGCCACGUCAUCAGUCAACAGUCCACGGUUUGACCACGUGGAUGAACAGUAACAUGAUUUGACCCGGAUGAGCAGUAACGCGGUUUGGUUGAAAAUAAUCCUGUGUGAUGCAUGCACCGUACGCGAGAUUUUUCGUCCACUAAUAUGCUGCCACGUCACCAUCAACAAUACAUAAGAAUUUUAGUCCAACAGGAUCGUGACACCUCAUCAGUCAAUGCCACAUCAUCGGUCAAUGCCAUGUCAUCGUCCGUCUAUGUGAACAGUAUCGUGAACAGUAACGUAUAUAGUACCGUACACGUGAAUAGUACCGUACAUGUGAAUAGUGCCAUUUUUCCUUUUAUGCCCCUCCUAAGGUUUUCGACCGUCCUGAGUUCAAAAGUGAUGUCCGUUUUGCCGUCUGAUCUCUCCUUUAUUGUGAAAUGACUAUAAUACCCCUAAAAUACAUAAAAUACUUAAUUAAAAUAACACACGCGUAAUUACAUCACAAGAAGGUUAAAUACAUAAAAGUAAGAGUUGUUAGUAAGACUUGAAAUAUAAAAUGAUGGUUUUCUCCUUUAUAAAUAUGCAUUUUCUAACACUCAACACACCCCCCAACCAGCUUAUUGCUAGUCCCUAGCAAAUAAAGCGAAAACAAAAUUCAAAUUCAAAAUAUAUAAAUUUUUUUAGAAACACUCGUGUUUAUUCAAUUAGAUUAAUGAUAGCAAUCAAAUAAAAGUAUAAGCAUUAUCUCCAGUCUAAAGCAAUAUCACACUCACAUCAACCAUCCACAUGAAUCGGCCCAGUAGACUUUGUUAUAGCUACUUUCAAGAAUGACAUGUCACACCCCAAAAUCUCACUGGAAGUAGUGACGCUCUCACAAAGAAAUUAAACCCAAUAAAAAUAGUCACUCCAAUGAAUGGUAAUUGAGAGAAAAUAAUAAAGAAAUGAUAUCACAUGCUCUCACCAAAAUGAAAUAAAUAUGCCCUCAGCUUAGAAAUAAUACGAUCUCAAGUUAAUUAAAAAAAAUGUUAGUCAACCCACUUUAUUUAUUUUUUUAUAUGCACCACUACAUCUUUUUAGCCCAUAUAACUAGCUUCUACUUCAAACUAUAGUUCCCUAAAAUCAAGAAGAACUUUUAUUAGGACGUAACGUAGGCUAGGGAUAUGGCUAACAAAGAAAGGAAAUAAGGAAAACAAAGUGUAUGUUUGAGAAAAAUGUAGAAAUUUUUUUUUUUUUUUUGAAGUUGCAAGGUGGAUUUCACCUAUUAUUGUUAUUUUAUUCUUUUGAAACAAUAACUUUUGUUUUUUUGUUUUUUUGCUUUUAUUUGGCAUAACUUCACUGAACAACAUAAUUAUUUACAUUUUCUCAAACAUAAAUAGGUGAUGGAACUUAAAAGACAUUGGGUAAUACUCCAAAUCGGAGUGGGUCAAGAUGAUAAGUUGACAAAGAAAAGGUUUUUGUUCUUUUUUUUUUUUUUUAAAGGCUCAAAAGGGGUAACUGUUGUGCAAAUUUUAAUGUACUCGCAAGCGCACGAAUCUAUUGUAGUGUAGAUCAAUGGUGACGAGUGUCGAUCCCACGAGGAGGUGGAUUUUUAAUUAUAUAUAGAAUUAAUUUUGUAAAUGGGUGGUUGGAAUUGUGGUGGAAGUGAUUUAAAAUAUGCUAAAAUUGGAAUUGCAAUGGCGAGAAUAAAUUGUAGAGAAAAUCGAUUAAAUUGACGUACUUGGGUAUCUGGAUCCGUAUCAACAUGCAUCAUGGGCUAAAUAAUCCUUAUUAAUGCUAAUUAAAUCAUGAGGGGGGAAUCCACACCUUAUGAACCACGCUCUAAUCAAUAUGGUGCUAAGGGCUUAUCGUGCCAAAUAAUAAUAACCUUAUACUAGAGAGCCGGUGUAACCAAGGCGGUAUCUAGACAAGAUCAGUAUUAUUUGUCGACGAUAAGUCAAAUCAUCCACAAAAACUAGAGGGGAAAAGAAAAUAAAUUUACCAAAUAAAGCCCAUGACACAUGUUGAGACUUCACCUUCAACCCAAGCUUGAAAGAAAAUUAGCUACUCAUAAUUGAACUAGGGGCAAAAUGGGAAUUUAUUAAAAUACGAAGAAAAUACAAGAUGGAGAAGGAAUUACAGAAAAUGGAUCCCAAAAAUGGAUUCAGAGAUAUCAAAUUAGGGGGGGAAGGCCCCCUUUUUAUAGAUACAUGGAGUAAAUCAUGGCCAUCGGAUUAAAAACAGUUUGGACGCUCAGGAUUGCGCCACGUCAUCAGUCAACAGUCCACGGUUUGACCACGUGGAUGAACAGUAACACGGUUUGACCCGGAUGAACAGUAACGCGGUUUGGUUGAAAAUAAUCCUGUGUGAUGCAUGCACCGUACGCGAGAUUUUUCGUCCACUGAUAUGCUGCCACGUCACCAUCAAUAGUACAUAAGAAUUUUAGUCCAACAAGAUCGUGACACCUCAUCAGUCAAUGCCACAUCAUCGUCCGUCUAUGUGAACAGUAUCGUGAACAGUAACGUACACGUGAAUAGUACCGUACAUGUGAAUAGUGCCAUUUUUCCUUUUAUGCCCCUCCUAAGGUUUUCGACCGUCCUGAGUUCAAAAGUGAUGUCCGUUUUGCCAUCUGAUCUCUCCUUUAUUGUGAAAUGACUAUAAUGCCCCUAAAAUACAUAAAAUACUUAAUUAAAAUAACACACGCGUAAUUACAUCACAAGAAGGUUAAAUACAUAAAAGUAAGAGUUGUUAGUAAGACUUGAAAUGUAAAAUGAUGGUUUUCUCCUUUAUAAAUAUGCAUUUUCUGACACUCAACAGUAACUAUGGAUAUUUAAUAAAAGGGAUGGCUAGAAAGGCUCAAACGGAUCAAAGAUGGCCUUUCCAUCGUCUUUUAGGGCUCUAAAUAAUUAUCCAUAUCUACUAGUUAGAUGGGCCUCCCAAUGUAGCAACACACAUUUUUUUCUUUUUUCUUUUUUUUAAUUUUACCAUUUUUUUUCAAAGGGUUAACUUAAAAGAAAUCUAGAGAUCGUGUAUAAAAAUAAACUGCUAAGCUGUAUAGAGAAUGGGCAAAAGAGUUACUCUCCAAGAAAAUGAUAGGCUCAACAACUCACUUGGCACUUAUUUAUGACAUGUUCAUUCCUUCAAGCAACUCAUAUUUGUCUCCGACAUCAACAUGUAAAGUAGCAAACAUAGCGUAACAUCACUUAAGAGCAAAGAUAAUACAAAUACUAAAAUUUGAAAUUAAUCAUGUCAUCCAAUGUUAAAACAAAUAAUACAAUUUUUUUUUUAAACAACAUUCUACCCCCCAACCUAUUCUAAACAUGAAAAGAAAAUAUGCAUGCAGAAAUGUGAAAAUGAUGUAGAAAAAUUAAUUAGAAAAAGAUUUUUUUUUUUAAACUAAGAAGAUGCGUUUCUAGAGGCACUACACUCCAUAUUCAGCCAUCUUCGACUCAAAAGUUGGAAAAUGUAUAUUUAUAGAGGAGAAAAUAAAAAGAAGAAGAAAAAUGAACAUCAAAACUUAAUAAAGAAAAAGAAUUUUUUUUUUUCGAACAAUGAAGAUGCGUUUCUAGAGUAACUACACUCCAUAUUCAGCCAUCUUCAACACAAAAAGUUAGCAACAGUUAGUUUCUACAACAAAAAAUUAGUAAAAACUUAACCAAGAUUCCACAAUUGUCCACUAUUCCCUCCCCCCAACCAGAACGAAACAUUGUCCUCAAUGUUUUAAAGGAAAGAGGUAGAGUUUAGAAGACAUCACCUGGGUGGUGCAACACAGAAGAAAAUAUUUACAGGCGGAGAGUUAAAUCUAAUUUGUACUUCUUACUGCGGCUAUUGUUACCAUCAUGAUUUGGUCGCUCCAACACAAAGGUCCAGGGGUCUGGCUCCGGUUUAUAAGCUUGUAACAUAUCAAGUAGCUCAUUAGCAGUGUGAGCACAAAUAAAGAGUUUUUUCACAUUAGAAGGAAUGAAAUAAUUUUUUAUUGCAUGGUUAAAAAAUGCGAUAAAGUCAUCAUAAAAGUUAUUGACAUUUAACAAACCGAUAGGUUUCUGGUGGAUGUGCAGAUGGGCCCAAGAUGCUAGUGUCAUAAGUGCUUCUAGUGUUGCAAGAUCUCCUGGAAGGAAAAUAAAAGCAUCAGCAUGAUUAAGCAUUUCAGUUAUUCUUUCUUGCAUACCUGAGACGACUAACUCUUCUCCAGUUGAUGAGUCAGACGAACUGCCCAAUGGUUUUAGGACUCUUGGGAUGAUGCCUAACACUUGACUUCCUCUGAUAAAAGCUUCUUCUGAGACCAUUUUUGAUAACCCUCGGUUACCUCCUCCAUACACCAAGUGUAAUUUUCUCGCUGCUAUGCUUCGACCAAGAUCUAUGGCUGCCUCAACAAACUCUUUAUGUUUGCCAUAGGUAAAUCCAGAAAGCACACAAAUGUUCUUGAAUUGUCUAUUAGGAGUAGCUGCCAUUGUGAUACUUCUCAAAAACAAUUUGUGAGUGCUUGACAAAAGAUAAAUCACAUUUAAGAGUCUUGGUGACAGUGGGUCAUAGCUGUGUAUGAGGUAGCAUGUCAGUGUCAAAUAACGCGUAAAGCACGUGGCUCGCGAGUCAAAAAGGAAACAGUAAAAAAAAGAAAAAGCAAACAGUAACAAAAUUAUUAAAGACAAUAAUAAAACAACAGUGAAAUGAAAUAAAAUAACAGUAAAGUAAAAGGAUAUUUACACGUAGUUGCGACUGUGGCUCACAUCUUCCUCUGGUUUUACGUCCAGAAACGGCUUGAACGCCCUCUAUGGGUCGAGGAUAGGCUUCCUAUCCAGUUUUCUUAUAAACUGGCAAAUAGGGUCGUUUAUAGUCAGAUUCCCGAGACUAUAUCGUGCAUGCUCUUUCUGGAAUAAUGGCCAUAACUGGAGAAUUGCUCCUUGCACAUAUCCACUAGGAUGCGUUUCAAGAGACAAAAGGAUAUCAUCCAAUGACUCCUUAUUCAAGCCAUCCCUAAUGAAUUGAAUCUUAUCUUCCCUGUUAUCAGACACCAUUCCUAAAGAACAUGGGUUUCUAUCGCAACUCAUUCUGGCACACUUAUGACAAGCAACAGAAAUUCUUCGAGCUCGUCGUUUUCUUGCAUAAUUUCCUUUACCACAACCAGGCAUGAAUGCAAUAAAUUUUGGAGGUAACUCACCUGCCGAUCGUACUUUAGCCUCGAUUAACCAACGGAUGUCAGCAGGUAUGUUAUUCUUCAUGAGUAAUCGCAUGCGUUCGGACCGAGCUUUAUAGAUCGUAAGGAGGGCAUUCUGAGGAAGUGAAGGGAAUCGCUUGUGAAGCUUCGCUAGAAUCUCGUUUCUGUCCAUAUUUUCGCCUCAGAAUGUCAGUUAUUAUGGGAAACUGAAGUAACCGACUUGAUUGUCACGGAGUACCGUUAUCCGCCACUUCACCGGGGUAACAAACUAAAGCACACAAACAGAAAAAAAAAUUAAAACACACAAAGAAAAUUAAAAUCGUCCUCUUAUUGAAUUUACCUCAAGCUCCAACUGGAUGUCGUAAACACUUCUCUCAAUGUCUCUGAGUUGGCGUUCUAAACCCUCAACAUAGGCUACUAACUCUGGUGGUUGUAGAGCCCAAAUGCGAUGUGUUUUACAAAAUUGAAUCUGCUUUUUGAGAUGAGUUUUGACACGUUGAAGUGGUUUAAGAAUGUUCAGGAGGAACGGUCUAAGCAAGGUACUCAUGAUUAAAAAUGAUAAGAGAAAACUUAAUAGUUAAACAAACACACUUAUGCAAAAAUAAUUUCAAUUAGCAGAAGAAUAAUAUAAAGAAAGAAAACAAAAUCAAAUCAACGAAAAGAAAAAAAAAAUCAAUUCAAAUCUGGUGGGUCACUCAAAUUUAUUUCGGUGUCUUCUCCAUGUGGUUGGUACUCUAGAUAUGGCUUUAAUCUUUGACCAUUAACUUUAAACGUGACACCGUUCUUUGGGUCUUUAAUUUCAAUUGCCCCAUGUGGAAAAACAGUACGAACAAUAAAGGGACCAGACCAUCGAGAGCGUAACUUACCUGGGAAUAGGUGCAAGCGAGAAUUGAAUAAAAGCACUUUAUGACCUGGAGUGAACGAUUUUCUCAUAAUGUGCUUGUCAUGAAAGAUUUUCAUUCGUUGCUUGUAAAUCUUGGCAUUUUCGUAUGCAUCAUUGCGAAUUUCUUCAAGUUAUGUCAGUUGUAAUCUUCUUUCUGAGCUGGCUUGCUGCAUGUCAAAGUUGAAUUUCUUGAUGGCCCAAUAUGCACGAUGCUCGAGUUCCACAGGUAGGUGGCAAGCUUUUCCAUACACUAGCCUGUAGGGUGACAUCCCAAUCGGGGUCUUGAAAGCCGUUCUAUAUGCCCAUAAUGUAUCAUCAAGUCUUAAUGACCAAUCUUUUCUGUCUAGCCUCACCGUGUUUUCUAAUAUGUGCUUGAUUUCUUGAUUGGAGAUCUCAACUUGGCCACUGGUUUGCGGAUGAUACAGGGUCGCCACUUUGUGUGUGAUUGAAUACUUUGUCAAAAGAGCUUUGAAUGCUUUGUUACAAAAGUGGGCACCACCAUCACUGAUUAUCGCUCGAGGGAAUCCAAAGCGCGAAACAAUAUUGCUUUUCAAAAAUCCUAUCACCACUUUGUGAUCAUUGGUUCUGCAUGGAAUUGCUUCCACCCAUUUCGAUACGUAGUCAACACCAACCAAUAUGUAUUGAUGGCCAAAAGAAGGGGGAAAGGGUCCCAUGAAGUCGAUACCCCAUACGUCAAAAAUCUCAACGACUAAAAUUGGAUUUAGUGGCAUCAUGUUCCUUCGUGUAAUGCUCCCCAUUCGUUGACACCUAUCACAUGAAGAACAGAAAGUGUAAGCAUCUCGAAAUAUAGUUGGCCAAUAGAAACCACAUUGUAAAACUUUAGUCGCUGUUUUCUUAGCACUGAACUGGCCUCCACAAGCUUGUUCAUGGCAGAAUGAAAGGAUAUUCUGAAUUUCACUUUCAGGGACACAUCGUCUAACAAUUUGGUCUGCACAAUACUUGAACAAAUAUGGGUCAUCCCAAAAGAAAUUCUUUAUUUCCGCAAAGAAUUUAGCCUUGUCUUGCUUGGUCCAAUGCUCUGGAAAUUUACCUGUAACAAGAUAAUUAACUAUAUCAGCAUACCAAGGUAAUACUUCCACACUCAUUAAUUGUUCAUCUGGAAAUGACUCAUUUAAUAUUAAUGGCUCUGUAUUGUGUCAAAAUGGAGACGAGAGAGAUGGUCCGCCACAACAUUUUCUGUCCCUUUCUUAUCUUUGAAUUCCAAGUCAAAUUCCUGCAAAAGUAACACCCAACGAAUUAGUCUAGCUUUUGCAUCUUUCUUUGUGAGAAGAUGUUUAAGAGCAGCAUGAUCUGUGAAUAUAAUUAUUUUACAACCAAUGAGAUAAGAUCGAAAAUUUUCCAAUGCAAACACUACUGCUAGCAUUUCUUUUUCAGUAGUUGAAUAGUUCAACUGUGCAUCAUUCAAUGUCAUACUAGCAUAGUAAAUAACAUGAGGAAUUCGAUCAACUCUUUGUCCUAAAACUGCUCCUACUGCAUAAUCAGAUGCAUCACACAUAAGCUCAAAUGGUAAGCUCCAGUUUGGGGCCUGAAUGAUGGGUGAUGAUGUCAAUAAUUGCUUUAAUUUUUCAAAAGCCAUAAGACAUGAAUCAUUAAAGAUAAAAGGUACAUCCUUAGCAAGUAAAUUGCAUAAGAGUCUAGAAACUUUGCUAAAAUCUUUAAUGAAACGUCUAUAGAAACCAGCAUGCCCAAGGAAAGAUCUUACUUCUCUGACUGUUUUGGGUGGAGGAAGAUUAGAAAUGAGAUCCACCUUGGCUUUGUCAACCUCAAUACCUUUGCUUGAAAUGAUGUGACCGAGAACAAUACCUUGUUUUACCAUAAAAUGACACUUCUCCCAAUUUAAGACUAAGCUCUUCUCGGUACAUCUCUACAGAACUAGCGUUAGAUGAUGUAAACAUUGAUCAAACGAGUCACCAAAGACAGAAAAAUCAUCCAUAAAGACUUCAAGGAAUCGUUCAACCAUAUCAGAAAAAAUGCUCAACAUGCAUCGUUGAAAUGUAGCAGGUGCAUUACAUAAUCCAAAUGGCAUUCUCCUAUAUGCAAAUGUGCCAAAAGGGCAAGUGAAAGUGGUCUUCUCUUGAUCUUUUGGUGCUAUGGGAAUCUGAUUAUAUCCUGAGUAGCCAUCUAGAAAGCAAUAAAAUUCAUGGCCUGCUAAUCUAUCAAGCAUUUGAUCAAUAAAUGGUAAAGGAAAAUGGUCUUUACGUGUGACAGAAUUCAACUUUCUAUAAUCAAUGCAUACACGCCAUCCUGUAGUUACUCUAGUUGGUAUCAAUUCAUUAUCAGCAUUGGUAACUACUGUGACUCCUGACUUUUUGGGGACAACUUGUACAGGACUGACCCAUGAACUAUCAGAAAUUGGGUAAAUGAUACCUGCGUCUAAUAGCUUAAGGACUUCUGUUCUAACAACUUCUUUCAUAUUAGGAUUUAACCGACGUUGCAUUUCCCUAGUAGAUUUAGCAUUUUCAUCAAGGUGAAUGUAAUGCAUGCAGUCUACUGGGUUUAUACCUUUUAUGUCCGCUAUGGUCCAUCCUAAUGUUCCUUUGUGCUCUUUUAAAACAUCCAACAACUUACCUUUUUGUUCGUCAUUGAGGGAUGAUGAGAUGAUUACCGGCAGAGUGCUUUCUUCUCCAAAAAACGCAUAUUCCAAAGUGUUGGGUAAUGGUUUGAGCUCGAGUUUUGGUGGUGAUUCUGAUGAUGGGAUGAGUUUCUUUUCUGAUGGUGCUAGUUGUUCAACUCUUGACUUCCAUUUAUUAGUGUCCAUGGAUGGUGCUGAGUCAAGUAGAGCAUUGACCUCAUCGACCGAUCUUAUGCAUGAUGUGCUCAAAUUAGCUAAGGGACUAAAAUAGUCCUUAAAUGGCCUCUCCUGUGGUGCUUGUAAAUCCAUUCUAUUUUUAAAUUGUUUGUGUGUGCGAAGUGUUUUUUCUAAUUCAAGGUCUAUAGGUUCAAGAUUUGGUAAUAAUGACCUACGACCAUGCAUGCAAAAUAAAUAAAAUAAAAAUAAAGAUGGGAACAAAAACAAAUAAAAAUAAAGAAGAGGGAGAAAUUACGAUACUAACCUUAUUGCGCUAUUACAACCUUUCUAUAAAAAUACACAAAAACAAAUACGUGAAAUAAAUUAACUAAAAAUUAAAUUAAUAAAAUAAACAAAAAUUACAAAGAAAAAAUAAAUUGAAAAUUAAAUUACAGAAUUUUAAAGAAGAGAAAAAGAAAAGAGAUACUAACCUCUAAAUACGGAUUCACUUUUUUUUUUUUUAUAAAAAAUACAAGAAAACAAAUAAAAGAAAUUAUUCACAAAAAUUAAUUCUAUGAAUUAAAAUUACUUACCUCCCCGGCAACGGCGCCAAAAACUUGUUGUGCAAAUUUUAAUGUACUCGCAAGCGCACGAAUCUAUUGUAGUGUAGAUCAAUGGUGACUAGUGUCGAUCCCACGAGGAGGUGGAUUUUUAAUUAUAUAUAGAAUUAAUUUUGUAAAUGGGUGGUUGGAAUUGUGGUGGAAGUGAUUUAAAAUAUGCUAAAAUUGGAAUUGCAAUGGCGAGAAUAAAUUGUAGAGAAAAUUGAUUAAAUUGACGUACUUGGGUAUCUGGAUCCGUAUCAACAUGCAUCAUGGGCUAAAUAAUCCUUAUUAAUGCCAAUUAAAUCAUGAUGGGGGAAUCCACACCUCAUGAACCACGCUCUAAUCAAUAUGGUGCUAAGGGCUUAUCGUGCCAAAUAAUAAUAACCUUAUACUAGAGAGCCGGUGUAACCAAGGCGGUAUCUAGACAAGAUCAGUAUUAUUUGUCGACGAUAAGUCAAAUCAUCCACAAAAACUAAAGGGGAAAAGAAAAUAAAUUUACCAAAUAAAGCCCAUGACACAUGUUGAGACUUCACCUUCAACCCAAGCUUGAAAGAAAAUUAGCUACUCAUAAUUGAACUAAGGGCAAAAUGGGAAUUUAUUAAAAUACGAAGAAAAUACAAGAUGGAGAAGGAAUUACAGAAAAUGGAUCCCAAAAAUGGAUUCAGAGCUAUCAAAUUAGGGGGAGAGGCCCCCUUUUUAUAGAUACAUGGAGUAAAUCAUGGCCAUCGGAUUAAAAACAGUUUGGACGCUCAGGAUUGCGCCACGUCAUCAGUCAACAGUCCACGGUUUUACCACGUGGAUGAACAGUAACACGGUUUGACCCGGAUGAACAGUAACACGGUUUGGUUGAAAAUAAUCCUGUGUGAUGCAUGCACCGUACGCGAAAUUUUUCGUCUACUGAUAUGCUGCCACGUCACCAUCAACAGUACAUAAGAAUUUUAGUCCAACAGGAUCGUGACACCUCAUCAGUCAAUGCCACAUCAUCGGUCAAUGCCACGUCAUCGUCCGUCUAUGUGAACAGUAUCGUGAACAGUAACGUACACGUGAAUAGUACCGUACAUGUGAAUAGUGCCAUUUUUCCUUUUAUGCCCCUCCUAAGGUUUUCGACCGUCCUGAGUUCAAAAGUGAUGUCCGUUUUGCCGUCUGAUCUCUCCUUUAUUGUGAAAUGACUAUAAUGCCCCUAAAAUACAUAAAAUACUUAAUUAAAAUAACACACGCGUAAUUACAUCACAAGAAGGUUAAAUACAUAAAAGUAAGAGUUGUUAGUAAGACUUGAAAUGUAAAAUGAUGGUUUUCUCCUUUAUAAAUAUGCAUUUUCUGACACUCAACAGUAACUAUGGAUAUUUAAUAAAAGGGAUGGCUAGAAAGGCUCAAACGGAUCAAAGAUGGCCUUUCCAUCGUCUUUUAUGGCUCUAAAUAAUUAUCCAUAUCUACUAGUUAGAUGGGCCUCCCAAUGUAGCAACACACAUUUUUUUCUUUUUUCUUUUUUUUUAAUUUUACCAUUUUUUUUAAAGGGUUAACUUAAAAGAAAUCUAGAGAUCGUGUAUAAAAAUAAACUACUAAGCUGUAUAGAGAAUGGGCAAAAGAGUUACUCUCCAAGAAAAUGAUAGGCUUAACAACUCACUUGGCACUUAUUUAUGACAUGUUCAUUCCUUCAAGCAACUCAUAUUUGUCUCCGACAUCAACAUGUAAAGUAGCAAACAUAGCGUAACAUCACUUAAGAGCAAAGAUAAUACAAAUACUAAAAUUUGAAAUUAAUCAUGUCAUCCAAUGUUAAAACAAAUCACACAAAAUAUUUUUUUUUUUUUUUGAACUACAUUCUACCCCCCAACCUAUUCUAAACAUGAAAGGAAAAUAUGCAUGCAGAAAUGUGAAAAUGAUGCAUAAAAACUAAUUAGAAAAGUUACACGUAAAAUGAUAGAAAAAGAAAAUGGGUUUUUUUUUUUUUUUUUUUUUUUUUUUUUUUAACUAUGAAGAUGCGUUUAUAGAGUAACUACACUCCAUAUUCAGCCAUCUUCAACACAAAACGUUAGCAACAGUUAGUUUCAACAAAAAAUCAGUAAAAACUUAACCAAGAUUCCACAAUUGUCGACUAAUCCCUCCCCCCAACCAAAACGAAACAUUGUCCUCAAUGUUUUAAAGGAAAGAAGUAGAGUUUAGAAGACAUCACCUGGGUGGUGCAACACAGAAGAAAAUAUUUACAGGCGGAGAGUUAAAUCUAAUUUGUACUUCUUACUGCGGCUACUGUUACCAUCAUUAUUUGGUCGCUCUAACACAAAGGUCCAGGGGUCUGGCUCCGGUUUAUAAGCUUGUAACAUAUCAAGUAGCUCAUUAGCAGUGUGAGCACAAAUAAAGAGUUUUUUCACAUUAGAAAGAAUGAAAUAAUUUUUUAUUGCAUGGUUAAGAAAUGUGAUAAAGGCAUCAUAAAAGUUAUUGACAUUUAACAAACCGAUAGGUUUCUGGUGGAUGUGCAGAUGGGCCCAAAAUGCUAGUGUCAUAAGUGCCUCUAGUGUUGCAAGAUCUCCUGGAAGGAAAAUAAAAGCAUCAGCAUGAUUAAGCAUUUCAGUUAUUCUUUCUUGCAUACCUGAGACGACUAACUCUUCUCCAGUUGAUGAGUCAGACGAACUGCCCAAUGGUUUUAGGACUAUUGGGAUGAUGCCUAACACUUGACUUCCUCUGAUAAAAGCUGCUUCUGAGACCAUUUUUGAUAAUCCUCGGUUACCUCCUCCAUACACCAAGUGUAAUUUUCUCGCUGCUAUACUUCGACCAAGAUCUAUGGCUGCCUCCACGAACUAUUUAUGUUUGCCAUAGGUAAAUCCAGAAAGCACACAAAUGUUCUUGAAUUGUCUAUUGGGAGUAGCUGCCAUUGUGAUACUUCUCAAAAAUAAUUUGUGAGUGCUUGACAAAAGAUAAAUCACAUUUAAGAAUCUUGGUGACAGUAGAUCACAGCUGUGAAUGAGGUAACAUGUCAGUGUCAAAUAACGCGUAAAGCACGUGGCUCGCGAGUCAAAAAGAAAACAGUAAAAAGGACAAAGCAAACAGUAAUAAAAUUAUUAAAGGCAAUAAUGCAAACGAUAAAACAAUAGUGAAAUAAAAUAACAGAAAGUAAAAGGAUAUUUACACGUAGUUGCGACUGUGGCUCACAUCUUCCUCUGGUUUUACGUCAAAAAACUUGUUGUGCAAUAUUUUAAUGUACUCGCAAGCGCACGAAUCUAUUGUAGUAUAGACUAAUGGUGACGAGUGUCGAUCCCACGAGGAGGUGGAUUUUUAAUUAUAUAUAGAAUUAAUUUUGUAAAUGGGUUGGUUUCUUCUUUUUCCUCCGGUGGUGAGUCCUCAACAUUCACAGGUACAAUUUGAUUUUCUUUUGUCACCGACAUCUCCACUUUGUUGUCGACUUCUUUUCCUUUUCGCAAGGUCAUGACUGCUUUGACCUCUCCAUGCUGCUGUGGUGAACUAGUACUUGCUUCAUGUACUCCUUUAGGAUUAGGCAUUGGUUGACUUGGAAAUUUGCCUCUCUCAACAGUCAUUGCCAAGGUUUGAACUGAAGAAGCAAGUUGUCCCACCAUCUUCUCGAGGCUUGAAACUGAUUGGGCUUGUGAAUUGAAGCCUGCUCUCAACUCAUUUCGUAGUCCAUCAAUGGUGCGAUUCUGUUGCUCAAUUGUGGAGUGAGUAAGAUUCUUGAGAUUCUGGAAUGAAUCCUCCCAUGGUCUGGGUUGAGAGUAGUUUUGGUUUUGAUUGUAUGGUCUAAAUGGUGGCUGAGAGGCUUGAGGAUUUUGAGGUAUUGGUUGCAUUGGUGGAGCUGGAGCUGCUGGUCCAUUCUGUUGGAAUCCUUGAGACCAUGAAAAAUUAGGGUGGUCUCUCCAUCCAGGGUUAUAUGUGUUGGAGUAUGGGUUGUAAUUUGAUGGUUUUCUCAUUACACCUAUGGCAUUGGCUUGAUCGGAGUAUGAGUCAUGGUCAUGUGGUUCUGUUGAUUUAGCAGUCGACAACGAUGCUAUUUGUCGAGAGAGACCUUCUAUUAUUGCUUUGACUUCUUUGAAUUCUGAAUUUGACUCGCCAAUUUGAACCUCAUUCACUCCUUUAAUUCUUCUAGUAUUCCUGAGUGAUCGACUCCGUUGUUGGGAGUUAUCCGCUUGUCGCUGGAAGAAUUCCCAAAUCUCUGUUGCGCUUUUUGACAUUAGCUCUCCUCCACUUGUUGCCAUUAGCCAUUCUUGCACAUUCGGCAAUAAUCCCUCCAAAAAGUAUUGGCAUUGGUGCCAUUUCUCGUACCCAUGAUGUGGACACUUCAAGAGUAGCCCAUUGAAUCGCUCCCAUGUUUCGAAAAACUGCUCGUCCUCUCUUUGGGUAAACUCCGAGAUUUCCCUGCGAAUAACAUUGGUUUUAUGCACUGGGAAAUAUUUAUUCAAAAAAUUUUUAACCAUUUGUUCCCAUGAUGCAAUGCUAUUAGCAGGCAAAGUAUUUAACCAUGAACGAGCUCUAUCCUUUAAAGAAAAUGGGAAUAGUCUAAGUUUAACAUCAUCAUCUGAAAUUUUUUCAUAUUUAAAAGUUUGACAAAUUGCAUGAAAAUCAUUCAGAUGAUUAUAUGGGUCCUCAUUUUCUAAGCCAUAGAAUGUGGGGAGACAAUUUAGCACACUAGGUUUGAGUUCAAAACUCCUAGCAGCUACAUUUGGGUAUCUUAUACAUGAUGUGCUCAAAUUAGAUAAGGGACUAAAAUAGUCCUUAAAUGGCCUCUCCUGUGGUGCUUGUAAAUCCAUUCCAAAUUUAUUAAUGUGCUUUUGUGUGCGAAGUGUUUUCUCAAGUUCAAGGUCUAUAGGUUCAAGAUUAGGUAAUAAUGACCUACGACCAUGCAUGCAAAACAAAUAAAAUAAAAAUAAAGAUGGGAACAAAACAAAUAAAAAUAAAGAAGAGGGAGAAAUUACGAUACUAACCUUAUUGCACUGUUACAACUUUUCUAUAAAAAUACACAAAAACAAAUACGUGAAAUAAAUUAACUAAAAAUUAAUUUAAUAAAAUAAACAAAAAUUACAAAGAAAAAAAAAUAUAUUGAAAAUUAAAUUACAGAAUUUUAAAGAAGAGAAAAAGAAAAGAAAUACUAACCUUUAAAUGUAGAUUCACUUUUUUUCUUUUUUUUAAUUAAAAAAAAUACAAGAAAACAAUUUUAAAAAAAUUAUUCACAAAAAUUAAUUCUAUGAAUUAAAAUUACUUACCUCCCCGGCAACGGCGCCAAAAACUUGUUGUGCAAUAUUUUAAUGUACUCGCAAGCGCACGAAUCUAUUGUAGUAUAGACUAAUGAUGACGAGUGUCGAUCCCACGAGGAGGUGGAUUUUUAAUUAUAUAUAGAAUUAAUUUUGUAAAUGGGUGGUUGGAAUUAUGGUGGAAGUGAUUUAAAAUAUGCUAAAAUUGGAAUUGCAUUGGCGAGAAUAAAUUGUAGAGAAAAUCGAUUAAAUUGACGUACUUGGGUAUCUGGAUCCGUAUCAACAUGCAUCAUGGGCUAAAUAAUCCUUAUUAAUGCCAAUUAAAUCAUGAGGGGGGAAUCCACACCUCAUGAACCACGCUCUAAUCAAUAUGGUGCUAAGGGCUUAUUGUGCCAAAUAAUAAUAACCUUAUACUAGAGAGCCGGUGUAACCAAGGCGGUAUCUAGACAAGAUUAUUAUUAUUUGUCGACGAGAAGUCAAAACAUCCACAAAAACUAGAGGGGAAGAGAAAAUAAAUUUACCAAAUUAAGCCCAUGACACAUGUUGAGACUUCACCUUCAACCCAAGCUUGAAAGGAAAUUAGCUACUCAUAAUUGAACUAGGGACAAAAUGGGAAUUUAUUAAAAUACGAAGAAAAUACAAGAUGGAGAAGGAAUUACAGAAAAUGGAUCCCAAAAAUGGAUUCAGAGCUAUCAAAUUAGGGGGGAGAGACCCCCUUUUUAUAGAUACAUGGAGUAAAUCAUGGCCAUCGGAUUAAAAACAGUUUGGACGCUCAGGAUUGCGCCACGUCAUCAGUCAACAGUCCACGGUUUGACCACGUGGAUGAACAGUAACACGGUUUGACCCGGAUGAACAGUAACGCGGUUUGGUUGAAAAUAAUCCUGUGUGAUGCAUGCACCGUACGCGAGAUUUUUCGUCCACUGAUAUGCUGCCACGUCACCAUCAACAGUACAUAAGAAUUUUAGUCCAACAGGAUCGUGACACCUCAUCAGUCAAUGCCACAUCAUCGGUCAAUGCCACGUCAUCGUCCGUCUAUGUGAACAGUAUCAUGAACAGUAACGUAUACAGUACCGUACACGUGAAUAGUACCGUACAUGUGAAUAGUGCCAUUUUUCCUUUUAUGCCCCUCCUAAGGUUUUUGACCGUCCUGAGUUCAAAAGUGAUGUCCGUUUUGCCGUCUGAUCUCUCCUUUAUUGUGAAAUGACUAUAAUGCCCCUAAAAUACAUAAAAUACUUAAUUAAAAUAACACACGCGUAAUUACAUCACAAGAAGGUUAAAUACAUAAAAGUAAGAGCUGUUAGUAAGACUUGAAAUGUAAAAUGAUGGUUUUCUCCUUUAUAAAUAUGCAUUUUCUAACACUCAACAGUUUCCACCCAGGGUUGUAAGUAUUUGAAUAUGAGUUGUUCUGAGGCUGUCGAUUGAAAUUACCCACAUAGUUUACUGAAGCUGGAUUUCCAGGACAAUUAUCAAAGUCAUGUUCUUCACCACAGUACAAACAAGAAAGUUCAGCAACUUGCUUCAUUACUGCUGGAGCAGAUGUCAUGGCCUUUACUAUGUUAGUCAAUGAGGUUACUUGUGCUGAUAAGACUGUAAUUGCAUCUAUGUUAUGUACCCUUGUUGUUCCUUUUGCCAUUGGUUGCCUGAUUGAUGACCACUGAUAAUUAUUAUUGGCAAUUCUCUCCAGAAUUUCAUAAGCUUCAGUAUAAGAUUUGGAUAACAUUAAUCUUGUACUCGGAUUUAACCCAUUGUAGAAAGUUUCCAAUUGAAUGCAACAAGGAAUGCCAUGAUGAAGACACCUUCUAAGAAGUUCUUUGAAUCUUUCUCAAGCCUCAUACAAACUCCAAUCUUCAAGUUGAUGGAAAGAAGUAAUCUCAUUCCGCAAUUUUACAUUUUUUGUCGAUGGGAAAUAUUUCAUUAGGAAUUUAUCAGCUAACUCAUUCCAUGUAGUGAUGGAAUCAGAUGGUAAUGAAUUUAACCAUGCUCUUGCUCGAUCUCUUAAGGAAUAAGGAAAAAGCCUCAGUCUUAAGGCAUCUUGUGUUGCUCCAGCAAUCUUGAAAGCAUCACUCACUUCCAGGAACAACUUAAGAUAGAGAUGAGGAUCUUCAUUUGGCAAUCCAUUGAAUUGCCCAACUGUUUGCAACAUUUGAAACAUCACUGGCUUCAAUUCAAAGUUUGCAGCUUCUACUUCAGUUCUGAUUAUCCCAGGAUCUACAACUUGAGGAGUUAACACAACAUAAUCUCUAAUAGCUCUAUCUCUGUCAUCAGCCAUGUAAAUAAUGUUGUUAUUGCCUGGCUGUCUCUCGUUAGCUUGUUCAUUCUGCUCUUCUUGAAUGUUGAUUGGUUGUAAGGGCCCGUGAGGGUCCAAAUUUUCCACAUUCUGCAAAUUAUUCAUGCCUGAAACAAUUUUUGAAUUCCUUUGUUCUCUUCGUAGUCUCCUAACAGUCAUUUCAAUCUCAGGAUCGAAUUGGAAUACCACAGAUCUUUCUUUGCGCAUGUAAGUAUUGAUCUGCCAAUAAAUAGAAUGAUUCAAAUCAAAUUGCCGCUAUCAAGAUUUACUUCACACUUUAAAAAUAAACAAUCAAUCCCCGGCAACGGCGCCAAAAACUUGUUGGUAAAUUUUAUAAUCAAAUGCUACUAAUGCCAAUGUGCAAGUAUACACAACAAGUAAUAAAGUGAUGAAUAUUCAAGAUCGUCUCCACAGGGAUUGAUGUCACUUGAAAUGCUAUAUAUAGCAAUCACAAUAGUGCAAACUAACUUAAGUCCGAAGUUAACAAACGUAACAUAUGUUCUAUCGUAAUUGAUGAUUGUGAAAGAAUAAAAUAAAACAAUACCGUAAUGAAAUAAACUAAAUUAAAUGUGUCUAAGAUUUAAUUGAGACUAUGGUAGUUGAAUGAUCAAACUCUGCUUAUGGGCUGACUGUUUAUCAUCAAGUUAACACCAGCUAUUACGGCAAGUGCUGCAGCACUAGCCAGAAUUAAUAUGCAUCCUCAGCUGUCGCAUAUUGGAACUCUCAUACCCUUAAAUCUAUUAACAAUGACCAGUUGUUAAUCUACUUAUGAUAUGGCAUUAUGACCCUUUAAGCUCUCCACCAUACAAGGUGACCACCUAUGUCCAAUGUGUCACAAAUCUUAACUUUAAGUAUAGCCCUUAUGGGAUUCAGGAUAACUUAAUCUAGGAAACUUAAAUUAAGAUCAAGUAAUACUCUAAUAAUAUCCACUAAGACAUGCCCUUUUGCGGCUAUAUCUUAACUUGAACUAUUAAUUGGGUGGUCAACCGAAAUAACAGUUAUAUUAAUAAUAACUACUAGAGUAAAAUGCUACAGCAACGACAUAACAACACAUAAGAACAGUCAAGAACCCAUUGGAUUGUUUGUCACUCAACUACAAGCAAAUCUAGUUCAUUUUCUGAAUGAGAAAAACAAACAUAAAUAUUUUGUUCACGGGAUACAUCAGAACAAUCAAAUAAAGAAGAAAAGUAUAAGUUGAGAACGGUAAAAAGCAAAUCCAAAUAACUCUGCACGAUUCCCCAAUGCUGUCGAAACUGCACUCGUCAAUUCUAAUCUUCUUCUCCUUUCUUUUCUAAUGAUUUCACGAUAAUUCCCUUGCCGCCUUUCUAUGUGGUGCGCGCCCCCCUUUUAUACUGCAAACUAGGGUAAAUAAAAGUCUGUGGGCGUGCAUGAGUUAAAUUAGGAAACAUGCAGAUUGCGAUUCUACAGCUGGCGCGCGCCUAAGUUUUCUCCCUCAUUGCUCCCAGAUUGCUACAGCACUGGUUGCUCUAACAACAGCUACAACACUGCACUGUUCCUGAUUGUGUUUUACUUCUUUUGCGGCCAUUUUCUUUCCUCCUCUUGCUAAUCUAUUGUCUCAACAUCCCUUCAUUAGUUAAGACUUUCUAAAAACCUACAAUUAUGCACCUGUUUUGAGCACAAAUUACUUUGAUUCAAGCAAAACUUAUUAAGACUCAACUAAAAUGAAUGUUUAUGCAAAAUAUAACCAAAAUGUAAUAAAAACAUCUUAUUUGCUCUCUAUAUAAUCUUGAUUUAAGUUUAGAAUUGAUAUAAUAACUGUCAUUUCAUAGAGUUAUCAGUGACCAACCAUAUUAAGACUCUGAAAACUAUGUUUUCAUAAUUUACAAUGUUGGGUUAUAAAAUAGAAGAAACUGAACAUGCAGAGCUUCUACUUCAAGUCUACUUGACUCGUAUGAUCAACUCAUUAUCAAUUUGACGAUCAAUAUCCUUGCAGAAUACCUAGUCUUUGAUGAUGUUGCAGUCUCUGUAUUAAAGGAAGAGGGUACGCAUAAGAAGAAAGAAGACAAGCAAGUAAGUUUGUAGCAAGUGGAAGCACUAAUGAUGGUGAGAGGGAGAUCAGUGGAACAUGGUCCCAGUGGGUGUUAUAAUCAUGACAUAUCAAAGUCAAGAACUAAGAAGAAAAUCAAGUGCUACAAAUGUGGCAAAAUAGAGCAUCUCAAGAAAGAGUGUUGGAGUAACCAAAAGAGAAGAGAGGGUAAAGAUCCCGAGUCAUUAAAUACCUCAGAUGCUGGUUAUGUUUAUACAACUAGGCAACGAUGGUUGCAGAAGGAAGAAAAUAACUAUUUAAUGUUUGGCUUAUAGACUUAAGAGCCACCUACCACAUGACCUCUUAGAGAGAAGGGUUCCAUAAAUAUGUACUUAUCUUAGGGGGAUUUAUAUACAUGGGUGAUGAUCAUACCUUGGAGAUCGCUCAUAUUGCUACUGUCAAAAUAAAAAUGUUUGAUGGUAUAAUAUGCAUUAUUCAUAAGGUACGACAUGUCAAAGACUUGAAAAAAAAUCUAUUGUCUUUUAGACAAAUAAAUAGUCUUGCCUGUAAAACUCAUGUGGAAAAUGAGAUCAUAAAAAUUGUCAGUCGUGUGCUUGUGUUAAUGAAGGCAGAAAAGAUUAGUGCCAAUUUAUUCAUGCUUAAGAGGGAAAUACUACAGGAAGCUAAUGUGUGGUCGUGUCAAAUGGAGAAGAGUAGGCAACGAUGUGACAUCUUAAACUCAACCACAUGUUCGAACAAGGUUUGAAGAUCUCUCUAAGUGAAAAUUGCUUCCGGGGCUUAAAUCAAUGAACUUACUGUUUUGCGAGUACUGUGUUACAAGCAAGCAUAAUAGAUUGAAGUUUAGCAGAUCUGAUGCCAAAAGUAAAUGCAUUCUAAUCCUGGUUUAUUUUGAUGUUUGGGAAUCAUUGGAUAUGUCUCUAGGAGGUGCAAAGUACAUGGUGACUUUCAUUGAUGAUUAUUUCAAAAGAUGUUAGGUGUAUCUAAUCAAGAAACAGUCAGAUGCAUUUUUAGUGUUCAAAGAAUACAAAAAACAAGUGGAACUUGAAUUCGGGAUAAGGUUCAAGUGUUUGAGGACAAAUAAUAGUGGAGAGUAUACAGAUGAUGAGUUUCUUGCAUACUGUAAGUAAUAAGGUAUUUAGAGAUAGGUCAUGAUGGCACUCCUCAAUAGAGUGGACUAGCAGAGCGAACGAAUGAGACUUAUAUAGAAAGAAUAAGAGCUAUGUUGAGGAUUGCUAGUCUAUCAAACUCAUUUUGGGCAGAAGCAGCCAAAAUCGCUUGUUAUGUGGUUAAUUAGUCUCCAUUAACAACAAUUGAGUUGAAGACACCAACGGAGAUGUGGACUGGGAAGUUAGCUAAUGUUGUGCAAAUUUUAAUGUACUCGCAAGCGCACGAAUCUAUUGUAGAAUAGACUAAUGGUGACGAGUGUCGAUCCCACGAGGAGGUGGAUUUUAAUUGUGUAUAGAAUUAAUUUUGUAAAUGGGUGAUUGGAUUUGUGGUGGAAAUGAUUUGGAAUAUGCUAAAACUUAAAUUAAAAUGGCGAGAAUAAAUUCUAAAAUUGGAAUUGAAAUAGCGAGAAUAAAUUGAAGAGAAUUCUAUUGAAAUGACGUACUUGGGUAUCUGGAUCCGUAUAACCAUGCAUCAUGGGCUAAAUAAUCCUUAUUAAUGCCAAUUAAAUCAUGAGGGGGAAUCCACACCUCAUGAACCACGCUCUAAUCAAUAUGGUGCUAAGGGCUUAUCGUGCCAAAUAAUAAUAACCUUAUACUAGAGAGCCGGUGUAACCAAGGCGGUAUCUAGACAAGAUUAUUAUUAUUUGUCGACGAGAAGUCAAAACAUCCACAAAAACUAGAGGGGAAGAGAAAAUAAAUUUACCAAAUUAAGCCCAUGACACAUGUUGAGACUUCACCUUCAACCCAAGCUUGAAAGGAAAUUAGCUACUCAUAAUUGAACUAGGGGCAAAAUGGAAAUUUAUUAAAAUACGAAGAAAAUACAAGAUGGAGAAGGAAUUACAGAAAAUGGAUCCCAAAAAUGGAUUCAGAGAUAUCAAAUUAGGGGGGGAAGGCCCCCUUUUUAUAGAUACAUGGAGUAAAUCAUGGCCAUCGGAUUAAAAACAGUUUGGACGCUCAGGAUUGCGCCACGUCAUCAGUCAACAGUCCACGCUUGACCACGCGGAUGAACAGUAAUACGGUUUGACCUGGAUGAACAGUAACGCGGUUUGGUUGAAAAUAAUCCUGUGUGAUGCAUGCACCGUACGCGAGAUUUUUCGUCCAUUGAUAUGCUGCCACGUCACCAUCAACAGUACAUAAGAAUUUUAGUCCAACAGGAUCGUGAUACCUCAUCAGUCAAUGCCACAUCAUCGAUCCGUUUAUGUGAACAGUGCCGUGAACAGUAACAUAUACAGUACCGUAUAUGUGAAUAGUACCGUACAUGUGAAUAGUGUCAUUUUUCCUUUUAUGCUCCUCCUAAGGUUUUCGACCGUCCUGAGUUCAAAAGUGAUGUCCGUUUUGCCGUCUGAUCUCUCCUUUAUUGUGAAAUGACUAUAAUGUCCCUAAAAUACAUAAAAUACUUAAUUAAAAUAACACACACGUAAUUACAUCACAAGAAGGUUAAAUACAUAAAAGUAAGAGUUGUUAGUAAGACUUAAAAUGUAAAAUGAUGGUUUUCUCCUUUAUAAAUAUGCAUUUUCUAACACUCAACACACCCCCCAACCAGCUUAUUGCUAGUCCCUAGCAAAUAAAGCGAAAACAAAAUUCAAAUUCAAAAUGAUUUUUUUUUUUUAAACACUCAUGUUUAUUCAAUCAGAUUAAUGAUAAUAAUCAAAUAAAAGUAUAAGCAUUAUCUCCAGUCUAAAGCAACAUCACAUCCACAUCGACCAUCCACAUGAAUUAGCCCAGUAGACUUUGUUAUAGCUAGUUUCAAGAAUGACAUGUCAAACCCCAAAAUCUCACUGGAAGUAGUGACACUCUCACAUAGAAAUUAAAACCUAAUAAACAUAGUCACUCCAAUGAAUGGUAAUUGAGAGAGAAAAUAAUAAAGAAAUGAUAUCACAUGCUCUCAACUUAGAAAUAAUACGAUCUCAAGUCAAAUAAAAUGUUAGUCAACCCACUUUAUUUAUCUUUUUUUUUUUAUUAUGCAUCACUACAUCUUUUUAGGCCAUAUAACUAGCUUCUACUUCAAACUAUAGUUCCCUAAAAUCAAGGACUUUUAUUAGGACGUAACGUAGGCUAGGGAUAUGGCUAACAAAGAAAGGAAAUAAGGAAAACAAAGUGUAUGUUUGAGAAAAAUGCAGAGAAUUUUUUUUUUUUUUUUAAGUUGCAAGGUGUAUUUCACAUAUUGUUGUUAUUUUUAUUCUUUUGAAACAACAAUUUUUUUUUUUUUGCUUUUAUUUGGUAUAACUUCACUGAACAACAUAAUUAUUUACAUUUUCUCAAACAUAAAUAGGUGAUGGAACUUAUAAGACAUCGGGUAAUACUCCAAAUCGGAGUGGGUCAAGAUGAUAAGUUGACAAAGAAAAGGUUUUUUUUUUUUUUUUUUUUUAAAGGCUCAAAAGGGGUAACUAUGGAUAUUUAAUAAAAGGGAUGGCUAGAAAGGCUCAAACGGAUCAAAGAUGGCCUUUCCAUCGUCUUUUAGGGCUCUAAAUAAUUAUCCAUAUCUACUAGUUAGAUGGGCCUCCCAAUGUAGCAACACACAUUUUUUUUUUAAUUUUACCAUUUUUUUUUAAAGGGUUAACUCAAAAGAAAUCUAGAGAUCGUGUAUAAAAUAAUAAACUGCUAAGCUGUAUAGAAAAUGGGCAAAAGGGUUACUCUCCAAGAAAAUGAUAGGCUCAACAACUCACUUGGCACUUAUUUAUGACAUGUUCAUUCCUUCAAGCAACUCAUAUUUGUCUCCGACAUCAACAUGUAAAGUAGCAAACAUAGCGUAACAUCACUUAAGACCAAAGAUAAUACAAAUACUAAAAUUUGAAAUUAAUCAUGUCAUCCAAUGUUAAAACAAAUCACACAAAAUAUUUUUUUUUUUUUGAACUACAUUCUACCCCCCAACCUAUUUUAAACAUGAAAGGAAAAUAUGCAUGCAGAAAUGUGAAAAUGAUGUAGAAAAAUUAAUUAGAAAAAGAAUUUUUUUUUUUUUUUAACUAAGAAGAUGCGUUUCUAGAGGCACUACGCUCCAUAUUCAGCCAUCUUCGACUUAAAAAUUUGAAAAUAUAUAUUUAUAAAGGAGAAAGAGGAAGAAAACGAGUUUUUUUUUUUUUUAAACGAUGAAGAUGCGUUUCUAGAGUAACUUCUCUCCAUAUUCAGCCAUCUUCAACACAAAACGUUAGCAACAGUUAGUUUCUACAACAAAAAAUCAGUAAAAACUUAACCAAGAUUCCACAAUUGUCGACUAUUCCCUCCCCCCAACCAGAACGAAACAUUGUCCUCAAUGUUUUAAAGGAAAGAAGUAGAGUUUAGAAGACAUCACCUGGGUGGUGAAACACAGAAGAAAAUAUUUACAGGAGGAGAGUUAAAUCUAAUUUGUACUUCUUACUGCGGCUACGGUUACCAUCAUUAUUUGGGCACUCCAACACAAAGGUCCAGGGGUCUGGCUCCGGUUUAUAAGCUUGUAACAUAUCAAGUAGCUCAUUAGCAGUGUGAGCACAAAUAAAGAGUUUUUUCACAUUAGAAGGAAUGAAAUAGUUUUUUAUUGCAUGGUUAAGAAAUGCGAUAAAGCCAUCAUAAAAGUUAUUGACAUUUAACAAACCGAUGGGUUUCUGGUGAAUGUGUAGAUGGGCCCAAGAUGCUAGUGUCAUAAGUGCCUCUAGUGUUGCAAGAUCUCCUGGAAGGAAAAUAAAAGCAUCAGCAUGAUUAAGCAUUUCAGUUAUUCUUUCUUGCAUACCUGAGACGACUAACUCUUCUCCAGUUGAUGAGUCAGACGAACUGCCCAAUGGUUUUAGGACUCUUGGGAUGAUGCCUAACACUUGACUUCCUCUGAUAAAAGCUGCUUCUGAGACCAUUUUUGAUAACCCUCGGUUACCUCCUCCAUACACCAAGUGUAAUUUUCUCGCUGCUAUGCUUCAGAUCUAUGGCUGCCUCCACGAACUCUUUAUGUUUGCCAUAGGUAAAUCCAGAAAGCACACAAAUGUUCUUGAAUUGUCUAUUGGGAGUAGCUGCCAUUGUGAUACUUCUCAAAAAUAAUUUGUGAGUGCUUGACAAAAAUUAAAUCACAUUUAAGAAUCUUGGUGACAGUGGAUCACAGCUGUGAUUGAGGUAACAUGUCAGUGUCAAAUAACGCGUAAAGCACGUGGCUCGCGAGUCAAAAAGGAAACAGUAAAAAGGAAAAAGUAAACAGUAAUAAAAUUAUUAAAGACAGUAAUGCAAACGAUAAAACAACAGUAAAGUAAAAGGAUAUUUACAGGUAGUUGCGACUGUGGCUCACAUCUUCCUAUGGUUUUACGUCCAGAAACGGCUUGAACGCCCUCUAUGGGUCGAGGAUAGGCUUCCUAUCCAGUUUUCUUAUAAACUGGCAAACAGGGUUGUUUAUAGUCAGAUUCCCGAGACUAUAUCGUGCAUGCUCUUUUUGGAAUAAUGGCCAUAACUGGAGAAUCGCUCCUUGCACAUAUCCACUAGGAUGCGUUUCAAGAGACAAAAUGAUAUCAUCUAAUGACUCCUUAUUCAAGCCAUCCCUAAUGAAUUGAAUCUUAUCUUUCCUGUUAUCAGACACCAUUCCUAAAGAACAUGGGUUUCUAUCGCAACUCAUUCUGGCACACUUAUGACAAGCAACAGAAAUUCUUCGAGCUCGUUGUUUUCUUGCAUAAUUUCCUUUACCACAACCAGGCAUGUAUGCAAUAAAUUUUGGAGGUAACUCACCUGCCAAUCGUACUUUCGCCUCGAUUAACCAACAGAUGUCAGCAGGUAUGUUAUUCCUCAUGAGUGAUCGCAUGCGUUCGGACCGAGCUUUAUAGAUCGUAAGGAGGGCAUUUUGAGGUAGUGAAGGGAAUCGCUUGUGAAGCUUCGCUAGAAUCUCGUUUCUGUCCAUACUGUCGCCUCAGAAUGUCAGUUAUUAUGGGAAACUGAAGUAACCGACUUGAUUGUCACAGAGUACCGUUAUCCGCCACUUCACCGGGGUAACAAACUAAAGCACAUAAACAGAAAAACAAAUCAAAACACACAAAGAAAAUUAAAAUCGUCCUCUUAUUGAAUUUACCUCAAGCUCCAACUGGAUGUCGUAAACACUUCUCUCAAUAUCUCUGAGUUGGCGUUUUAAACCCUCAACAUAGGCUACUAACUCUGGUGGUUGUAGAGCCCAAAUGCGAUGUGUUUUACAAAAUUGAAUCUGCCUUUUGAGAUGAGUUUUGACACGUUGAAGUGGUUUAAGAAUGUUCAGGAGGAACGGUCUAAGUAAGGUACUCAUGAUUAAAAAUGAUAAAAGAAAACUUAAUAGUUAAACAAACACAGUUAUGCAAAAAUAAUUUCAAUUAGCAGAAGAAUAAUAUAAAGAAAGAAAAAAAAAUCAAUUCAAAUCUGGUGGGUCACUCAAAUUUAUUUCGGUGUCUUCUGCAUGUGGUUGGUACUCUAGAUAUGGCUUUAAUCUUUGACCAUUAACUUUAAACGUGACACCGUUCUUUGGGUCUUUAAUUUCAAUUGCCCCAUGUGGAAAAACAGUAUGAACAAUAAAGGGACCAGACCAUCGAGAGCGUAACUUACCUGGGAAUAGGUGCAAGUGAGAAUUGAAUAAAAGCACUUUCUGACCUAGAGUGAACGAUUUUCUCAUAAUGUGCUUGUCAUGAAAGACUUUCAUUCGUUGCUUGUAAAUCUUGGCAUUUUCGUAUGCGUCAUUGCGAAUUUCUUCAAGUUCUGCCAGUUGUAAUCUUCUUUCUGAGCUGGCUUGCUGCAUGUCAAAGUUGAAUUUCUUGAUGGCCCAAUAUGCACGAUGCUCGAGUUCCACAGGUAGGUGACAAGCUUUUCCAUACACUAGCUUGUAGGGUGACAUCCCAAUCGGGGUCUUGAAAGCCGUUCUAUAUGCCCAUAAUGCAUCAUCAAGUCUUAAUGACCAAUCUUUUCUGUCUGGCCUCACCGUCUUUUCUAAUAUGUGCUUUAUUUCUCGAUUGGAGAUCUCAACUUGGCCACUGGUUUGCGGAUGAUACGGGGUCGCCACUUUGUGUGUGAUUGAAUACUUUGUCAAAAGAGCCUUGAAUGCUUUGUUACAAAAGUGGGCACCACCAUCACUGAUUAUUGCUCGAGGGAAUCCAAAGCAUGAAACAAUGUUGCUUUUCAAAAAUCCUAUCACCACCUUGUGAUCAUUGGUUCUACAUGGAAUUGCUUCUACCCAUUUCGAUACGUAGUCAACACCAACCAAUAUGUAUUGAUGGCCAAAAGAAAGGGGAAAGGGUCCCAUGAAGUCGAUACCCCAUACGUCAAAAAUCUCAACCACUAAAAUUGGAUUUAGUGGCAUCAUGUUCCUUCGUGUAAUACUCCCCAUUCGUUGACACCUAUCACAUGAAGAACAAAAAGUGUAAGCAUCUCGAAAUAUAGUUGGCCAAUAGAAACCACAUUGUAAAACUUUAGUCGCUGUUUUCUUAGCGCUGAAAUGGCCUCCACAAGCUUGUUCAUGGCAGAAUGAAAGGAUAUUCUGAAUUUCACUUUCAGGGACACAUCGCCUAACAAUUUGAUCUGCACAAUACUUGAACAAAUACGGAUCAUCCCAAAAGAAAUUCUUUAUUUCCGCAAAGAAUUUAGCCUUGUCUUGCUUGGUCUAAUGCUCUGGAAGUUUACCUGUAACAAGAUAAUUAAUUAUAUCAGCAUACCAAGGUAAUACUUCCACAUUCAUUAAUUGUUCAUCUGGAAAUGACUCAUUCAAUGGUAAUGGUUCCAUAAUUGUAUCAAAAUGGAGGCGAGAGAGAUGAUCAGCUACAACAUUCUCUGUGCCUUUCUUAUCUUUGAAUUCCAAGUCAAAUUCCUGCAAAAGUAACACCCAACGAAUUAGUCUAGCUUUUGCAUCUUUCUUUGUGAGAAGAUAUUUAAGAGCAGCAUGAUCUGUGAAUAUAAUUAUUUUACAACCAAUGAGAUAAGAUCUAAAUUUCUCUAAUGCAAACACUACUGCUAGCAUUUCUUUUUCAGUAGUUGAAUAAUUCAACUGUGCAUCAUUCAAUGUCAUACUAGCAUAGUAAAUAACGUGGGGAAUUCAAUCAACUCUUUGUCCUAAUACUGCUCCUACUGCAUAAUCAGAUGCAUCACACAUGAGCUCAAAUGGUAAGCUCCAAUUUGGGGCCUGAAUGAUGGGUGAUGAUGUCAACAAUUGCUUUAAUUUUUCAAAAGCCAUAAGACAUGAAUCAUUAAAGAUAAAAGGUACAUCCUUAGCAAGUAAAUUGCAUAAGGGUUUAGAAACUUUGCUAAAAUCUUUAAUGAAACGUCUAUAGAAACCAGCAUGCCCAAGGAAAGAUCUUACUUCUCUGACUAUUUUAGGUGGAGGAAGAUUAGAAAUGAGAUCCACCUUGGCUUUGUCAACCUCAAUACCUUUGCUCGAAAUGAUGUGACCAAGAACAAUACCUUGUUUUACCAUAAAAUGGCACUUCUCCCAAUUCAAGACUAAGUUCUUCUCGGUACAUCUCUGCAGAACUAGCGUUAGAUGAUGUAAACAUUGAUCAAACGAAUCACCAAAGACAGAAAAGUCAUCCAUAAAGACUUCAAGGAAUCGUUCAACCAUAUCAGAGAAAAUGCUCAACAUGCAUCGUUGAAAUGUAGCAGGUGCAUUACAUAAUCCAAAUGGCAUUCUCCUAUAUGCAAAUGUGCCAAAAGGGCAAGUGAAAGUAGUUUUCUCUUGAUCUUUUGGUGCUAUGGGAAUCUGAUUAUAUCCUGAGUAGCCAUCUAGAAAGCAAUAAAAUUCAUGGCCUGCCAAUCUAUCAAGCAUUUGAUCGAUAAAUGGUAAAGGAAAAUGGUCUUUACGUGUGACAGAAUUCAACUUUCUAUAAUCAAUGCAUACACGCCAUCCUGUAGUCACUCUAGUGGGUAUUAAUUCAUUAUCGGCAUUCGUAACUACUGUGACUCCUGACUUUUUGGGGACAACUUAUACAGGACUGACCCAUGAACUAUCAGAAAUUGGGUAAAUGAUACCUGCGUCUAAUAGCUUAAGGACUUCAGUUCUAACAACUUCUUUCAUAUUAGGAUUUAACCGACGUUGCAUUUCCCUAGUAGAUUUAGCAUUUUCAUCAAGGUGAAUGUAAUGCAUGCAGUCUAUUGGGUUUAUACCUUUUAUGUCUGCUAUGGUCCAUCCUAAUGCUCCUUUGUGCUCUUUUAAAACAUCCAACAACUUAUCUUUUUGUUCGUCAUUUAGGGAUGAUGAGAUGAUUACCGGCAAAGUACUUUCUUCUCCCAAAAAUGCAUAUUCCAAUGUGUUGGGCAAUGGUUUGAGCUCGAGUUUCGGUGGUGAUUCUGAUGAUGGGAUGAGUUUCUUCUCUGAUGGUGCUAGUUGUUCAACUCUUGACUUCCAUUUAUUAGUGUCCAUGUAUGGUGCUGAGUCAAGCAGGGCGUUGACCUCAUCGACCGAUCUGUCAAUAUCAAAAUCCAAACCAAAGUGAGUUAAACAUGUUUGUAAAGGAUCAUCACUAAGGUUUGAAACAAAAGUGCCAUCAACUAUUGUUUCUAUUAAAUCCACAUCAACAAUUCCAUCAUCUGCAUUAUGAGGCUGUUUGGCAAUGUUGAAGAUGUUCAGCUCCAUAGUCAUGUUGCCAAAGGACAACUGCAUAUUUCCAGUCCUGCAUUGAAUGUGAGCAUCCGCAGUUGCCAAGAAAGGUCGGCCUAGGAUAAUGGGGAUGUGCUUCCUUGAAUCCCGUAUUGGUUGAGUGUCAAUUACAAUGAAAUCAACAGGAAAAUAAAACUUGUCUACCUGGAUAAGCACGUCCUCCACAAUACCACGAGGUAUUUUCGUAGACCGAUCUGCAAGCUGUAACACCACUGGAGUUGGGUGUAAUUCUCCCAGUCCAAGUUUCACGAAUACAGAGUAAGGCAACAAAUUUACACUAGCUCCUAAAUCCAACAAAGCAUUCUCAAUUGUGUGGUUCCCUAUACUACAUGAGAUAGUGGGGGAGCCUGGGUCUUUGCAUUUUAAAGGAAUUUUAUGUUGGAGUAUAGAACUAACGUUUUCUGUUAAAAAUUCCUUCUUUUGAACAUGCAUAUUUCUCUUUUUAGUACAAAGGUCUUUAAGAAACUUGGCAUAAGAUGGAACUUGCUUUAUAGCAUCAAGUAAAGGGAUGUUAACACUUACCUGUUUGAAGAUUUCGAGAAUCUCACCUGUGGAUUUUCCCUUCUUUCCUUUCGCUAACCUCUGAGGAAAUGGAGCCUUGGGAACGUAUUCUCAUGGGUUGGUUUCUUCUCUCUCCUCCGGUGGUGAGUCCUCAACAUUUACAGGUACAAUUUGAUUUUCUUUUGUUACCGGCAUCUCCACUUUGUUGUCGACUUUCUUUCCUUUUCGCAAGGUCAUGACUGCUUUGACCUCUCCAUGCUGUUGUGGUGAACUGGUACUUGCUUCAUGCACUCCUUUAGGAUUAGGCACUGGUUGACUUGGAAACUUGCCUUUCUCAACAGUCAUUGCCAAGGUCUGAACUGAAGAAGCAAGCUGUCCCACCAUCUUCUCGAGGCUUGAAACUGAUUGGGCUUGUGAGUUGAAGCCCGCUCUCAACUCAUUUCGUAGUCCAUCAUUGGUGCGAUUCUGUUGCUCAAUCGUGGAGUGAGUAAGAUUCUUGAGAUUCUGGAAUGAAUCCUCCCAUGGUCUGGGUUGAGAGUAGUUAUGGUUCUGAUUGAAUGGUCUAAAUGGGGGCUGAGAGGCUUGAGGAACUUGAGGAAUUUGUGGAGCUGGAGCUGCUGGUCCAUUCUGCUGGAAUCCUUGAGACCAUGAAAAAUUGGGGUGGUCUCUCCAUCCAGGAUUAUAUGUGUUGGAGUAUGGGUUGUAAUUAGAUGGUUUUCUCAUUACACCUAUGGCAUUGGCUUGAUCUGAGUAUGAGUCAUGGUCAUGUGGUUCUGUUGAUUUAGCAGUCGAUAACGAUGCUAUUUGUCGAGCAAGACCUUUAACCAUCUCCUUGACUUCUUUGAUUCCUGAAGUUGAUUCGCCAAUUUGAACCUCAUUCACUCCUUUAAUUCUUCUAGUAGUCCUGAGUGAUCGACUCCGUUGUUGGGAAUUAUCCGCUUGUCGCUGGAAGAAUUCCCAAAUCUCCGAUGCACUUUUUGACAUUAGCUCUCUUCCACUUGUUGCCAUUAGCCAUUCUUGCACAUUCGGCAAUAAUCCCUCCAAAAAGUAUUGGCAUUGGUGCCAUUUCUCGUACCCAUGAUGUGGACACUUCAAGAGUAGCCCAUUGAAUUGCUCCCAAGUUUCGAAAAACUGCUCGUCCUCUCUUUGUGUAAACUCUUAAAUUUCCCUGCGAAUAGAAUUGGUUUUAUGCACUGGGAAAUAUUUAUUUAGAAAUUUUGUAGCCAUUUUUUCCCAUGAUGCAAUGCUAUUAGCAGGCAAUGUAUUAAGCCAUGAACGAGCUCUAUCCUUUAAAGAAAAUGGGAAUAAUCUGAGUUUAACAUCAUCGUCUGAAAAAUUUUCAUAUUUAAAAGUUUGACAAAUGGCAUGAAAAUCAUUCAGAUGAUUAUAUGGGUCCUCAUUUUCUAGGCCAUAAAAUGUGGGGAGACAAUUUAGCACACUAGGUUUUAAUUCAAAACUCCUAGCAGCUACAUUUGGGUAUCUUAUACAUGAUGUGCUCAAAUUAGCUAAAGGACUAAAAUAGUCCUUAAAUGGCCUCUCCUGUGGUGCUUGUAAAUCCAUUCCAAAUUUAUUUUCAAUGUGCUUUUGUGUGCGAAGUGUUUUUUCUAGUUCAAGGUCUAUAGGUUCAAGAUUAGGUAAUAAUGACCUAUGACCAUGCAUGCAAAACAAAUAAAAUAAAAAUAAAGAUGGGAACAAAAACAAAUAAAAAUAAAGAAGAGGGAGAAAUUACGAUACUAACCUUAUUGCGCUGUUACAACCUUUCUAUAAAAAUACACAAAAACAAAUACGUGAAAUAAAUUAACUAAAAAUUAAAUUAAUAAAAUAAACAAAAAUUACAAAGAAAAAAUAAAUUGAAAAAUAAAUUACAGAAUUUUAAAGAAGAGAAAAAGAAAAGAAAUACUAACCUUUAAAUGCAAAUUCACUUUUUUUUUUAAUAAAAAAAUACAAGAAAACAAUUUAAAAGAAAUUAUUCACACAAAUUAAUUCUAUGAAUUAAAAUUACUUACCUCCCCGGCAACGGCGCCAAAAACUUGUUGUGCAAAUUUUAAUGUACUCGCAAGCGCACGAAUCUAUUGUAGAAUAGACUAAUGGUGACGAGUGUCGAUCCCACGAGGAGGUGGAUUUUAAUUGUGUAUAGAAUUAAUUUUGUAAAUGGAUGAUUGGAUUUGUGGUGGAAAUGAUUUGGAAUAUGCUAAAACUUAAAUUAAAAUGGCGAGAAUAAAUUCUAAAAUUGGAAUUGAAAUAGCGAGAAUAAAUUGAAGAGAAUUCUAUUGAAAUGACGUACUUGGGUAUCUGGAUCCGUAUCAACAUGCAUCAUGGGCUAAAUAAUCCUUAUUAAUGCCAAUUAAAUCAUGAGGGGGGAAUCCACGCCUCAUGAACCACGCUCUAAUCAAUAUGGUGCUAAGGGCUUAUCGUGCCAAAUAAUAAUAACCUUAUACAGAAAAUGGAUCCCAAAAAUGGAUUCAGAGAUAUCAAAUUAGGGGGGGAAGGCCCCCUUUUUAUAGAUACAUGGAGUAAAUCAUGGCCAUCGGAUUAAAAACAGUUUGGACGCUCAGGAUUGCGCCACGUCAUCAGUCAACAGUCCACGGUUUUACCACGCGGAUGAACAGUAACAUGGUUUGACCCGGAUGAACAGUAACACGGUUUGGUUGAAAAUAAUCCUGUGUGAUGCAUGCACCGUACGCGAGAUUUUUCGUCCACUGAUAUGUUGCCACGUCACCAUCAACAGUACAUAAGAAUUUUAGUCCAACAGGAUCGUGACACCUCAUCAGUCAAUGCCACAUCAUCGGUCAAUGCCACGUCAUCGAUCCAUCUAUGUGAACAGUGCCGUGAACAGUAACAUAUACAGUACGUAUACGUGAAUAUUACCGUACAUGUGAAUAGUGUCAUUUUUCCUUUUAUGCUCCUCCUAAGGUUUUCGACCGUCCUGAGUUCAAAAGUGAUGUCUGUUUUGCCGUCUGAUCUCUCCUUUAUUUUGAAAUGACUAUAAUGCCCCUAAAAUACAUAAAAUACUUAAUUAAAAUAACACACACGUAAUUACAUCACAAGAAGGUUAAAUACAUAAAAGUAAGAGUUGUUAGUAAGACUUGAAAUGUAAAAUGAUGGUUUUCUCCUUUAUAAAUAUGCAUUUUCUAACACUCAACAGCUAAUUACUCUUAUUUGGAUGCAUUUGGAUGUCCUGUAUAUGUUAAGUACAAUACCCACGAAAGAACAAAGUUGGAUCCAAAAUCUAAGAGAUGUAUCUUCUUGGGAUAUGUUGAUAGAGUGAAGGGAUCUUGUUGGGUAAUUUCUAUUGCUAUGGGUGUGAAUGUGUAAGUGUACACAACAAGUAAUAUACUAAUGAGUAAUUAUAUCGUCUCUAUAGGGAUUGAUGUUAUCAGAUUUACUACAACAAUCUUAACAAUGCAAUUUUGUUCUAAAUUAAAAGAAUUGAAAUAAAUACAAUUAAGACAAAAUGCUAUAGCAAACAUAGAGCAACACACGUAUAUCAGUCAAACAUCUAUUAAGAUCGUUUAUCACUUAGCUACAAUAAAAUUUAGUUCAUAAUUUGUGAUAGAACAGCAAAUACAAUUGUUAUAGCCAUCCAAUACAUUCCCAUAAGUAAAUGGAAAUCAGAAAAUAAGAAGAAGAACUGAAGUUUGCUUGGUCUUUGUGAUUUCACCUCUGUUUCCUUAUUGAAUCUAUUGUUACAGCCCUCAAAACUAUCUUUUAAUUUCUACUUUCUUAUUAUUUCUAUUUUCUUAUUAUUUCUAUUCGGUGAUCUCCUUGGGUGACAACUCUCUCUUUUUCUUUUCAUGCGUAUUUCUUUUAUAACUCAGAAUUAGGGCAACUAAAAGUGUAUGGCACGUAUCCUCCAUUUUAGAAACUUUAGAUCGCAAUCUUUUAGUUGUUGCGCGCGAAAUCCAGUCUAUAAUUGCUUCAAGAUUGCUACAACAACGGCAACAGCAUUUGCACUGUUCCAGACUUGUUUCAAUUCCUCUAUACCUAAGUUUUUUCAGUGUCUCUGUAAGUCUGUUGCGGUAGGCAUUUCUUCCUUAAAACUUGAGCUUUCAGGCAGCUAUAAUUAUUUAUAUAAUCUAAAUAUAAAUUCUUUUAAAAUAACUCAAUUUAUUAAAAAUAAACUAAAAUGGAUGCUCAUGCAAAUUGUAACUAAAAUGACAUAAAAGCACAUCAUUUACUCUCUAAGUAUUAUUAAGUUAAGUCUAAAAGUGUCAUGAUAACUCUCAUUUCAUAGAGUUAUCAGGUAUUGUAUGUGGGAUCCUACUGCCCAUAAGAUAGUCAUCAGCAGAAUUGUUAUCUUUGUAGAAGAUUGAGUACAAAGGAAAGAUGAGAAUGAUAGCACUGUAAAGAAAACGUCAGAGAUUGUACUGGUAUUUAUGAAAAAUAAUCUAUAAAGAAAAGAUUCAGAUUUUUCUAAAGCAGCCCUAGAGCAUAAGGAACAAGAAUCAGUUGAAUCCGAGGCUCUAGAACUUUGUCGGUCAACUUAUGAGAGUCGAUCACUAGUGUGGCACUCGGAGUAUGUUAUAAAGAUCAAUAUUGUAUACUGUCUUCUAACAAAGGAUAGAUAGCUAUCUGAUAACUCUAUGAAAUGAGAGUUAUCAUGGCACUUUUAGACUUAAAUCAAUAAUACUUUGAGAGUAAAUGUAAUGUUUUUAUUGCAUUUUAGUUUUAUUUUGUAUGAAUAAUUAUUUUAGUUUAUUUUUAAUAAAUUGCAUUGUUUUAGAAUAAUUUACAUGCUUAAAUCAUAUACAUAAUUGUAGGUGUCCGGAAGCUCAAAUUUCAAGGAAGGAAUGUUGAUGCAAUAGGCUUGCAAAAAUAAGGAAAGAACAUGGCUACAAAGAAUUAAAACAAAUCUAGAAUAGUGCAGUUGUUAUAGCCGUUGCUGUAGCAGCCGUUGCUGUAGCAACCAUUGCUGUAGCAAUCCUGGAACAACGACAGAGAAAAUUUUGCACGGGAUACUUGUAGAAUUGCGAUCUACAGUUUCCUAAUCUGACUUAUACGCGCCCUACGCUUCCGUUUACCCUAAUUUUUAGCUAUAAAAGAAGCACACAUUAUAAGGAAUAGGGAAAGCCGUCACCCAAGGAGAAAGACACAAAGAAACAAAAGAAAAACAAGAUUUAAGAGAGAGAUUAAGGGCUGUACAAGAGGAAAAAUUGCAGAAAUCAAUUGGGAACUCAAUCCUUCUUAUCAUUCUCUUGUUUUCGUGUUUUCUAUUUAUUCAUGGGGAUGUGUUUCAUGACCGAAACCUUGUUCUUUACUUUUCUUUUGCAAACAAUGAACUAAAUUUAGUUGUAGUUGAGUGAUAAACAAUCUUAAUGGUUUAUUUACUGAAAAUAUGAGUUGUUGCAUGCUUGCUGUAGCAUUUUAUUUUGGUAGCAUUUAUUUUUAUUCAUUAUUUUGGUUGAUCACCCAUUUAAUGAUACAAGUUAGGAGAGAGCCACAAAAGGGCCUAUCUUAGUUGAACAUAUCAGAGCAAUACUUAGUCUUAGAUUAGGUUUCCUGGAUUGAGUUUUACUUGAGUCCAAAAGAGUCAUGCUUGAUCUAAGAUUAGUGAUGAACUAGACAUAGGGAUUCACCUUGUAUGGUAAAUAGAACUUAAGCGUGUAAUGCUACAUCUUAUGUUGGCAUAACAACCGAUCACUAUUAGGUUGCAUAUAGAUAUAAGAUAUCCAACAUGCGACGGCUGAUAAUACAUAAUGAUUCUACUCAGUGCUGUAGCAGAUGCUGUAGCAACCGAGCCAAAUAUUAGAAAAAUAGUCAAAAUCAUUAAGAGAGUUUAUUCACUCAACUACUCUAUAUUCCCAUUGGUUUUAUCCUUGAGCUUGACGUGACAAUUUACUUUGUUGCAUUUUAUUUAUUGCGUUUUUUAUUUUAAUUAGUAUAUUAAUUUCGUUGAUUGUUUUAUCUUAAUUUAGAACAAAAUCUGCAUUUGUUAAGAUUGCUGUAGCAAGUCUGAUAACAUCAAUCCCUGUAGAGACGAUCUUGAAUACUCAUCAUUUUAUUACUUGUGAUGUACACUUGCAUAUUUACACUAAUAACAUUUGAAUUUAUACCCAACACCAUCAACUUUCCAUGACGCUUUAAACAACUCAGAUGUUAUUUUGUGGAUGACAGCAAUGCAAGAAGAAAUUGAAGCUCUACAUAAGAAUAAGACAUGGGAACUUAUACUACUACCACGUGGAAGAAAAAUCAUUGGAAAUAAAUGGAUCUACCAGAUCAACUGUGAUGGCAAUGAUCAAGUGGAGCGAUAUCGUGCAAGAUUGGUGGUGAAGGUAUAUGCUUAGAAAGAAAGUAUUAACUUCAAUAAGAUAUUUUAUCCGAUAAUUGGACUCACGACAGUUAAGGCCUAGCAACGUUUGCUAUAUUCUACCUACAUUUAGAGCAAUUGGAUAUGAAAACUACAUUUCUUCAUAGAGAACUUAAAGAAGAAAUUUAUAUGCUCCAACAAGAAGGUUUUGUUUAAAUAGGUAAGGAGAACUUAGAUUUCAGGUUAAAAAAAUCUUUAUACGGUCUUAAACAGGUGCCAAGGUGUUGGUAUAAAAUAUUUAAUUCCUUCAUCAUGACCUUUAGAUACAAUAGACUCUGUUUAGACCAUUAUGCAUACUACAAGAGGUUUGAGGAUAAUGAUUUUAUCAUUUUGCUGUUGUGUUUGGAUGACAUGUUGGUAGUAUGGCACAACAAAUAUCGAGUCCAAGAAUUAAAGGCAUAAUUGAAUAAGGAAUUUGAAAUGAAGGACUUGGGACCAAUAAACAAGAUUCUAGGGAUACAAAUUUACAGAGAUAGAAAUAAUAGGAAGAUUUGGCUUUCUCUGGAGAAAUACUUGAAAAACAUCUUGUAGUACUUUAACAUGCAAGAUUGUAAGCCAAUUUCUACCCCACUUCCUGUUAAUUUCAAGUUAUCCUUAAGAAUGUGUCCUUGCAAUGAAGCAGAGAGGAAAUAGAUGUCUCGAGUAUUGUUUACUUCAAUAACAGGAAGUUUGAUGUUCGUUAUGAUAUGUACUAGACCAACUAUUGUACAAGCAGUGGGAACGGUCAGUAGAUAUAUGGUGAAUCCUAGUGGAGAGCAUUAGAAAAUUGUAAAGAGGGUUCUUAGAUACAUCAGAGGAACCUCAGAUGUUGUAUUAUGUUAUGGAGGAUCAAAAUUUAUUGUGAGGGACUAUGUGAAUUCAGAUUUUAUAGGAGACCUUGAUAAAAAAAAAAUCCACUACUGACUAUAUAUGUUUACACUUACAGGAGGAGUUGUAAGCUAGGUUUUAAAACUACAAACUAUUGUGCCUUUAUCUACAACAGAAGCAGAAUACAUAGUAGCUACACAAGCUUGCAAAGAAGUUAUUUGGAUACAAAGGUUAUUGAAGGAGCUCGAGUACAAACAAGAGAAUAUUUCUAUGUUUUGUGACAAUUAUAGUGACUUGCAUAUUACAAGGAAUCCAGUCUUUUAUUCUAGGACAAAGCACAUAAGUGAUUAGUAUUAAAAAUUGUAUGAUUAUCAAGCGAUAAAAAUAUUAUUUGGUGCUUAUAUUACAAAUUAUAUUUGUGUUUAUACAAUAUAUUAAGAAUUAUUAAUUAUGUCUUGACUAUAUUUAAUUGUGUAUUUUUGUGUGUUUAUUAGGUAAAAUAUUAAAUUUGUGUAACUCGAGGCUCCAAACAGAUAAACGGAUGACAAAUUCAAAUUCCGGAGGUCGGAAACCUUAAGAUGAGUCAAAACCGACUUAUAAUUGAGGUUGUGUAAAAUAGUUGACUUUUUCUGUUGACCGAGCACUGAUUGGAUGAUAAAAUGAGCUUACAAUAGAUGUGAGUGCAUUGAAUAGCUAGUAAUUUUGACUAAAUCUCAACCGUUCAUAAUUCAAUGGUCAUAAUUGUGCCACAUGGCAAUGGUUGGUGAAGCAAGUUGUUGGAUCCGAAUAUUUGUAUUCGAGUCAACCCGAUCCACCCAUUAACCCACCAAAUCUCAACCAUUUUUUGACCAAAUCGGACGCGUCAAAUGAUGUCACGUGUAAUGUUAACUUUUGAAGUUUGACCAGUCGUUGGAUCGUGAUCUAAUGGCUGUGAGGAGGGCUUGCAUAAAGCUUAUGAUGGGCCGCAAAACACUGUCUUAUGAAUUUAUUUUUCUAUAAACAGAGCCCCAUUUUUAUGUUUUUUAUCAUCUCUCUACAUCUCUCUUCUUCUCAAUUUCUCUUAAUUUCCCUGUAAUCUUGUUUUUCAGGUGUGUUUUUAAUAUUUUGUUUAAUUAUUUUUAUAAAUAAAUUUAGUUUUAUUUUCAAUUUUAGUUGUUUUUAUUAUUUUUAAUUAUGAGUAAUUUAAUUUUAAUAAUUAUUUUUAUUUCAAUUAUGCUUAACUAAACAAUAAUAGUUAGGGUAAGGUGAAACUCUUAGGAAAUAAAUAUGAUUUAAUGAAAUUCUAUUUUUAUUUAUAUAAAUUAAAUUAUUUUCUAUUUAAUUUUAUACAUAUUUUAUAUUUUGAAAAUUUGAUUUAUUAUACAAAAAUAAGGGAGUUUGGCACAAUAAAUUCUCAAUAUCUUAAUAUAAGGUAUGGUAAAAUGGCAUUUUGACUUAUUGUAGACAAAUUAAAUUUUGGUACAAUAAAUACUUUGUCCGUAAUAAAAUUAAUGGGAAAAUAAUAAUAAUUUAUAUAAUUAAUCUUUUGAGUAAUAAAUCUAAAAAAAUGACAAAAAGAAUUUAUUAAAUUUUAUUUACUACUAAGAGUGGAUCCAUAACUCUAAUGGAUCUAUAACCCUUACUAAUUCAAUUUCAUAGUUUCAUUUAAAUUAAGUUGUAUAAGUUUUAUUUUCAUUUUUAGAUAAAGUAAAAUAAACAAAGUAAAUUUUUUCUAUGUGGAUCGAUCUCGAACUCACUGAACUAUAAUAUAAUAAGACACUCUUAUACUUGGGAGUUAGAAAUCACUUUUAAGAGUUGCCAAGUUUUUUGCGCUUGCCGCGAAUAGUUUUUUUGUUUUGUAAAUUUUCGUUGACACCCUUUUCCUCUUCUGAAAUUGUGUUUUGUCCAUAAAAUCUUUCAGAAUCUUUAGUUGCACCCCAUAUGGCUUUGUUCUAAGCCUUUAAAAAUUGUUGUGUGACCAUAAAAUUAUAAAGAAUUUGUAAAAAGAUCCCUGGACGAAAUUUCUUAUAUAAUUAGACUUGGACUUACAGCUUGGAAUUGUUUGGACUAAGCAAAUUGAAUACUGACUCUUAAUUUUUUUAGUUAUUUAAUUUUCGUUUUUAUUUUAUUUUAUUUUAUUUUAUUAUAUUAUACGGUUUGUUUGACCGGCUAAAUUGUUAUUUAAUUUUCAGUUUUUUUAUUAUUUUGCAUUUAUUUUAUAUUGUUAAUUUAUAUGGUGGGUUCAACCACCUAAAUUGUUAUUUAAUUUUAAUUGUAUUUUUUGUACACUUAUAUUAUUUGCAUAUUAAUUUUCAUUUUCUUUUGUGCAAUUUUCAUUUAGUUCUAUUGUUACUAGUUUGUUUGAAUAUUACCUUUGUGACAUAAUCAUUGCAUGAGAUGUUGGUCUUGAACUUCAAGUGGCAGGUUAAUUCAUAGAUUUCAAUCACCACCAUCAAUUAUAGAUGAGAUCCAAGAUGGAAACUUUUUGGGCGAACCUAAUCUUCAGAUUGACCAGGGAGAUAACCAUUCUCAACAUAAUGCACGUGAUCAAAAUCAACUAAGAACUCUGAGAGACUACAUGAAUCCAACUAGAACCAGAGCACCGCCGUGUAUAGUAUUUCCUCCAGAAGCAUCUCCAUUCAACUUCAAACCAGGUAUUAUCCAACUUUUACCAAUAUUUAAUGGUUUAGAAUAUGAGAAUACAUACUUACACAUAAGUGAUUUUGAGGAAGUUUGUAAUACAUAUACAUACCAAAAUUGUAGCACGAACAUAAUUAGACUAAAGGUUUUUCCUUUUUUGUUAAAAAAUAAAGCUAAAACUUGGUUAAAAAACCUUACAUCUGGAUCAAUAAGAACUUGGAAUAAUAUACAAGAACAAUUUUUGAAAAAAUUCUUUCCACCUCAUAGAACCAAUUCUUUUAAAAGGCAAAUUACUUCUUUCACUAAACAAAAUGGAGAGACAUUAUACCAAUGUUGUGAUAGGUUUAAAGAAUUGCUUAACAUAUGUCCACACCAUGGUUUUAAAACUUUGCGAUUGGUCACUUAUUUCUAUGAGGGCUUAAUACCCAAAGUAGACAGGUUGUUAAAAUGAUGUGUAAUGGUGAAUUAAGGGAUAAAAAUCCUGAAGAUGGGCUAGAUUACCUUGAACAAUUAGCUGAAAAUGCACAACAUUGAGAUACUGUUGGAACUUUUGAAUUGACAAAUAAACCACAAUCAUCUCCAUCUAGUGGAGGAAUCCAUAACCUUAGGAAAGACCAUGAUUUACAAGCAAAAUUUGCAUCCUUAGUUAGAAAAUUGAAGCUUUGGAGCAUAAAAAGAGUGAUCAAGUAAAAUCUAUUCAAGAAAUUGUAUGUAAUAUUUGUAGUUCGAAUGAUCAUUUCACUCAAGAUUGUCCCGCUCUGCUUGCACUUAAAGAAUGUCUACAUGAUCAAGCUAAUGCCAUUAACACUUUUAAUAAGUCAAACCCAUAUUCACAGACUUAUAAUCCUGGUUGGAGAAAUCAUCCAAAUUUCAGUUGGAGGAAUAAUGAUAAUGCACAAUCUUCACAAGCACCACCUCCACAAAAUUUUCAAAAUGCUAAGCCUUAUGCACCAUAUGUUCCACUACCAUGGAAAAAUCUGAAAGACACAGUGCAUUCAUUCACCAGAAAGCAAGAUGUUAUUAACAAUCAAAAUACACAAACAUUUUCUGAUUUGAAAGAUGCUCUUGCUAAAAUUGCUUCUGCACUCACAAUUAAAAAAAAGGAAAAUUUACAACUCAACCACAACCAAAUUCUAAGAGUCAACAAAAUCCACCCAUGGACCAAGUCAAGUCAGUUAUAACUCUUCGUGGUGGUAAGGUUAUUGAUAGAUCUAUUCCUGAACCUUGUGAAGAUGAUGAAAAUUCAAAGAGUAAGGAAGGACUAAAUGAACUUACACCUAGUGAAUAAAUAACCAGUGUUCCACCUGAACCACCAUUUCCGCAUGCAUUGAAUAAACCAAAGAAAUCAAACCACUUUUCUAAAAUUUAUGAAAUUUUUAAGCAAGUGAAAGUUAACAUUCCUCUAUUAGAUGCAAUUAAGCAGGUACCUUCAUAUGCCAAAUUUUUGAAAGACUUGUGAAAUGUCAAGAGGAAAUUAAAAGUAAGAAAGAAAGCUUUCAUGGUUGAACAUGUAAGAACAAUUUUGUCUGCUUUACUAAAUCUUGGUGCUAGUGUUAAUUUGCUUCCAUAUUCAGUUUAUCUUCAACUUAAUCUUGGUGAGUUAAAAUCAAUUUCAACUACACUUUUGCUUAUCGAUAGAAAAUCAAUUUCAACUACACUUUUGCUUAUCGAUAGAUCAGUUAAAGUACCAAAAGGAAUAGUGGAAGAUGUUUUAGUACAAGUUGAUAAAUUUAUAUACCUUGUGGAUUUUAUUGUCUUAGAAAUUAAACAUGUUGUGAAUGAUUAUAAACCAAUUCCUGUAAUUUUAGGUCGACCAUUUUUAGCAACUGCUAAUGCUUUGAUUAAUUGUAGGAAUGGUUUAAUGAAUUUAUCCUUUGGAAAUAUGACUUUAGAAUUGAAUGUUUUCAACAUGUGCAGGCAACCUAAUGAAGAAAAUGAGAAUGAAGAUGAUAUUGAUUAUCAAAAGGAAUUGCUUGAAUCUUGUAUAGAGAAAAAUAUUCAAAAAAAGGAUUUUUCUGAACUCUGAUGUUUGUUUAAUUAAUUCAAUUGAGUCAAAUAAGCAAUUUGAACUUGAUAUUUCUAGUAUAAAUUUGUUGCUUGAUUUUUUACAGAAUUAUGAUGAAGAGCCAAAAUUUGAGGAGCUUGGAAGUAUUGAAAAGAUAGAACAACAAGAAGCACUUAAACUGGAAUUGAAACCUUUACCUAAAGGAUUGAAGUAUGCUUUUCUUGGAGAAGAACAAACUUAUCAUGUUAUGAUUUUUUCUACUUUAACAAGCGACUAAGAAGGUAAGUUACUAACUGUUCUUAAAAAGCAUAAAAAUGCAAUUGGAUGGACUUUAAAUGAUAUUAAAGGCAUUAAUCCCUUAAUUUGCGCACAUAUAAUUAAUUUGGAAGAAAAUGCUAAAACAUGUCAACAAUCUCAAAGAAGAUUAAACCCACGCAUGAACAAGGUAGUUAAAACAGAAGUCCUUAAAUUGCUUGAUGUGGGAAUUAUCUACCAUAUUUCUGAUAGUAAAUGGGUAAGUUCUACACAAGUAGUGCCCAAAAAAUCUGGAAUCACUGUUGUUAAAAAUGAAAAAGGUGAAUUAAUUCCAACACGAAUUACAUCUAGUUGGCACAUAUGCAUUGAUUAUAGAAAGUUAAAUGAAGCCACUAGAAAAUAUCAUUUUCCAUUACUAUUUAUUGACCAAAUCUUAGAAAGAGUAGUUAGACAUCCUUACUAUUGCUUUUUAUAUGGAUAUUCAGGUUAUUAUCAAAUUCCUAUAGGACUUGAGGACCAAGAAAGACCUCAUUUACAUGUUCUUUUAGAACAUUUGCAUUUAAAAGAAUGUCAUUUGGGCUUUGUAAUGCUCCUGCAACAUUUCAAAGAUGUAUGCUAAGUAUUUUAUGUGAUAUGGUGGAACAUUGUUUAGAGGUCUUUAUGGAUGAUUUGACUGUGUUUAAGAAUUCUUUUGAUGAUUUCCUUGAUAAUUUGGAGAACGUUUUAAAAAGAUGUGUUGAAAAAGACCUUUUGUUGAAUUAGGAAAAAUGUCACUACAUGGUUACUUCUGGAAUUAUUUUAGGUCAUAUUGUAUCUGUUAAAGGAAUUGAAGUUGACAAAGUAAAAAUAGAAGUCAUAUCUAAAUUGCCACAACAAAAAACAGUUAGAGAUGUGCGAUCCUUUUUAGGACAUGUAGGAUUUUAUUGGAGGUUUAUAAAAAAUUUUAGUACCAUAUCUAAACCACUUUGUAACCUCUUAUUAAAAGAUGCACCAUUUGAAUGAACUAAUGAUUGCCAAAAAUCUUUUGAGGAAAUAAUUUAUCUUUUAACAUCUGCACCUAUUAUGAAAUCUCCUGAUUGGUUUUUACCUUUUGAAUUGAUGUGUGAUGCAUGUGAUUUUGCUGUUGGUGCUGUUUUAGGACAAAAAAUGGAUGGUAAGCCCUUUGUGAUUUAUUAUGUGAGUAAGACUUUGAAUAAUGCCCAAAUGAAUUAUUCUUCAACUGAAAAGGAAUUACUUACUGUGGUAUUUGCAUUAAACAAAUUUCGUUCAUAUUUUCUUGGCUCUAAAUCUAUUGUUUUUACUGACCACACAGCUGUGAGAUAUUUGAUGAGUAAACAGCGUGCCAAACCGAGAUUAAUUCGUUGGAUUUUGUUGCUUUAAGAAUUUGACCUUACUAUUAAAGAUAAAAAGAGUGUCGAAAAUGUCGUUGUUGAUCAUUUAUCAAGACUCACAUCUGAAUUCUGUACUGAUAUAACACCCAUCAAUGAUUCUUUCGCUGAUGAAUUUUUAUUUUCUAUUACUUUAAUGCCAUGGUAUGCUAACAGUGUUAAUUUCCUUGUUACAGGUAAAAUGCCUUUGCAAUUGAAUGCUCAAGAGAAGAAGAAAUGUUUUGUUGAAGUAAAGAAAUUUUAUUGGGAUGAUCCUUACUUGUUCAAAUAUUGCCCAUAUCAAAAUUUUCAGCGACGUAUUCCUCAUAAUGAGGUAGGUAGUGUCAUUAAUCUUUUUCAUUAUGAAGCAUGUGGUGAACACUUUUCAUCAAGAAAAAUUACAGCUAAAAUUUUGUAAUGCGGAUUUUAUUGGCCUACUAUAUUCAAAGACACAUAAAUUUUGUAAAACUUGUGAAAAAUGUCAAAAAUUGGGAUCAAUUACUAAAAGAAACAUGAUGCCCUUAAAUCCUAUACUUGAGAUUGAAAUAUUUUAUUGUUGAGGAAUUGAUUUCAUGGGUUUGUUUCCAUCAUCUUUUGGAUUUGUGUAUAUAUUAGUUGCAGUUGAUUAUGUCUCAAAAUGGAUUGAAGCAAUUUCUUGUCGAAAUAAUGAUAGUAAAAAUGUAGUUAAAUUUUUAAGAGAAAACAUUUUAAGUCGAUUUAGAAUCCCUCGAGCCAUUAUCAGUGAUAGAGGUAACCAUUUUUGUAAUAAGUCAUUUGAGUCUUUAAUGAAGAAAUACAAAAUUACACAUAAAGUUGCUACCCCUUAUCAUCCUCAAACAAAUGGUCAAGUUGAAUUAGCAAAUAGGGAGAUAAAACAAAUUUUGGAAAAAAAAGGUUAACCUAAAUAGAAAAGAUUGGUCUCUUAGACUUAAUGAUGCACUUUGGGCCUACCAUACUGCAUUUAAGACGUCAUUAGGAAUGUCACCCUAUCGGCUAGUUUAUGGUAAACCUUGUCACUUACCUGUUGAACUUGAACAUAAAUCAUUUUGGGCUAUUAAAGUUUUUAAUUCAAAUUUGGAUGAUGUUGGCAAUGUGCGGAAAUUGUAAUUGAAUGAACUUCAAGAAUUAAGGAAUAAUGAAUAUGAAAAUUCAAGAAUUAUUAAAGUAAGAACAAAAGGUUUUCAUGAUAAAAGAAUUUUUCUAAAAACAUUUGAGAUUGGUCAAAAAGUGUUGCUUUAUAAUUCUCGUCUUCAUUUGUUUCCAAGUAAGUUAAAGUCAAAGUGGAGUGGCCCAUUUGUUGUAAAAAAUGUAUAUUCAUAUGGGGCCAUAGAAAUUGAGAAUCCAAAGAACGGUGUCAUAUUUAAAGUUAAUGGUCAAAGAUUAAAACCAUAUUUGGAACAUUAACCACGUGAAGAAGACACCGAAAUCAAUUUGGGUGACCCACUAAAUCUUGAUUAAGUCUUUAAUUUUAAUGAGUGAUUCAAUUUUUUUUUUGUUUUAAUGUUAUUUUGUCGUUUUAUUGUUUGAUUUUUUUCUCGAUUGAUGUGCACCAUACAUUUUUUUAGCAUUAUAUUUCUUGUAUAAGCGUGUUUGUUUGACAAUUGUAUUUUCUCUUAUCAAUUUUCAUUAUAUGUCAAGAGUACCUCAAUAAGAAAGUUCUUGCUCACACAUCUUUAAAACAUUUUGCGUGUGAAAUCUCACUUGAGAGGCCUGAUACAAAGCUGUAAAUCACAUCCACUUUGGGAUCUGCAACCACUAACAUUAGUGUCCUACGUUAAGGACCUAGAAAGACAACUCAGAGCAAUAGAGAGUGGUAUAUAUGAAUUUCAAUUGGAGCUUGAGGUUAACUCAAUAAAAGGACAAAUGUAAGUUCAUUUUUCUUUUUUCUUUGUGUGAUUUCUUUUUUUGUUUUGUUCACUUUUCAUGUUUGAUUUGAUUUUGCAGUUUUGAUUCUCUUUAUUUUAGUGUGUUUUGAUUUAUUUUCCCAUAUAAAUGGAGGAUAACGGUACCCCAUGACUGCUUAAGUCGGUAUCUUCAGUUUCCCACAAUAACUGAUCCCCAAAAUCAAACAUGGAAGAAAUAUAACAUAAAAUGCAUAAGCAUUUUCCCUCUCUCCCUCAGAAUGCCCUCAGGAAAAUUUACAAAGCUCGUUAUGAACAACUGCGUUUGUUAAUGAUCAAUGGCAUUCCUUCUGACGUUCAUUGGAUAAUUGAAGUAAAGGUCCGAUUAGCAGGUGAGUUUUCUGCUCCAUUUGUUUGUUACAUGUCUGGUUUUGAUAAAAACAUAUUUGCUAAAAAAAGAAGAGCUAAAAGACUUGGCUCAGAAUGUCAUAACUGUGUACGACUUAGUUGCUGUCGAGAAAUUUGUAAAUCUUUAGGAAUGGUUUCUGAUAAUUGUGAAGAUAAAAUUAAAUUUGUUAAAGAUGGAUGAGUAAAGAAUCGUUGGAUGAUAUCUUACAAUCUCUUGAGAUGCAUCGAAGCGGAUAUGUGCAACGUGAUAUUCAUAAUUUGUGGAUACUAUUCCAAAAAGAAAGUGCACAGUUUAGUCUUAGGAAUCUGACUCAAAAAGAUAUUGUUUACAAAUUUAUAAGAAAACUAGAUGGGAAGCCUAUCCUCGACCGAUAAAGGGAGUUCAAGUCAUUACUGGACGUAAAACUAGAGGAAGAUGUUAGCCACAACCACAACUACCAGUAAAUAUCCUUUUAUUUUAUUGUUCUUUUAUCAUUUGCUUUAAUGGUGUGAUUUUGUAUUUAAUAAUUAUUUAUUUUAUGUUUGCUUUUUCAAAUCACCAUUUUCUUUUUCUUUUUACUAUUUACUUUUGAAUUACUGAGCCACGACCUUUACAUGUCAUUUGACAAAUAUGCCAACCCAUUUAUAGUUGUUUCUCAUUAUUUUUGUCACCAAGAUCUUUAAAUAUGAGCUUCUUUUUCAAACACUCAACUUAUUUUUCAAGAUUAUUCAAAUGGCUGCAUCUUCUAGUAAACAAUUCAAAAAUAUUUGUGCGCUUUCUGGGUUUCACUAUGGAAAGUACAAGGAGUUCAGUCAGGCAGCUGUAGAUUUUGGUCAUGUCAUAGCAGAGAGGAAACUACACCUUGUAUAUGGAGGAGGUGAAUGAGGGUUAUCAAGGCUUGUCUCAAAAGUUGUUUUUACUCGAGGAAGCCAAGUACUAGGCAUUAUUCCAAAAGCCAUUAAACCUCUAGGAUGCCUGUUUGGCCCACUAAUUGGAGAAGAAUUAGUGGUAUCAAGUAUGCAAGGAGAAUAUAAAAAAUGUUAAAUCAUGCUGAUGCUUUUAUUUUCUUGCCAGGAGAUCUUGCAACUCUUGAGGCACUGAUUACAUUUGCAUCUUAGGUCAAUUUGGACAUUCAUAAAAAACCCAUCAGUUUGUUAAAUGUUAAUAAUUUUUAUGAUGGCUUGCUAACUUUUAUUAACAAUACCAUUAAAAAUCCUUUUGUUCCACACUCUGUAAAAAAACUCUUUAUUUGUGCUUUCACUGCUAAUGAGUUACUUGAUCUUUUGCAAGCUUAUGCGUCAGAGCUAGAUCCCAAGACUUAUGCACUGGAUUGGUCGACUGAUGAUGGUAGCAGUAGCAGUGGUAAGAAGUGCAAAUUAGAUUUAACUAUCUGUUUGUAAAUAUUUUCUGUUGUAGUGUUCAUGUGAUGUCUUCUAAACUCUUUCUCUUUCCUUUUAAAAUAUUGAGGACAAUGUCUCGUUUAGGUUAGGGGGAGGGAAUAAGGAUGGCAACCAAACCCAGACCCAGAUUGAACCCGAAAAAUUCGGUCUUGGUUCAACCCGCACCAGAACAAUUUUUAUGCGGAUUCCGGAUUAGUUUUUCAGAACCCGCAUAUUUUCGGUCCUAAUCCGGGUUCAGGUGAACCCGCAAAUCCGAAACCCGGAUCCGGAUAAUAUUUAUUUUAAUAUUAAUUUUUUAGAAAUUAUUAAAUAUUAGAAAUUAUUAAAUAUAAAUAGAAAAUUAAAAAAAAAAAACCCUAGCCCUCUCAAUCUCUCAUUCGUUCCUUUCUCAAUCUCUCUCAGACUCUCACUCAUUCCUCUCUUGAUCUCUCACUCUCUUCAACUCUAUUGUAAUUUCUCUUCUCUCAUUCUCUCAUCCGUUCUUCUCUCAAUCUUUCUCACUCGUUCCUUUCUCAAUCUCUCUCACUCGUUCCUCACUCAAUCUCUCUCACUCGUUCCUCACUCAAUCUCUCUCACUCUCUCUUUAACUCUCUUGUAAUUUCUCUUCUUCAGAUCAGAUCCUUCGCGACGUGGCUGUUAUCACCUUCACAGUGCGGCUGUGUUCGUUUCAUCACUCAUCAGCAUCAGCAUCACUCGUCUCAUCUCUCACUCUGUCACGGCCAGAAAAAAAGGGGUGGAUUUCGCGACUGUGUCCUGUGUUCAUCAGCAUAUACUUAAACUGCUGCUGUGAAUAUUUGUGAGUCUCGUCUUUUCUCUUUACAAUUAAUGCUCUAGUACGCUUUGAUUAUUCCCUCGUUGCAAUUUCAUUAUAUUGUCUUUACAAUUUACGUGCUGUUAUGCUCUGAUUAUACUCUCUUUGGAAUUUAAUUAUAUUGUCUUCGUAAUUUAUGUGUUAUUAUGCUCUGAUUAUACUGUCUUCGCAAUUUAAUUAGAUUGUGUUUGCAAUUUAUGUGCUGUUUUGCUCUGUUUGCAAUUUUAAUAUCUAUACUUUGUAACUUUAAUAGCUAAACUCUGUGAUUUUUAAUAUCUAUACUCUGUUAUGCUUCAAUUUUAUUAUUUAUAGUUUAUUUAUUUUUGAAUUAUUUUUUAUUGUUGCUGUUAAUAGAAUAGAAAUGGUGUCUCUAAAAUAUUUAUAGCUUUUACGGUUAGACAUAGCAUAUAAAUUGGAAGAAGUUGCUGGAAUUUAUUAUGUCUUGACAUAAUUUUUGUACAGUGAAAAAUUGAUAUGGAAAAUGAACAAAGAAUCAACUUGGAUGCCUCUGAAAAAAGUGAUGAAAGUGUUUGUGUGAGAGUUAGGACAGAAUCAGAAAAUAAUAAUGAUACAGUUGUUUAAUUAGAACCAAAUUCAACAGCAGCAGUUCAGGGGAGUAGUCGUGGCCGUAGAGAUAAUAGUAAUCCUGUCACUUCACAAAAAUGAGGUGGUGGUGGUAGAGUAGUCUCUGAUGCUUGGAAUCAUUUUAAAAAAGUUAAGUUGGGUGAGGAAGUUCAGGCGAUUUGCAAUUACUGUGGGUUAGUUAUGUAAGGACAUUAUUCGAGGGGUACUAAUCACUUAAUAAAGCAUGCUAAACGUUGUCCUAGAAGGUCAUUCAAGAAUGUACAGUAAAUGCACCUAUCUUUUUCUCCUAAAGAUGAUGGAACCACUUCACUUAGUAAUUGUAGCUCUGAAUCAAAAUGGAAUAUGGCUACAGUAAAACUUUUUGUGGCUAGAAUGAUUGUACUACAUGAGCUCCCCUUGACAUUUGUUGAGUACGUUGGGUUUUAUGACUUGUUGAAGCUACUCCAACAUUCUAUUGAGACUAUUAGUAGAAACACCACCAAAGCUGAAAUUUUGAAGCUUUAUGAUGUUGAAAAGAAAAAGACAAUGGGUAUUUUGGAAGUUUGUGAGAGUAGAAUCGCAAUUACUACAGAUAUGUAGACUGCUAGUAACAAAAAAAAAAAAAAGAUACAUGGUUAUUACGGCACAUUACAUUGAUAGCUCAUGGGUGUUGCGAAGUCAUAUUAUGAGGUAAUAUUCUAGAAACGUUUUUUUUUUGUUUAAGCAUAAAUUAAUGUCCUAUCUAAUAUUUUAAUUAUUUUUCACAUUGUUAGGUUUAUAUAUGUGCUAGCUCCACAUAGUGCUGAGGUAAUGUGUAAUGAGUUAUAUGAUUGUUUGAUGGAUUGGAAUAUAGAUAGAAAGUUGUGCACUGUAACUGCUGAUAAUUGUGCUACAAAUGAUGCUAUGAUUGCCUUGUUGUUGGGCAAAUUUUCUACUAGUUCAAUGAUUAUGAGUGGAAAAUUCUUUCAUAUGCGUUGUUGUGCUCAUAUAUUGAACUUGAUAGUUAGAGAUGGUUUAUCUGUGAUACAAAAGGGAGUUGAGAAAAUUAGAGAUAGUGUUCAUUAUUGGACAACAACACCUACUAGAGUUGAAAAUUUUGAGAAUGUAAAAAAAGAAUUAGGUAUUAAGGAAACCAAAAACUUGGUACUUGAUUGUAAAACUAUAUGGAACUCCACUUACUUGAUGCUUAGUACUGCAUUGUUGUAUAAAGAUGUAUUUGAUCAUUUAAAGGAACGUGAGAGAAAUUAUACAUCUUUACCUAGUGAGUCAGAGUGAAAUUUGUCAAAACUUAUGUGUGAGUAUCUAAAAAGCUUUUAUAAGUUAACAGAACGUUUUUCGGGGACACGAUAUCCGACAUCUAAUUUAUUUUUUGCCAAGAUUUGUGAAAUUAGAUUGUCAAUGAAUGCAUGGUUGCAAUCACCAAUUGAGGGGAUAAAAAAUGUGGCCACUAGGAUAAUUACGAAGUAUGAAAAGUAUUGGGAUGAUAUUCAUGGAGUUCUUGCAGUGGGGACUAUGUUAGAUCCUAAGCGUAAAAUGUUACUGAUUAACUUUUUAUUUCCUAAAAUAUAUGGGGAAAAAGCUAAAUUCGAAAUUGAAAGAAUGCGUAAGUUAUUUGUUGAUUUAGUGCAUGAGUAUGAAGUAAAGCAUCUAUCAAAUUCAAGUGAGGGGGUUAAUGGUGCCAAUUCUCAAGCUACUACAGGAGGGGAUUCUAUUAUGUUGGACUUAGAUUUGGAUGAAAUGACUGAUGAGUGGGCAAUAUUUUGAAAUGAAAACACACAGAAUACUCAUUCCAAAUCAGAAUUAGAGCUUUAUCUUGAGGAGAGUACUUUGCCUUCAACUAGUCAACUUGACAUUUUGUCAUUGUGGAAGAAUAAUCAAGGCAAAUAUCCUAUACUUGCAAAGAUCGCAAGGGACUUUUUGGCCAUUCCUGUAUCAACAGUUGCUUCGGAGUCCGUUUUUAGCACUGGAGGUAGACAUUUGAGCCCUCAUCCCCUGUAGACUUCACCCAUCCACAGUGGAGGCAUUAGUGUGCACUCAAAAUUGGUUUUGGCUUGAACAAAACCUAAAAGGUAUGAAAAAUUUAUUUAUUAGAAUCAAAUUAUUUUUUGUAUUGUUAUUAUUAUGAAUUUAUCACUAAUUGGUUGUCUUGUUCAUUAUGUUUAUGAUUUACACAGUUUUUGUAGAUGGAAUUUCAGAGGAAGCAAUACUUUCUGCUGAGCAUUUGAUUGAUAAAGUUGGAUGAGUGAGCAACAGUCAAACGAAGUGGAUGAUGGAAAGUUUAGUCUUUAGCACUAGUGGUUUGAAAUUUGAACUUUAAAUUGUAGAAUUAUGUAAUGGAUUUGUAUUUGUGGAUGUUUAUUACUUUAAAACUUUGAAUUUUAGAUUCUAUAUUGUGUUGUAUUUGUUUUAGAACCUGGAUAAGUUAUAUGUUCUGGAUUUGAAAUUUUGUUGAACUAAAGUAAAGCAAUCUGGAAGCAAUCUGGUUCUGGUUUGUGUUCUUUUUGUUUUCCUUUUUCCAGCAAGUUAGCAACUUAAGUAAAGCAAUCUGGGUUCAAAACCCAGAAUCCGGAAACCCAGAUUUUUCCAGGUUGAACCCGGACCAGACCCAGAUUGAAAAAAAAUGGGUUCAAUGCGGGUCCGGUAAUGAGAAAUUUGUGUCCGGGUCCGGAUUCGGAACGGCCAAACCCGGACCUGGACCCAGAAAUUGCCAUCCCUAAGAGGGAAUAGUUGAUAAUUGUGGAAUGUCUUAGUCCUAGUGUUGUUUUUACAAAGUUUUGCUGUAAAGACUAACUUUGGAGUAAAUUUGAGUCGAAGAUGGUUGGAUAUGGAGAGUGUAGUACCUCUAAAAACGUAUCUUCUUAAUCUUAGAGUUUUAUUAAAAAACAAAGUAACAUAUGAGUGUUCUUUGUCAUCUUCUUUUAAGCUCCUGCAUCGAGUUCAAGUGAGAUCUCCCCUUCUUCUUCUUUUAUUAUAUAUAUAUUUUUUGCAUGCAUAUCUGUAAUAUUAUAAAAUGUUGAGAUAAUGUUUAGAUUAGGUUGGAGGGUGGGGAUAAUUGACAUGUGUUUUUAAAUAUGUGUUUGUUUUUCUCUUUUCUUUUUAUUUUAGAAAAACAAAUUUGUCUAGGAUGGUUGUGUAAUGUCACGACUUUUGAGACGGGUCUUAAUAGUCAUGUUGUAUUAUAUUUUGAUUUUGAAAUUCAUAGUAAGUUGUUUUUGUUUCCUUUUCUUUAAAUUACUCAAAUUUGUGAACUCUUCAAUUAGUUAUUAAGUCAUUUAAUUGUUUACUCAUUUAACAAGUAUUAUUGAAUCAUUCUUUACACACACACUAUGACACAUACUAGUGGGUUGUAAGUUAAAAUUUUUGCAACAUUUAGUUAUUUUGAUUUAUUAGGGAUAAUAUCAAAGGUAGUAGAAAGUGCAUAUUGUAAAACAAAAAAAAAAGAAAAAAAAAUUGAAUAUGUUUAAUAUUUCUAUAUCUAGAACCCGAGUAAUUAAGUCUAUAGGGGUGUUUCAACACUUAGUGUCAUAAGGCCAAUUGGUCUGGGAGUCACUAGCCCGAAACUCGCUACAUGAGUUAGAAAUAUAUAGUUUGCUUAUUAGAAACCCGAGUAAUUAAGUACGUAGGGGUGUUUCAACACCUAGUGCCCUAAGGCCAACUGGUCUCAAAGUCACUGGCCUAAAGCUUGCUACAUGGGUUAAAAAUGUAAUAUUUUUAAUUUAUAUGUGUGAAUAAUCUACUGCCUAAAGAUAGAAUUUCUAAUAAAUUUUUGAACAAAAAUGUUGUUUUUCUUUUAAUGAAGCCCCAUAAGUAUUGUGUUAAUUACUUGAGCACAAAAGAAGGUUUGAUGAUAUUCUGGAUAAUGAGUGAACGACAAAGAGGUAAGGAAAUCUGGGAGAGUUUAUUUAUUUGAUAGUUUAGAGGAUAAAUGAACAACUAUUAACUUGCAUGUGAAUUUUGUAAAUCUUAAUUUAAUAUAACUCUUUAAUUGUUAGUAUUAGAAAUUGUUUGAUUAUCAGGCGAUAAAAAAAUUAUUUUGCGCUUCUAUUAUAAUUUAUAUUUGUGUUUAUGUAAUAUAUUAAGAAUUAUUAAUUAUGUCUUAACUAUAUUUAAUUUUGUGUAUUUUUGUGUGUUUAUUAGGUAAAAUAUUAAAUUCGUGUAAUUCGAGGCUCCAAACAGAUAAACGGAUGACGAAUUUGGAUUCCGAAGGUUUGAAAACCUACGAUGAGUUAAAACUGUCUUAAAAUUGAGGUUGUGCAAAAGAAUUGACUUUUUCUAUUGACCGAGCACUGAUUGGAUGAUAAAAUGAGUUUACAAUAGAUAUGAGUGUAUUGGAUAGCUGGCAAUUUUGAUUAAAUCUCAACCGUUAUAAUUCAAUGGCCACGAUUAUGCCACAUGGCAAUGGUUGGUGAAGCAAGUUGUAGGAUUCGAACAUUUGUAUUCGGGUCGACCCAAUCCACCCAUUAACUUGCCAAAUCUCAACUAUUCUUUGACCGAAUCGGAUGCGUCAAAUGAUGCCACGUGUAAUGUUGACUUUUGAAGUUUGACCAGCCGUUAGAUCGUGAUCUAAUGGCUGUGAGGAGCGCAUGCAUAAAGCUCAUAAUUGGCCGCGAAACACUGGAUUAUGAAUUUAUUUUUCUAUAAGUAGAGCCCCAUUUUUAUGUUUUUGAUCAUCUCUCUUCUUCUCAAUUUCUCUCAAUUUCCCUUUAAUCUUGUUUUUCAAUUGUGUUUUUAAUAUUUUGUAUAAAUUGUUAUACAUAAAUUUAGUUUUAUUUUCAAUUUUAGUUGUUUCUAUUACUUUUAAUUAUGAGUAAUUUAAUUUUAAUAAUUAUUUUUAUCUCAAUUAUGCUUAACUAAAUAAUAAUUGUUAGGGUAAGGUGAAACUCUUAGGAAAUAAAUAUGAUUUAAUGAAAUUCUAUUUUAUUUAUAUAAAUUAAAUUAUUUUCUAUUUAAUUUUAUACAUAUUUUAUAUUUUGAAAGUUUGAUUUAUUGUACACAAAUAAGGGAGUUUGGCACAAUAAAUUCUUAAUAUCUUAAUAUAAGGUAUGGUAAAAUGAUAUUUUGACUUAUUGUAGACAAAUGGUAAAAUGAUAUUUUGACUUAUUGUAGACAAAUUAAAUUUUGGCACAAUAAAUACUUAAUCCAUAAUAAAAUUAAUGGGAAAAUAAUAAUAAUUUAUAUAAUUAAUGUUUUGAGCAAUAAAUAUAAAAAAAUGGCAAAAAGAAUUUAUUAAAUUUUAUUUGCUACUAAAAGUGAAUCCAUAACCCUUAAAAAAAUGGCAAAAAGAAUUUAUUAAAUUUUAUUUACUACUAAAAGUGAAUCCAUAACCCUAACUAAUUCAAUUUCAUAGUUUCAUUUAAGUUAAGUUGUAUAAGUUUUAUUUUCAUUUUUAGAUAAAGUAAAAUAAAAAAGUAAUAUUUUCUCUGUGGAUCGACUUCGAACUCACCGAACUAUAAUAUAACAAGACACUCUUAUAUUUGGGAGUUAUAAAUCACUUUUAAGUUGUGUCAAUUAGGGUACAAUAUCAAUUCGUUCGAGAGGUAGUGGAAGAUGGAAGUGUGGAUUUACAUAAAAUUCAUACCAAAGAGAACCUAGCAGACACUACUAGAAAAAUGGUCUUUACUAACACUUGUCUUAUGACACUUUAUUAACAAGUAUCAGUAAUUACAUGUGAUUGGGGCAUUUUUCGUGUUUAAUAGAUAAGUAUCACAAAUUUCUAAUACUAUAGCGUCUAUAGAUUAAGUAUCAGAGAUAUGUGACAUUAAACUAUCAGUAAUUAAAAAAAUAAAAUUCUAAUUUUGUCUCCACUAGGAGUCGAACUGCAGACUUCUUAACUUUACCUUUUUAAUUUUAAACGUUAAACCACUAGACCACAAGUUGCAUUUAAUUUUUAAAUAUUAAAUUAAAUUAUCUAGAAACUAUGUCUUAAUGAGGUGUACAUGGACAUCUAAAAUCUAAAAAUUUUGACGAGCAAAAAAUCUAUCCCCACUGCCAUUUUCUUCUUUGAACCGAAGCUCUCUUCUCUCUCUCUCUUCUCCUCUCUAAUAACGAUCUACCUCACAAGCCGCUGCUGUAAACCUUCAAAGCCGCCACCCUUGAGCUAAAAUACCCCUAGAAAGACGCCUAGAAAGUGUUGUGAAGAACUUGGCCAAAGUUAGGGUUUGAAAGUCAUAUUAAAAAAAUUAGGGCUUUUUUUGUUCGGGGUAUUUUAUUGUUUUUAAUGUUGAGAUCAGAGAGAAUGAGUUUGUCGUCGUCAACGAAAUCAAUAUCAGUUAUAGAAUCCACAGAGGUUGAUAUACAAAGAACCUGUGACUUAGAAAAUGUUUUGUUUCAUCUUUAUCUAUAAUUACUUUAUAUAUAUAUGAAACCCUAAUUUUGAUUUCCUUUGGGGUUGAUGUUUUUGGUUGAAGUUGGGCUUUAUGAAAGCAAAGAAGAAGCAGCGAAGAGAGAAGAGGUUCUCGGUCGAAUUAAUCAGGCAAGAUUUUUUUUUUUAAAAUUAUGAGUGAUUUUGAAACUAAGAUGACUUCUUGUGAUAUGUUUGUUAUCAGUUGGUUCAUUCUUCAUUUUGUAAUUUGGUUAUGAAUUGAGCUUGUUUGAGUUGUAUUGGUUAUCUUAGAGAUUUUAUUUUGUUAGAGAAUUUAGUGAUUUUGCAAUCAGGAAGUUUUGUGGGUGUGUUUGGAUUUGGGUGUUCUAGGGUUUGCUAACUUGAAUGAGGUUGUGAUUUGGUGAAAUUGAAAUUGAUGUCAAUUUUGAGCUUGAACUAUUGAUUCUAUAGAUGGGUUUGUUCUAUACUUGUCGAAAUUAUUCGUAUUCUUUGAAUGCAUGAGUAUGCCCUGUGGACAACCUUAAAUUAUUUGAAGGGUUUCUCAAUAGUUUAUUUAAUGAUGAUGGAGUUCAAAGACAAUGAUAAUAUCAAGUUUAAGUCACGAUUCUCAUUAUGAGUAUUUUUCCUUUUUAUUCAUUUUGUGGUUUAUGUUAAAUUAUUUGUGUUCUGAGUGCCAACGUGUGUGUUGUGUACGGAGUUUAGGCACCGGUGAUAAGCAUGAAGUUAUGGAGCCUUCUUCUGUUUAUGGUAGAAGAAGUACUGCUGCUAAAAGGAAGAGUAAAGGCUAGGAAGUAUCCAUGCAUGUAGCUGGCUCUCUUGCAGCUACUAUCAAGACUGCUGGUGCCAGGUAUGAAUUGUGAAUUUUUUUUUGCUUUUUAUUUUCCCAAUCAGCAUUUGAAUUUGCUUUUUGCACAAGUUUUGACGUACGUUAAGUUUUGACUAGCUAGGUUCGUAUUAAUUUAAUCCCAUUAUACAACUUUUUACUAUACCCAACACAAAUUAAAACACAAGUCAAACUUAAAUGAAAGCAAAAUCAAACAGAUAAAUUAUUAAUUAGCUAAGUAGCCAAGGAGCCGACCAUAGCUUAGUAAUUAUAUAAAGCAAUUGGGUUUCUAUCUUUUGAUGAGUCACCUGGACGUUUCAUAUUCAUGCAAUAAAUAGCCACAGUUUCUAUAGAUGUUAAAAAGCCUUUGCUGCAAGAAACCCCUUCGGCUUCAAGUUCCAGUCCCAUUAUUAGCCCUCUUUCCUUUCCUUUUUCCUAUAGAAGUUCUUCUCUUUAAAAUUGCUUUUUGCACAAGUGCUUUUUCAUUUGCUCUCAUCAGAGGUGAGGAACUUUAUAGAUGAUGCUUCAAUGGGUCCAAGUUUCAUUAUGAAAUUAUUUCAUUUCAGUUAUUUAUUUUCUUUACAUUAUGUCAUCGCAGGCUGCUGGUCUAAUAAAUUAAAAAUGAGAAAUUCCCUUCUUUCUUCAGUGCCUUCCCAGCUUUACUACUUUGGCAAUGGUACUUUCAAUUAGUUUUCUAUGAAGCUUGAGUAGAGCCUAAUACAAAAUAUUUAUUUUUGCUUGGAGUUAAUUUUUUACUGGGUUUUUAAUUAAUGGACAGACACAUUGUGUGUUGUGAUGAUAUUUAAUUUUGUUCUUUUUUUGAUUUUUUCUUUUUAAAUUUUCAGGAAACAAUGAAGUUCAGAUGCCAUAUUUGGCCAAUUCCAUGCAAGUUGAUAGCCUAGUGUAUGCUUUCUUUCUAUCCUUCAAACAUUAAUACACCAUUUUAAGUACUUAAAAUGAAUACAAGAUAUUUAAAGAUGCUGCAGAGUGCAGGCAAAUGGCAAAAGCAAUUUUUUUUUUUUUGGGUGAUUAUGGACUAUGGUGUUUGCUGGAAUAAUCAAAAGCAUUUUUUUUUUCAAAGAUUUGAGAAGUACUUGCUCGUUUGAUCAAAUUCAACCAACCAUUUAUCAACAUCAAUAUUUAAGAAGAAGGGGAAAAAAAAUUUUAUCGUGCCCUCUACUUUUGUCUUGGCUUUUUAUCAAACAUCACAGCAUGUCCUGUUUGCGGUGGUCUUGGCUUGCAUUGUAUAUUCUUUUCUAACUUUAUUGGUUGUCUCUUAUGGACACGUGUGUAGUAGUGAGUGUGUGUGCGUGAGUGAGUGUAUAUAUGAUCAUCAAUUUCAAUAAAACAUGCAUGAUAUAUGAUAAUUUUUCAGCUUAUUGAAUAAUUAUUUCGUAGUCUUGACUUCCUUUCCCUAUUUUUUGUUCCUUUUUCUUCUCAGGAAAACAUACACAUUAUCAUAGAUUCCUUUGCCAUUUGUAGACUAAGACAACACAACAUGAGGUUAAAGCAUUAACUUGUGAUUUUUAUUUAUGAAUACAGUGAUAUUUUUGUUAAAAAGGUAUCAAGAUUAAUGAUAUAAGGCCUUUGUUUGUAAAGUCUAGGUUUGUGAAUUCAAAGGGGGUGGAACUAUAUGAAUUAAAGAUUGCCUUAGAAAGAUAGAGAAUAUGCAGAGCUUUAAGAGGUACAUCUCUUAAUUGCCUUGAACUCUAUAUUUAUUGUGAAUAUUUUGGAUUAGUAGCUCCAUCAAUAAAAUGGCUGAAAUGUUUUAUUAUUCUAGUAGAGUAAUUUGGAAUGAGUUGACACUAAUUGCAUUAUGCAGAAAGUGUGUAAUUAUCAAGAGUUAAAUGCUUUACUCUCACACUUAGGCUUGGUGGCUAAAAGACAUAAUUGCAAGCCUUUUUUUGAAAAAACAUACUAUGUUGUAUUAGAUAUUACAUUUUAUUAUGAAUUUUUUUAGCUGGAAAAUCAUUGUUUUUUAUAUAAUGAGAAAUAAACACACUUUCUUGAAACUAGAUGUUAUACUGAAAACUUGAAGGCUAUAAUUUGCUCUCUCACUCUCUCUUAUUCAUAUAUAUAAGAGAAUGAAUUCAUCAUCACUUUUUUUUUUUUAAAUUUAUAUCUAUAGUUAAAUAUAUUCUACCUUAUUUCUAAUCAAAUGAGCUACAACAUUCUUAUUCUCUAAUUUUCCUUUAAGAUAAUUGAGUCGAUCUGUUCAUAGCUUAUGAAUAUUUUUGUUUUCGAGCAAAAUAUGUUUAUUUCUAUUAACUUUUGUCUCUGUGUUGCUUGUUAAUUUAUUUUGCAACUGUUGGAAUUUGGCAACCAAUUUCUUUUCUUUUUUCUUUUAUUUGUUUGCAUAUAUGAUUAAUAUGUUUAAAGUGUUUCUUCUUCAACUUAUAUCGCUAACCCAUCAAAUUCAUCGAAUGAAGAAGCUGUUCGUGAUAAUGCAUGAUCGCAGUUCUUAUGUUCAUGGAGUGAAAAAUAAUAAUCCUUCUAAAUUUAGCUUUUAGAUUUGGUAAAUUUAGCCCUUCAAUUCAGCUACGAGUAGAAGGAAUUUGAUUGGAUAAUAGCAGUUAAGAUUAUUCAAUUAUAAGAAUAAGAUGUCUUGUAAUAAGACGUCUUGUGUAUUGAAGUAUUUGGAUUGUGUAAUAUAUAUCUAUAAUAUUUAAAUGUUAUGAAAGGUUUUGCAAUAUAAAUUGAUUUUUGUUCUUAUUUCUCUAUAUCAACAAAUCAAUGGGCAACAUGUCAUUUUAUAUAAUUAUUUUUUAAAAUAAUAAAUAAAGUAGUGACCCUAUAGUAACAGUAAUCACAAAUACUAAUAUAGUAUUGUAAUAUUUUGAUGCCAUGGUGUUAUGAUUUUAGUGAUACUAUAGUAAUAGUAAUCACUGACACCACUUACAAGUGUCACUAUUUUUCUGACUCCUAGAUUAUUGAAACAAUUAGCAAGUGUCACUAAAAGUAAUUACUGACACUAUUCUAAUGUUAGUAAAGACCAUUUUUCUAGUAGUGAGAUGUUUUGACAAGCCAAUCAAUGCUGACAAGUUUGUAUGGAGUAGAUCCUCUUAUGACUUAGUAGAGACGUAAGCAACAUGACAAUAAGGAAGAAGAAUGAAUGGCAUAGAGUCAUGAUUGGUUCUUAAUUAAGUCUCCAAAUGGGAGAUUUGUUGAACAUGUGCAUGCAUGUGGCAAAUAAUUGCUCGUGGCAACUUUUGACUUUUGACACAAUUUGUUGAGUAAGUGGGAGGCUAGCACAAAACUUUUGACUUUGGCACCAAAGUAGAAUGUUAAAUGAAAAUAUAUAUCAUUUUAAAGCCCACCAUUAUUGAUUUUUUGGUCAUUGCUAGACUUAUAAAUAAAGGCUUCAUUUGCCCUUUUCAUUCAUCAAUUUUUUUUUUCAAUUCUCAAUCUAAUUAAGAAGUAAAAGAGCCAAGAGUUGGAGAUUGAGAGUGUCCUGAGAGCUUUAAACUCUUGUUUUAGUGAAAUGAGAGUUUGGGUGUAUUAGAUUUUGAGUUGUGAAACAAAAUACUACAAUACUUGUUACUCAUUUUCACUAGCAAAAUAUUUACUUCUAUCUUUGCCCGUGAAUGUAGGUUAAAAGUCAAACCACAUAAAUUUUGUUGCCCUUAUGUGAUCAUUGUUUCUCAAUUUCACUUUAAUUGUGUGUCUUCUUCACCCAUCAAUUUCCCAACAUUUCUCUAUCCAAUAUUUGAUUCCAACAACGAUCGAAUUUAGCCGCUUUCUUGUUCCUUCAAUUGAUAUACCCACAAAAAUGUCAUCUUAAAUUGCUUUAUUCGCAGCAGUAUAAUGAGUAGAAAAUGCAUCAUAUAUUUAUAUUACAAAAUUACGAAAACAAAAAUUUAAAGAGAAAAAAUAACAAAUAUUAAUUUGGCUUGUCUUUUCAAAAAACGUUAUGAUUAAUUAUAAGCAAAAACGUUACAACAGAGCAUAUAAUAAUAAAAAGAAAGAAAAUAAAUGAAUCAAACGUGCAUUUUAAGUGUCUUGCUAUUGUGCAACUCCACUGUUGUAUUUCUUCAUUCUUUGAAAUCUUGACAAACAAAUAAUUAAUAAUACAACAUAAUUUGAAUUAUAAUCUGAUUUUUUGUUUUGUUCUUUCUUUUUAUAUUUAAGUAUCUGCCAUUGACGAUUGCAUUUCAGUGGAAAAUAUGUAUGGUGAUACUUAGAGGAGAGUUAUUUAAAGCAAACGAAAGAUUGAGAGAAUCAAAUCAUAUUAAUUAUGGAGAGAAAAUAGGAGGAAAUAGAAGAAAAAUAUUUAAUAAUAUGCUAGGGCCUAUUAAUUUUUACUUAUGAUAUUAUUGAAAAAUUGCCUUUUGUCAAAAUUUUGUAAUCUUUUUUUUUUUCCUUAAGAGAGGUUAGGGGUUCAAGCCCCGCUCUCAUAUGGAGUCACCGCUUUGGCCAGCACUUUACCCAUUACGGGCCGACCCGGUGCGAGUGAGAAUUAGUUUGGGUUGUGGUACAAGCUUAAAGGUGCCUCCCACAGUUGGAGCCCACUCAGGACCACCUCGUGGUUCAGACAAAAAAAAAGACACCAUUUUUUUUUAAUCAAUUUAGUAUUAAAGACACCAAUGGUUAAUGCUAAAAGGUUAAAGUUUUGUGUACAUUAUUGUCUCAAAAAAGGAUUGCUAAUCCUAUCUCAUAUAUAUAUUGGUGCACUAUUUGAACAGCCUAGCGCAUUGGAAUACAAUAUUUUUGUAAUUACUAGGCUAUGUUUGGGAGGUUGGAUAAAUUGUGAGAUUGGAUUAGAUUUUGGGACUAACAAAAAUAAUUUAAUUUAAGGUAUGUUUGGUUGUCAUGAACUAGUAAGGCCAAAACAAAUAGGAUUGUUAAUCCUUAUUUGUUUUAUGGGUUUAGGUGGGAAGGAUUAAAUAAAAAGUAUGUAUCAUCUUUAUCACUCUUUUCGUUUUCGUUUAACCUUAUAUUUUAAUAUAAAUUAAACAAAGAAGUUAAUUUCUUAAAUUUUUAACCAAGUAAGUUAUUAACCAUUAUAGAGUUACAACAUUAGUUGAAAUUGAAAUAUCGAGAUCCGUAACAGUAUUAUUCUAAUUAUUAGUUGUUCCUAAUAUUACUGUCGCUAGCUUGCAAUUAAGUCAAUUUCUUAUGAGCAAACAAGAUGGUCGAUUCAGAGUAGUUAUAAGGACACAUACACCUCCGUAGUUUGAUAAAAUAAACGUAAAGACUCCUAUAUUUUUCAGAAAUAGCAUACAAAUCCCUGUUUAGACAUACAAAAUCUUUUCUUUUUUGUUUUUCAAUAUAAAUCUUGGGUUGUCAGUUGAUAGGAGAUCAGCAAACUACCAACCUUCAAUUUGGGACCAUGAUUUUUUGCAGUCAUUGAAUAGCAACUAUACGGUAUUCAUUAUUAUUAUAAUUGUUAUUAUUAUGUAUUAAUUUCCUUUGUUCAUUUCAAAUUGGCACCAUGAAUAGCUAAAAACUAAAUGUUGUGCGUGUAUAGGAUGAAUCAUACAAAAGACGAGUAGAAGAGCUGAAGGGAAAAGUAAUGACAACGAUUAAGGAUGUAACCGAGCCUCUGGAUCAGUUGGAGCUGAUUGAUAACUUGCAAAGACUUGGAUUGGCUCAUCGUUUUGAGACUGAGAUUAGGAACAUAUUGAAUAGUAUCUACAACAAUAAUAAAGAUUAUAAUUGGAGAAAAGAAAAUAUGUAUGUGAAAGAAAUUAAGAAAACUGUUGUUUGGUUGCUGAGAAAAUAUCUCAGAAAAUUAAGAAAACUGUUGUUCCAGGAUUGCUACAGCAAUGGUUGCUACAACAACUGCAUUGUUCCAGAUUUGUUUCAAUUCUUUUGUAGCUAAGUUCUUCCUCAUUUUUGCAAGCCUAUUGCAUCAACAUUCCUUCCAUGAAUUAUAAGCUUCUGGAAACCUACAAUUAUGCACACAAUUUGAGUACAAAUUACUUUAAAUCAAGCAAAACAUAUUAAGACUGACUAAAAUGAUUAUUUAUGCAAAAUGUAACAAAAAUACAAUAGAAACACAUAAUUUACUCUCUAAGUAGUAUUGAUUUAAGUCUAAAAGUGCCAUAAUAACUCUCAUUUCAUAGAGUUAUCAAAUAGUUGUAUACACUUUUGGUUUAAAAAUGCCAGAUUUGCUUCUGGUGGUCAUAGGAUGAAUGUUGGAUUGUAUUUGGGAUGAGUCAACAUGAGGAGUUAAUGAUAUUGUAAUAUCAGAAGCAGAAGCAGGUAAGAAAUGUUGUGUAUUAAUAGGUAGAUGGGUGUGAGAAUUUACUUGCUGUGAAUUUUGAUCAUUUGUUGCUUGUGCAGGAUUUUCUGAGUGAGUUGAGUUGCUGCUAUCAGGGUUUGCAGAUAUGGAAUAACCAGUGCUGUUUUCAGUGAAUGAUUGAACAACAGCCAAAGUGGAAAAAUGAUAUAUUUGCUGAGGAGAAAAGAAAGUAGAAGAAAGAGAUGAUGAUGAUGACUUAGUGAAACAAUGAAAUCUAGAAUCAAUAGAGUAAGGAAAUGUGAGUUCAUCAAAUAUGACAUGUCUUGCUAUGUAGAGGUGACCUGAAGGAUGUAAGCACUUGUAUCCUUUGUGUGAUGAACUAUAACCUAGAAAAAUACAUUUGCUGGAAUGAUAAUCAAAUUUGUGUUUGUUAUAAUCCCUCAAAUAAGGAUAACAUGUACAGCCAAAGCACUUAAGCAUGUCAUAGUUGGGUUGGUGUUUGAAAAGUUUCUCAUAGGGAGACAAAAGCUUGAGAACAAUAGAAGGCAGCCUGUUUAUGAUAUACACAGCUGUAUGAAAAGGUUCCCACCAAAAUUUGAAGGGUAAUUUAGAUUGAGCUAGCAGUGUAAGUCCCAUUUCAACAAUGUGCCUAUGUUUUCUCUCAACCAAUCCAUUUUGAUGAUGAGUGUAUGGGCAGGAGUGUCUAAAAAUGAUACCACACUGAUUUAAGAAUUCAGUGAAAGAUCUGUACUCACCCCCCCAAUCAGAUUGUAACUUCUUAAUGGUGGUUUGAAAUUGAUUUUCAACCUGUGUUUUAAAAAGCUUAAAGACAUCUAGGGCUUCAGACUUAAACUUUAGAAGAUAGAUCUAGGUAUACCUACUAAAAUCAUCUACAAAACUGAUAUAAUAGUGAUAUCCAUCUCUAGAAUAGAUAGGUGAAGGACCCCAGAGAUCUGUAUGUAUCGGUUCUAAGAACUUGGAUGUUUUGGUUGUAGCUGAGGAGAAAUGAAGCUUAUGAACUUUGCCCAUUUUACAAGCUUCACAGAUAUACUGCAGUGCUUGUUUUAUUUGAUUAUCAAAAAUAUUUACAGACUUGAUAUUUUUUAGAACAUACUUUAAGAUAUAUUGAUUGGGAUGACCAAAUCUAUUAUGGAACAAAGCAACUUUAUUCACUGAUGUUUUACAAGGUAAUGCAGUAGAUGAAUAACAAGAUUUUGAAUGGCUACAACCUGCAUUAUUAACAUCAGUUACAGAAUUAAAAUGAAAACAAGACAGCAUAGACACUGGUUUAUUUGAACUGAUCUGAGAUAGAAAAGAUGAUGAUGAUGAUUUAGAGGAUGAGUAUGGUUUGAAUAACAGCCGGUAUAAUCUUUUUUCAGCAAUACCCUGCAGUAGAACUUCCCCCUUCAGAGCAUCCUUCACAUAACAAAUAUUGCCAAGAAAUUCAACAGACAAAUGAUUAUUAGAUGUGAGUUUAGAAAUACUCAAUAAGUUUUUGGUAAUUAAAGGGACAAGAAGAAUAUCUUUCAGUGCUAUGUAUGGAUGUUUGUGUUGAGCAGAUGAAGUUUUAAAAACAAAAUUUGCAUCACCAACAUGAGUUAUGGGCAAACCUUGUCCAUUUCCAAUGAUCAGAACCAUUAAACUCCUCUCUGACCUGCAUAUUAGCCAUGUUGUUGGUUAAGUGAUGAGUUGCUCCACUAUCAAGAUACCAUCCUUCAUCAGCAGGCCCUUCAAAGUUGGCAAGGUAAGCAGCUCCAGGUGCAGAAGAUAUUUCAGAUGAACAAUGAGGCAUAGAAGAAUAUGUCACUGGAUCCAGAUUGUAAGACUGAUAAUUUGAGCAGUUCAUAUCAUAGGAAUCAUCAAAAUAUGGAGCAGACUCAGCAUGUGGUUCAAAUGUAGCCAUGUAUGCUGACUUAGGUCCUCUUCCUCUGCCAAAUUGCCUUGACUGUGGCACAUAAUUCUCAAUGUAUAUGUGCCAACAAGCAUCAGCUGUGUGCCCUAACUUAUGACAUAUCUGACAAACAGGAAUAUUAUCAUCUGAUUCAGUUCCAGUUGAUAUAAAACCUUGACUAUGAGGCUUAGGAUGUUGUAAAGCUUUGUGAAAUUACAUUGUCAUAGAAUUGCCUCUUCCAAAAUUAUGACCGCUAGUGUUAAAGCCUCUAGGAUAUGUAUUAAACAUCAUUCCUCUUCCAGCAUUUCUGUUUCCAUGAUGAAUUUGUCCACGAUAUCCUCCAUAGCCAAAACCUCCUCUUCUAUUAUUUCCUUUGACUUGAGAAUAAUUGGAGUUCAUCAUUCCAUAGUUAGCAUUGAACACGACUUUAGUAUUAUGAUUGUUCUGACUUUGUUCUAACCUUGCCUCAUGUGAUAAUAGUAAGGCAUGAGCAUCAUCAUAAGACAUCUUAUUAGUUGUGAUAAUAGACGCAAGAUCUAGAUAAUCAGUUCCUAAUCCAUUUAGAACUUGCAUUAACAGAUCCCUUUCUAACAUAGGACUGCCAGCACAAGCAAGUUUAUCAGCUAGUAUUUUGACUUUUAAACAAUAUUCCUCAACAGACAUGGAUUCCUUUCUAAGCACAUUCAAUUCAUAGCGGAGUUGCAUUAUCUUAGCUUCAGACUGAGCUCCAAAUUGUUUCUCAAUGGAUCUCCAAGCAUCUCGUGAAUUGUCAGAAUUAAAAAUAGAACUGAGAAUACCUUCAUUAACUGAUGACAAAAGCCAGCCAAGUAGUAUUUGAUCUUGAGCUCUCCAAUUUAUGAAUGCUGGAUUAUCUACUUUCUGUACUGAUCCAUCAACUACUGUUUGAAUGAUAUGUUGCUCUGGUAUGAUCUGAUUUUUAGAUAUGAAAUCUUCAAGUCGAUUUCCUCUUAUUGAUGUGAGAACUUGUUUUCUCCAGAUUAAGAAAUUAGAUCGAUCUAGUUUUAUUGGAUUACUAAAUGAGAAUGAGAUCUGUGAGGAUUGAUUUGCAUUUGUUGAAUUUGAAAGUGUUGUUGUGUUGUUGGAACUAGCCAUACUAGCUCUGAUACCAUGAAAGAAAUUAAGAAAACUGUUGUCUGGUUGCUGAGAAAAUAUCUGAGAAAAUUUCUAGAGAAUUUCCAGACUACUUGUAUUUAUUUUUCUUAAAAUGAAAAUGUUAUGAUUACAACUUAUUUAUACUCGAUGCUUAAACAUUACUAGAGCUAAUGAUUAACUGAUUCAGAAGAAUCUACACAUGCUCAACUAUAGCUUGAUAUACAGAGUAAACAUAACAAACUCUCAACUACUUAAGCUGAGGUGGCAGCUGAGCUGUCAUUCUGCUCAUACUCUUCUGACGUCACCAGCUUGCUGGUUUUCCUUAGCUUGAGCAGCUUCCUCUUUUCUGCACAGUGAGAUUCUCUAACAGUAUGCAACCUCCCUUGAAUUCAGACUACUUAGACAACAUGGCUAUCCUGUUUCUCAAGGUACAUUUCAUUAAUUCGCUUCCUUCUUCAUGCACAUGCAUGAUCUGAAUACUUGAAUCGAUCUCUCUGUUUUUCUUUCUUUUUUUUAAUAAUGUAAAGAAAUGGACGAAACCCAAAUCAGUUUUAUAUCUCUCUAUCUCCUGAGAAUUCGAACUCGACAAGGGCGCCGCUAGGGAUACUUCAAUCGUUCUCUAAUUAACAUAUAUGUGCAAAAGUUUUGAUGAAUAUAAUUUUUUUUUUUCGGUUGAGCACUGCAGAGGUUUUCAGUGGUUUUAAGGACGACAAGGGAGGCUUCAUUUGUGAUGAUUUCAAGGGAAUACUGAGCUUGCAUGAAGCCUCGUAUUACAGCUUAGAAGGAGAAAGCAUCAUGGAGGAGGCCUGGCAAUUCACCAGUAAGCAUCUUAAAGAAAUGAUGAUCAUCAGCAACAGCAAGGAAGAGGAUGUAUUUGUAGCAGAACAAGCGAAGCGUGCGCUGGAGCUCCCUCUGCAUUGGAAAGUGCCAAUGUUACAGGCAAGGUGGUUCAUACACGUUUAUGAGAAAAGAGAGGACAAGAACCACCUUUUACUUGAGCUGGCUAAGUUGGUGUAUAACACUUUGCAGGCAAUUUACCAGGAAGAACUUAAAGACAUUUCAGGGUAUCCAUUUGAUUGCAUAACUCAUAUAUAUAUAGACACACACACACACACACACAUCGAAGAUUUGAUUUUAUAAUUUACAUAACUUGUAAAAUUUAAUCACAUGUAUAUUAAAUUAUUCUUAGGUGCAAACUCCGCCUUUUACAGUAGUUUAAAGGCAUGAGCUCUACUUUAUAUAGUGCAGACAUUGCACCAGAGUAUGACUCUAUAUAUCGAGCUAUUGUAAAGCCCUUAUACACUUUAUAAAGUGCUAUUGUCUGCAUUACAGAAAGACUCUUCAGAAUUCCAGAUGAAAAGCUGACUCUAUAUAUAUAGAUAUAUACAACAUGUAUCGUAAUAUUCGUUUCAAUUUCCUUAUCAAGGUAGUGGAAGGAUACAGGUCUUGGAGAGAAAUUGAGCUUUGCGAGGGACAGCUUGGUAGCAUCCUUCUUAUGGAGCAUGGGGGUAGGGUCUGAGCCUCAAUUCGCCUAUUGCAGGAGAAUAGUCACAAUUGCAAUAGCUCUAAUUACAGUGAUUGAUGACAUAUAUGAUGUUUAUGGAACUUUGGACGAACUUGAGCUAUUCACUGCUGCUGUUGAGAGGUUUGUUGGCAAACUAAUGUUAUAUCUAAUCGAUUAAUUCAAUUGCUAGCUAGCUGCCUGCUACUUCUCAAAUUAGUAGACCAUUUAUAAUAUAUUUUUUUUCUCUUUUCUACAGGUGGGACAUCCAUUAUGUUUGAACCACCUUCCGGACUACAUGAAAUUGUGUUUUUUUGCGCUUUACCACUUUGUUAAUGAAUUUGCUUAUUACGUACUCAAACAACAGCAUUUUGAUAUGCUUCGGAGUAUUAAAAAUUCAGUAUGUAAAAUGUUAAUUUCACCUCUCCCGCCGUUCCGUUCCUUUGAUUUAUCCUUUUUAAAUUACGAUGCUUUUGUCUCAAAAAUAAUAAAUUGUAACUAGCUUUAUUUUCUAUGUCAUGUGCAUAGUGGCUUGGCUUAAUACAAGCCGGCUUAGUGGAGGCGAAAUGGUACCAUAGUAAGUACACACCAACACUGGGAGAAUUCUUGGAAAAUGGAUUGGUAUCAGUAGCAGGCCCUAUAGUAACAAUGAGUGCGUACCUUUCUGGUACAAAUCCAAUCAUUCAGAAGGAACUAGAAUUUCUAGAAAGCAAUCCAGAUUUCGUUCACUGGUCAUGCAAGAUUUUUCGUCUUCAAGAUGAUUUGGGAACUUCGUCGGUAUGUUUUCUUUUAUUUUCUUUUGAUUCUUAAGAAGAUAGAAAUUGAAUUAAUCCUCUAUAUACGAAUUGAUUGUGUAUUUUUUUUCCCCAAUAAUUCAUCAGGAUGAGAUACAGAGAGGGGAUGUUCCUAAAUCAAUCCAGUGUUACAUGCAUGAAACUGGUGCCUCGGAGGAAGUUGCUCGUGAACACAUCAAGGAUAUGAUGAGACAGAUGUGGAGGAAGGUGAAUGCAUACAGAGCUGAUAAAGAUUCUCCCGUAUCUCAAAAUACAGUUGACUUCAUGUUGAAUCUUGUGAGAAUGUCCCAUUUUAUGUAUCUACACGGAGAUGGGCACGGUGCUCAAAACCAAGAGACUAUGGAUGUAGCUUCUACAUGGCUUUUUCAGCCCAUUCCCUUGGAGGACAAACACAUGGCUUUCACAGCACCAAAGGCUGAUGAAUUCCCAGAGUGCAGUUUCAGUUGAUGUUGGCCAGACUUUUCUUUCUAUUGGGGGAUCGCUUUUCUAUAAUAUAAUAAACUUCCCCAUUCAUCGAGGUCUAUAAAUGAAAAGAAAAUGAUAUUUAUAUAUGUUGCUUUUAUUGAGAAUAAAAGUCGUCAGUAUAUGCAUAUACUUAAGUCAGGCUCAUUCCAAUUCCUACAAGAUGAGGAUGGAUGCAGUCACACUCGAUUAUUCAAGCAUGGUUCAUAGCAUGUUAAGCACAAGGGCUACUUUCACUAUACAUGCAUCACCCAUUUAAAUAGCAUUUGACAAAUCGUACCCAUUUAAAUUAAAUGAGCAUAGAAAUUAGAGCUGUGGCAUUUAAAGAAAAAAGUUACAAGGAUCAAAAAGUAAAUAUAACAAAAAAAUGAGUUCCUAAUUAUUGGGUUAGCUUAAAGACAGGAGCGCCUAAUUAUUGGAUUAGUCCAUUUUAAUUAUCUUCUAUUAUCAUAUUCAUUUCUAGAAACAAAUAUCCAACAAUGUCGUUUGUGUUUAUAAAAUAUGAGCGUAUAGACUUGGGUUCAAUCUUUCUAGUCCUCUCAAAACUUCGCCUUUAGCUACACAUAAGUUAGGACUUAAAUCAAAAUUCAAAUAUUGAAAUCUUUAUUUUUAUUUUUAUUUCAUUAUUUGUUUUAUGCCAAUAAGAAAAAUACAAAAAAUUUCUUUUCAUGAGCCUGACAGUUGACUCUGUGGUACUGGAAAUUUACAAAGCAAUGAAGUUGAUUGUGACUGCUGCCAGUUAACCCAAGUCGAAAAGCCACAUGUAGCACCGACUCAAAACUAUUCUAACUAAAGGCUACGACUACUAUGCACCAGUUCCAUUGAUAAACCCCAUGGAAUUAAAUAUAUGGAAAAAAAUAAUAACCAUAGGAUUUAAAGCAUCGUACAAUCAACGGUUGAUGUUGAUUGAGGGAACCGGAAGAACUAGGACGUGGUGGUCCGGUUGAUGUUGAAGAGGCAAAUUGGCUGGGUAUUUUGAAAUCAAGUAUAGCAAUUGUGAUUUAAAUUGCAUGCUUUAUGCCUACUGCAGAGCAGGUGCUAUGGAGAGCGUAAUGCAUGUUAUGAGGAAAUUGGACGAAUUAGUCCGGAUUAAAAUUCCCAUCAUAUUCUAAUCAAACAUUUCUCCAAUAAGAAGUUUUAUAUGCUUGCUUAUCGGACUAUGAUGGACAUGCAUAGUAAAGGCCACCAGCCGGAGGAGGUAUGAAAGUGGUCAUAGACAAAUGAACUUUUACUUCGGGAUUGCAACGCGAAAGACUUAUCACAGCUAUGCUGUUUUGCAGGAACUCUGCAAUUCCCUAAUUUUUCAUCUUGGUAAAAUGAGAGCGACACUCAGAAGCACUCUCUGUUCACAACAUGUUAAGAGGCAGCAAAAGAUCGAUGUGCAAGGCCUUCAUGAGAAAAUUCUUCAUAUUUUAAUAUCCGCAAAACUUUCCAUGUCUUACCAUUUUAGAUCGAUUCUUCAACUGUCAUUUUUAUUCUUUUUUUAAUUAAAAUCUGAGGCCUGGAGUAGUUAUAUUCUAUUAAGAGUGAAUGACGUGGCGUGCUGAGCUGGUAUUAGUGCGACCAUCUGCUGUUAAAGUCGUUAUUAUGUAUAACAACUCAUGCUUUUACUCUUUAAGAGAUAUAUAAGAGGAAUUGCAACGUGCAGACUGGGGUCAAGAGAGUGAUGAUAUGAUAGUCUUAGUGAGAGAGGGAGAAAAAAUCUCAAUAGAGAAGAUUUAAUCUCUGUAAUCUUAAGAAUCUUCUGUAACUCAUAUCUUUCUAAUAAAGUUUCAAAGCAAAGCUGAUUUCAACCGUGGAUGUAGGCAUCUUGUUGCCGAACCACGUUAUAUGAUCUUGUUAUUUUUCUUUCCUUUUCUUUUAAUCUCUUGUUUGCUCGUUGUUCUGGUUUAUAUAAGUUUCUGUUUUCAAUCUUGGUUUGAUUCAAUCUUGGAAAGACCUUCUUUUGUUCAGAACUUAACAAACUGGUAUCAGAGCUAGGUAUUUAGCUGAUCUUGGAUCUACAACGGCUACCACCAUAUUUGAUCUUGAAAAGUUCAAUGGGGAGAUAGCGAGGUGUUGGUGAGAUAUAUGGCAGCUAGGGGGAUUUGUCUCGGUAAAAGGAGUCACAGAUGGUGGGCAAUAAGUGGUGCCUGAGUUUUGGUUGUGCUCGUGCGUACUGGUGCUUGAGGGGUUUGGUGGCAGCUGGAGGGUGAGAGGCUGCUGGCAGCUGUUUGAAGUACAUAAGGUUCAACGGUGGUUCCGUCAGCAAGUAAUCACCACCAACGGAAGCAGGCAAUGUGGCGACAGCGUGGAGCACAUUUUGAAAGGUUUGUUGCAGUCUAAGGUUUAUGGUUUGAAGUGUUAAUAGUUGUUGUGAGGGCUGCUGAUCAGUGGGGAUGUCGCCAGAAAUUAGAGGAGGUUCUGGCGGUAGAGAAUCACUACAAGAAAAUAGGCAAUAGAUGACAGACAAUUUAUGACAUAUUCAACUUAUAUCAUAAUAGUAUGAUAGACUCGUGAUAGAAUUUUCAAUUUAUCAUGAAUUAAUGAUGAUUUUGUGACAAUAUUAUUUUCUAUCACAAAUUUAUGAUGGUUUUGUGAUAUAAUUAUUGUUUAUCACAAAUUUAUGAUAGAAUCAUGAUAAAAAUUUUCUCUGUCAAGAAAUUAUGAUAAAAAAUUUACUUUGACUAUAUUUGACCUAAAGUUUAAUAUUUUAUUUUAUUUAAAAAAACAAAAGGGUGCAUUUUAAUAAUUCAAAAAUGAAAAAAGAGAAGAAAAACACUACUGUCUUGACCCACCAAGCCCCAAAAUCACUAACACUCACACCCAAACACUCAUCACUCUCUCACGGCCAAACCCUAGAAAUCAACCUUGCACUCAAUCGAUUGAGCAAAACACCAUCCUUUCACCGCGAUUCAAUUAUAUUGUAACUAUGCCGGCAAUGUUGUUUAAAAAUUGUAGCCUGUUGCGGUCGGCACCAUUUUGCUAGUAGUAUUAAAAUGCUGGGUUUGUUGCUACUGUGUCAUGCAGGGUUCGAGUGGCUACUUCUACGUCGCGUGGGAGUGGCUGCUAGUACGUCGCGUGAGAGUGGCUGCUGCUACAUCACGCUGCUGAUGCUAUUGGGUCGCUACUGCAUUGUGUGUUGUUGGGUUGUUGAUGGGUGAUGGCUGUAAUUGUUGUUUGGGUGUGUGAGGUAGUGAAGGUGUGGCUGUCGGCUGUUGUUUGUUGUUGCUUCACGUGAGAGAGAGGGCAGCUGAGGGAGGCAAUUUGGUUAUUUGGGGAUUUAGGUUUUUGGUUGUUUUAUUUUGCUUUUUUUUAUUUUCUAGUUUUUUUCUAUUUCAAUUUUUUAUAUAUAUAUUAUAAAGCCUCUUUGUAAAAAAAAAACCAGUAAUAUAUGUCAUCAACUGCAGUGGUAUUCUUCUACACCAUUUUUUUGACAAUCGAAUUCCUCUUUUCAUCUUGGCUUCCACUUGUGAAUUUCUAUCUGGUUCAUGCUUUUCCUGUUACAUGUGCUAAGUGGUGAAAUUUUUGGUAGAACAGAACAACAAUAAUGCUCUUCAUGGUCAAGUUACAAUUGGAACACUUAUUUUACAGGUAUUGUUUAAAAAUAUAUUAAUGAUAUUCGCUUAUAAUUUAUGGACAUGGACUAGUAAGAUUCAGGUUUUGAAGCAUAUUUAGCCGUUUCUUGACCUUGGGUUAUUUCAGGAUUGUAAAUAGUUCAGUUAAUCAAUUUCUUAGUGUAGAAUGUAUAUUCUGUAGUUUAUGCAUUGGCACUCUAAUUAUUUCUUCUUCUAGCUAUAGUUAUUCUAGUUACUGCUAAAGAAAAUAAACAAAUAAAUAAUGGCCAGUUGGUAAUGUGUACGGGGACACUUAGUUCAGAGGCUAUUUUGACAGGAUUUUCUUGGAAGUAAACUGGAUGAAUAUAAAAGGAUGCAUAAAGGUGAUAUAAUGCUGAGUGAGUAAAUUAAUUCGAGAAUGGUUGUGGUACUGCUUUAGUUCUGAUUUGAUAAAACUUAUGGUAAUCGGUCCAACAAUACUUCACUGCAAAAUUUAGUUUUUUGUUGUGAAAGCUGAGAACUUUCACAUCAAGAGAUUUUGAAGAAAACCUGGCCUAAAAAAACAGUAUGUUCCUCUUUAACUUUUCCAAUUUUUUAACUAUCAAUCCCUCAUUAUGAUAUUAACUUUCUGAUGAAAAGUUUUUCAUUUAACUCAUUAAGCCUAGGUGAAUUGGUAGAUAUUUAGUAAACUACUAUUAGUUAUUAUCUGGUAGAGAUUCUUGUGGUGUAUUUGUUCUUCUGUUUAUUUUGCGAUCAUUAUUCCAGGUAACAAGUUCCUUUUUGUUUCAUUCAUCACAGGUUGAAACUUUUGCACAAUUUGAUGUUGUCUUCCUUCAUUUUGCUUUGGGGCUAGAGUUUUCUUUGACAAAGGUACAUCAUUAUGUGCUUGGAAAGUGUAUGAUAAUUAUUAACAACAUUUUCCUUCUUUGUUCAUAAAAUCUGUUCCAAUUCCAUAAUUCAUCAUCAAUGCAGUUAAAAGCAGUGGGACAUGUCGCUGUUCUUGGAGGGCUACUACAAAUUGCAAUAUUUAUGUUCUUGUGUGGCAUAACGGCUGCAGUAUGUUGCUUAGCCUCUGAUUUGGUUUUUGUUACAAUUUUUGCUUCUUGUGUUUCUUGUCAAAAUUGAUGUUAAACUUGGACUAUUUUCUAUUUUAAAUACGUAGGCAGGUUACAUGCCUAGAAUUAGUGUUGUUGGUUGAGAUAAGAUUGUCAAAGUUGGUUGUUUGGUUUCCUUUUCAUUAGUUGAUCAGUUCAGUUGGAUUUGGAUGCCAUUGCUUUUUAUGACUUUAUGAUUUAUUUUUGUCUCCUCACACUGGUCUAUUGUUGUGGUUUCCUUUGCAUUUUUAGCUAGCUUGCUGAUUUUGAUGAAUUCCCAUUCACCAAAAGUAAUUUUAAUCCAUUGAGUAUGUAUAUUUUGCUCAUUCCAUAAAAGUGAAGUUUAAAUCAAAUAGAUUACUAUAUUUGAUGCCCACAUGUAUUGCAGCCUCUUAAUUUUCCUUAUUCUGCUUGGUGUUUGAAUCAAUUUUGUUCACAGGAAGCUUGCAGGUCGCUUUGUAAGUUUCAAUUUUCGUUUAGAGUGCUAUCGGAAGAUGAUAUUGUUGCUGGAAUUUUUACAGGAAGUCUUGCUAGAAAUCUUAUUGUUGGAGUACUUGCAUUAAUCUUUGGAAGUUUUGUUGGGUAAUUUGGCUUGGUGGCCGGAAUUCUUAUUGCUUUUCUUAGAGUUUGAUUGGAAUUUGACUGCAAUUUUAUAUUUUGGGAUGACUUUUUCAAUUUGGGAUGUUUUAUUAUGUAUUGGUGGAGAUCACAUUGGAUAUUAGAUGUAUUUCUUUUUAAAUUAAUUUUUGGAUUGAAUGAAUGUUAAUUGAUAUUAAUUUUUUUAUGAUAUUUGUUUUAUUAAUUAAUUAAAUUUGUAAACAGGAAUUCAUUAAUAAAUUAUAAUAUAAUUUUAGAAAAAAUCAAAACUUUAUGAUGGAAAAGCCAUCAUAUAUUCUAUCAUAAAUAAUUUCCCGCCAAAAUUGAAUAAUAAAUUUUCAAAUAAUAAUUGAAUUUCUCACUAAAAAAUUAAAAAAAAUGGCGCGAAAAUUUAAAUAAAUUUAAUUUUUAAUUUUAUUAUUUUUUUACAUUAAAAUAUUAUGUGACAGAUAUAUGACUAUGAAAUGCUAUCAUAAAUUCAUGACGGAAAAUAUUCUAUCAUAAAUUGAUGACAGUGACAUAGAUGACAGAUGAACUGUUUGUCAUACACCCCAUUUUAUGACAGUUAUUUCCUGUCAUCUAUUGCCUGUUUUCUUAUAGUGAAUCACCGCCAUUGGCGGACGGCGUGGUCAUAGGAAUUAUCGCUUUCUAUAAUACGAUACUUGAUGCUUUUCAACCGUAGUUAUUCUCUUUUCAGGACAAUUUGGAGUCAAUUUCUCAUCGUGCUACUAAGAAGUUUGCACUUGCAUUUGUGAAGUUGGGCAACAUUAACUUGGUCAAUGAUGUAAUGAAUGCAGUCCAUGCAACUGACUAUAUGAUUGAUCAAGUAAGCAAUGAAGAAUUUAUAAAGCAAACACAAUCUCGCAUGCAUGUAGACACAGACACAUACACACAAGUACUAAAAAUAAUAAUUUAGAAAUGUCUUUUAAUUCCUUUUCUUCUAUGAUCUCGGGGAAUAUUUCAUAUAGCUAUAUCAUGCUAUAUAGUGAAACCUGAGAAGAAGAGAUUGCUACUCAAAUUGCUAGAAUGGAUGACGGGUCAAGGUUAGGUCAUAAUCUUUUGUGAAUGUGUGAUGCGUGUGUAUGAUUGCUUUUUUAGAAGGGUUAUGGUCGGGUCAAGUUGGGGGCAGGUAGAACCUGAACUCUGACCCGAAUUUGAUUGGCCCGAAUACUUAAGCUCUAACCCGACACUUAAUCCUUAAAUUUUGAUCAAAACUUGAAAUUUUCAGGGUGGCUCAAUCGCAUAAAAUAUGGAGUAGGAUUUUUUUGCCAUCCCUAAUACAGACACCUCUAUAGUUUAGUAGGGUAAAAGCCCAUUUAGUCCCUAUAUUUUAAGAUUAGUGUCCAUUUACUCCAUGUAUUUUUAAAAAUGUCUUGAAACAUCUCUGCCGUUAAAGUAUUGAUACCCCUAAUGUUACUUUUUAUUUCUUUUGGCUUACUUUUACAAUAUUAACCUUUUUAAAAAAAAUUGUUUGGACAUUAAUAAAGGAAAAUAAUUAAACAAAAAAAUUUCACCUAAAAAAUAUAUAUUAAUUUUUAAUUGUCAAAAAUUAAAUUGUAAAAAAUUGUAUGCAAACUACCAAGUGUGCAAAUGGUGCUUGCAAAAAACUUAAUAUAAUUUUUUAAUUUUUUAGGGUUAAAUUGGUAAUUUAAUUAUUUUCUUUUUAUUAAUGUCCAAACAAAAAAAUUAUUAUAAAAGGAUAAUAUUGUAAAAGUAAGCCAAAAGAAAUAAAAAGUAAUGGUAGGAGUAUCAAUACUUUAACGGCAGGGAUGUUUCGAGGCAUUUUUAAAAAUACAUGGACUAAAUGGACACUAAUCUUAAAAUAUAGGUACUAAAUAGGCUUUUACCCUAGUUUAGUAACAUGGAUAUAGAGACAACCAUAUUCUCAGAAGUAGUAUACAAACCCUUUUUUGGACAUAUAAAAUCUUUUUGUUGUAAGGAUACAAAUGUUAUUAUGUUAGUACUUGAAAUGAAAAAUGCAAUAUUUAAUAAUGUUAAGAAUUUAGAUCUAUUUUAACAAGUGUAGGCAAACUAAAACACUAGAUAAAUUAAUUACCUUAAUUUAUCAAUCUUGAAAUUACUGCUCAUAGAUUACUAUUCAAGUGAUACUAUUUUACGACUUACUGUUUACACAAUAAUGAUUAUAGUUACUAUUCAUAUGAUAUUUUGUAUGAGUCACUAUUUAUCUUUACAGUUCAUCUUAAUUGUUUAUCACACUAUUCACAUUGUUGUUCAUUCACCCAAAAUCUAUCAAAUAUAAUAGAAGUAGUAAACUAAAGAAAGUAAAGCAUACAAAGUAUUUUUGCAUUGUUUGGAUCACAAAUCUACAUUCACGUGGCACGUCUGGGCAUCAAGCAAUUUAGUAAGUAAUGAAAAUAUUACAAACUAUUGAAUUUUUACACAAUUUCAGACUCCAUCUUACUUUUGCCGUCACAUUGUUAAAUGUAACGUAGUCAACCUUGCUUAGCGAACACCACUCGUCUUCAAUUAUGUUUGCUACUUCCUUGAGAUCUCCUCAUCACAACAAACAACCCCUUCAUUCUGAAGAGACCAAAGUAAAUAAUAAAGAAUGUCUAAUGAAAGACUUGAUAUGAAGAAAAUUUGAUAUGAGGAAGACUAAAACAUUAUAAAGAUAUGAAACAUCAUAUGCGACUAGAUAAGGUUUCUUCUUGUUCUCUGUGUUGGAUGCUUCUCUAAUAUAAAUAUGAUAUAUCUUUCUAACUUCAAUAUGUGAAGUACUUCCCUUCAUAGAGGUGUAGGAUUUCACCCAAACCCUAGUAGAGGAGUGCUAGGAUAUACUUUCUUAAGAGUUUAGUAUUCCAUAAAUACUUGAUAUACUUAUCAAUAUAGUAGUUAUUUUUAUUUGGAACUCUUUGGUAUAAAAUCCUACUUACACGCCAAUUUACUUCUGUACUAUAAAAAUAUUCUUCAAUAGUCCAUAUAAUCUAAUCUAAAUAAUUCUUAAGACUAGACAAAUUCCUAAUAAAAGGAAUAAAUAAAUUGCAAUAUUAUUGACACAAUGAUGCCAAUAAUAAAAUCCCUAACAAUCUCUCCAUUUGGCAUCUCCUUGUAGUCAAAACAUAAACUAGCCAAUUUUCUAGUCUUCAAAUGGCAUGCGUAGAAGCAAGGUAGACCAUGAGCAAUAACAUACACAUAGAUAGAUCAUAAGCAAUAACCUACAUAUAGAUCAGAAGAACACACAAAGGAUUAACCAAAACAAAAAUUAUUUGUCAUCAUUAUUUCAGGAUAAAUUCUUCUCUAGUAAAUAAAUUCUCAUGUCUAAGAUUCAAUUGAGAAAAGUAACUCUCCCCUUGCAAUCUCAUAUCAAUGUAUUUAGAAAGCAAUAAUACAUGUCAAAGAAAACAAAAUAAUUAAUAAAGAUCGUAUGCAAAUCACAAAAGCCCCCCUUAGUGAAAGAAUGAAAAAACUCCCCCUACAAUUGAAAUCAAAUUGAAAUUGAGUUUGAAAAAAAUAAAGAAUUUAUGUCUAAAAAAAAAAAAAAUCACUCUCUCUCUUUUAGGAUGCAAAGGAAGAAAUUCAAAUCUACUAUCCCCCUGUUUGACAUAAGGUGCUAAAGAAAGGUAGAGAACAUAAAUGAAAAUUAAAAGAAGCUAUGGAGAUAUAGGCUGCUAUUUAGGUGAGAAAUAAUGACGAAAAUGAGUUAAGCAAUAGCCCUUAAAGGAUCACCAAAUGACUUUUCAAAUUUAAUUCUUCAAAUAUUUAUUUGCUUACACAUGUGACAAAUAGAAGAAUGAAAAAAUUAGCCAUCUCCGAAAAGACUCUUCUAAUAUAUAAUUUCAAUCAAACUUUUUUCUCCACCAAAAUAUAACGAUUAUAACACAUCUCUCCAUUCAAGAAUGAAAAGAUAUAAAAAGUAAUAUAAUACUAAAUUGAAAGAACAAAAGAGCUCUUUAAGUGAGAUUCUUUAAAUAAGUUUGUUCUUUUCUCUCUUCAAUAUUAUUUUAAUCAAGCUUUUUUCUCUACCAAAAUAAUAACAUUUAUAACAUAUAUGCCCAUUCAACAAUGAAAAGAUAUUGAAGAGAGAAAAGGACAAUCUUAUUAGAUGAAUCUCAUUUAGAGAGCCUUUGGAAUACUUUUUUAUUUAUUAUGUGCCUCUUCAAAUGAUAUGUAAAAUUUUAGUCGAAGAGCCUUUUAGUGAUGUACUUGUAUAGAGAUAUAAACCUAGACCUUAUAGAAGCAGGAAAGUGUAAUUUGUGUGGGAACUGAUUACUAUGCUUUCCAUAAAUAAUAAAAACUCAAAUAGGUAAUAGAAUCCUUAUAUAACUAUAUUAACUAAAAUAUACCUAAAAUAAAAUCAUCAAUAUGGAUUAUAUCCGAGAAAAGUCAUAAGAAUGGCAAAAAUAAUGCAAAAUCAUGUCAAAAGGAUUGCAUUAUCAAUCACAUCAGAUUUUGGGAAAGAUCUUAAAUACAGGAAAGUUGCGUGCUCAAUAAUAAGUUCACUUACAAGACAAUUAUGGAUAAGUCCAUAAAGAUUGAAAAAUGUAUGAACAGCCCUAAAUGGUUAAUUUUCAUCAAUUUAACCCCUAAAUCAUGAAAAGCCCUAAAAAUGAAAUGCAUGCAUACAUAUUUCAUGCAAUCAUCCAUGCAAAAAUGACCUGAAUGCCCUUUUGAUGAAUAAUGCACAAAAAAUUAUGUGAUGUCAUAAUUAAAAUUACUGCAUCAAUGCUAUGAUAAACAUAAAUUUUAUAAAUUACCUAUAAGAUUACUAUAUAAAAAGUAAAACAAGUAAAUUUAUAUCAAAUUGGUAAAUUUAUGUUUUAAAAUUACAAUCAAAACAAACACUUAUAAAAUUAACCUUGUAUAUCAACAUUACAUUUUAAUUUCAAAAUAGUUUAUUUAUUAAUUUAUUUAAGCCAAAAAAAAUUCAUCGAUCGAAAACAAUUGGAAUAAGUUUUAUAAAUUGGUCUAACCAUAAAUUGAAUUUCUAUGCCAGGACAUUUAUUAAUUGUUUUUCAUUUUCUAUCAUAAUAUUUGUUUUAUAUACAAAUUAAUUAAGCAAAAUUAUUUUUCUUGUGGAUCAAGUCAAAAUAAAAUAAAAGACAUUCUUACAUUAUUAGAUAUAUAUGAAAUAUCAAUAAAAUUGGAUCCAAUUUUUAGUUUUAAACAGAUUUCAUGUAGUUCAAACUUUACUUCUUACUUACAUUAAAAGAUCGUAUAGAAUUGUUGUCGAAGAGGUUUAGAAGGAUCAAAAUCACUUAGCUAAAGAUAUGAAUUUUUUUUUCAAAAUUUGAUUUAGAAAAAAAAAUUUAUCCUUAAUAAAAUUUCACAUAUAUCAUCACAUAUAUUACAUAAACCUAAAAUUAUCAUUAUUCAAUUUCGAAAUAAAAACAGUAAACAUGUAUGGUAAUUAUUGUUAUAAUGAGUUUUUAUUUUACAUUUGUAAGUUUUUUUUUUUUCAGUAACCCUUAUAAUAUUUACUUGUUUUUCAUUUUAUUUGUAAGUCUUCUAUUUCAUUUAUAUAAUUUACACUUAAUGUUGAUUUACAAGUUUUAUGUUACAUCUGUAAGUGUGUGAUUUGUUUACUGAUAAUACAUCAUUUUAUCACUCAUAUGUUAAUUUUACUUGUUUUUUAUUACUUAAUUUAUGUUUUAUUUUACACUUAAUUUUAAUUCACAAGUUUUGUGUUAUAUCUGUAAGUUUAUAUUUUGUUUAUCAACAAUACAUCAUUUCACCACUCUUGUGCUAAUUUACUUGUUUUACAUUCAAUUUAUAGGUCUUAUGCUUUAUUUACUUAAUUUAUCUUUUAUUUUAUGUUUAGUGUUAAUUUAUGACACAGGGCAGAAGCGAUACUAGAUUUCGUUCUAGUGUACAUUCUUGAAAACUCAAGAAAAUGGGCUCUCGCAAAGGAGAAAAUAUCUCAAUUGAGAAAUACUAAAUAUUAUUAAUGAAAAAGCUUGCGUCAAGAAACAAGCAUAAUAAGCCUAUUUAUACUAAUUAGGAUUAUCUUAUCCUGAUAAAAUUAUGAUUCCUUGUAAGUAAAAAUAAUAUGACUUUAAUAAGAAAAUAUAAAGUAAUUCCUAACGAAACUAGAAAACUUAUACUCCCAUUAUACUCUAAUAGGAUAAAUCCUAAUAGAGUAUUAAGUAUUUAAUAGACUCAAAUACUUUAAUUUUUGAUAUAUUCCAUCUUAUAUGCUUCCUACAUUAGUCUCCUCCUUUUCGAAAAAAACUCAUCCUCGAGUUUUGCUGAAAAGAAAGGACAAUCUGGAGGAUUAAGCUUGUAAUGAAGGAGUAAUUGAUCUUAUGAUGCAAAAAUGUAGCACUUUGCAUAAACUUUUCUUGAAAACUUCAAUUUCUUCUUGUUUUUGGGUAUGGCUCUUCUAAAAAUUGUAGACUUGUAGGAGAAAACCAUUAGAAGUUCUCUUUUAAUUUGAGUCAGAGGUAAGUUGGGUAGGCUAGCUCCGGGAUAAGAUCAAUUUGAUGCUAAAUAAUCCUCAUAGGAGGUAAUUUGUUUGGAAGCUCUUUAGGCACGAUAUCUUGAAAUUAGAGAGUAGCGAUUGGACUUGUUCAGGCAUCUAUUCUACUUCAGCUACCUCUUUUGGAACUAAAAGAUAGGUUCACGAAAUAAGGUUUGUGCAUGGUCAAGAGGCAAAAAUCGUUCUCUUAGUAGGUGAUGUACGUGAUGCCUUAUCUUGACCUUUCUUUUUCCUUAUAGCACAGGAGAAGUUUGUAGAUUGUCCCACCAAACUGCAACAGCGCCUUUGAGUUUAUAUGCUAUUGCUCUGACUUUCUUUGGUUUUGAAAUGUCCAUUGUUUCAAAGAAUCGUUCAACAACUAAUAGCCAAUUAAAAAACUGUUCAAUGCUUAAUUGUCAACUGAAUGAUAAGAGGUCAAUUUUGAUGCAGUAGUCGUUCUCAUGUGUUUAUUGUCGUUCAUUUUUUAUCUCCUCCUCAUCUGAAUCAUCUGAACUUGGAAAAAAUGGAAUAGCUUUUGUAUUCCCAUUAGAGCUACCUAUUUAUUUUGUUCCGUUGGUCUUCUUAUGCUCACCAAAAUUAUUUCUUGAAUCAACAAUGUCAAUACUCUUUGCUUCCUGAUUACUUCUUUGGGCAAGGCUAAUCUUUUUUAAUUCUUGUCUCACGCCAAGUAAUGAUUCUUUCAUCGUCGUAACAUGGGUUUGUAUUUACAGUAGGGCUUUCAUUGUUUCGCGCCAUGCUUCUACUGAAUGGGUUUGUGAUUGUUCGAGUCGCUCUAUCCUCCUUGUGAUCUGAUCUUCAAAUUGAACACCGCUUUCUUUAGAAACUAUUGUGUUUUUUUGUUCUUUUGUUCUUUUUAUUUUUUGGCUUUUUUGGGGUUUUUAAAAAGAACAAAAAAUUAUAAGGUAAUAAUGUAAUCAAAGAAAAGUAAUGGGGUAAAAUUAUAAAUAAAUGAACAUUUGUGUUGCCAGCGACGAUGAUCAGAAAAUGGAGCAAGGAUUGUCGAAUCUAGAAGAUUUAAGGUUGGUGAGUGUAAUGGUGGUGGUGGUUUGACUCAAAUUGUUGUGAUUUGAUCGAAAAAUUGAAUUGAAGUGGCAGUUAGAGGCUAGGUUUCGGUUAGAGGUGAAUGGGCCAGUGGUUGGCAGCAAGAGUGGGCUGGAAAGAAGGACUGAUGAUGGUGGACAAAUUGGUGGUGGUGUUGGCUGUCAAAUCACGAUAGAUCUUGGUGAAUCGUGUGGUGGUUUGUGUGGCGGUUGAGCGGCUGUUUGGUACUGUUUACGGUGGCUACGUUGGUGGGUUGGUGACGUUAGUACCUUGGAUAUGUUCGGUGGCGUGUGGGCUUUCGGAUGGGAGAGAGGAUCGACCAGAAAGAAGAAAAAUGGUGGCGGCGGCAGCCUUGUGUGGUGACUGUAAAGGUGGUUCGGGUUUGGAUUUUUUUUCUGGAUAUUUUUUAAAUUGACGGAAUUAAUGGAUAAUGGAGGAAGAAUUUGUGUAUCGAGGGUGAUUGAUGGGCAGGAAAGCUUUGCUUGGCACAUAGAAAGGUUGUGAUACCACUUGACGCAGGGCGGAAGAGAUACUAGAUUUCGUUCUAGCAUACUUUUUUGAAAACUCGAGAAAAAUGGCUCUCACAAGGGAGAGAAUAUCUCAAUUGAGAAAUACUAACUAUUAUUAAUGAAAAAACUUGUGUCAAGAAACAAGCAUAACAAGCCUAUUUAUACUAGUUAGCAUUAUCUUAUUCCUAAUAAAAUUGUGAUUCCUUAUAAGUAAAAGGAAUAUGACUUUAAUAAGAAAAUAUAAAGCAAUUCCUAUGUAAACUAGAAAACUAAUACUCCUAUUAUGACUGGAGCAGGAUAAAUCCUAAUAGAAUAUUAAAUAUUAAAUUGACUCAAAUUUGUAAUUUCUGAUAUAUUCUACCUUAUAUGCUUCCUACAUCAAUUUAAAAGUUUUAUACGAUAUUGAUAAAUUUUUAUUGUAUUUGCCAAUGAUACGUCAAUUUACCACUUCUAUGUUAAGUUUGCUUAUUUUUCUUUUCAUUUAUAAGUCUUAUGUUCCAUUUGCAUUAUUUAUAUUUUAUUUUACACUUAAUGUUGAUUUCCAUAUUUUACGUUAUAUCCAUAAGUUUUUUUUUGUUUUAUUUACUGAUAAUACCUUAAUAUACCACGCUUAUGUUGACUUACUUGUUUUACCUUACAUUUACAACUCUUAUGUUCUAUUUCCAUUUAUGUUUGAUUUUACAUUCAAUAUUGAUUUACAAGUUUUAUAUUAUAUCUAUUUUUUUUUGGUUUACUAGCAAUAAACCAAUUUACUACUAUGUCAAUUUACUUGUUUUACAAGUCUUAUGUUCCAUUUAAAUAAUUCAUAUUUUGUUUUACACUUAAUGUUGAUUUACAAGUUUUAUAUUAAAUUUACAUUUCUUAUAUUUUAUUAACAUAAUUUAUAUUUAAUUACAAUAUUAAUGUUAAGAUUCUAAUCAUGGUAUUAUAGAAUAACCCAUAAGACAUAUUAAAAACUUCAUGUAAUAAGACGCAAUGAUUUUUUUUGAAAUUUUAAACAAAACAAACUAAUAUGCAAUUUUCUAAAAAAUUCAUAUAUAUUCAUACAAUACAAAUCAAGAUAAUCAAACUUUAAUUACUCAAAUCAAUAGAAGAUUAGUGAAAUUUCAAUUUUUAUAUGUGUGUACAAAUCCAUCAGGACUCAAUCUCGAUUUUUCUCAAAAUCAAAAACUUUUGUAACAAAAAAUAGAAUGAACAAGUCAAACUAAUCUUAUCAUCUUGAUCUCCAAAUUGAUCGCUUCAAUGCAACAUACAAUAUGAAAAGAGAUUGUAGUAAGAAAAUUCAAGAGAUUAUAGUAAGAAAAUUCUUCCUUCUACUACAUAUGUAAACUUUUCAAGAUUUUCUUCUUCAACACUCAUAUCAUUUAACUUUUCAAGAUUUUCUUCUUCAACACUCAUAUCAUUUUUUUCUUUUCCUUUUUAAGUGCUAUAGUUAGUAGCUUUUACUCUACUUCUUAAGGUAACAUUUUUCCCAUGGUAGUUCAUCCUCAGUCAUAUUUGUGAUAUGCAAACUCAGAUUACUCGGGCAUAGCUUCACUCUUAGGAGUUAUAGGUGGCUAUUUCUAACUGAGGUGCCUGUACAUCUUGAAAUCUAUAGUAGAGAUAAAAGUGAAAAAUAUAUAAUUAAUGUUCAAUCCAUUUAAUCUCAACAUCAGAAGUCUCAAAAUUGAAAAUCAAGUUAGAAUCAAGACUUCAAAAAUAUAUGUGCACAAAGAUAAGUCUAAAUUAAACUAAUCAAAAAUUGUUUCGAGCUUUCAAGUCAUUGAAUUAAGACUUUUAUGUACAUCGUAAUUUGAAUAAAGAGCACAUAUGAAAAAACACAUGCAAACAAUGUCUUAACCAUAUCAUGAGAAUCAAAAUUACAUGACAUAUAGAAGAUGUUGUACAACAUGACUACAUGGAACUGAUACCUAAAGUUUUUUUUUUUUUUAGGGAAUCAAAUCUAGAUGCACCCAAAGCUUUCUUAAAGAUAUCUGCAAGCCAAUUUUCUAUUUUAAUAUAGUCUAGAGAUAAGGUUUUCCUAUCAACUUAGUCACAAAUAAAAUGAUAUCUAAUAUCAAUAUGCUUAAUUCUAGAAUGUUGAGUAGGAUUGUUAAAAAUAGGACUUGUGUUAUCACCAUGUACUAUAAGAAUAUCUUGAACAAUAUCAUAAUUUUCAAGCAUUUGCUUCAACCAAAUUAAUUGAGUACGACAACUGCUAGCAACAAUGUAUUCAGCCUUAGCAAUAGAUAAAGAAAUUGAGUUUGUUUCUUAAUGUGCUAAGAUACAAGAUUGUUAUCAAGGUAAAAACAAUCUUAAGUGGUGCUCUUUUUAUCAUCAGUAUUACCUGCCUAAUCAGCAUCUAUAUCCUACGAGGCUUGAAUUAGUAUCUUUAGAAUACCAAAUACCAUUAUUAAUAGUACUAUUUACAAAAUGAAUGAUAUAUUUAACAGCAGAUAAAUGUGAUUCCAUUAGAUUUGCUAGUUGUCCAGCACAAACAACUACAUAGAACAAAUAUCAAGUCUCUUGUAAUUAAAUAAAGUAAGCCACCAAUCAUACUUCUAUAAAGACUUAGAGCAUCAACCCCUAUCAUCUUUUGUGCUCAUAAGUGGUGUUCUUAUGUGUUAAGCUGAUUCUAGUCCCAAAUUUUUCACCAAAUGUUUGAAAUACUUACUUUGAGAAAUGAAAAUGCCAUUUCCAAGUUGUUUCACUUUUAAUCUUAAAAAAUUGGUUAAUUUGUCAACCAAGCUCAUUUCAUAUUUAUUCUUCAUUUUAUCAACGAGAUCCUAAACAUGCACUAGAGAAGUAGAGCCAAAAACAAUAUCAUUUAUGUAAAUUUGACCAAUCAAUAUUCUAGGAUUAAGAUUUUCAAUAAAUAAAGUCUUUGAAAUAAUAACUAGGCAACCCAAGAGGGGGUGAAUUGGGUUUUUAAAACUUAAGCUAAGCAACUACAUAAUAAUUUAAUCUAAUGCUUUAAUGAAAUCAAAAACAAUAAAUUUAACAAUGCUAAAAAAUAAAAAGAGUAAGGGAGGAGAGAGCAAACACAAAUAUUUUUACGUGGUUCGGCAAUCCCCGCCUACGUCCACGCCUCCAAGCAAACCAAGCUUGAGGAUUUUACUAUCCAAGCCUUCCAAGGCUUUAAACGCUUACAAUUGACUUCCAAGGUGCCAAUGGAUCUUUACAACAAAAGAUUAUCCCCAAUCUCUUCACCCAAGUUUAUCCCAACACUUACAACCUCUCAACAUGAUUUUACAAAAUGAUUACAAAUAAAAUUUCCUCACACAAUGUGUUUCAUUGCAAAUGAAAGCUCAAUGUGUGUGAAUGAAUUAAAUGAAUACAAAUUUUAUGCUCAGAUUGCAGAGGAUGGCUCAAUGAUAACAAUGGUUGUAUCUCUUUGAUUGAAUUUGAUUUAAGCCAACUUAUAUUAGAAGAAGAAAACUAGAUGUUAUUGACUUUUUGGUUAUAUCCGGCUUGCGGCUUUGUGUUAAUCGGUGUGCCGCUUUAUGUUACCGUUGUUUGGGGGAUAUACUUCGACAAGACUAGCCAUGCCCUGGACGAUGAGCCAGCCUCCUUAUAAUGGAGCAGAUGAGCAGAUGUCUGGUAACGGGAUUCCACGAACAGGAAUAUUCUACAGAAGUUUGGUAGCAGGCAUCCACAAACAGGAAUAUUAUGCUCAUUCACGAAUGCACCCUCCACGGGACCACAACGGGACCUAGCCUCGUACUAGGAGCAUAAGGCCAUUCCUGCUAGAGGUUGAAGUGGGUAGACCCAGUCAAUGGCAGUUGGCAAGACGUGCACUCCUGCCCAAGAAUUAAGGCACGAAGUCCACUCAGCCACAACUACGAUAAUGAAGCACCCACUGCCGAGAGUUGAGGGAGGUGAUGGACGUGAAUUGUAGGAAAGGCCGGAUUCAAAUGAAGGCUAUAAAAAGGUAACCAACGAAGGUAAACAAGUUAGAAUUUUUUAGAUUAGAACUUAGGAAAAGAGCUUUCUAUUGAGAGAUCAUAAAAAGAACGAGAUCAGGUUGCAGCACGUGACCCUAGUCGUGCCAUACAGCUGGAAGAGAAAGUGCGCAGAUAAUAGAUGACAUGCAAGGACGGAGUAGAGCACCUGGUUGGAGGAUAAUGCUAGACAGAGAAUCCCCGCUCUCAGCAGAAAUCAUGAGUGUUGUCAUUCCGAGGGAUUUUCGCCUCCCAGAGCUCAAGUACUCGGGGCGAACCGAUCCGUUGGUGCACAUAGAGUGCUUCAACGACAUAACUGGGGUGCAGGGAUUAUCUCAAGCUCAAAGAUGCAGGGUGUUCCCGCUGUCCCUAGAGGGACGAGCACGUGAGUGGUACUGGAAACUUCCUCAAGGGAGUAUUAAAUCCUUCGAGCAGAUGUGCCAGGAAUUUGCAGAACAGUUUCGUGGGGCAAUGGCGCCUGAAGAUGAUAUGAUGGAGCUAACGAGCAUGAAGCAAGGAGAUGAGGAAACACUUCGGGAGUUCAUUAAAAGGUUCCAUUGCGCUGUCUUCGAUUUGGGGGCCUUCAACCAUCCCCAGGCCUUGAGAGGACUGAAAGAAUGGGUGAAGAUAGGGCGCUUGUGGUACAAUCUGAGAAGUCCAGCCAUUCAGUCUUACUUUGCCGCUUAUGAGUAGGCCAAAAGAGACAUGGAGAUCGAGGAAGAAAAUGUGGCCAAGAUCAAGACAGACCAGCUGGAAGGGUUGAGGAGGAAGGAGAAGAGAGUCGUUCCAGGGAGUGGGCCAAUUAAGAGGAAGGACCUCCACGCCUCGGGAAGUGGAGGAGGAGGCCGGGUCACUUCUUACCAGCCUCACUAGAGGCCACCCCAGCGGAGCAGAAUGCAACCUCCUCGCUCACCAGCCAAGGAUUCUUGGCGAAGACAUGACCAGACAUACGGUCACCCAUACCCACACCCAAACUGUGGUAGAGCCAGCAGACCAGAGGCACUGAUGCCCCCUCCAGCUCAGAAUGGCACCCACAGGGAAAGGGCGGUGCACAUGAUCGAUCAGAGCCAGAGUUAUGGGUGGUAUACUUUCUUAAAGGUGACCCUGGACGAGGUGUAUGAGGCAAUCAAGGAUCGGGGAUUACUAUACCCCCCAACCCCAAUAACAAAGCUUCCCAGCAAGAGAGAUAGGGGACGGUAUUGUAAAUUCCACGGCACCCACAGUCAUACCACUACCGAAUGCAGGGAUAUCAAAACUCAGGUUGAAGAUUUGUUGAGAAAUCGUUACUUGGACGAGUUCGUAGAUGGGACUAUCCCGAUGGUGAGUUCGUCAGGGGAAGGGGAACAGAGUAAUAGAAACAUAGGCCACGAGCAGCUGAUAGUAAGGGUAAUCGAGGGUGGCCCUACGUUGGUAAGGGACUCCAACAGAUCGAGGAAGAACUACGCUGAGUAUGCCAUUACCAGCAAAGAAGUGUUCUUCAACGCCCCAGCAGCCAAGCGAGCAAGAAUCAGGAAAGUCCUGAUCAUGUGGACAGAUGAGGACGAAGAAAGAAUUCUAUAUCCGCAUGAGAAUGCCUUAGUUAUUAAAGCCAUCACUGCCAGCAAGAAGUUCGAUCAGAUUCUAGUAGAUACGGGAAGCUCGGUCGAUGUCCUGUUCAAGUCAACUCUGGAGGAGAUGGGAAUAACAGACCUGAAGUUAGAGCACACCAACACCUCCUUGAAGGGAUUUGGUGGAGGAAAGUUGGUCCCUCUAGGCAUGAUCGAGUUGUCCAUCACAAUUGGAAGCUCCCCAACAGAGAAGACUAUGAUCCUGGACUUUGUGGUUGUCGAUGAAAAGGGUCCUUACCAGAUGAUUCUAGGUUGUCCCUUCCUGGGGAUGAGCAAGGCAGUGCUCUCCAAUCAUUACUUGGCUCUCAAGUAUCGGGUGAAUGGUGUAGUGGGGGUAGUACGAGGAGACUAGAGAAUAGCUCGAAGUUGUUAUUCCACAGCAGCAAGGGAAACAAUGCAGAUCACAUCAUUUGACACUCGGAGGGAAGUCAAGGAUGGCAGACAGAAGCCCAUUGAGGAGCUGGUUCGUUGCCUCCGGGCUCAUACAGAUGUGUUUGCUUGGACCCAUGAAGAUAUGCCGAGAAUCAACCACGAGGUGGCUUGUCAUAGGUUGGCAAUAAGGAAGGAUGCUCGGCCGAUAAGACAGAAAAGAAGAUGCUUCAACCAAGAAAGAUACGAAGCAAUCAGUAGUGAAGUAGAGAAGCUUUUGAAGACGGGGUUCAUUCGGGAGGUUAGUUACCCUGAAUGGAUAUCAAAUGUUGUCCUAGUGAAGAAGGCAAAUGGGAAAUGGAGGAUGUGCGUUGACUUUACUAAUCUCAACAAGGCGUGCCCGAAAGAUAGUUUUCCCCUGCCCAAGAUCGAUAAGCUGGUCGACUCAACAGCCGGUCAUGGGUUGCUUAACUUCAUGGAUGCAUUUUCGAGAUAUAACCAAAUCCCAAUGUGCAAGCAGGAUGAGGAGAGCACAAUUUUUAUCACUAACCAAGGAUUGUUCUAUUACAGGGUCAUGCCAUUUGGCCUAAAAAAUGCGGGUGCUACAUACCUGAGGUUGGUGAACAAAAUCUUCAAGCUGCUGAUUGGAAGAACAAUGGAGGUGUAUGUAGACGACAUGAUAAGCAAAUCAAAAAACCCAAGCAAACAUGUCGAGCACCUCGAGGAGACAUUUGGGCCUCUGAAGAAGUACAAGAUGAAGCUAAACCCGGAGAAGUGUGCUUUUGGGGUCGAAUCAGAAAAAUUCCUUGGGUUCAUGGUGAGUCAUCGGGGAAUCGAGGCAAAUCCUGAGAAGAUUCAGGCAAUCGUGUAGAUGAGGUCCCCUCGUAGCCUGAAGGAGAUACAUAGCCUUACUGGGAAGUUAGUGCCAGGCCUUUUUCCAAGUGAUAAGGAGAGGAAAGAAAAUGGAAUGGACCCCCGAAUACGAAGAAGCCUUCUAGAGUUUCAAAUAAUAUCUGCAGCGAGCACCUUUGUUGUCCACGCUGCGAGAGGGGGACGUGUUGUUCUUGUAUAUGGUAGUAUCAGAUCAUGCUACGAGCUCGGUUCUAGUAAGAGAGGAAGAAGGAGUUCAGUAUCUGAUCUACUACACAAGCAAAGCCCUGCUCAAUGCCGAGACCAGAUACCCACCGUUGGAUAAAUGGGCACUUGAUUUAGUGGUUGCUGCUCGAAAACUGAGACCAUACUUUCAGGCAUUUCCCGUCUCGGUGAUAACAAACCAACAGUUACGGCAGACUCUGCACAAGCCGGAUGCUUCUGGUCGGCUAGUGAAAUGAGCUAUAGAGCUGAGUGAGUUCGAUAUAAGUUACAAACCCCGAGCAGCAAUAAAGGCCCAGGCAAUGGCAGACUUCGUGGCAGAAUUUACAAAGCCCGAAGUAAGUUUGGACGAGCUGGAUAUGGCUGUAGUCAACGACGAGGAUUGGGUAUGGCAAAUGUCGGUGGAUGGAUCUUCAGGGGAGCAGGGGUCCGGAGCAGGGAUUGUGUUGGAAGGCCCAGAAGGGGAGGAGAUCUCUUAUGCUGUAAAAUUAGAGUUCACGGCCACAAAUAAACCAGGCCGAAUACGAAGCUUUGAUAGCGGGGUUAGAAUUGGCUAAGGCAGUGAAAGCAAAUAAAGUGAGAGUUUGACCUGAUUCCCAACUGGUUGCCAACCACGUCAGUGAGAGAUUUCAACUGAGAGAUGGGAAGAUGGAACAAUACUUAAUGAAGGUAAGACAGAUGAUGGGGAAGUUUGAGUCGGUAGAGGUGAUACAAAUCACAAGAGAAGAGAAUUAUCGAGCAGACAUUUUGGCUAGAAUGGCUGCUGUAGCAUAUCCGAAACUGCCCAAGUCAGUCCCUUUGGAGGUGAAGACUAGCCCUAGCUUUGAGCAGAAUUUGGAGGUGUUGCGGGUAGAACAGAAGUGCUCAUGGAUGGACCCGAUAGCCUCGUACAUCCAGGAUGAGGUAUUACCACCAGAUACGUCACGAGCUCACAAGAUCAAAGCUCAAGCGUCGAGAUACACCAUGAUUGAUGGGGUGUUAUAUCGGCGGGGAUACACUUUACCGUUCCUCUGAUGUUUGGAUGAGGACGAUGCAGAUUACGUACUGAGAGAAGUACAUGAGGGAGUUUACGGAAACCAUUCUGGUGCAAGGUCCCUUGCCCACAAGGCUCUGAGGCAGGGAUAUUUCUAGUCGAUGAUGCACCAAGAUGCACAGGAGAAAACCAUGAGUUGCCUGAGUUUUACAAAUUUCUCUACCCAACCACCACAGAAACUCACUUCUAUAGCCUCGCCAUGGCCAUUUGCUCAAUGGGGAAUUGAUCUGAUUGAACCGUUACCUAAAAGACGGGGGGCGGCAACGUAUGCAAUAGUAGCGAUUGAUUACUUCACGAAGUGGGUUGAGGUAGAAGCCCUCAACAGGAUCACGGAGAAAAAGACGACUGACUUCGUAUGGAGAAACCUGGUCUGUAGAUAUAGGAUCCCAUAUGCCCUGAUAGCAGACAAUGGCAGGCAAUUUGAUAAUCAUAACUUCAGAGACUUCUGCCAGAACCUAGGGAUAGAGCUGAAGUUUUGCUCGCCUGCUCACCCUCAGUCUAACGGGCAAGUAGAAGCAGCCAAUAAGGUUAUCAAUAGGCUUUUGAAAACCAGGCUAGGAGCAAAGAAGGGAGCAUGGGUUGAUGAGCUACCAGGUGUAUUAUGGGCAUACAUGAAAACCCAAAAAACAGCAACCGGCGAAACUCUGUUCGCUUUGGCCUUCGGACAUGAAGCUGUUGUGCCCGUGGAGAUAGGGGCGGCCACGCACCGGACAGAUCACUUCGAUGAGUAGGAAAACAACGACCAGAUGUGCUUAAAUCUGGAUCUGCUGACUGAGAAUGGAGAGUAAGCAUCGAAGCGAUCAGCUGCCUACCAGCAGAGGGUUGCUCGUUAUUACAACCAGAAGGUGCAUAUACGAUAGUUCAAGGUCGGCGAUUGGGUACUUAGGAGGCUGAAUCAGAACACAAAAGACCUGACACAAGGAGAAUUCGGUCUAAACUGGGAGGGCCAUAUAGGGUCAAGCAGGUCGCUGGACCCAGUGCCUAUAAGCUCAUUCGCGCAGAUGGCCACGAGGUGAAACACCCUUGGAACGCAGCACACUUCAAGAAAUAUUUCCAGUAAGACUCAAUCAUGUUUAAAAGUUAUUUCUACUCAUUGUUAUUGUUAUUCGCUUUAUGUUUAAUCAAUUUCAUGUAAGCCGAGUUCAAUAAUUAAUGAAAAGUGGAGGAAUUUCAGUCAGUUGUCAUGUAUAACAAUUUCUAAGGCAUGCAAAGGCUCACAUAGUCGCAAAACCUAUUUUAUGGCGAGACCAGAAGCCAAGCAUGCCAGGAUCUGCUCGACCAAGCGAAGGCGAGCAAACCAUCAAACGUAAGGCGAGCAACACCAUGAAUUUCUAGGCCUGGUCGAUGGUAGUACGGGAAGUCGAUCUUUUCAGCACCUGCUCAACCACAAUGUAAACGAACAAAAAAUAAAAUAAUCUGCCAAGAGCUCGAAGCGAAGACAGCAAAUAAGAGCAUUCUUAUUAAUCUGCCAACAAUUAUGAAAAGCUACUAGUUUUAACAUACAAUGUUCCAAAAAAAGAAACCUACAACACAAGGUACAUUCAAAAUGACGGCGGGUCAGUAAACUAGGCCGUCUCAGCUGGCUAGUCCACCUCAGGAGCAGGGGGGUCUCACCAGUUGCACCCGGGGGGUACUUGCCUUGGCAACAUCAGCAGGGACUACACGAGGAGGAGAGGUUCCCUCCUCAGUUGCAUUUAGCUCCAACUCUUCGGCAUCUUCUUUGGUUGCCGCCUCAUCCAUAUAUUGAGCAACACCAACGGCAAGCUUGUCCAUCUUCAGAUCAGGAUGCUGCUUCCCUAGGACGACCAUGAUGCAGCGAUAAGAAUACCGAAACCCUUGGUCAUACUGGUUGUCAGCCUCCUUCUCUAUGUUUUCGACCUGAACCUGGUAGGAAUCUUUGAGAGAUUCGAGUUGAGCCUCGUAAGUAGCCUUUUGUCUCUGCAGGUCCUCCUUGACCUUAGUCAGCUCCUCCUCAAGAGUGAUUGCCUUUGCUUGCGCGAGAGACUCCCGCUCUAUCAACUUCAGAUUCUCAAGGUUGAGAUCUCUGGCUUUCUUCUCGGCAGCGUCCGCUUUGUUUUUGGCCGACUGAACGUCUUCUCUUAUCUUUUGGUCAUAGCGGCCGACCUUCACCUUAUAGUAAGUGGCCAUGCAGCCGAGAUGAAAAGCACUGUACUGCAUAGCCCUCACUAACUCGCCCAGAGUGCUGCCGUUAAAGUCUUCCAAGUCCUUUUUGCUCACGAGCUUAGAAAACUCACUGAUAUAGAGGACCAGAUGCUCUGCUCGAUUGUCGGGCAAAUGAGGUUUCGACCCUGAUGGUGGAGGAGGAGAAGUGGGAUCAGUGGCUGUUCCACUAGUUUCGCCAGCUUUAGUAGGAGGAGGUGGUAGAGUCCUCAAGUGGGGGACCUGUUCCGCAAUGUUCACCUGUUUCGCAGAGGGAGCAUCCUUAUUCUGGUCUCGCUUAGCAGCAUAAGGUCGAGGACGUUUUCGAUUCAAAGCCUCGAUUACAGCAUCCUCCAUCUUAAGAUCAGUGGACACCAGGCGAGAUUCGAAGAAGUUGUAAGUAGAUAGCAACUCUCGGCUCGAGCAGGAAUUGGCUAACACAGCCCCGACCCGCUUGAGCGGCUCAGGUUUAAGCUUGUAGUGGACACCCCAAUAACCUGUAGUUUGAACAAAAAUUGGGUUAGAGAUAAAUAAAAAAUGAGAACAACUAGGGAUACAAGACAUCUAAAGCGAGGCCGGCUGGGAGUAUCCUUUUUUCCUAGGAUCUUAAGGGGUAUAUCAUCAGGAAUGUCAUACCUAGUCCGGAGGUCAACGAGAUCGUCUACUGUGGUCGUGCAUGUGAUGAAGUCAAUAGCGUAAUGCUCCGAUAAAGCCCUACCUCCUAUUUUGCUCUUCCUAUUUGGUCGCGAUGUUCCUGGUGAGGACAUUUCACCAGAAUCUUCACCCGGGUCCUCACUCAGGGUAUCUUCCGAACCAGAAGAUCUCUCAUCGCCGCUAUUGCUAGUUGAAGAGGUUAUUUGGGGAGACAUCGUCCUAGCACUAGUCCCAACACUAGAUCUAAUUGGCUCUAAGGGGAUCCCAGGGUGAAACACUACCCAAGCAAAACAGAGAGAAAAAAAAAUUUCUACAACUAUCCAAGACCGAAGAAAUAGAAAUAAUACAUGUAGUUGUGGCCCAGCCGAAUAAGGACAAGGAAGGUAGCUUUUACGCCGAGGAAGAGAAAUAACUCAGUCACCGGAGAGGAAGAAGAAGGCUAAGAGACGAGUUUCCCUUUUGGGGUUUUGGUUUCCCUACUGAGGAACAAACUCUCGGGCUGUUAGCAUUUAACGGCACGAAUUCCAAGGGUUUCAUAACCAUCAGUUUGAAAUUCAAAUGGAAUGAUAGAUCUCUGCUACAUCACCUCGCCCGCAAUUAAAUGCGACACAACUCCUCAAAGCCGUUUCCUAUCCUGCAUAAGCCAGAACUGUUGAGUUUCUACUGUUGGUCCACUACGUUACCCAACACCAGAAACUGAGGAACCAAUGUUUAGGGGAUAUACUUCGACAAGACCAGCCAUGCCCUGGACGAUAAACCAGCCUCCUUAUAAUGGAGCAGAUGAGCAGAUGUCUGGUAGUGGGAUUCCACGAACAGAAAUAUUCUGCAAAAGUCUGGUAGCAGGUGUCCAUGAACAGGAAUAUUUUGCUCGUUCACGAAUGCACCCUCCACGGGACCACAGCGGGAGCCAGCCUCCUACUAGGAGCAUAAGGCCAUUCCUGCUAGAGGUUGAAGUGGGUAGACCCGGUCAAUGGCGGUUGGCAAGACGUGCACUCUUGCCCGAGAAUCAAGACACGAAGUCCACUCAGCCACAACUACGAUAAUGAAGCACCUACUGCCGAGAGUUAAGGGAGGUGAUGGACAUGGAUUGUAGGAAAAGCUGGAUUUAAAGGAAGGCUAUAAAAAGGUAACCAACGAAGGUAAACGAGUUAGAAUUUUUGAGAUUAAAACUUAGGAAAAGAGUUUUUUAUUGAGAGAUCAUAAAAAGCCAUAAUAUUAGUGGUCGUGUUUCCCAGAAAGGCAAAACCUACGUUUCUGACUUGAGCGUUGGAGGGUUUAUGCCAAAAAAAUACCCGGCGUGCUCUGACCUAUUUCUAUGUACGCAGUAGUUUGCGGAGAGGAAGUCUUACGAGGAGAGAUCCUGGUCGUGGACGAGUUAAUUAAGGAGGAAUCCUGGUCGUGGACGAGCAAAAAACUAGAAUCUCACAUCAACAACCAUUAUGUUCAAAGAUUUGAAUUUUUGCACAUUCGGUUUGUCGUUUUUCAUUUCCGGUUAGCCGUUCUUACUCUAGAGAGCUUCUGCUUAAUAACUGAUUUGCCGCUUUUGUGGCUUUUAUUGCAGAGAGCUUCUGCCCAUAACCGGUUUGCUGCUUUGAUAAAUCCGGUUGGCCGCUUACUACAGUGAAACAACUAUUUUCCAAAAUUACAAUUUUGCCUCAACACUUUAUAAAAUUAUAUUAUGGCCCAAAUAUUUAUAAAACUUUGCAAAUAUGUCCAUUUCUAGAAUUUUAAAACAAUACUUGUUGAUUUCAAAGUUGUUAAAACUUUUCAAUUUAAACCAUAAAAUUGAAAACAACUAAUUUCAUAAAAUCAUUUUCUUAUUAUAAAAACAUAAUGCGUAGUUCUUUAUUUAUCUAAAACAUAUGGUUUAUUAUUAUCAAAAUCAUUAUUUUAUAGCCAUAUAGGCUAACAAUCUCCCCAUUUUUGAUAAUGACAAAACACAUUAUAAAAUUUUGAUUUAGUUAUGAAAAAACUCCUCCUUAUAAAUGAAAACUGAUUUAAAAAGCUCCCCCUACAUGAAUGCAUAUUUUUCAUAACAAACAGUUAUAUAUCAUAUCUCUCCCUUCAUCAUAAAAAAGAGUAGAAUGCUCCCCUUGAGUAUAUUAUAAGUUUAAACAAUUUGCCAAUCAACUAAAUUAACAACUUUAAAUACAUGUAUUCUUCUCCUCCUUCAUCAUAAAAAAGAAAACUUAGUGGAAAAGAAAAAGAGUAGCAAAUUUGUUACCCAUGUUGUCCAAGUAGAAAUUUCGACAAAAUCUUCCCCUAUCAACAAGCAUCACCUCAAAUACAAGUUUAGUAAUAUCACUCCCAAAUUAUCAUAAAUCAUGAUACAAACCAACUUCAUACACAAAUCAUCACACAACCCAUCAACCAUAAAAAGAUCAUGAACCAUCAUUCCAUCAAUUACCAAAUCAGCAACUCAUAACAUAAAAUCAUCAUAUAAAACAACCAUGUAAUCACAUCAUAAUCAUAUCUCAAAAUCAUCACCAUAAUCAUAUAUCAACCAUCAAAAGAAUGCUCAAAGUGCAUGUUAUUCUCCCCCUUUUGACAUCAUCAAAAUGGUAUAUUACUUUGUCUCCCCCUUUCGAUAUCAUCUAAAGCAAGUAAUGCAUAUUCAACAAUACACCAAUAAAGUACAUAAAUGCAUCCAUUUACCAAUCAUAGAUCGUAUAAGAUCAAACUUCAUCAAAUACAAUGUAAUCAUCAAAGGACAUUCUUUAUCAUCAAAACUUAAGUAAAGCAUAAGUACAUAAUGACAAUAUAUAGAUCAUCAAAAUCAAAUAAAGGCAUCAUGAUAAGUUGACAUGCUACCAUCAUAUAUAUCUAUCCAUGCAUCAUGAUUACACACAAUAAUAAUUCAAUUAUGUAAACGUAUGAGCAUGCUUUUUUAAAUUCAAUCUAUUAUCCAUCCAGCAUGAUCCGUUCAACAAAAUUAAUAUGGCAAGAAUUGUUACCAAAACAAUUAAAUCAUUUUACCAAUCAUUUUCUCUUAUAUCAUGGUUAACUGAUUAUUCUCACAAGUUUUCAUUGAGGAACUCUCCACCAUUUCUUGAUUAUGGUAACUACAAAAAGUAUUCAAGUUGUGCCUUUUGGUAUCCAAAUACUCUUGGGUCCUUGAGUAUUAGUAAUGGUUCCUUUUGGAACCCAAACAUAUUUUACUCCAUAAUAUGUAUUUCUUUUAACUAGACAUCUAUACUUUAUGUGACCAUUUUGAUUACAAUGGUGACAUAUAACUUGAUUAUUAAUGGAGGUACUCUUUACAAAAUAAUUCUUAUAAUAUUUUUAUUUCAAAUUUGGCUUAUAGCCAAUACCUCCUUUUUCAAACACACAUUUUUGUGAGUUAAGCAAGUUAUCCAACAUCUUUUGCCCAUUUGUAAAUUUUAAGACAACAUCACUAAAUUCUAUAUUCUUUUUCUUGAGCAUUUCAUUUUCUUUCAUCAAUUCAUCAAGAUGUGAUUUUUCAUGCUCAUACGAAAUACUUUGUUUACCUUUAAAUGAUGCAAUUUUGUCAUGCAACAUUUGAUUAUCUAACUCUAGUCCUUUAAUCUUUUCAUUUAAUGAAUCAUUAAAUUUUUGUAAAGCAUCCUUUUUAUUUGAAAGUUCUAUCAUUUUCUUUUUAAGACAUACAUUCCUUUUACCAAUUUUCAUCCAAUUAUCAUGCAAUUCCUUAAAAGCAUCAUAUAAUUCAUCAUAGGUAGGAUCACUUACCUCAUCAAGUUCGUCAACCGAUUCAUCUCCAUUUGCCAUAAGUGCCAAUAUUAGUUUCAAACAAAUUGAAAUUGGAAAAAUAUUUACCCUUUUUUGCAGGUUACAACUUUGAUUGAGAUUUUUCUUUCUUUUUGCUUUUUCCAAAUUUUCCUAGCGUCAAUUUUUAAAACUUUUUGGUCAAAAUAGCCAAAGAUUUUUGUACGUAUUUUAUUUUAUUAUCAGCAUCAUCACCAUCGCUCUCUAAAUUCGGCAUCUCAUCUUAAAGGCAAUGUUUUUUUCUCUUUUUUUUUCUUCAAAUGACUAGUCUCAAAACUCUAAAGUUCACUAGCCACUUGAUUUCUAAUCAUGGUGCUAAUAUCAUAUUAUUGUUCAAUAGCUCCAACUUUAAUAAGAAAUGUUUCUAACAAAGAUCUCAAAAUUUUUCUAACUAAUUCUUCCUAAUAAGUUUUUUACCAACGAAAUAUGAAGUAUUAGCAAUCUUAAGAAGUUUAGCAUUAAAGUCAGCAAUUUCUUCAUGUUUAUCCAUCUUAAGAUUUUCAAAUUCAAUUGCAAGUUUUUGAAGUUUAGAAUAUUUUACCAAAUUUCUCCUUUGUCAAUGUCUUAAAGAAUGUCCCAAGCUUCCUCGUAUUUGUACAUAUCAAUAUUAAAUCAUACUAAUUGAUAUCAACUCCAUUGACAAUAGGUGCCUUGGAAUUAAAGCUAGAUUCUUAAACUUGAGCAUUGGAAAUAUUUCCAUCUUGAUCAGAUUUGAUGGGUAGAGAAUAGCCUUUUCUAACACAUUCCAUAACUCUUAUGUCAAUGGUCUCAAUAUGAAUUGUCACCCUUUGCUUCCAAUAACAAUACCAUCAAACAAAGGUGGAUAGUCGGUAGAUCCUUCUUCUCUCUGUAAAUCCAUGUCUAUAAAAAUAUAUCAAGAUCCCAAAAUCUCACUAACGAAACUGUUACUGAUACUGCUACCACUUGUUAAAAAUUUAAAUCUAUUUUAACAAGUGUAGGCAAAUUAAAACACUAGGUAAACUAAUUAUCCUAAUUAAUUAAUCCUUUAAUUACUGUUCAUAAAUUACUAUUCACUCGAUACUGUUUUAUGAUUCACCAUUCGUAUGAAAAUGUUCACGGUUGCUGUUCAUGGGAUAUUGUAUACAAGUCAAUGUUCACAAUUAUUAUUUGUCAUAAGUAUUUAUUCACCCUAAAUCUAUCAAAUAUGUUAGAAGUAGUAAAUUGCAGAAAGUAAAGCACAUAGACGAUUUUUAUAUGGUUUUGGAUUACAAUCCUACAUCUAUGGAGUCAUGUUUAGAGACUAAGCAAUUCACUAAGAGGGCAUUUAUUUUUUAACUUCAUGACUUAAAGUGAGUUAACUUAAUUAAUAAAAUUAAUUAGAGAUGUUUAUUUUUAUAACUUAAUGGGACUUUUAAGAUAAUUUUAUCUUAAUAAAAUAAGUCAAUUAUUUUGGUUUUUUACUGAAUGCAGAAAUCUGAAUAAGCCAACUAUUUUCUAAUAUCAGAAGUAUCCCUACUUUAUAAUUUAUUUUUCAUGCCUAUCCCAAAAUCCACUUAUACACAUUUACCCCACUAAUAAUCUCAUCUUAAUAUUUUUUUUUUUGGAUGGGCAAAUUAACUAUUUCAAGCAUCUUAUUAGUUUUUCUCCUCAUAUUAUGUACUAUUAUUGAGAAUUUGUGAUGGAAUUUAAAAUUUAUGGUAUUUUGUAUUUACAGAAUAUGAUUUUGCUCAUAUAUGUUAAAAUAUUAUGGUGCUUAUGUUCCUUGCGAUAUAUAUUACUUAUUUAAAAUUCAAAUUUAAUGAAUGAGAAAGUACAUAUUUUUAAUUUUUAAGUUUAAAAAAUUUUAAAAACUUAAUACUUAUUUUUAGAGAUUCAACAAAAAGAACAAAUAUAUUAUUCUUAUUCAAACAUUCAACUUUAUUCAGAGUGCAUAUUAAUUCAGAUCUAUUGAGAUUUCAGACCAAAAAAAAAAAAAAAACCACCUAAGCAAUGAAAAGAUUACAUCCUGAAUUCUUAAAUAGUCUCAGACACUCUCUUGCUCUUACCACCAGCUUGUUGAAUCUACCUAGUCGAUCGUGUUUAGCGAGCACCACUCAUCUUCAAUUGUAUUUGCUACUUCCUUGAGAUUCCCUCAACACAACAAAUGACCUCUUCAUUCUGAAAAAACCAAAUAAUAAUAAAGAAUGUCUAAUAAAAUGCUUGAUAUGAAGAAGAUUAAAACAUUAUAGAGAUAUGAAACCUCAUAUGCGAUGAAAUAGUUUUUCUUCUCAUUCUUUGCAUUGGCUAUUUCACUAAUAUAAUAUAAGAAAUGCCUUCUUCAGUCUUCAAUGUGUGAAAUACUUCCCUUUAUAUAGGUGCAAUAUUUCAUUAGAACAUAUAUUUUUUUUAGAGUCCAAUAUUCCAUAAAUACUUAAUAUACUUACCAAUACAGUGAUCAUCUUUAUUUAGAAUUCUUUAAUAUGUAAUCCUACUUAUAUGUUGAUUUGCUUCUUUAUGCCUAAAAAAAUAUUCCCCCAUAUUCGACAUAAUCUAAUCUAAUUAAUUCCCAAGACUAGACAAAUCCCUCAUAAAAAGAAUAAAUAAAUUGUAAUAUUAUUGACACAAUGAUGGGAAUAAUAAAAUCCCUAACAAAUAAGAAGAAAAAUAUUUUUCAAUUAUACUUGAUUGUACUUCAGAUACAAACCAUCAAGAACAAGUGUCCGCUAUAGUAAGAUGUGUAGAUAUUUUAGCAAAUCCAGUAGAAAUGGAAGAAUACUUUUUCAAAUCUUAAAAGUUUACCAUUGUACUGGUAAAGGGCUCUUUAAUGAACUCAUAGAACUAAUAAAAAUUCUUGAACUUAUCAUUGAUAAUAUAUGAGGACAAGGAUACAAUAAUGGUUCUAAUAUGAAAGGAAAACACCAAGGUGUAAGAUAUUAUAAACAAAUUCUAAAGCAUUUUAUACAUCAAGCGGUUGUCAUGGUCAAAAUUUAGUGGUUUGCAACAUGGCUAAUUCUUGUCCUAGAGCAAUUUCAUUUUUUGGAGCUAUGAAACUUAUUUAUUCAUUAUUUUUCUUCUUCAAUGAGGUGAUGGAAAAUCUCACAAAAUAAUAUACCCAAUUUGACUGUCAAAUUAUUUUGACACAUACAUUGAGAAAGUUGUAUUGAAAGUGUGAAAGCAAUAAGAUUUCAAACUCCAUAAAGUAUGAGAUGCUUUACUUGAAUUAGAAGAAAUUAGUGAAGAUUCUAGAAUAAAGAGUGAAGUUAUGUGUUUAGCAACAUAUGAAUUGAAAAAUUUUAAUUUCAUAUUAGGUGUGAUUAUUUAGUAUGAUAUAUUAUUUGCUAUUAACUCUAUAUGUAAGAUCUUGCAAAAAACAUAUGCAUAUUUAUAUUGCCAUAGAUCGACAUAAAGUUCUUAUUUCUUUCUUUGAAAGCCAUAGAGAAAAUGGAUUUUGUGCCUGUUAUGAUUUUAACUAAAGAAAUUGCAACCAAAAUGGAAAUAGAACCUAAAAUUCACGAAAAACGUUUAAUUCAUAGAAAAAACAAUUUUGAUGAAAGUAUCGGUGAAGGGGGAAUUUUAUCUCUUGAAUAGUCUUUCAGAAUUAAUUAUUUUAUAUACAUAAUAGUUCAAACUAUUUCUUCAAUAAUAAGUAGACUUGAACAAUUUCAAAUGUAUGAGAAUAUGUUAGGAUUUUUGUUUAAUUUCAAAAAAUUACAAUCGUUAAGUGAGAAUGUUUUAAAAACUUAUUGUGUUAAUAUUGAAAAUGCUUUAGAAACAUGAUAUGCUUUCUGGUAUAGAUGGUUUAGAUUUGUUUUCAGAGUUAAGAAUUUUUAAAGAAGUUUUACCAGUUGGGAAAUUACCCCGCUUGACAUACUUAAUUAUUUUCAAAAAAUUGAUUCUUUUCCAAAUGCAUAUGCUACUUAUAGAAUAUUAUUAACAAUACUAAAAGUAGUUGCUUAUGCAAAAAGAAGUUUUUCAAAAUUAAAAUUGAUAAAAACUUAUUUGAGAUUAACAAUGUCGCAAGAAAGAGUAAAUGGAUUAGCCAUAUUGUCUACUAAGAAAAAUAUAUUAGGAAAUUAUAAUAUAAAAAUUUGAUUAAUAAUUUUACAUCUAAAGCUAGAAAAAUUGAUUUUAAUAAAUAGUUUUUUAGUAAAAUUAAUACAUAUAUUUAACCUCAAAUUUUUUGAAAGGUCUAAUUGAAACAAUUCCCUUAAAGCUCCCAAAUUAAUUGAGCGGACCUUGCCUACAAGGCUCGUGAUAAUAAAGACACAAAAAUAUUAGUCACAUUUAUUUAUAUUAUUUUCAUUUUUCAUGAGACUUAUCAAAUUGUGAUUUGAUGGUUAAUAAUUUGUUUCAUAUUGUGUAAAAAAGAAAGGCUUCCUGAACAAGCCCCACACCAACUAGUCUAAUUUUGACUUCGCAUGUGCUUGUGUAUUACACACGGUUGCACUCUGUUAUCACUGCGUCAAAAAGGAGAGGCUCUGACUCCUUGACAUUACGUAUACCAACUAGUCUAAUUUUUCAUAUGGUUCAUGUGCUACACUAUAGUGUGUAAUGCCGCAAAACCAAGAAGAAAAAAAUGAAUGCUAGUUCUUUGUUGUGAGAAAUUCUAAACUAAAAUACAUAAAUCAAUUUAAUUAAUAUAUGUAUAAAAUGUAUAUUUAAAUUUUAUAUAACUACCAAGUAUAUGUCUGUUCUUCAAAAUAAAUGCAUAUAUACUAUAUCAUUAUUUACUUUUUAUAUAACUGAUAUGGUAUAUUAGAGAUAUUCUAAAAUUUCUCUUCUGCGCUUCUUGUCAUUUUCGACUACAAGUCAAUGAAGUCUCUUUUGUUUCGAGACAGAUGAUCUCAAGGAAAUGGGGCAAAUAUCUCUUCCAGUGGUAUUUUACAGGCUGUUGAUGAAGAGUCGCACGUGUUUUGGUAUUUUACAUUUGCAUUUUGUUUGCAAAUUUUAGUAAGGUCAGGCUAUACAGGAAGUCUCUCCAGUGUUCUAUGACUCAAAUGGAAAUAUAACGUUGAUUAUUAAACACAUGCUUCCGCACGUUUCUGUUCUCUGUAGUACUAUUAUAAACAAAUAUCGACAUCGUUGAUUACUAUAAACACAUUCAUUGGCGCGUUAGAAUUCCCUCAUGAAAAAAUAUGACUACAUUUUGCGUUCUGGUUUGAGUUCAUAUUUCCUUUUCUUCAUUCUUAAUUUUUAUGACUUGCACAAUUAAUUUCUGUAGUUGAAGCAAUAUUAAAUUGUACUCUAUAUCGCAUCAAAAAAAAAAAUUGUAAUAUAUAUAUAUAUAUGUAUAUGUGUUUGUGUGUGUGUGUGUGUUGCUUAUUACUUCGGAGGACUUAGGAUGUUUUCUUUGUAUGGAUAAAUCCUAACAUAAUUCUGACGUGUUUUUAGUUACUGCAAAAAUUCUAACGCACUUUCACUAACCGUUGUUAAAUGGAUUUUUUUUUUUUGAAAUUAUUACAAUGUGAAAAUGAGGAUUACCUUCUAUUUGUCUAGGAAAAUUAAGCAAAACCCCUCCUUAUUUUUUAAUAGAUUCAAAUCUACUACAAUUAUAAUGGUGUUAAUUUUAUAUAUCAUUUUACUAUUCUAUUCUUACUAUCGGUAUUAGUCAUAAAAUUUAGAUAUUUUGAGAAUUUUUUAAGCAAAAUGACUUAUAUAUCCUCAACAAUUAAAUAAAUUUAUUAACCUAUUAAAAACAUGAAGAAAAAUUACAAUUUACAAGUAGAGGAAAUAUCAUAUAUACCCCUGAUAAUUAUAUAAAGUAUUUGUUUAAAUGAAUGUAACAAGUUUGAUAUAUUUAAUUUGCUUCUUAAUCUGGCACACGAUCAGUUGUUUUAUUGGAGAAGCAUAGGCUAGGCCAUACCGUUGCAAUUGUAAUUGUUGUUUGCUUACUUGCUUAUGCUAAUUAAAUGCUCUUAAUUAAUUAUUUCUCAUCAAAUAGUUGCAAGUACGUGUAAUUUAUUGUUUUGUUAGUAGUUGUUUAUAUAUCCCUUUCCUAUAGUGAUUCUUUUUCUUUAAUUUAUCAUAAAUUAUUCAUUUGUAGUUUGGGUGAAUUUAUUGCAUUUAGUCCAAUUAUCUAUUUGUCCUUUAUUUGAAUGUAUAUUUGGAUAUUUCCUUCAAUUGUUUUAUUUUAUGUUUUCAGAGAUUUAUUUAGAAUCUUGGACUUCAUACACUUAGGACACAUUUAUACAACUAGUAGGAAUUAUGUCAUUUCCCCUACUUGUAAUUUUUCUCCAUAAUUUGCAAUUUGUUAUUAAAUUAAUUUAAUCGUUAAGGAAAUACAAGUCACUUUGCUUAAAAGAAUAUCUUCAAAAUAUUUAAAUUUUAUGACUAAUAUCAAUACUAGAGAUAGGAUAGUAAAAUGAUAGAUAAAACUAAUACCGUCAUAAUUGCAGGGUGUUUGGACCUUUUUAAAAUAUGAAAGGAUUUCGCUUAAUUUAUCUACAUGAUAGGGUUAAUCCUCAUUUUCCUUUAUUACAGUCUAUAGAUAUAUUAUUUAGAUACAUACAUUUGUAGUACAACCGAGAUGCCCUUAGGCAUGAGCUCAAAAAUCUGUUUUCACUAAUAUGAGGGAGACAUAUCUAUCCUAUCCAAUCUAUCUUUUGAUGGUAAUUAUUUUGAAAUAUACAUUUUUUUUUUCAAAAGUACUUUAUAACUAUAACAAAUAAGAUUUUAGUUAGAUUUGUUAAAUAAAACAGGUCUUUAUCUUCUUUUAUAAUUUUGAUUAUUUUGAGUAUUAAUGCUUAACAUUAAGAUAUUCUUUAUAACUUUGCGUAUUCUUAUUUUUAUGUAAGUACGUAAAACAAGUUUUUAAUGUAAUAAAUAGGACUUUUGUAAGCAAAGUUAAAUUUAUGAAUUUUUUUUUGUCAUUAAUAUGUGUAUUUAUUAUAAUUUUUGUCAAUAAUAUGUGUAUUUUUUUUGUCAGUAUAGUGUGUAAUGCCGCAAAACCAAGAAGAAAAAAAUGAAUGCUAGUUCUUUGUUGUGAGAAAUUCUAAACUAAAAUACAUAAAUCAGUUUAAUUAAUAUAUGUUUAAAAUGUAUAUUUAAAUUUAAUAUAACUACCAAUUAUAUGUCUGUUCUUCAAAAUAAAUGCAUAUAUACUAUAUCAUUAUUUACUUUUUAUGGUAUGUUAGAGAUAUUCUAAAAUUUCUCUUCUGCCCUUCUUGUCAUUUUCGACUACGAGUCAAUGAAGUCUCUUUUGUUUCGAGACAGAUGAUCUCAAGGAAAUGGGGCAAAUAUCUCUUCCAGUGGUAUUUUACAGGCUGUUGAUGAAGAGUCGCACGUGUUUUGGUAUUUUACAUUUGCAUUUUGUUUGCAAAUUUUAGUAAGGUCAGGCUAUACAGGAAGUCUCUCCAGUGUUCUAUGACUCAAAUGGAAAUAUAACGUUGAUUAUUAAACACAUGCUUCCGCACGUUUCUGUUCUCUGUAGUACUAUUAUAAACAAAUAUCGACAUCGUUGAUUACUAUAAACACAUUCAUUGGCGCGUUAGAAUUCCCUCAUGAAAAAAUAUGACUACAUUUUGCGUUCUGGUUUGAGUUCAUAUUUCCUUUUCUUCAUUCUUAAUUUUUAUGACUUGCACAAUUAAUUUCUGUAGUUGAAGCAAUAUUAAAUUGUACUCUAUAUCGCAUCAAAAAAAAAAAAUUGUAAUAUAUAUAUAUAUAUAUAUGUAUGUAUAUGUGUUUGUGUGUGUGUGUGUGUUGCUUAUUACUUCGGAGGACUUAGGAUGUUUUAUUUGUAUGGAUUAAUCCUAACAUAAUUCUGACGUGUUUUUAGUUACUGCAAAAAUUCUAACGCACUUUCACUAACAGUUGUUAAAUGGAUUUUUUUUUUUGAAAUUAUUACAAUGUGAAAAUGAGGAUUACCUUCUAUUUGUCUAGGAAAAUUAAGCAAAACCCUGUUGGAUCAUAAACUUGAUCCAAGAUGAAUAAAUUCAAGCCAAACUCAUGGAAGAUUCCAUGAGUAUAUAUGGUUGAUGAGGUUUGAAUUAUUUGUGUUAUGUGUGGUAGGUGUGGUUGGUGAAGUAGGUGAGUGGUGGGUUUUAAUGAAUGGUGAGGAUUUAUGUAGUAGUUGAAUAAAUGAAUAGUUGUAAUUAGUUUGUAUCAUGUAUAAAUACCCCCUCUCCCCUUUGGUUUAAGUAUAAAGUGAAGUAACAAAAUCUCUAAGGUGUAGAGAGUGAAAAAUAAGAGUUCUAAUUGGUGAGGAGUGUUGUUGAAGAAAUAAAAUAGUGUGUUUUGUGUGUAAUUCUCCAACAAAGUGGUAUCAGAGCUAGUGCUUGAUGCUGUAUAUAGUCAUAUAGCAUAUCAAAUCGAAUAUCUCGACGAGAGGAACGUGACGCCGCAAAAAUAAUUCUGAUCCGAGACCAAACGCUCCCACACUUGCCGUCGGAAGUUUUCUGUCCUGAAGCUGAGCCGACUCACCGAGUUGAACCAAGCUGAGCCGAACUGAACCAAGCCGAGCCGAGCUGAACCAAAUCAAGUCGAACCGAGCCAACUCGAGCUGAACCAAUCCGGACCGAACCAAGCCUACCAAGGCAGCGUUGACCGUUGACCGACGCUGACAGUUGACCAGCAUUGACCGUUGAUCGAAAGUUGACUCGAGUCCUUCCCAAGGUUUUUCGAUGUGCCGAAUCCAUAUGUGCUUUCAGAAUCUCCAAAUUCUCACUCAAUUUGUGAGUUAUGGCAAACGGUGGUAUGAUGUCAGUUCAAGUUCCAUAAUUAAAAGGAAGUAAGUUUGACAAUUGGAGUAUUAAAAUGAAGGCUCUGUUGGGCGCACAUGACGUAUGGGAUGUCGUGGAGAAAGGCUUUAUUAUGCCAGAAAAUGAAGCCACUUUAACUGCGGCGCAUAAUGAGAAUUUAAAAGACUUGAAGAAGAAAGAGAUUAAAGCAAAAUAUCUCAUCUUUCAAUCAUUACAUGAAGAUGCUUUUGAAAAGAUUGCUAGUACAACCUCCUCAAAAGAAGUAUGGGAGAAACUAGAGACCUCUUACAAAGGAGCGGAGCAAGUUAAGAAGGUUCGUCUCCAAACAUUAUGAGGAGAAUUUGAGUCCUUACACAUGAAGGCAUCGGAGUCAAUUUCUGACUACUUUACUCGGGUUGUGACCGUUUCUAAUGAAUUAAAAAGAAAUGACGAGGAGUUAAAAAAGGUAAGGAUCAUUGAAAAGAUACUUUGAUCAGUAGACUCAAAGUUUAACCAUAUUGUUGUGACAAUUGAAGAAACAAGAGAUCUGGAGGAUAUGACGAUCGAGCAACUUCAUGGAAGGCUGCAAGCCUAUGAAGAAAAAUAAAAAAAGAAGUAAGGAAUCAAAGAACAACUUCUCAAGAUGGAAGUCAAUCCAAAGAAAAGAGAAGAAAGCUCUGACAACGAGAGAAGGCACUAUGUCCGAGGUAGAGGUCGAGGACGAGGUAGAGGUCAUGGUCAUGGAUGAGGUUGGAAUUUCAACAACAACAACUCCAAUUAUGCCAAACGAGAAAGCUCAACCAGAGGACGAGGCAGAGGCAAUCCAAGAUCGAGGUAUGACAAAUCCCAAGUACAGUGCUAUAAUUGUCAAAAGUUUGGGCAUUAUGCUUCAGAAUGUAGAGCUCCAAGCACCAGAAUUGAGGAGAGAGUGAACUAUGCUGAAAAGAAAAAUGGUGAAGAUGGCACACUUUUACUAGCACGCAGUGACACAAGUGGAGGUCAAGAAAAUACAUGGUAUCUUGACACAGGUGCUGGCAAUCAUAUGAGUGGAAACAAAAGGAUGUUCAUGCAACUAAGUGAAUAUGUGAAUGGCAGUGUUGCUUUUGGAGAUGAUUCAAAAGUACCAGUGAAGGGUAGAGGUAACAUUCUUUUUCGUGCAAAAGAUGGCGGUCACCAAAUAAUUUCGAAUGUUUACUAUGUGCCCAAUAUGAAAAGCAACAUCCUUAGUUUGGGUCAACUUUUAGAAAAAGGCUAUGAUAUUCACUUAAAAUAUUAUAAUCUUUUCCUAAGAGAUGAUAGAGGAAAUCUAAUUACAAAGGUGAGAAUGUUGAAGAAUAAAAUGUUUCCAUUAAAUAUUCAAAAUGAUGUUGCAAAAUGUCUCAAAGCCUGUCACAAAGAUCAAUCCUAGACUUGGCAUCUUCGAUAUGGGCAUCUCAACUUUGGAGGACUGGAGCUACUAUCUAAAAAGAACAUGGUGAAAGGCUUACCAUACAUCAAUCACCCUGAUAAACUUUGUGAAGGAUGUUUACUUGGCAAGCAGUUCAGAAAGAGCUUUCCAAUGGAGUCAAACUCAAGAGCUCAGAAGCCACUCGAGCUCAUUCAUAUUGAUGUGUGCGGUCCAUUCAAGCCAAACUCCCUUGGUAAAAGUAACUACUUCCUUCUCUUCAUAGAUGAUUUUUCAAGAAAAACUUGGUUGUAUUUUUUAAAACAAAAAUCAGAAGUUUUUGAAGCUUUCAAGAAGUUUAAAGCUGCAGUGGAAAAAGAAAGUAGAUACCAGAUUAAAGCCAUGAGAUCUGAUCGAGGUGGAGAGUUCACUUCUAAAGAAUUUUUAGAGUUUUGUGAAGCAAAUGGAAUUCGACACCCUUUGACAGUUCCAAGAUCCCCCCAACAAAAUGGUAUUAUAGAAAGGAAGAACAGAACCAUCCUCGACAUGGCAAGAAGCAUGGUUAAGAGUAAGAGGCUACCUAAAGUACAUGAGAAGAAAUCUAAACUAUAAGAAAUUACAAAAAAUUAAUAACUAUUCAUCUUAUUUUUAUGUAAGUACGUAAAACAAGUUUUUAAUGUAAUAAAUAGGACUUUUGUAAGCAAAGUUAAAUUUAUGAAUUUUUUUUGUCAUUAAUAUGUGUAUUUAUUAUAAUUAUAUGGCUUAUAGAAACAGUUUUUAAAAAAAUUUGUAGCAAAAAAAAAAAUGACAAAUAAAUAACAAUUAUACAACAAGCCAGCCCCCUCAAGGGCGUGGUCGGGUUGGUUGCAUUGCAGCUGUAACCUCUACCAAAAUCCGGGUUCAUUCUUGUGGAUGAUAAGGGGGUUAAAAACUGUAUUUGGGUUUGCCCACCCCCCUUACCUUUAAGGAAAAAAAAAAUAACAUGACAGCGAAUGUACAUAUUUGAACUUGCUGGCACGUUAGAAUUCCCUCACAAGAGGGAAGGUGUACUCCUUUUUUUUUUAAAGAAUAUAAUAUAUUUGUCCUACUAAGACUUACAAAUUAUAUGCUUUGAAAAUCUCAGGGAAAAUGAAUAAGAAAAAUAAAUCGCUUGCACUUCUCCGCUGCCUAUAUAUAUAUAUAUAUAUAACCUUGUGCAUAACCACAAACCAUAGAUUAAUUUGAGAAUUUUUGCCAAGUAUAACUGUAACCUAGCUUACACUACAUCUGUAUGUCCAAUGUCUUCUUGCAUUGUUCCAUUGAUAGGUCCGAGUCAGAUGGUCGCUAACAAUGACUAAAAGAUGAUAACUUUGUUCUGUUUUUGGUGAGAACGACCCGAGAUAAUUAGGUUUGAUAAUUGCUGAUCUUUUAUUCGCAGUGGAAAACUAAUUUAUAGUAGCUAACCUUACAAGUCUUUGAUUCCUAGCCAACAAUAUCAGCUAGAUUAUAGUAAAAUAAAACAAGAAGAAAUAUUUAAAGAUAACUUAGAGGCCGAAUCCAAAUCAAACAUGACCACCACACUUUGAUUCUCUUCCAAACAGGAAACGAAUAUUUUGACGUGGUAAUUCUCUUGCUCUCGUUUCGACAUUCAAUAAACUCAUCCUGCACAUGAAACACGGUCUGCAUGAAGCCAUGCAUGGCUUGCAUGAGUAAUUUGCAUGAGCACAGCUCAAACGUACCCUUUGAACUUGUAGUUAGGUUUUGGUGCUCUUACUGAUCUCCUUGGCUCCUUAUCAAUGCCCCCUCGUGGAAGAGGACCCUUGUCCUCAAGGGUCAUAUUUUUAAAUAGAUUCAUUGGUUCCUUUAUGAUUCAAUAAGGAAUGAAAUGAAUUUUUUAGUUUGGCACGGUCUGUUGGGGUAACCUCCGCAGCAAUUUCAGUUUCUUCUUACAUAAUAUCUCUCGCCUUAGUACUUCCUUCAAGCAACAAUAUUUGAGGACCCAUACAUUUGUGACCUACAGUAAACUUCGCAGGGCAGUUAAAACAAAGUCCUUGGGCACGACGUCUCUGCAUCUCGUCCCACGUCAAGCGUUUGACAUUAGAUGUUGAUGUUCCGCUAACUGGGAAUGGCUGAGAAAACUUGCGUUGGACUUGGUCUGCUUGCAUACGCGCCAAACUGAUAGCUUCUUUCAAAGUCUUUGGCUUGAACAUCCUGAUGCCAUCAGAUAUCUCAGGCUUAAGACCUCCCAUAAAAGUUCCAACUAAAGCUUUUGGCGUCCACCCAUGAACCUGAUUGCCCAAUCUCUCAAAUUCUCAUUGAUAAUCACGUAAGGUGCCCACUUGCCGCACCUUGGAUAGAGCUUCAUCAAAAUCUUCGCACUCAGUAGGUCCGAAACGUGCCCAUAAUUCUUCUUCAAAAUCUGUCCAUGUAACCAUUCUUCCCUCCUCUUUAUAAGCUUUGUGCAGCCACUGCCACCAUUGGUUGGCUUCACCUUCAAGAUGGAAUGAUGCCAAUGCAACCUUUUGUGUCUCCGUUGUUCCCUGGUAUUCAAAGAAUUGGGAACUUUGCUAAACCACUCCGUAGGAUCAUCUCCAGCGUACCUUGGAAAUUCAAGCUUAGCCAUUUUUGAGGAGAAAAUCAUUCGGCUUCCACUAGCUUCCUCCUUGGUAUGCUCCUUGUAAGAAUGGCUAGGGUGAUUAUUGACGUUAUGGCUGGACCCUUCCUUGUUUGAAAAGAAAGCCUCGGACAUACGAUUGAUGGUCUCCUCGAGCUGAUGCAGUUUGUCAUUAAUGCCACUCCAUUUGUUGCAAUCCAUCUUGAAGUCCAUCAAGCCUCGCUUCUAAAUUUUCAAUCCUUUCUUUGUUAGUUGCCAUGAGAACAAUAAAGUUUUUGAACAAGAUAAUGCGGCUCUGAUACCAAUUGAUAGGUCCCAGUCAGAUGCUCGCUAACAAUGACUAAAAAGAUGAUAACUUUGUUCUGCUUUUGGUGAGAACGACCUGAGAUAAUUAGGUUUGAUAAUUGCUGAUCUUUUAUUCGCAGCGGAAAACUAAUUUAUAGUAGCUAACCUUACAAGUCUUUGAUUCCUAGCCAACAAUAUCAGCUAGAUUAUAGUAAAAUAAAACAAGAAGAAAUAUUUAAAGAUAACUUAGAGGCCGAAUCCAAAUCAAACAUGACCACCACACUUUGAUUCUCUUCCAAACAGGAAACGAAUAUUUUGACGUGGUAAUUCUCCUGCUCUCGUUUCGACAUUCAAUAAACUCAUCCUGCACAUGAAACACGGUCUGCAUGAAGCCAUGCAUGGCUUGCAUGAGCACAGCUCAAACGUACCCUUUGAACUUGUAGUUAGGUUUUGGUGCUCUUACUGAUCUCCUUGGCUCCUUAUCAUCCAUCAACCUCGUUUACCUCUGUAAAUGGUUCAAAUGUCCUCCUCUUGCAACAAAUCGAGCAGCCACUAGAAUCAUUACCAUAAAUAAGCCAGUCCAAUGCCUUGUCAGCGCCAAAUAUGAUAAUUUGACAGUUGACAGGAGAUCAGCAAACUACCAACCCUCAAUUUGGGACCAUGAUUUUUUGCAGUCAGUGAAUAGUGGCUAUACGGUAUUUAUUAUUAUUCAUUUCAAAUUGGGACCAUGAAUAACUAAAAACUAAAUGCCGUUCAUGUACAGGAUGAAACAUACAAAAGACGAGCAAAAGAGCUGAAGGGAAAAGUAAUGACAACGAUUAAUAAGGAUGUACUUGCAAAGACUUGGAUUGGCUUAUCAUUUUGAGACUGAGAUUCGGAAAAUAUUGCAUAAUAUCUACAACAGUAAUAAAGAUUAUAAUUGGAGAAAAGAAAAUCUGUAUGCAACCUCUCUCGAGUUUAGACUACUCAGACAACAUGGCUAUCCUGUUUCUCAAGGUACAUUUCAUUAACUCGCUUUUUUUUGUCAUGCGCAUGCAAGGUGUGAAUAUUUGAAUCGAUCUCUCUGUUUUUUUCCUCUUUUUUUUAAUUUAAAAGAGUGGAUAACACCCAAAUCAAUUUUUUAACUCUCUAUCUCCAGAGAAUUCUAACUCGACAAGGCUGCUGAGACACUUAAAUCAUUCUCUAAUUAGCAUAUGUAUGCGAAAAUUUUGAUGAAAUAGUUCUUUUUGAUUGAGCACUGCAGACGUUUUCAAUGGUUUUAAAGACGACAAGGGAGGCUUCAUUUGUAAUGAUUUCAAGGAAAUAAUGAGCUUGCAUGAAGCCUCGUAUUACAGCUUUGAAGGAGAAAGCAUCAUGGAGGAGGCCUGGCAAUUCACCAGUAAACAUCUUAAAGAAGUGAUGAUCAGCAAGAGCAAGCAAGGGGAUGUCUUUGUCGCAGAACAAGCAAAGCGCGCACUGGAGCUCCCUCUGCAUUGGAAAGUUCCAAUGUUAGAGGCAAGGUGGUUCAUAGACGUUUAUGAGAAAAGAGAGGACAAGAACCACCUUUUACUUGAGCUCGCUAAGAUGGAAUUCAAUGUUUUGCAGGCAAUUUACCAGGAAGAACUUAAAGAUUUUUCAAGGUAUCCAUGCUUGGUUGCAACUCAUAUUUAUGUAUGUAUCAAAGAUUUGAGUUUAUGAAAUACAUAACUUGUACAAGUUAAUCAUAUGCAUAUUAAAUUAUUCUCAGGUGCAGACUACACCUUUUACAGUAGUGUAAAGGUCUGAGUCUGCACUUUAUAAAAUACAGACGUUUGCACCAGAGAUUGACUCUAAGGAAUCUCGGACUAGAAGAUGACUCUAUAAUAGAUGUAUUGUAAAGCUACGAGUCAUAAUAUUCGUUUUAAUUUUCCUAUGAAGGUGGUGGAAGGAUAUAGGUCUUGCAGAGAAACUGAGCUUUGCGAGGGACAGCUUGGUAGCAUCCUUCGUAUGGAGCAUGGGGAUAGUGUUUAAGCCUCAAUUAGCCUACUGUAGGAGAAUACGCACAAUCACAUUUGCUCUAAUUUCAGUGAUUGAUGAUAUUUAUGAUGUUUAUGGAACUUUGGAUGAACUUGAGCUAUUUGCUGAUGCUGUUGAGAGGUUUGUUGGCAAAUUAAUGUUAUACCUAAUUGAUUAAUUCAACUGCUAGCUAGCUGCUUGUUACUUCUCAAAUUAAAAGACCAGUCAUAUGAUUUUUUUUUUUUUUCGUUUUCUACAGGUGGGACAUCAAUUAUGCUUUGAACCACCUUCCGGACUAUAUGAAAUUCUGUUUUCUUGCGCUUUACAACUUGGUUAAUGAAUUUACUUAUUACGUACUCAAACAACAGGGUUUUGAUAUACUUCGAAGUAUAAAAAAUGCCUUACGUAAAAUAUUAGUUGCACCUCCGCUGCCAUUCCUUUUCCUUUGAUUUAUCCAUUUUAAAUUACGAUGUUUUUGUCGUAAAAAAAAAAAAAAAUUGUAAGUUGUAACUACUGCUACUUUCUGUGUCUUGUGCAUCAGUGGCUUCGCAAUAUACAAGCCUACUUAGUGGAGGCGAAAUGGUACCAUGGUAAGUACACGCCAACACUGGGAGAAUUCUUGGAAAAUGGAUUGGUAUCAAUAGGAGGCCCUAUGGUUACAAUGACUGCAUACCUUUCUGGGACAAAUCCAAUCAUUGAGAAAGAACUAGAAUUUUUAGAAAGUAAUCAAGAUAUAGUUCACUGGUCAUUCAAGAUUCUUCGUCUUCAAAAUGAUUUGGGAACUUCAUCGGUAUUUUUUCUUUUUUAUUUUUUUAACAAGACAGAAAUUGAAUUAAUCCUUUAUUUAUGAAUUGACUGUACCUUUUUUUUUACCCAAUAAUUCAUCAGGAUGAGAUACGGAGAGGGGAUGUUCCGAAAUCGAUCCAGUGUUACAUGCAUGAAACUGGUGCCUCGGAGGAAGUUGCCCGUGAACACAUCAAGGAUAUGAUGAGACAGAUGUGGAAGAAGGUGAAUGCAUACAGAGCUGAUAAAGAUUCUCCCUUAUCGCAAACUACAGUCGAGUUCAUAUUAAAUGUUGUGAGAGUGUCCCAUUUUAUGUAUCUACAUGGAGAUGGGCAUGGUGCUCAAAACCAAGAGACUAUGGAUGUAGUUUUCACAUUGCUUUUUCAGCCAAUUCCCUUGGACGACAAACACGUGGUUGCCACAUCAUCACCUGGCACCAAAGGAUGAUGAAUUAUAGUGCAUGAUGCGUUACGAAUCCCAAGAGUGCAGUUUCAAUUGAUGUUGGCCUCAACUUUUCCUGUCAGUUUCUAUUUCUUUCCGAUGAUGAGGUCUCUUUUCGAUGAUUCUAAUAAAUUCCCUCACUCGUCGAGGUUUAUAAAUGAAACAAAAAUGUCAUAUAUGUUACUUUUGUUGGAUCAUAAACUUGAUCCAAGAUGAUGAUGAUGAUGAUGAUGAUGAUAAUAAUAAAAAAUUCAAACCCAAAUUAAUAAGCUCAACCUAUGGAAGGUUCCAUGAGUAAGUAUGAUUGGUGAUGUUUGAAUUAUUUGUGAUAGGUGUGGUAGGUUUGGUAGGUGAAGAUAAAUAGUUAUUAAUUUUUUGUAAUUUCUUAUAGUUUAGAUUUUUUCUCAUGUACUAUAAAUACCCCCUUGUGUCAUUUGGUUAUGCAUCAAGUAAAGUAACAAAAUCUCUAAGUUGUAGAGAGUGAAAAAUAAGAGUUGUAAUUGGUGAUGACUGUUUUGAAGAAAUAAAAUAGUGUGUUUUUUAGUGUUUAAUUUGUUAAUUCUCCAAUAAAAUGGUAUCAGAGCUAGUGUUCAAUGCUAUAUAUAGUCGUAUAACAUAUCAAAUCGAAUAUCUCAACGAGAGGAACGUGAAACCGCAAAUAUCAGCCCGAUCAGAGACCGCGUACUCCCACACUCGCUGCCGGAAAUUUUCUGUCCUAAAGCUGAGUCGACUCACCGACUUGAACCAAGCUGAACCGAACAGAACCAAGUCGAACCGAGCUGACCAGAUCCGAACCGAGCCACAGAGCCGGACCGAGCCAAGUCAACUAAGCAGAAACGUUGACCGUUAAUCGACAUUGACCAUUGACCGCACAUUGACCGUUGACCGAAAGUUGACUCGAGUCCCUCCCAGGGUUUUUUGACGUUCCGGAUUCAUCCGUACAUUUAAAAUCUCCAUAUUCUUGCUCAAUUUGUGAAUUAUGAAAAAUGGUGGCAUGAUGUCAUUCCAAGUUCCACAAUUAAAGGGAAGUAAGUUCGACAACUGGAGUAUUAAAAUGAAGGCUCUAUUGAGUGCACAUGACACAUGGAUGUCGUAGAGAAAGACUUUAUUGUGCCAGAAAAUGAAGUCACUUUAACUACGGCGCAAAAGGAGAAUUUAAAAGACUUGAAGAAGAAAGAGAAUAAAACAAAAUAUCUCAUCUUUCCAUCAUUAGAUAAAGAUGCUUUUGAAAAUGUUAGUGGUGCAACCUCCUCAAAAGAAGCAUAAGAGAAGUUAAAGAUCUUUUACAAAGGAGCGGAGCAAGUUAAGAAGGUUUGUCUCCAAACAUUACGAGGAGAAUUUGAGUCCUUACACAUGAAGGCAUCGGAGUUAAUUUUUGACUACUUUACUCAGGUUGCAACCGUUUCCAAUGAAUUAAAAAGAAAUGGCGAGGAGUUAAAAGAUGUAAGGAUUAUUGAAAAGAUACUUCAAUUAGUAGACUCAAAGUUUGACCAUAUUGUUGUGACAAUUAAGGAAACAAAAGAUUUAGAGGAUAUGACGAUCGAGCAACUUCAAGGAAAAUUGUAAACCUAUUAACAAAAACUAAAAAAGAAACAAGGAAUCGAAGAACAACUUCUCAAGAUAGAAGUCAAUCCAAAGAAAAGAGAAGAAAGCUUCGACAACGAGAGAAUGCAUUAUAUUUAAGGUUGAGGUCAAGGAUGAGGUAGAGGUCGUAGUUAUCGACGAUGUUGGAAUUUUAACAACAACAACUCCAAUUAUGCCAAAGAAGAAAGCUUAACCAAAGGACGAGGCAGAGGCAGAGGCAAUCUAAGAUCAAGGUAUGACAAAUCCCAAGUACAGUGCUAUAAUUGUCAAAAGUUUGGGCAUUAUGCUUCAGAAUGUAGAGCUCCAAGUACCAGAAUUAAUGAGAGAGUGAAUUAUGCUGAAGAGAAAAAUGGUGAAGAUGUCACCCUUUUACUAGUACGCAAUGACACAAAUGGAGGUCAAGAAAAUAUAUGGUAUCUUGACAAAGGUGCUAGCAAUCAUGUGAGCGGAAACAGAAACAUGUUCGUGGAACUAAAUGAAUCUGUGAAUGAUAGUGCCGCUUUUGAAGAUGAUUCAAAAGUACCAGUAAAGGACAAAGGUAAUAAUCUGUUUUGUGCAAAAGAUGGUAGCCACCAAAUAAUUUCGAAUGUUUACUAUGUGCCUAAUAUGAAAAGCAACAUCUUUAGUUUUGGUCAACUCUUGGAAAAAAACUAUGAUAUUCAUUUAAAAGAUUGUAGUCUUUUCCUAAGAGAUGACAAAGGAAAGGUUGGUACCGAUUUAAAGCUUGAGAGACGAGCAACGUAUCCAUACUGUCCUUGCUGCCGGAAAUCGAUCGGAAAGCCACCGAUCGAAGCUUUGAAGUUCCGCGGAAUUGCCGCCUCAAUUCGCCGUGAUUUCACCGGUUUCUGGUAAAGCCAUCACUUGGGUUUUGUUCCUUACCGUUCCCUCUACCAUUUCCGACUAACCACUGACGCCGGGACGUCGUUUUGCCGUUGAUCGGCCGUUGAAGGAUUCACGACUUCGGGAGCUCGAUCCGGAGCCAGCACCGCACGUGGGAGGUCACCACCGCCAUCAUUGGACUCAGCGUGGCUUGAACUUUCAGUUCUGAGCUUCCCGUCGCCGUCGAUUGAAUUCCGGUGACCGUUGACCGGCAAGGGUAUUUCGGUAAUUUCACAGUAUAAGGGCAAUUUUGUAAUUUCAGAUUUUGUGGGUAUUUUAGUAAUUGCUGAAAUUGAGGAUAAAGUUGGUAAUUUAUGAUUUUGAGGUUAAUUUGGUAAUUUUGAUAUGAGGGUAUUUUGGUAAUAUUGAAUUCAAGGGCAUUUUGGUAAUUUUGAUAUUUGAGGGUAAUUUCGUAAUUUCAAGAAUUAUGAGUAUUUUGAUGAUUUAUGAUUUAAAUUAAGAUUAUUUGAGGUUACGUAUGGAAUGUGAUUAUAUUGAGGAAUUUGAGAAUAUUGGAGUUUAUGAUUAUGGUUUAAUUUUAUUCUUAUGAGAGUAUUUUUAUUGGUUUUUAAGCCGAUGAUAUCGAUGUGCAUUUGUUACUCGAGGAUACCAGGAGGUAAGUAAAUUAGAUUUCCAAACGAAUCACAAUAAACAAUAUAUAUGUUUGACAUGUUUGAAAAGUCUAUUUUGAUAUAUAUACGUAUAUUGAUUAUAUGCUUUGCCCAUGUAUUUAUGUGAUGUGUUGGUAAGAUGUGUUGUUAUGUGUUAUGUGUAUUUAUGGACAUGGGCAUAUGUAUGUGUGAAUAUUUUAUUGGCAUGAGCACGAAAAUGCAUUAUGUUUUCUGUAAAAUGAGAAAGUUGAUUUUAGCAAACGAAAUUUGAAGAAAGAAAGAUUGUUUUACAGUUUUAGCUUGGAUGCUUAAAUUCGUUACUGGCUUAGUGGAGGAUACUCUAGAUGUUUAUAUAGUUAUGAGAUAAGUGGGCGAAGGACGCAUUGGCAAGAAGCCCAAAGAGUAUGAAAGUUAUGAAAGUUAAGAGUGUCCUACUAAGCGGUAAUCGAAUGAAGUUAGCUCAAGUAAGUGGUUUGAAAGAGAAUGUGAAAGUUUGAGAAAGACAGACUGAGAUUUCGAUGAUUUGUUUUACGAUGUUUUCGAAUACCAUGGCACGUCAUUCAUUUGCACUAUAUAUAUGUAUGUAUGUAUUUUGGUAUAUGCAAAACCGGUUUACUUACUGAGUUUCGUACUCAUUAUAGUUUAUUGUGAUUCAGUUUUCGUAAAUCAGAAUUAAUUCGUGAUGAGCAUCGAGAAGGACUUGAAUGGAGGAAUUAGAUGGUUUGGCAUGAAUUUUAAAUUAUUCUGCUGUAGUUUGUGUUUUAUAUUUGUAUUUUCAAGGAUAUAAUUUUUAUGGAUUGUAAAAGGAUUAUUAUUAUUAUUUAUUAUUUAUUAUUAUUUUAUUGUUAAGCAUCUAUCAGUAAGAUUCGCCCUGUGGAGGUCGGGGCGGGUCGUUACAGAGAUAGUUGAUCCUAUCUCAUAUGUAUAUUGGUGCACUAUUUGAACAAAUUGGACAUUGGCAUUCUAACGUGUACCGCAUUUUUAUGAAUACAAUAUUUUUUAACUAUAUAUUAGGCUGUUUUUGAGAGCUUCGAUAAAUUGUGGGAUUCAAUUAGAUUUUGAAACUAACAAAAUAAUUUAAUCUAAGGUAUGUUUGGUUGUCAUGGACUAUUAGAGUAAACUUAAAUUUAGUCUAAACCUAAUAGUAUUAUUAACCCUUAUUUUUUUAGGCAUUUAGGUGAGGUAAGAUUAAAUAAAAACUUUGUGUCAUCUUUAUCACUUUUUUCUUUUUCAUUUAACCUAAUAUUUUAAUAUAAAUUAAACAUAGAAGUGAAUUUCACGAAUUUUUAACCAAGUAAUUUUAUAUUAUUGUAUAGAAUAUCAGAAUUUUAUUUAAUAAUUUAUUAAAUUAAAUUAACAAGUUCAGUCCACUAUUAUACCAAACAAAGAUCGUACUAUAUAUAAGCUUUUAGGUUUAACCACCAAUUUUGUUUCCCUCAUGCAAAUGACUAUGCCCACAGUAUCAUGAUUUCAGCAUUCUGCCGGGGUGGGUGUUUUGAAGAGGCAAAUUGGCUGGGUAUUUUGAAGUCAAGUAUGACAAAUAUGAUUUAAAUUGCAUGCUUUAUGCCUACUGCAGAGCUGGUGCUAUGGAGAGCGCAAUGCAUGUUAUGAAGAAAUUGGGCGAAUUAGUCCGGAUAACAAUACCCAUCAUAUUGUAAUCAAACAUUUCUCCAAUAAGAAGUUUUAUAUGCUUGCUUAUUGGACUAUUAUGGACGAUGCAUAAAUUAACAAGUGUACUAGUCAACACAAAUAAUAUAAUGAAGAGUAGAAUAUUAUCCUACAAAGAUUGUAUAUCCUCUUAGCUACUGAAAUUAUUCUAACCCUAAUUUCUUUGAACAAUCGAAUAGACAGAUUUAGAAAAAAAAAUUAAAAUAGAGUAAAAUAACUAAAAAUUAAAUAAAUAUGCAAGCAGUAAUAGAAAUCACGUAGAGAUUAUGACACUAUGACAUCCGAUUUUAUCAUAAUCAAUUCAAUUUUAAUUCUCUAUUUAUGCUAUUAAAAUUUAUUACUCAUGUUGACAGUGAAUUUUCCUAAUCUAUUCAAUAUCCUUUCUUGAGUAAUAUAAAAAAUAUCUUCACAUAUUAACCCACUAUAUUUCUAUGUGAAUUUAAAUAUGCAAAGAUUCAUUAAGUUCUAUGAAAAUUCUUCGAAAAAUUACAUGAAUCAUGUUGGCACAUCUCUGUCUUUCGUUCAACUCAUGGCAUCCAUUACAUAGAGCAAAAAUACAUAAAUCUCCUCUUGGUCUUAUUAUGUAUCCUUAAAUCAUUUAAAUAUUGACCAAAUAUUUAAAAGCAUUAAGCACAAUAAUGAACACUCAACCAUGGAAUAAUAAACUAAAAAUAACAUAUAUUUAUGAAAUUAAAUAUUUAUAGUUAGGCUACAUCAUAGCCCUAACAAAAUAAAUUAGUUCAUGAGAAUAUAAAGAGAAUCAAUAAAUUUAAUUGGAAACAUUCAAGUAAGAUAAUAGAAAAAGAGAAAAGAAAGAAUAAACUCAAAAAGUUCUCUCUUCAAUCUCUGCAAUCGACUUCUCCAAAUUAUUGCUUCUCCAAAUUUGCAGCGGCGGCUUCUCUCUCUCUUUUUUCUUUUUUCUUGCUCUCGGUUAUUUGUUUUUUCUCUUGGCUUCCAAUUUGUGCGGCUUCCCGCCUCUCUUGUGGCUUCCACUCGUGCCCUUUUAUAUUGUUUCAAUUGUGGCCUUUAACUCCUUAUAUGGAAAGAAUUAAAAACAAAAGCCAAGCCGCUUCUUUUCUUUCAUGCAUGCACGUGACUUGUUCAAUUAAUAAGCCAAUAAUGAUUUGGCCAAAGCCCAUCACCAGAAUGCUUUCUUUUUUUACUCUAUUCUUCACAUGAUUUACCUUAUUAAUUAACUUAUUUCCAAUACUAAUUCUUCUCAUCUUCACGUGAACUACAAUUAUGCCUUGGCUGCUUCGAUUUUCUUCCAUUUUAACUCCCAUUACUUUCCUUAAAUUUCCAAUCAAUUUCUUUUUUAAGCUCUUUCUAUUUGAAUAUUGUAAUUUAAUGCUUCUUCAUUCCCAAAAUGUACCUAAAAUAAAAAAAAAAUAAAAAUUAAGAUAAAAUUAAUAUAAUAAAAUAUAAUUUAACAUAAGAUUAAAUUAAGAAAAUAUAUAAAUAAUAUAUAAAUUAUUAUCACAUCAAUGGACAUGCACAUUAAAAGCCACCAGCUAGAGGAGGUAUGAAAGUGGUCAUAGACAAAUGAACUUUUACUUCGGGAUUGCAACACGAAAGACUUAUCGCAACUAUGCUAUUUUACAGGAACUCUACUCCUCCCUAAUUUUUCAUCUUGGUAAAAUGAGAGCGACACUUAGAAGCACUCUUUGUUCACAACAUGUUAAGAGGCAACAAAAGAACGAUGUGCAAGGCCCAUCAUGAGAAAAUUCUUCAUAUUUUAAUAUCUGGAAAACUUCCCAUGUCUUACCAUUUUAGUUCAAUUCUUUAACUGUCAUUUUUAUGCUUUUUUUAAUUAAAAAACCCAAAGUUGGUGGGGUUAGGCGGGACCCCCUUACCUAUAGAUUAUUGAAAUAUAAACAAAAUUACAUAUGGAGGGGGAUGUAGACCAAAAUCUCCAAGCAAAGGAACAAAAAUAACCAACUAAUGAAAAAAAAAACGAAAACAAUAAUAGAAUAAAUAAGAAGCUAAAGAUAAUUAAUUAAUGCAAACGCCGAGAAAAAUACUUACAAUACUUACGACCAUUAACUAAUUUGAAACCUUUCUUAAAACUAGAGGAAUGCAUGCCACCAAUACUGAGGUCGAAGUCAAGAUCAUGGCCAGUUAUACCCUCAGUCUUAGACGCAAAAUAAUCAUCGACUAUAGGAUUUCCGUCAGAGCUAAACUCCUCAUCCGACUGAUUAGGGAUAUCUUUAGAUGGUAAUUAAAAUCACAACCAUGGAGUGAAUAUCAUCCACUGUAGACUUGAAAAAUGUAAAGCUUGUGGAAGCCCUUAGAGCACUCAGAUUAUCCAAAACAAGAGAAUUAGCAACCUUAGUGCAUCCAUCAGUAUCUCUCAGAGCAACAGUAUAUUGCAAACCAUCAUCAUCUGGAACUCACAGAGUAGAAAUCGAAUUAGAUGCCGCGUCUAUAGUAUCCUGAGGAAAAAGAGCAGAUGGCCAAGCAACAUCAUCGAGGGGGCUAGGCCCAAAGACUGACCUUGGACGAGAGUAGGCCUCUGUAGUCAAUUAUUCUUAGUAACCACAUAUGUAGCACAAUUCCUAGUAGGCUAGACAACAACAUUAGUAAUAGGUACCGUACUUGUAUCAUGAGCAAAUACAUCCUUCACCUAACCAAUAGGUUAUUAGGGUUUAUGGAGCCCAUGAUUUGUAGUAAAAUAAGCAUCAUCAAAGCGACCAAGAUGCUUAGACGUGGCAUAAUAUAACAGAACAUGCUCAUAGAUGAUAUCUUGCCAAACCCCAUUAUCACAUUUACCAAUCCAAAGUCUUAGCAACAAUAGUUGUGAAACAUCAUACUCAAUGAGUACAUGAGCCACCAAGGGCCUAUUAAUAGCAGUAGUGGCAUGGUCCACCCGUAAAGGCUUUUUAAUAGCAUUCACAAUAAAAAAUAAAGCAUCUCUACAAUGAAUGAAAUGCACAAGUAAAUAAGGCAAAGACACCUAGACAAGAACAACUGAGACUCUUUAGAGCAUAAAUGUAGACUACUUAAAAGUACGUGUGGACCUGCUGAUAACUCUAGGAAAUGAGAUUUAUUACAUCUAUUCUAGACUUGAAUAAAGGCCAUUUAGAAAGCAAAUAAUGUAUUUUGAUUACAUUUUGGUGAACUUUUGCAUAAACAUUCAUUUUAGUUGAGUCUUAACAAGUUUUGCGUGAAUCAUAGUAAUUUGUGCUAAAAACAAGUUUUUAUUUGUAGGUUUUAAAUUCAUAAAAGGAUGCGGAGACAUUAGAUGAGAAAGAGGAGGAAAGAAGAUGAUCGCAAAAGAAGGAAAGCACAAUCGGAAAUGACACAAGUGCUGUGGCGGAUGUUAGAGCAACCAAUGCUGCAACAAUCUGGGAGAAACGCGGGAGAAAAUAUAGGCGCGGGUCAGGAAUUAAAUUACAAGCUGCAUGUUUCCUAAUUUAAACACAAGCAUGUGCAGGGGUGUUGGUUCAGAAAACCUAAUUUGCAAGUAUAUAAAGGAGGCAUGCACCACAAAGAACGGCGGAGAGUGGAAUAAACAUUCAAAAGCAAUUACAACAAGCGAGAAGAAGAUCAAGGUUAAGGAGGGCUGUUCGGCAUCAUUGAAGAAGAGGAUCCUUAAACUUUCAUCGUGCUCAACUCAUAUUAUCUUUCUUCCUUUGAUUGAUUGGAUGUAUUCUGUGAUCAGUAUAUUUAUGUUUAUUUUUCUCAUUCAGAAUAUGAACUGAAUUUACUUGUAGUUGAUUGACAAAUAAUCCAAUGGGUUUUUGACUGUUCUUAUAUGAUGUUAUGAUAAUGUUGUAGCAUUAUACUCUAAUAGUUUUUAUGACAUAAUUGUUAUUUCGGUUGACCACCCAUUUUAUAAUUUCAGUUAAGAUAGAGCAGCAAAAGGGCAUAUCUUAGCGGACAUUAUUAGAGUAUUACUUGUUCUUGAAUUGAGUUUCCUGGAUUAGGUUAUCUUAAAUCUCAUAAGGGCAAUGCUUGAUAUUAAGAUUUGUGAUAUCCUAGACAUAGGAGUUCACCUUGUAGGGUAGAGAGAUUAAAGUUCGUAAAGCCAUACAUUAACUUUAUGAGCAAUUGGUCAUUGUUAGUAGAUUUAAAGGUAUGAGAUUUCCAACAUGCGACAGCUGCGGAUGCAGAUUUGUUCUACCCAGUGCUGCAGCACUUAUCAUAACAACUGGUGCUAAUUCGGUAAACAACAGUCACCCCAUUAGGAGAGUUUGAUCAUUCAACUACUAUCUUCUCAAUUGAACUUUGGAUACAUUUAGUUAAGUUUAUUUUAUUACGAUAUUGCUUCAAUUCUCAUCUCUCACAAUUGUUAUUUACGAUAGAAUUAUUUAGUAAUUGUUUGUUUCGGUCUUUAGUUGACGUGCAUUAUUGUGAUUGCUUUAACAUUUUGAGUAACAUCAAUCCCUGUGGAGACGAUCUUGAACACUCAUCACUUUAUUACUUGUUGUGUAUACUUGCACAUUGGUAUUGAUAAUAAUUGAUUAUAUAAAUCAAUCAACAAGUUUUUGGCGCCGUUGCCGGGGAUUGAUUGUUUAUUUUUGGAGUGUGAAGUAAAUUGCGAUAGCACCAAACUUAAUUCAAUUUAUUCUUUUGAUUGGCAGAUCAGAGCGUGCAUGCGCAAAGAAAGAUCUGAGAUAUUCCAAUUCGAUCCUGAGAUUGAAAGGACUAUCAGGAGAUUGCGAAGAGAACAAAGAAAUUCAAAGACUACUUCAGACAUGAAUAACUUACAAGAUGAGGGAAAUUUGAACCCUCACGGACCUUUACAACCAGCCAACAUUCAAGAAGAGCAAAAUGAAUAUGCUAACGGGAGACAGCCAGGAAAUAAUAAUAUUAUUUACAUGGCAGACGACAGAGACAGAGCUAUACGAGAUUAUGCUGUGCUAACUCCUCAAGUCGUCCAUUAUGGCAUCAUUAGACCUGAAGUAGAUGCUGCCAACUUUGAAUUAAAACCAGUGAUGUUUCAAAUGUUGCAAACAGUUGGGUAAUUCAAUGGAUUUCCAAAUGAAGAUCCUCAUCUCCAUCUUAAAUUGUUCUUGGAAGUGAGUGAUGCUUUCAAAAUUGCUGGAGCAACGCAAGAUGCCCUAAGGCUGAGGCUUUUUCCUUAUUCCUUAAGGGAUCGAGCAAGAGCAUGGUUAAAUUCAUUACCAUCUGAUUCCAUCACUACAUGGAAUGAAUUGGCCGAUAAAUUCCUAAUGAAAUAUUUCCCACUAACAAAGAAUGCAAAAUUACGGAAUGAAAUUACCUCUUUCCAUCAAAUUGAAGAUGAGAGUUUGUACGAGGCUUGGGAAACUUUCUACAAUGGGUUCCUUGUUGCUUCUGAAAUUACCUCUUCUGAAAUUACCUCAGAAGAUGUCCUCAUCAUGGUAUUCCUUGUUGUUUUCAAUUGGAAACUUUCUACAAUGGGUUGAAUCCGAGUACAAAGUUAAUGGUGGAUGCUUCAGCAAAUGGAGCUCUGUUAUCAAAAUCCUACACUGAAGCUUAUGAAAUUUUGGAGAGAAUUGCCAACAAUAAUUACUAGUGGCCAUCAGCUAGGCAACCAGUAGCAAGAGGAUCAGCAGGGGUACAUAGCAUUGAUGCGAUUACAACCUUAUCAGCUCAAGUAACUUCAUUGACUAACAUGGUAAAAGCCAUGACAGCUGUUCCAGCAACAGUAAAGCAAGUGACUGAACUUUCUUGUGUCUACUGUGGUGAAGAUCAUGAUUUUGAUAAUUGCCCUGGAAAUCCAGCCUCAGUAAAUUAUGUGGGUAACUUCAAUCGACAACCUCAGAACAACCCAUACUCAAAUACUUAUAACCCAGACUGGAAACAACACCCAAAUUUCUCAUGGAGCAAUCAGAAUCGAAAUGCUCCAGCAUUGAAUAGACUAAGUAGAAACACACAACCACAACCACCUGAUUUUCAUCAACAAAGUCAAGGGCAAAAGCCUAUCAGUCAGGAUCCAAUCACUUCAUUGGAAGUAUUAAUCAAGGAGUAUAUUGCAAAGAAUGAAGCAAUUGUGCAGAGUCAAGCUGUAUCCUUGAGAAACCUUGAGAACCAAAUGGGACAGUUAGCUACAACAAUGAGCAGCAGAACUCAAGGAAGCUUACCUAGCAACACAGAAGAUCAUAGGAGAGAGAGCAAAGAACACUGCAAAGUGAUUAGUCUGAGAUCUCGGAAGCAUAUUGAUAUCCCAGUUGAGGUGACCAAAAAUGGGAUGGAAGGCAUUUCAGCUCAAAAACCAACUCAAAAGGGAAGCAUGUUACAGCAGACUCCCCAUCAAGACACGGAUGCAAGGGACCCAGCUACAGCAACUGCAAAAGAAAAUCAACCAGAUCUUGCUGAAAAAGAAGUUACAACACCAGUAGCCACAACCUGCACCAACUUAAACAAACAAAGUUUGGUACAUCCUGAAUCUCACCAGCAGUUUAGACAUCUACCACAUUUCCCUCAAAGGUUCCAGAAGCUAAAACAAGACAAGCAGUUCAACAAAUUCCUGGAAGUGUUGAAGCAACUGCACAUAAACAUACCUUUUGUGGAAGCUUUGGAGCAAAUGCCAAAUUAUGUAAAAUUUCUAAAAGAUAUUUUGGCACGAAAAAGAAGGCUGGGAGAGUUUGAAACUAUAGCUCUAACACAAGAAAGCAGCCAUAUGCUUCAGAGUAAAAUUCCCACAAAAUUAAAAGAUCCAGGGAGUUUUACAAUACCCUGCUCUAUAGAGAAUAAGUAUGCUGGCAGAGCACUUUGUGAUUUGGGAGCCAGUAUCAACUUUAUGCCAGUAUCUGUAUUUAAGCAGCUUGGAGUAGGGGAGUGCAGACCAACAACUGUCACUCUGCAAUUAGCUGACAGAUCCCAUGCAUACCCCGAAGGAAAGAUAGAGGAUGUACUGGUGAAGGUUGACAAAUUCAUUUUUCUAGUGGAUUUCAUUGUGCUAGAUUUUGAAGCUGAAAAAGAGUUACCCAUUAUACUUGGCAGACCUUUUUUAGCAACUGGAAAAACGUUGAUAGAUGUGCAGAAAGGAGAGCUGACUAUGAGAGUGAAUGAUCAGCAAGUCACAUUUAAUGUACUUGAAGCUAUGAGAAACCCUGAUGAAAUAGAAGAUUGCAAUUUCUUAAGUGUAAUGGAUCUUGUUGUAACAGACAGACUAGACAGAUGCUGCAGUAAUGUACUUAACAAAGUCACCACCUUUGAGGAGGUUGAAGAGGAAGAUGUUGCAGAAAUUCAAAUAGAUUGGAUGAACAAACAACAAUCUAAUAGGCACAGCAGAGUUAUUGAACACCUGAAUCUUUCAGACAGGGAAGUACCAACAACUUUACCAUCUAUUGAAUCACCCCCUAGUUUUGAAUUAAAACUGUUACCUUCACAUUUAAAGUAUGCAUACCUUGGUCAAAACAACACACUCCCUGUAAUCAUUUCUUCUACUUUGGAUGCAGGUCAAGAACAAAGCCUAGUGGAUUUGCUGGGAAAAUACAAAAGAGUAAUUGGAUGGACCAUGGCAGAUAUAAAGGGUAUCGGCCCAUCAAUAUGUAUGCAUAAGAUCCUUUUAGAAGACUGUUCCAGCAAUUCGGUGGAGCACUAGAGAAGGUUGAAUCCUAUUAUGAAAGAAGUGGUGAAGAAAGAAAUCAUCAAAUGGUUAGAUGCUGGAAUCAUAUACCCAAUAUCAGACAGUUCAUGGGUAAGCCCAGUUCAGUGUGUUCCAAAGAAAGGAGGGAUAACAGUAAUGGCUAAUGAGAAGAAUGAACUUAUUCCUACAAGGACAAUGACUGGAUGGAGAGUGUGUAUGGAUUACAGAAAGCUCAAAAAAGCAACAAGGAAAGACCAUUUCCCACUUCCCUUCAUAGAUCAGAUGCUGGACAAACUUGCUGGAAAAUAAUUCUACUAUUUCUUAGAUGGGUAUUCAGGCUACAACCAGAUUGCUAGAGCACCAGAGGAUCAAGAGAAGACUGCAUUUACUUGUCCUUAUGGAACAUUUGCCUUCAGAAGAAUGCCAUUUAGGCUGUGCAAUGCUCCAGCAACUUUUCAGAGAUGCAUGAUGUCUAUAUUUUCUGAUAUGGUAGAAUAGACCUUGGAAAUUUUCAUGGAUGAUUUUUCAGUUUUUGGAGAGACAUAUGGUAAUUGUUUACACAACUUGGAAGAAGUUCUUAAAAGAUGUGAGAUGACUAACUUAGUACUUAAUUGGGAGAAAUGCCAUUUCAUGGCGCAAGAAGGAAUAGUGCUGGGUCACAAGAUAUCCAAGGAUGAUAUUGAGGUAGAUAAAGCCAAGAUAGAGGUAAUAGAUAAACUGCCACCCCCAACUUCAGUAAAGGGUAUUAGAAGUUUUCUGGGUCAUGCUGGAUUCUACAGAAGAUUCAUCAAGGAUUUUUCCAGAAUAGCCAAGCCUCUAUGUUCAUUGCUGGAGCAUGAUAAACCAUUUCACUUUGACAAAGAAUGCCUUCAAGCAUUUAAUGAAUUAAAGAAAGCCUUGAUCACUGCUCUAGUAGUUAUAUCUCCAUAUUAGAAUUCACCAUUUGAAUUGAUGUGUGAUGCUAGUGAUCAUUCUGUGGGAGCAGUAUUAGGGCAAAGAAAGGAUAAGGUUUUUCAUUCCAUAUAUUAUGCAAGCAAAACUCUUACUCCAACUCAGAUCAAUUACACCACUACAGAGAAGGAGUUGCUAGCAGUAGUUUUUACUUUCGAUAAAUUCAGAGCUUACCUGGUAGGUACUAAAGUCACUAUUUACACAGACCAUGCAGCCAUUAAAUAUUUAAUUUCAAAUAAGGAUGCCAAACCAAGACUAAUCAGAUGGAUCUUAUUGCUUCAAGAAUUUGAUCUGGAAAUUAAAGAUAGAAAGGGGACUGAGAAUCAAGUGGCAGACCACUUGUCACGGUUGGAAGCAGACACUAGUACAUUAACAAGGAAGGGCAUCACUGAAACUUUUCCUGAUGAACAGCUGUUGGCAAUACAGCAAGCACAGAUGCUGCAGCAGUCAGAAUCUCCAUGGUAUGCAGACUUUGCUAACUAUCUAGUAAGUGGGUUACUACCAUCUGAGUUGAAGUUUCAAGAGAAAAAGAAAUUUCUUCAUGAUGUUAGAAGCUACCAGUGGGAUGACCCACAUUUAUAUAAGCUAUGCUCAGAUCAGGUAAUAAGACGAUGUGUUGCAGCAGAAGAAAUACCUCAUAUACUAGAGUCAUGUCAUGCUGCAGCAUAUGGAGGACAUUUUGGUGGUCACAGAACAGCUGCAAAAGUUAUGCAAUCAGGUUAUUAUUGGCCCACUAUUUUUAAAGAUGCUUAUGAAUUUGUUAAAUGUUGUGACAGGUGUCAAAGGACAGGGAACAUAACCAGCCGACAUGAGAUGCCAUUGACCAACAUACUGGAAGUAGAAGUUUUUUAUGUUUGGGGAAUAGAUUUUAUGAGACCUUUUCCCCCAUCCUUUGGCAACUUAUAUAUCCUUGUUGUUGUAGACUAUGUCUCCAAGUGGGUGGAAGCAAUAGCAUUACCUACCAAUGAUGCUAAACCUGUGGUGACUUUUCUUCAAAAAAAUGUUUUCUCCAGGUUCGGUACUCCUCGAGCAAUUAUUAGUGAUGAAUGAGCACAUUUUUGCAACAAGAUCUUUGUUGCAGCAAUGAUGAAAUAUGGAGUCAGACACAAGAUAACAACAGCAUAUCACCCACAAUCAAAUGGUCAGGCUGAAGUGUCCAACAGAGAAAUUAAAAAGAUCUUAGAAAAAGUGGUGAACCCAACAAGGAAGGAUUGGUCUUUACAUUUGCAUGACUCUUUAUGGGCCUACAGAACAGCAUACAAAACCCUACUUGGCAUGUCUCCUUACCGAAUUGUUUAUGGCAAGGCUUGUCCUUUGCCCCUAGAGCUAGAGCAUAAAGCACACUGGGCACUGAAGAAACUAAAUUGGGACAUGCAUGUUGCAGCAGAACAAAGGAAGCUUCAACUUUGUGAGCUUGAUGAAUUAAGGCUGUUUUCAUAUGAAAAUGCAAAAAUUUAUAAAGAGAGAACAAAACAUUGGCAUGACAAGCAUAUUCAACACAGGAAGUUCAUCCCUAGUCAAUUAGUGUUGCUUCACAAUACAAGACUAAGGUUGUUUUCGGGAAAGCUCAAGUCACGAUGGUCAAGCCCGUUUAAGCUAUUAAAAUCUUAUCCUCAUGGAGUUGUUGAUCUUUUAGAUGAACAAAUAGGUCACGAAUUCAAGGUUAAUGGGCACAGGACUAAGCAUUACAUACACCCAGCAGCAGAAGGGUCACAGGAGGUGUUAUCCCUUUAAGAACCAGACUAUUGAGCAAAGACAGAAGGUCAGGCUGAAGGACCUUAAAUCAACCGCUUCAUGGGAGGCAACCCAUUGAGGAAGCAGCAACUUCAAACCAAUCUCGAUAUCCUUUGGUUUCAAUAAACAACUCUCCCUCUUCACCAUUUAAUCUAAUCUUGUUUUACCAUAUUCACCAUUUAAUUUUUUUCCUUUUUUUUUUUUACAUUAUUGCAUUCCUUAUUUUCGAUUUAAGUUCAUCUAUUUUAUUUUAAUAAGUUUAGACUUAAUUUUUGUUUGAAGUAAAUGUGACAAUUGAAUUUCAUAUUGACAAAUGCAAAUAUCUGGUGGCAGAAUUUAGAGGACAAGAACAACCACGUGUUAGACGCUUGGGUAUAGAUACCGUGGCCGUUGUUGGAAUAAGUGAAUGGGGGCUGUAGCAACAAAUUUUUUCGUUACAGUACAUUAAAGGCUGGAGCUUUCACUUACCGUUGGAGAUGAAAUCGUGACAGAUGGACGCUCGGAUACGGAUAGAAAUUGCGGAAACAAAUCUCUGAAAUCACAACUUUAAUUUUAAUAACUGAUAAUUUUGGGAUAUGCACAUUUAAUUCAAAUAUUUUAUUCCCUCAAUUAUCUCUAAUUACUGUCGUUAUCUUCAAAUUACAGCCCACUAUAAAAUGGAGUCACUGUGCUGAGUGCCCAAGCCACUAUUCUCUAUCUCCUUCGCAAGUCCAACUCUCCUAAUUCAUUAACACUUCUUCCCUUUUGGCUCUCAGGAACAGUAGCCUACCUUUGUUACUGCUACAGUAAUGCCGCGAUAUAAGCAAACAGCGAAACGCCUCAAAGAUCCAUCACGAUUCCAGAGUUACCAUGCCGAAGAAAAAUACGAAGAAUUCAUAGAGCCACGCAGGAUUCUGGAAGAAAAAGGGUUUCAAUUUCCAGACCAACUCAUUGGAAUUGUGAAAUCAAUUCAUAAUGCUGCAGCAAAGCGAGGAUGGCUAGAGUUUUGCAAACACCCUCGCAAUCCGGUACUACCGGUGGUAAAAGAAUUUUACGCCAAUUUGGUAAGCCCUGAUCAGCACAACAUCUGGGUAAGAAAUACACUUGUUCCAUUAGACUCUCGUGUUAUCAAUGCUUUUUAUAACCUACCUGUUGGGAUUACUUGUGAGUAUGCUAAAUUGCAUGAUAAGUUAACCCCGAAAAAGUGGACCACCAUCUUUACAACUCUUACCAUCGAAGGGGCAUCAUGGGUCAACGAGGAAGGGCGUGUAGUUCACAGGAUAGAUUUGAAACCUAUUGCUAAGGUAUUGGUGAAAUUUUUGAAAUCUAGACUUAUGCCCACCACUCACACUACUACGGUUUCACAAAAUAGAUUGGUUUUGAUAUAUGCCCUUGUUAAAGGGCUCCCCAUAGAUGUGGGUAGCAUCAUUGCAAAAGAAAUCCGAGAAUGUGCAGCCAAAACUCAUCGAACUGCUGCUUUGCUAUUUCCUUCACUUGUCACUAGUAUUUUUGUAGUUUCAGGUGUUCGUCUUGCAGCCAGCGAUGAUCACGUCAAGAAUGAGGGUGCCUUUACGGCUCGAACAAUUGAAAGAGUUGCUGGCGAGAGUGCUGGAGCAACCACUAAACCAGCUGUUGUAGCAGGAGCACGACGAACUCUUGGCUUGGAACAGACCAUCCAAGCACUCAGCACCAGUAUCAAUCAAUGUGUGGAAGCUCAGCAGAGAGAAAAUGGUCGGUUUUGGAGCUAUUUACAGCACCUGGAUAGACAGCUACACAAAUUUGCUGAGUACAUGCAACGCAAUCAUCGGAACUUCCCUACUUCUCUGCUCCAGCAAUACAAUUUUGACAUCAGCACCACAGGUGCUCCAGCAGAAACCAGUGAAGAAGCCACUACUUCAGAUGAACCAGCAGAGCAAGCUGCAACUGAACCACCAGCAGAAGUUGACUCAGAAGAUGUUGAACCAUCUGCACCACCUAAGGAGGAAGGUGACAAAUCUGAGACGGAUAGCUCACCCUCAGAGGCAGAGGAUAAUUCGGAGCAAGCACGUGAGGCAACACCAAUCCCCACCCAGUCCAAAACUAGGAAGCAGCACAUUAUUCAAGAAGAGGAGGAAGAAGACCUUGAUGUGGAACCUCCUAUUCCAGUCUUUGUAGGCAAAGGAAAGGCCAAGGGAAAAGCCAAAAUGGCCACACCUCCAGCCUUUGAAGAUGAAAUGGAGCAAGUUGAUGCUGAGUUAGCUGCUGCAGCAGCUAGAGCCAUGCCUACAUCUGAGCAAGCCAAGCAACUACUUGAGGUAAUAGCUGCCAUCACAGCGGAGGGCCAGGCAGCUGACGCAUUGACUCAAAAGACUCCACAGCCAAGUCCAAGCCAGCCUAUCCGCACCAGUCCAAGAUAACCCAGCAAACGAAAAGGCAGUACAUCUGCGGGUACUGCUGCAGCAACCCCAACCACAACUCCUCUUACCAGCCCUGCAGCGGAAAAGACAAAGACAUUGCCAGCUACCUCCCCAAAGGCUUCACCAAAGGAUAAGUUGCGCAGUGCAUCCAAGAAGCGCUGAUAACAUCACAUCCUGGGCUGCAGUCCCCACCACAGGGGAGUACUUUUCUCUCACUAGUUUCUUUCUUGUUCUUAUAAUAAAAAAAGAAAAAAAAAAGAGAUUUGUUUGUCCAUUUGUGUUUUUGUAUUUUGUUUGCUUGUGAGGACACAUCAUCUCUCAAGUUUGGGGGGGUUGUUUCCGAAUGCAUGUGUUUUAUGUAUGUGUUUAUGUUUGUGUUGUGUGAAGCUCUAUUAUCUGUUAUUUGUGUAUGGAUUUGAGAAUCUAAUGAAGAUAAAUUGAGUGCUAUUCAGUAUUUAUGAGAAUGCCAAGUAGAGAUAGUUAUAGAUAGAAGUGAAAUUAUGUCCCAACACUUAGCCGGUGAUUGAGUUUUAUGGACUGCUAGAGCAAACCAGAAGAAUAGAAAAUGUCUUAAGAUUUGAAAGGAGAAGCAUGUUGAUUGACUGUGGUGUUUAUGAAAUAAAACUCUGCUCCAAUGGCUUAAGUUGCUGAGUAACCAGAUCUGAGUAUGCACCCCAUAUGUAGAAUUGUGUAAAAAAGUAGCGAGAGUUAUGAGCAGUGUUGUAGCAUAUAUUGUUCUUAUAAAAAAAAAAAGAAGCAAAGAAAAGAAAAAGUCCUCUGUCUAAGGCAUUGAGUAGCCAGGUCUGUUCAUGACCCCUAUGUUCAGCCUUAAGUCAAAAAUACCUCGAGAUAAGAUUAGACUAUAGAUAUUGCUGCAGCAACUCUGAUCUGGACAUGGCUUGAGUAAUUGGGUGUCAUCAUUACAAGUGAUUGACAUUCACAUGAAAAAUAAAUGUUACAGUGAGGAGGUUGAUUAUCCCCCAGGUUAUCAAUGUCAAAGCUAUCACAGUUUGAAUAUGUGAAAAAAAUGCUACCCCUUGUAAGAAUGAAGUAUAUCAAUGCUAAAAUUUCUGCAGCCCUUGGGUAAUGUGACAGCAUCUCUGGAAAUCAAUCAUAAAGGCAGCACACACACAAUAUAGAUAGAAAGAAGCUUACGUCUAGAACUGAUUUACUAUGGGAAUUUUGUAUGAUUGGGAUUAUGAUCUGAAGGUGGAAGAAUCUUUGCAAAUUUGAUAAAAGAGCUGAAAUUGUGUGCAUGUUUGUUUACGAGAAAUGUUAGUAUAUGUCAUUACUUGAGGACAAGUAAUAAUUUAAGUUUGGGGGUGUGAUAACUCUAGUAAAUGAGAGUUAUUACAUCUAUUCUAGACUUGAAUAAAGGCCAUUUAGAAAGCAAAUAAUAUAUUUUGAUUACAUUUUGGCGAACUUUUGCAUAAACAUUCAUUUUAGUUGAGUCUUAACAAGUUUUGCGUGAAUCAUAGUAAUUUGUGCUAAAAACAGGUUUUAAUUUAUAGGUUUUAAAUUCAUAAAAGGAUGCAGAGACAUUAGAUGAGAAAGAGGAGGAAAGAAGAUGAUCGCAAAAGAAGGAAAGCACAAUCGGAAAUGACACAUGUGCUGUGGCGGAUGUUAGAGCAACCAAUGCUGCAACAAUCUGGGAGAAACGCGGGAGCAAAAUAUAGGCGCGGGUCAGCAAUUAAAUUACAAGCUGCAUGUUUCCUAAUUUAAACACAAGCACGCGCAUGGGUGUUGGUUCAGAAAACCUAAUUUGCAAGUAUAUAAAGGAGGCAUGCACCACAAAGAACGGCGGAGAGUGGAAUAAACAUUCAAAAGCAAUUACAAAAAGCGAGAAGAAGAUCAAGGUUAAGGAGGGUUGUUCGGCAUCAUUGAAGAAAAGGAUCCUUAAACUUUCAUCGUGCUCAACUCAUAUUAUCUUUCUUCCUUUGAUUGAUUGGAUGUAUUCUGUGAUCAGUAUAUUUAUGUUUAUUUUUCUCAUUCAGAAUAUGAGCUGAAUUUACUUGUAGUUGAUUGACAAAUAAUCCAAUGGGUUCUUGACUGUUCUUAUAUGAUGUUAUGAUAAUGCUGUAGCAUUAUACUCUAAUAGUUUUUAUGACAUAAUUGUUAUUUCGGUUGACCACCCAUUUUAUAAUUUCAGUUAAGAUAGAGCAGCAAAAGGGUAUGUCUUAGCGGACAUUAUUAGAGUAUUACUUGUUCUUGAAUUAAGUUUCCUGGAUUAGGUUAUCUUAAAUCCCAUAAGGGCAAUGCUUGAUAUUAAGAUUUGUGAUAUCCUAGACAUAGGAGUUCACCUUGUAGGGUAGAGAGAUUAAAGUUCGUAAAGCCAUACAUUAACUUUAUGAGCAACUGGUCAUUGUUAGUAGAUUUAAAGGUAUGAGAUUUCCAACAUGCGACAGCUGCGGAUGCAGAUUUGUUCUACCCAGUGCUGCAGCACUUAUCAUAACAACUGGUGCUAAUUCGGUAAACAACAGUCACCCCAUUAGGAGAGUUUGAUCAUUCAACUACUAUCUUCUCAAUUGAACUUUGGAUACAUUUAGUUAAGUUUAUUUUAUUACGAUAUUGCUUCAAUUCUCAUCUCUCACAAUUGUUAUUUACGAUAGAAUUAUUUAGUAAUUGUUUGUUUCGGUCUUUAGUUGACGUGCAUUAUUGUGAUUGCUUUAACAUUUUGAGUAACAUCAAUCCCUGUGGAGACGAUCUUGAACACUCAUCACUUUAUUACUUGUUGUGUAUACUUGCACAUUGGUAUUGAUAAUAAUUGAUUAUAUAAAUCAAUCAACACUUGCCACUAACAUACCAUGUCUGCUUAACCCAAAUACAUGAGUAAUCUUCUCUAAGUUAAAGCUUGAUCAAUUAUCUAGCAAAUAAACCUGUGUACUACCUUUAAAGCUUAAGAAACAAAGAAUUUGAAAAAUCACAUUUACAAGAGGGCGGUUAAACAAAAACUUACUAAUAAGGGAAAGUUUGAAUGGUUGUGCUAUGGACUGAAUUUCUAGAGCUAAAAAGCAGAUAAUAGGUUUACCAUGAAAUAAUAAAACUAGCUUUUUCCAAAUUGAAGAUUCAAGGGGGCCAAAAAUAGCAUUAAUAAAAGACUUAGCAUUAGGGUUGAUGAUAACUUCAGAAUUUGUAAUAGAUGCAUAAGAGGCCUUUGAGAGUGGUUGGAUGUACGACCAAGAGUGAAGGGUGGAAAAGGGUCACGGGUUUGGGCUUGAUUUUUGGUUUAGUUUUGUGUUUGGAAAGCUGGAUGUUAGCUAGGGUUUCUUUAUUAUAGCUAAGGUUUUUUGCAUUUAGCAGCUGGUCUCGGUUUUCAACAGCAAAAUGGGUUUGAGUGGGCAAAAGUGGCUGAUCUGAGGUGGCUGGCAGAUUGAUGGUGCCACUAGCAGUAGCCAAAAUAGAGAUAGUGAGUUGUUGGUGAGAUAUAUUGCAGUUAAAAAAUAUUUGUCUCAGUAAAAGAAGUUAGAAAUAAUGGCCAAUAAGUAGUGCCUGAGUUUUGAUUGUGCUAGUGCAAACUAGUGCCUGAGGGGGUUGGUGGUAACUAGAGAGUGAGAGGUAGUUGUUAGGAGUACAUAAGGUUCAACAGUGGUUCCGUUAGUAAAUAAUCGCCACCAACAGAGGUAGGCAAGGUGGCAACAGUAUGAAGCAUAUUUUGAAAGGUUUGUUGCAAUCUAGGGUUUAUGGUUUGAAGUGUUAAUCGUUGUUGUGAGGGUUGUUGAUCAGUUGGGAUGUCGCCAGCAAUUAGAGAAGGUUCUGACAGUGGAGAAUCACCACCACUGGUGGACAAUAUGGUCAUAGGAAUUAUCGCAUUCCAUAAUACAAUACUUGAUGCUUUUCAAUCAUAGUUAUUCUCUUUUUAGGAAAAUUUAGAGUCAAUUUCUCAUCGUGCUAUUAAGAAGUUUGCACCUGCAUUUGUGAAGUUGGGCAUCAUUAACUGGGUUAAUGAUGUGCUAAAGGCAGUCCAUGCAACUGCCUAUAUGAUUGAUCAAGGAAGCAAUCAAGAAUUUAUAAAGCAAAUAUAAUCUCACAUGCGUGCAGACACAGACACAUACAAACGAGUACUAGAAGUAAUAAUUUAGAAAUGUCUUUUAAUUCCUUUUCUUUUAUUAUCUCAGGGAAUAUUUCAUAUAGCAAUACCAUGCUAUAUAGUGAAACCUGAGAAGAAAAGAUUGCUACUCAAAUUGCUAUAAUAGAUGACAGGUUAAGGUUAUUUUGAUGAAUCAACAGAAAACCUGAUACUAAAAAAUUCACGGUUAUUCGAAUGGCAACUUAUUGCUGAUGUAUUGUCCAAGCAACAUAAGAUGUAAAAAUCGUUAAGAACUGUGAAAGAAUGAGCAAUAUAGAGUAUGAUUUACCAUAUCAUGACAUAAUGUUGCAGACCACCCAAGUUGUUAGCCCAAGUGUCCACAAAUUCAGGCCAAGAGUGCUAGCUUGGCCCGAUUCUAGAAUUUUCUAGCUAACUCUAGCACAACUCAGGCUUGUACAUAUCUAGAAUUCUCUACACAUUUCUAGCACAUGUAAAUAUCUAGAUAUCUAGGUAAGUCGGUAGAAUUCUCUAGAGCUUGGCAAGCCUCCCUAUUAAUAGGGCAUGGCAUUUGGCAUUUGAGCAUCAAACUUUAAACAAGCAACUCAAGUACUCUUGUAAGCUCUCUUGUAAUAUCUCGUGCGAGUAAUAUAAUUUUCCUUAUUCAGCACCAUUGCCCUCUUCUCUCUAAUUCUUUCAAAAACCUCCAGGCUUAGCUAGUCGAGAAAUUCAAAUGCCUACUAAGCAACUUUCGACAAGAGUUGUCUAAGUGUCGCACGCGUUCGUUGCACAAAACACUAAUCCUGUGACAAGUGGUAUCAGAGUUAAGGUUUACACCCAUGCAAGUUAGCUCAAGAGCAAUGGCCAACCCUCCAAACCCGGCACAAGAGGGCGUUGUUAGUGUUGUGUUCCACUGGAGCCAUCCCGCGGCUACAAAGACGGAUGCACUCAAGGCAAGCCUCGCGGCAAGUCCAAGGCCCCAUCCGUUGAUGCCUUCGAGCCUCGUAUGGCUACGCUCGAAAUGGCUAUGACCGCCGCUCAAGACACCCUUGAAGGAUUAGAGGAAAGAGAAGAUGGUCUCGAGGUCACUAUGGCAAUCAAUACCCUUAUCCAAGACCAAGCCAACACCCUCUAAGGGGAAUUUUGAGCCUUUCACGAAGAGUUGCUGAAACUCCGCAAUUUCGUCCAAGAGGAACUACGAGCAGUCCAUGCAGAAGGGGAAGAAGUUCGCUCGGAUUGGGCAUGGCACAAGCGCACACUCUCCGCUAGCCCGGCAUCCACAAGAACGAGUGAUGCAAGACGCAUCAACGUACCGAAGCCCGACGCCUAUAAUGGCACACGCAAUGCCACUAUCGUGGACAACUUUCUCUUUAGGCUAGACCAAUACUUCGAUGCCAUAAGUGUACGAGAUAAGGCAUCGAAAGUGGGCACAACACCCACUUAUCUUUGAGGCGUCGUACAACUAUGGUGGCGUCGAAAGCAUGGCGAGAUGGGCAAAGGCAUUUGCACCAUCGACACUUGGGCUGACUUCAAGUAAGAACUUCGAAAGCAAUUUUCCCCAAGCAAUAUGGAUAAGGAAGUGUGAGCGUGCCUACGUCGCCUCAAACAAACAGGUAGUGUUCUACAUCAACAAGUUCACUACCCUCAUGCUCAAGAUAAGUGACAUGUUUGACAAGGACUCCAUCUUCUAUUUCUAAGUUGGCCUCAAGGAUUGGGCCAAGACCAAGUGUGAUAGGAAUGGCGUUCAAACACUUGACAACGCCAUCGCCAUUGCGGAGUCGCUCAUCAAAUACUCCACCCAAUCAAAAGAUAAAAGGCCCAACCAAGGCAAAGGUGAGGGAGAGAGUCACAAGGACAAGGGCAAUAACUGCAAGGAUUAGGGCUAGAAAAAGUCUCCUAGCAACAAAAGCGGGCAUGGAAAAUCAAAGGGCAAGAAGGAGCCAUCAAAGCCUCGAAGCAUAUGCUUUAUAUGCAACGACCCUCAUUGGGUACGUGACUAUCCCGGAAAGAAGUCGCUUAAUGCUCUCGUAACCCAACUUAAGAGCAACCUCACAAUGUUCGUGGAAGAACCCCAACUCAGCAUGGGUUCUUUCCAAUAUCUUGGCGCACUCAAGACCUAACAAACCGUAUUCAAUAAGAAAGGGCUCACGUACGUGAGUGCGAAAAUAAACAGUCAGUCCAUUCGCGCACUGCUAGACACGGGAGCUACUCACAACUUCAUGUUCGUAGAUGAGGCCAAGUGUUUAGGCCUCAAGACCACCAGGGAAGAAAGCACCAUGAAGGCGGUAACCUCACCCGCCAAGCCCAUUGUAGGUAUCGCACAAGGUGUGCACACAACACUUAGGAUAUGAAGCGGAAAUCUUGACUUCUCCGUCGUGCCCAUGGAUGACUUCAAGAUGGUCCUUGGCAUGGAAUUCUUCGAUCAAGUUCAUACCUUCCCACUGCCCAUUACAAACUCUCUAAGCAUCCUCGAUGGGAGUAAAACAUGCAUGGUUCCCACAGAAAGUGGCAAGUUCGAGGAGAAGAUGCUCUCGGCCAUGCAAUUCAAAAGGGCUUUUAAGAAAUACCCAAGUUUCUUGGUGUUCAUUUGGGACUUAAACGAAGAAGUAGAUUGUGGAAAUUUGUCAAGCCAAGUCCCUCCACAAAUACAAAAUGUCAUCAACGAGUUCAAGGACGUGAGGCCUCUCGAACUUCCGAAGAAGCUCCCACCUCGAUGAGAGGUAGAUCAUGCGAUCGAGUUGGAACAAAGCAUGAAGUCACUAGCUUUGGCGCCCUACUACAUGGUGCCACCUGAACUUGAGGAGUUGUAGUGACAACUGAAAGACUUGCUGGACGCAGGCUAUAUUUGCUCCUUAAAGGCUCUAUUCGGUGCACCGGUCAUUUUUUAAAAGAAAAAUAAUGAAUCGCUGUGGAUGUGCAUAUACUAUAGAACGCUUAAUAAGAUCUUGUAUUUGAUUCCCUUGAUAGCGGAUCUUUUCGACCAGCUUGGCAAGGCGCAGUACUUCACCAAACUUGACUUGCGCUCCAGGUACUACCAAGGGAGACGAACCCAAGACAGCGAGCACAAUAAGUUACAGGUCCUUUGAAUUCCUUGUCAUGCCAUUUGGCCUUACCAAUGCACCCGCUACUUUUUGCACACUUAUGAACAAGGUGCUCCAAUCGUUUCUCGAUCAAUUUGUGGUCGUGUACUUAGACGACAUCAUGGUCUAUAGUACCACGCUCGAGGAACAUGCCCAACAUUUGCGACAAGUCCCCCAAGUACUACGAGACAACGAGCUCUUCCUCAAAAUGGAGAAAUGUUCAUUCGCUCAACAAGAAGUGGAGUUCCUUGGCCACAAGAUUGUGGGCAGAAAACUCAUGACGGAAAAUGCUAAGGUGAAGGCGAUCCUCGAAUGGGAACCUCCCACGAAAAUGCCUAACCUUCGCUCAUUUCUUAGAUUUGUGAACUACUACCGAUGCUUCAUCAAGGGCUACUCAACCAAGGCGGUACCCUUGACAAAUUUACUCAAGAAAAAUCGAAUGUGGCAUUGGUUCGUAGAAUGCCAACGCAUAUUCGAAGACUUGAAUAAGGUAUUUCCUGAGGAACCUGUCCUUGCUCUUCUGAACCACACUAAGCCCUUCGAAGUCCAAACGGAUGCCUCGGAUUUUGCCAUAGGUGGAGUUCUUAUGCAAGAAGGCCACCCAAUGGCGUUUGAGAGUCGAAAGUUAAAUGAUACAGAACGCUGCUAUAAAUACCCCCUAACCCUUUUCAUUUUCAAUCCAACCUAGAAAUUUCAUUCUCUUCUAUUAUAAGUCAUAAUAUCAAGUGCAGAGAAAUCCUUAAUUUAGAAAGGUCUAGAGAAGUCAAUGCCAAGAGGUAAGUAACACUUCAACUGCAAUGUAAGGACAAAAUUCUUUUCGUACUUAACUUCAGUUUUAAUGAUUUCCUUAUGUUGUGAUGGCUAUUAUGAUGUUAUUAAAAUAAAUCCUUAAUUUAUGUUGUGAUGGCUAUUAACAAAAUUCUUUUCAUACUUAACUAUGUUUUAAAUAUUUUUAAAAUAGAUAUGGACGGUCUUCAGAAUCGCUUUAAACCUGGCUCUAAUACCAAUUUGUAACACUCCACUUAAAUAUCUAUUAUGAUGUUAUUAAAAUAAAUCCUUAAUUUAUGUUGUGAUGGCUAUUAACAAAAUUCUUUUCAUACUUAACUAUGUUUUAAACAUUUUUAAAAUAGAUAUUUAAGUGGAGUGUUACAAAUUGGUAUUAGAGCCAGGUUUAAAGCGUUUCUGAAGACCGUCCAUAUGCAGAAGUCAAGGGGAAGGACAAGGCUCAACUUUUUAGUAAAAACUUGGAAUUAGGUAAGUUAGAGAUUUUCAUUUGAUUUGUUUGACACGCAGAAAUUAGAUUAAAAACUUGUUGAGAUGUCAAGCAUUAGGGGUAACAGAAGGAGAAGGGCGGAAGGAAGUGCAAGGGAGUAAUCUGCAAUUGAUCGACUUACAAAUAUUGUGGCACGACUUUUGGAAAGGGAAGUUAGAAGAGAUGAACAUGCUCAUGCAAUGAACAACGCAUGAAGCAAAUUUUAAAGAUUAAAUCCACCCAUGUUUGAAGGAGGUGUAGACCCUAUUGCAGUAGACUAAUGGUUGCGGACCAUGGAAAAAAUGAUUGAAAUAGCAAAAGUACCUGAAGAAGAAAAAGUCACUUAUGUCUCCUUUAUGCUACGGGGAGCGGCAGAAUAUUAGUGGGACUCUAUCAAACAAAUCCAUAAUGAAAGAACAAUGCAAUGGAGAGAAUUUAAAGAACACUUCUAUAACAAAUACUUUUCAAAGACUGUUCGCUCAGCCAAAAGAAGAGAGUUUGUUUAUCUACAACAAGGAAUGAUGUUUGUGCUAGAGUACAUCCAAAAAUUUGAUGAGCUCUCUCUAUAUGCCCCAUAUAUGCUUGCAAUGGAAGAUUUGAAAAAUGACUAUUUUAUGCAAGGAUUGUGAAAAGAUCUCGCAAAAGAUUUAAAGGUGGCGGGAGUUCGUGAUGCUUCCUUCAAUGAACUCAUCGAUUGAUCUUUGGUAAUUGAGCAAGCAAAUGAAGAAAAAAAAAAGGAAGAAAAACAAAAGAAUAAAGGAAGUAUGGACCAGAGAAAUUUUCAAGCUAACCACGAAGGACAACGCUUAAAUAAUAAUAAGAGAAAGGGAAUGCCAGCGAUCCAAGAUCAUAGUAAAAGCAAGCGCCCUAAGAAUCAUCAGUGGGAAGUCCCACAGAAACCAAUGUGCAACUAGUGCGAUAGAACUCAUCCUCGGGAAUGUCGAGCAAAUACCAGAACAUGUUUCAAAUGUGGAAAAGAAGGACACUUUAUCAGGGACUACCCAGAAAAUGGUAUGCAACAAGAAAAGACUAAUGCUCGAGUAUUCACACUCACCAAGAUGGAUGCAGAAGGAAACCCCUCAAUAAUAUUAGGUGAACUAUCUAUUUUAAAAAAUCCUACAUAUGUAAUAAUAGACUCAGGAGCUACACAUUUAUUUGCCUCACCAACAUUUAUUAGGAAAAUGUAAAAUGCCCCUGAUAUAAUAAAUAGGCCUUUUAGUGUCAUGGUACCAUCAGGUGAAACAUUAAACUUGGGACAAUUAAUUAAGGCAUGUGAGGUUAGCAUUUGUGAUAAUACACUAUGUGUUGACUUAAUAAUCCUUGAGAUGCAUGACUAUGACGUAAUUCUUGGCAUGGAUUGGCUAUCAAUGCACUAUGCCAUGAUAGAUUGCAAGAAAAAGGAGGUAACAUUUUGACCAACACAAAAAGAAUCAUUUACAUUUAAAGGAGAAUGCAAAAAGAAUAGAAUGCCUAUCAUCAAAAUAGAUAGGCAUUAAAUAGAAGGUGUGAGGGGUACUUGGCAAGUGUGGUCAUCGAAAUAGAAGAGCAAAGACCAAAGUUGGAAGAUAUUCUAGUGAUGAACGAAUUUCAUGAGGUCUUCCCUAAAGAACUUCCAGGAUUGCCACCAGAUCGAGAAAUUGAAUUCAAAAUUGAUUUGUUACCAGGAACUGCUCCAAUUUCAAAGGUGCCCUAUAAGAUGGCCCCAUCAGAAUUAAGGGAGUUAAAGAGUCAAUUACAGGAGUUACUAGACAAAGGCUAUAUACGUCCAAGUCAUUCACCAUGGGAAGCACCAGUACUAUUCCUAAUAAAGAAGGAAGGAUAAAUGCAAUUGUUCAUUGACUAUCGAGAGCUAAAUAAGGUAACUAUCAAGAACAAAUACCCACUUAUGCGCAUCGAUGACUUGUUUGAUCAGUUGAAGGAGUAUCAGUAUUUUCAAAGAUUGAUCUACGAUCAGGAUAUCACUAGUUGAGAAUUAGGGAAGAAGAUAUUCAUAAAACAACAUUCAGAACACGUUAUGGACAUUAUGAGUUUGUUGUCAUGCCAUUUGGACUAACUAAUGCCCCAGCAGCGUUCAUAGACCUCAUGAAUAGAGUAUUUAAAGACUACCUAGAUAGAUUCAUAGUGGUGUUCAUUGAUGACAUUUUAAUCUAUUCAUAAAUAAAGGAGGAGCAUGCUAAGCAUCUAUGGAUCACUCUUCAGACCUUGAAGGAGAAGCAACUUUAUGCAAAACUCAAGAAAUGUGAAUUUUGGCUUGAAAAAGUUACAUUCCUUGGACACGUCAUGUCUAAAGAUGGAAUUUCAGUAGACCUCUCGAAGGUAGAAGUUGUAAGUCAAUGGUCCAGACCGACUAAUCCCAAAGAAGUCAGAAGCUUCUUGGGUUUGGCUGGAUACUACCGAAGAUUUGUGAAAGGUUUCUCUAAAAUCACGAUACCAUUGACCCAGUUGACAAAGAAAAAUGCCAAGUUUGCAUGUGAUAAACCCUGAACUGAAAUGGUUAGAUAAACAACACAGUAGAGAGCAUAAUGUUGUUGGAUGUAGGAAAAAUGAUAUUUAUCUGCAGAAAUAAACCAAAACACCUAAGCAUUCGAGAGGCUUGGUAUCUCUCCCAAAAAUGAGCAAGCUCACUAAAAAAUAAUUCUCUGGAUCUGUUUCCCAAAAACCAGCUCCUCUCCAUAUAACCUCCUCACUUCUACGCCCAAAUAGAAUAACAGAAAAAUCUAACAAAUUAUCAAAACCGAAUACCAUCAACUUAUUACUAACAAAAAUGCAUAACAAACUCUUCUCUAUAUACUACUUGAUGACACGUCAGCCACGAUUGGUAUUUCCGAAAUUACCCUUGCGCCUUGCAUAUGUGAAACGCACUUGUGGCCUAACAUUACCAUCCGCCCAAACUUUCACCUUGUCCUCAAGGUGGAAAUCGGGAAAUUGUUGUUGGAUCAGAUGAAAAUCCUCCUAAGUUGCCUCAAACUCAGGCAAGGAUUUCCAUUUGAGCAGCACCUCCACUUCACCGUAUUGACCAUUAACCUUAGGACGAACUCCCAACAAUUUUUUAGGUUCCACCACGAGUUCAAGCUUAGGAGUCAACUGUGGGGGGAUAGUGGGGGAAAACGAUGACACACCAAAUGCUGCCCUCAACUGCGAAACAUGAAAGACAUGGUGGAGUUUUGCUGUUUGAGGCAGUUCUAGUUUGUAUGCCACAUUCCCGAUACGCUGAAGAACCUUAAAUGGACCGUAGUAACGUGCAGCUAAUUUCUCAAACUUACGUUGAGCGAGGGAGCGCUGCCGGUAAGGUCUUAGUUUCAAAAAUACCAAAUCACCUGCAUUGAACUCUACAUGAUGGCGCUUUUGAUCAGCUUGCAGCUUCAUCCGCUGCUGGGCACGAAGCAAUUGCAUCCUCAGAUCGUCCAGUAUGGUAUCACGAUCCUUCAUUAACUGUUCCACCAAAGAUACCGAAGCAGCUCCUUACUCAUAUCGAAUAAGAAGGGGUGGAUCCCUUCCAUAGAGAGCACGAAAUGGAGUACAACGUGUAGAGGAGUGGAAGGAAGUAUUAUACCAAUACUCAGCCCAUGCCAACCAGCGAGCCCAACUUCAAGGUUUUCCAGAAGCAAAGCAUCGUAGAUACGUUUCCAGACAACGAUUGACAACUUCUGUUUGUUCAUCAGAUUGUGGAUGAUAGGCGGUGCUUCUUUUGAGAGUAGUUCCUUGCAGCUUGAACAAUUCACUCCAAAAAUAGCUCAAGAAUAUCCUAUCUCGAUCAGAGAUAAUUGACUGUGGUAUCCCAUGAAGCCUAACAAUUUCACGAACAAAGAUUCCAGCAACCGAAACAGCAGAAAAAGGAUGUUUCAAUCCUAUGAAGUGAGCAUACUUACUCACUUCAUAUUCUGCUGGCAGAUGGUGCAUUCCCGUACAAAUCUAGUGACAUCCUUGCGCAUACCUAUCCAAUACAAUUCUGCUGCUAAGCGUAGGUAAGUUUUUGUUUCUCCCGAAUGUCCCCCAAUCGGAGUGGUGUAAAACUCUCCUAUGAGAGCAGAAAGAAGCUUAGAAGUCUGAGGAAUAACCAGUCGACUCUUGUAGAACAAUACUCCAUGCUCAACUGAGAACCCCACGUGAGAUUGUGUACCCGAAGUUAUGUCUUCCCUUAGUUUCUUCAGAAAGGUAUCCUCUGCCAAUUCAACCUUUAAGGAAUCCCAAUGUUGCCACUGAGGAAUCGCCAAAGCUGAACACUCUGCUGGUUCUGUUAAGCGUGAGAGUGCAUCCGCUACUCGAUUACUUGCCCUACUACGAUAUUGAAUAUCAAAAUCAUAUCCCAUGAUUUUGGUGAUCCAUUUUUGAUAUUCAACUCCAACAAUCCUCUACUCCAAAAGAAAUUUUAAGCUCUGUUGGUCUGUUCGCACAAUGAAUCGCCUUCCCAGCAAGUACGGCUGCCAUUUCAGGAUUGCAAACACUAUGGCCAUUAGUUCUUUCUCAUAUAUGGACUUAAGGCGAGCCCGGGGCCCCAAAACUUGGCUGUAGUAAGCUACUGGUUGUUGCCCCUGUAGUAGAACAGCUCCUAACCCAAAACCAGAUGCAUUAGUCUCAACAAUAAAUGGCUUUGUGAAAUCAGGCAUUGCCAACACUGGGACCGAAGACAUAGCUUGUUUGAGUUCUUCAAAUGCCGCUGCAGCCUCUGGACUCCACCCAAACCUACUUUCUUGAGCUGAUCAGUCAAAGGCGAUGCGAUUCUAGCAUACCCAGCCACGAACAUUCUAUAAUACCCCGUCAAUCCCAGAAAUCCCCUUAACGCUUUCAGAUUAGUGGGCGUCGGCCACAAGUUCAUGGCUUGGAUUUUACUUGGAUCCGCUGCCACCCCUUGUCCAGAGAUGAUAUGGCCUAAGUAUGCCACUUGAGUCCUUCCAAACUCAUAUUUUUUUCGGUUGGCAUAAAGGCUGUUGGCCUGCAAUUUUCCCAAGACGAGAGCCAAGUGCUGCAGAUGGGAUUCCACUGAAGGGCGGUAAAUUAGAAUGUCAUCGAAGAACACUAGCACAAACUUCCAAAGAUAAGGCCGGAAGACAUCAUUCAUCAAGGAUUGGAAAGUCGUCGGGGCAUUCGUUAGUCCGAAAGGCAUGACGAGAAACUCGUAGUGUCCAUCAUGCGCUCGAAAAGCAGUCUUAUGAACAUCCUGACUACUGACUAUGAUUUGAUGGUAGCCCGACUUUAACUCUAGCUUGGAAAAAAUUCUGGCACCAUGUAAUUCAUCUAGGAGUUCAUCAAUGACAGGGAUAGGAUACUUAUCUGGUACCGUCGCUUUGUUGAGAGCCCUAUAAUCCACACAAAAACACCACGAUCCAUCUUUCUUCUUAACCAACAAAACUGGGCUCGAGAAUGGACUAUUGCUGACUUGGAUUAUUCCUGCAUCUAACAUCUCCUGAAUCAGUCUUUCAAUCUCAUCCUUCUGAGCAUGAGGAUAGCGAUAUGGUCUGACGCUAACAGGUUCACUGCCGUCUUUGAGCAAAAUGGAAUGCUCAUGUCCCCUGGUAGGUGGUGAGCCCAUGGGCAUGUUAAAAACCAAUUCGUAUUCUGCUAGGACUUGGUUUAGAUUCGUUGGCACCUCAGGGCUCACUUCGCACAGACCUUCAAAUUGAUUACAUUCCACCAUAAUUCCAGCCCCCUCGUGCUUAAUGGUGCGCAUCAUUGCCUUCAAUGAAACCAAAGUCUUGCCAAGGGAAGGAUCCCUUCGUAGAGUAACAGAUUCAUUUCCGAGCAUGAACUUCAUCACCUGUGUCUUCCAAUUUGUGUGUGUCAUCCCCAAAGUUUCAAGCCACUGAACUCCUAAUAUAGCAUCCGAGCUCCCCAACCCAAGCGGCAAGAAUUCCUCUACAAUAUCUAUUCCCUGUAGAUGAAUAGUCACUCCCCGACAUAAACCUUCUCCCCUUACAGCCGCUCCAGUACCCAUAGUCACCCCAUAAGCCCCAGUUUUAACAAUGGGUAUCUGCAUUUUACUAACCAAAUCUAGAGAAAUAAAAUUGUGGGUUGCACCUGAAUCAAUCAGUACCACCACCUCUUGCUCCCCGAUAGUCCCCUUAAGCUUCAUCGUCUUUGCUGUAGUCAGACCAACCACCGAGUUAAGAGAGACCUCUACCACUUGAUUAAUUUCGGCCGUUUCCAGUUCGGGAUCGCCUUCACCCGAACCUUCUUCCUCUUCCUGCUCUGCUUCGUCCAUGUCGUAGGUGAGAAGGAUAGUCAAUUCUUUCUUCUUGCAGCGAUACCCAGGUGCCCACUUUUCAUCACAUCGAUAACAUAGUCCCUUAUCUCUUUUCUUCUGUAAUUAUGAAUCGGAAAACCUCCUAACCUCUCCCAAAAAUCGAGCCGUGUUAUGAUUUGUCCCAAACGAAGAUCGCGAAGCUUCAGAAUGGAAGUUCACACCUCGCGUUGACCCUUUUGCUCGAUGAAACCCACCGCCUGCUUUGUGGGCCUUGGUCACCCACAGUUUCUCCUUAAUCUUUUGGGCUAAGUCCAUGGCCCGGCCCAAAUUACUGGGUUCCAUGAUCCGAACCUCGACCCGAAUUUCAGGCUUCAACCCGUUGAUAAAAUUUCCCAGAGCUAGUUCGUCUGUAAUGUUCUCCAACGGCACCGAAAGUUCGAUGAAUUUCCGGUGGUAUUCUCGCACACUGCUAUCUUGAGUAAGGGCUAGCCAUUGUUCAUAGAGAGAACCGGCUUGGAUUACUCGGAGUUGUUUCAAGAUUAGUACCCUCAUCUCUUCCCAAACCACUAUGGAUCUCUUCAUAUUCUCCCAUUAAUACCACAACAGGGCAUCUCCCUCGAAAGCUAGUAUCGCCGCCUCAAGUUUUUCUUCAUUGGAUAACCGAUUUACGGAAAAAUAUCGUUCAGCCUUCAUAAUCCAGCCAUCCGGAUUUAAGCCAUCGAACAGUGGCAUCUCAAGUUUCCGGAAUCAGAAAUCAGGGCGAGUUCCGCCUGAGCUCGACCCACCGCCGAAGUUGGGGCUGAGCAUCUUUUCCCCUUUAUACGAAUUCGAACCUCCCGUAUCCUCCUGAAGUUUGAUGAACUGUUCGAAUCGUUUGUUCAUCGUCUGUAUUUCAUCCUUCAACGAUCCCAUUUCCCGUUGAAACUCCUCCUACGCAGCAACCAUCGCCUCCUCUAUGGAAUCCAUUCGUUGAGCAACAUUUUUGCCGGUCAUUUUCCAAGUACGUGACUUCUCUGAUACCAAUUUGAUAAACCCUGAACUGAAAUGGUUAGAUAAACAACACAGUAGAGAGCAGAAUGUUGUUGGAUGUAGGAAAACUGGUAUUUAUCUGCAGAAAUAAACCAAAACACCCAAGCAUUCGAAAGGCUUGGUAUCUCUCCCAAAAAUGAGCAAGCUCACUACAAAAUAAUUCUCUAGAUCUGCUUUCCAAAAACCAGCUCCUCUCCAUAUAACCUCCUCACUUCUACGCCCAAAUAGAAUAAUAGAAAAAUCUAACAAAUUAUCAAAAUUGAAUACCAUCAACUUAUUACUAACAGAAAUGCAUAACAAACUCUUCUCUCUAUACUACUUGAUGACACGUCAACCACGAUUGGUAUUUUCAGAAUUACCCUUGCGCCUUGCAUAUGUGAAACGUACUUGUGGCCUAACAGCAUGGACACUAGAAUGCGAGAAAAGCUUUAAAGAACUAAAACGACGGCUGGUCACUGCUCCAAUCCUAGCCAUUCCUAACAGCUCUGAGGAUUUUGUCAUCUAUAGUAAUGCCUCCAAAAAUGGUAUUGGAUGUGUCCUCAUGCAAAAUGGAAAAGUCAUUGCAUAUGCUUCCAGACAAUUAAAUGAAUAUGAGAAAAACUAUCCAACGCAUGAUUUGGAGUUGGCAGCAGUGGUGCACGCAUUAAAAUUAUGGCGUCACUGUUUAAUAGGGGCGCAUUGUAAGAUUUACACUGAUCACAAGAGCCUCGAAUAUUUCUUUACCUAAAAGGAGCUGAAUAUGUGACAAUGGUGUUGGCUAGAGCUUGUCAAGGACUACAACUGCGAAAUAAACUAUUAUCCUGGAAAAGUAAAUACGGUAGCAGAUGCACUAAGUAGAAAGUCAAGCUUGUCAGCUUUACGGAUUCUACCUAAGCCAUUACAAAAUGAUAUAUGCAAGGCAGAGAUCGAGCUAGUAAUAGGAAAAUUAGCCAAUAUGAAGCUUUGCUCAACCUUAUUAAAAAAGAUUAAGAAAGGGCAGGAAAGUGAUUCUUACUUGAAGAACCUAAAGAUAGAGGCCAACUCAAAGGAGACGUUGUUUAAGAAGUCAGAGAAGGGAAUCAUCUUGUUCAAGGAUAGAAUAUGUGUACCAGAUAAUGCAAAUAUAAAGAAAUAUAUUAUACUUGAAGAUCAUAUAACCCCAUAGUCACUUCAUCCUGGCACAACAAAGAUGUACAAAGACUUAAAGAAGCAUUAUUAGUGGCCUGGAAUGAAGAAGGAUGUAGUUGAGUUCGUGGCAAAAUGUCUCACUUGUCAACAAAUCAAAGUAGAACACCAGAGACCAGCAAGACUUUUGGAAUCCAAUUAAGUUACUCAAUGGAAGUGGGAAGAAAUCACAAUGGAUUUCGUCAUUAGUCUUCCAAGGACUACCAAAAUACAUGAUGUUAUUUGGGUGAUCAUUGAUCAACUCACAAAGUCUGCUCACUUCUUGCCUAUUUGAAUGACGUACACCAUAGACCAGCUUGCAGAAAUAUAUGUAAAAGAGAUAGUAAAACUGCAUGGUGUACCCAUUUCUAUUAUUUCUGACCGAGAUGCAAGGUUUACUUCGACAUUUUGGGAAAAGUUACAUAAGGCUAUGGGGACAAGAUUGAAGUUUAGUAAAACAUUUCACCCUCAAACAGACGGCCAAUCAGAAAGAACAAUUCAAACGCUUGAAGAUAUGUUGCGAGGAUGUGCUAUCAACUUUCAAAGAUCAUGGAGCAAGUAUUUACCAUUGGUUGAAUUUGCCUACAACAAGAGUUACCAAGCAACAAUCAGCAUGGCACUACACGAAGCUCUAUAUGGUAGAAAAUGUAGAUCGCCUAUUCAUUGGGAUGAGAUGGGCGAAUGAAGGCAUCUAGGACCCAACUUAAUUACUGCCUCAUCUGAAGCAAUCGAGAAAAUACCUCAAAGAAUGCUGGCAGCUCAAAAUCGACAAAAAAGUUAUGCGGAUAAGAGGUGAAGGCCUUUGGAAUUCCAAGUUGGUGAUAAAGUAUUUAUAAAAGUUGCCCCAGUAAAAGGAUUGAUGAGAUUUAGAAACAAAUGAAAAUUAAGUCCGAGGUUUAUUGGGCCAUUUGAAAUACUCGAUCGCGUCGGGAAUGUUUUCUACCGACUUGCCCUCUCACCAUCGUUAUCAAGAAUACAUAAUGUCUUUCAUGUAUCCAUGUUAAAGAAAUACGUCCCCGACUCCUCUCAUGUGCUAGAUUAUAAGCCCCUACAACUAGAAGGAGACCUAACCUACGAAAAAUGUGUAAUUCAAAUUCUUGAUAGAAAGAUAAAAGAGUUAAAGAAUAAGAAGAUUCCUUUAGUUAAAGUACUAUGGCGAAAUAGCUCAGUGGAGGAGGCAACAUGGGAACGUGAGGAAGAAAUGAAGAAUAAGUAUACUGAGCUAUUCAGUAAGUAAAUUUCGAGGACGAAAUUAUUUUAAAGAGGGGAGGAAUUGUGAGGUACAAUUUUCUCACUUAAAUAUAAUAUUAUUUAUUUUAAGGUAACAAGCCCCCUUAAGUAUUAUUAUUAUUAUUAUAUAAAAUAUUAAAUUAUAAGUUAUGAUAACAUAAUCAAUGACAUAAGUAAUGAUGACAUAAGCAACGACAUAAGUGAUGAUGUAAGAGAAGUGUGUAGAGAAAGUUAAGAAUUCUAGAAUUUAAUAAGGUAUUUAUGAAGGUUAAUCUCAACCAUUGAUCAAGAGUUAUGGUAGCAAAAUCCUAAUCAUUUAUUGGCCUUAAAAAAUCCUAUAAAUACCCCCUAACCCCUUUCAUUUUCAAUCCAACCUAGAAAUUUCAUUCUCUUCUAUUUUAAGUCAUAAUAUCAAGUAUAUAGAAAUCCUUAAUUUAGAAAGGUCUAGAUAAGUCAAGGCCAAGAGGUAAGUAACACUUCAACUGCAAUGUAAGGACAAAAUUCUUUUCAUACUUAACUUCAGUUUUAACAAUUUCCUUAUGUUGUGAUGGCUAUGGAUAACUCUAGGAAAUGAGAGUUAUCAAGACACUUUUAUACUUAAAUCGAUAUUAUUUAGAGAGUGAAUGUUGUGUUUCUAUUGCAUUUUUGUUAUACUUCGCAUAAACAUUCAUUUUAGUUUAGUCGUAAUAAAUUUUGUUUGAUUUAGAAUAAUUUGUGCCUAGAUUGUGUGUGUAAUUAUAGAUGUUCGGAAGCUCAUGUUUUAAGAAAGGAAUGCUGAUGCAAUCAACUUGCAAAAGAUGGAAAAGAACUUAGUCACAAAAGUCUUAAAACAAAUCUGGAACAGUGCAAUUGUUUUAGCCGUUGCUGUAGCAGCCAUUGUUGUAGCAAUCCUAGAACAAUGAUAGAGAAAAUUCCACGCAGGAUACUUGGAGAAUCGUGAUCUGCAGUUUUCUAAUAUGACUCAUGCGUGCCCUAGGCUUCCGUUUACCCUAAUUUUCAAUUAUAAAAAGAGCACGCAUCAUAUGGAAGGGGGCGGUGAAUUAACAUCGAAGAAAUCAAGAGAAAAUAAGGAAAGAGCAGAAUUCAAGAGAGACAAGUCUGGUCCAUUGAAGAAAUCUACAGAACUAUUUGGAUUCAAUUUUCAUCAUUCUUUACUUGUCCCCUUACUUACUCCUAGAUUAAAAUGAUGUAUUUCAUGGCUGAUACUUUGCUGUUUGUUUUUCUUUUACAAGUUAUGAGUUGAAAACGAUCUAAAUGGGUUCUUGGCUAUUCUUAUGAGUUGUUGCAACAUUGCUGUAGCAUUUUACUUUAAUAGCUUGUAUUACAAUCAUUAUUUCGAUUGACCUCUCAUCUAAUGGUUCAAGUUAAGAGAGAGCUGCAAAAGGGUCUGUCUUAGUGGAAAUUAUUAGAGUAAUACUUGAUCUUAAUUUAAGUUUUCUGGAUUGAGUUUAACUUGAGUCUCAAGAGCGCCACACUUGAAUUAAGAUUUGUGAUGACAUAGAUAUAGGGAUUCACCUUGUAAGGUAGAGAGAGUAUAUGUUUGUAAUAUAAUAAUUGGUCAUUGUUAGGUUGCGUAAGCAACAGUUGAGGAAGCAAAAUAAGUCUGCUCAGUGCUAUAGGAGUUGCUGCACCAACUGGUGUUAGUUUGAACAAAACAGUCAGCCCAUGAAGAGAGUUUGAUCAUUCAACUACUUUAUCUUUAUUGAAUUUUAUUUUUGCAAGCUAUUCAGUUUACUUCAUUAUUGCAGUUACUUUAUUACGUUGUUAAUUUUAUUAGUCAAUCAACUUUAUUUGUAUUCCUUUUAGAUAGAAGGAAGUUUGCACUAUCGUGAUUACUGUAGCAUUUCUAGUAACAACAAUCCAUGUGGAGACGAUCUUGAAUAUUCAUCAAUUUAUUACUUGUUGUGUACACUUGCACAUUAACAUCAAUAACAAUCGAGUUAAAUUAACCAACAACUAUUCCGCCUAAUCUAUGAUGCUUAGUUAUGUUAUGGUCAGCUCUGCCGCCUAAUCUGCAAUGCUAAGUUAUGUUAUGGUCGACUCUGCCGCCUAUUUACGAUGCUUAGUUAUGUUAUGGUUGGCUCUGCCGCCUAAUCUGUGAUACUUAUAAUUAAUUAUGCUAUGUCGGGUGUGCCGCCUGUAUUCAAGAAUAUUGUUCUUAAAUACUGUUGUGUGUUGAUUCUUUUAUGCAUUUAGGAACUUCAAAUAUUAUGACAUAAUUUGCAUUGAAUGCAUGCAUAUCAUGGAUUACAUUAUAAAGAAGACGUUUCAGAAAAUGAAUUUAUGAAAAAUAAGUGGUUGUACCACCAAGUGGCAAAAUUUCUAAGGAGGGCAAGCCCUUAAAGCUAACUUUAAAAAAAUCUUUUGGGGACGGCGAUACAUAACGCCUAAAAGAUCAACUAAUGAGGCCUAAAGGCAUAUUGUUUAAAAUAGUAAAAGUGCCAACCUUGUAGUGCAACAUACCUAGGGCCUUAAUGAAGUUGUUUUGUAUUUUUUAAGUUUCUUUUAAAAGCUUAAGAUGGUCAUCCAUAUGCAUCAUAAUUUAUACAUUCAUAAAAGUAUUAUCUUAUUGGGCAUUAGCUCAUAAAGUCCUUACAUUGCAGAUAAUGAUGAGUAAGGCAAGCUGGCGCCAAGUCUUAACCAAGAAAAAAUGCAUAUGGACAUAACAGACCUUGGGAUUUUAAGAUGGGCUCAGCUUUGUUUAAAUAAAAAUUAAACAUCUUAGCUUUAUGUAAUAAUCAAGUUUUGAAAUAAACUAUGAAAUCUCUGUAUGACUUUUACUUUAUGAAGAAAUUUUUGUUUGUUGUGUUAAGCUUUUAGAAAUCGUAUUUAACUAUGUUUUAAACAUUUUUAAAAUAGAUAUUUAAGUGCAGUGUUACAACAUCAGUCUCCUCCUCUUCGAAAAAAAAAACUCAUCCUCGAGUUUUGCUGAAAAUAAAGGACAAUCUGGAGGAUAAAUCUUUUAAUUAAGGAGUAAUUGAUCUUGCACUGCAAAAGUGUAGCACUUUGCAUCAACUUUUCUUAAAACUCGAAAGUACUAAAACUUCAAUUUCUUCUUGUUUUUUAGUAUGGUUCUUCUAAAAACUGUAGACUUGUAAGGGCAAACCAUUAGAAGUUCUCUUUUAAUUUGAGUCACAGGUAAUCCUCAUAGGAGGUAACUUGUUAAGAAGCUCUUUAGGCACGAUAUCCUGAAAUUAUGAGAGUAGUGAUUGGACUUAUUCAGGCAUCGAUUCUUCUUCAGCUAUCUCUUUUGUAGUAAAAGAUAAGUUCCCUUGACAUUUGACUUUAUCGGAGCAAGGAUAACUUUCAAGUUGUCUUUAUAGAACCUGUAUGUGUUAUCUUUCCCAUAAUGUACCAUAUUAAGAUCAAAUUGCCAAGGUCUCCCGAAAAGCAAAUGGCAAGCAUUCAUGUCAACAAGAUCGCAAGUAACUUCAUCUUUAUGUCUUCUGAUGGAAAAACUGAAUACAACAUUGUUGAGUAACCUUUAUCUCUCCAACAUCUUUUAUCCAUCUAAUGCAAUAAGGGGAAGGAUGUUUGUGAGUUUUAAGCUGUAACUUGUCAACUAUAAUCUUCGAAACUAUAUUCUUGCUACUAUCACUGUCAAUAAUCAUCACAUACCCUCUCAUUGAUUGUGCACCUUGUUUUGAAGAUAUUAUGUCUCUGAGUCUCUUCGUCUUUCUUUUGUGUGUAUAACGAAUGUUGUGUUACUAGUGAUACUCCUAUGUCUCAAUAUGUCCACUCUUCCUCCUUUUCUAUGUCGACAUUGUCUUCAUAUAGUUCAUCCUUAGGCUUUCCAUUUUCCUCUGCAUUAGUUUCCAAAUUGACUAUUUGAUGUCUUCGUUCUGGACAUUGGUUUGAUGUAUGGCCUAGCUUUGAAUAACGAAAACAUUCGUCACCUCGAGGAAAUUCAUAAGGAUUGCUACUACAUAGUGUAAAACUUUCUUUCUUUCAAUUCCGUUUGGCUGAAAUUCGUUUUCUCAUUUCACAAAAAACAUAAUACAUUUUUGUGCUAAUGCCAUUGAAACAUUCACACUGACAUAUGUCCAUGUCCAUAAACACACAUAACACAUAACAAUACAUUCUAUUAACACAUCAUAUAAACACAUGGGCAGAGCAUAUAAAUCCAUAUCCGUAUAUAUUAAAAUAAGUUUUUCAAACAUGUCAAACAUGUACAUAUUAUUUAUUAUGACUCAUUUAGAAAUCUAGUUUACUUACCUUCUAGCAUCCUCGAGUAACAAAUAUGUGUCGAUAUCACCGACCUAAAGUCAAUAAAAAAUACUCCUAUAAGAUAAAAUCAUAUCAAAUCAUAAACUCUAUUGUUCUCAAAUUCCUCAAUAUAACACCCUCUAAACUUAACCUCAAUUAAUCUUAAUUUGAAUAAUUAAUUACAAAAAAUACCAAAAUUUAAAUUACUAGAAUGCCCCUUAAAUCUCAAAAUCACAAGUUGCCAAAUUAUCCUCAAAAUCAUAAUUUAUCGGACCACCCUUAGAUUCUUAUUCUCCAAAUCAUAAAUCACUGAAAUAUUCACGAAAUAAAAAAUUUAAGAAAUUACCCACAAAUUCUAAAAAAUUACUAAAAUGCUCUCAUCGAUCAACAGUGAUCUAAAUUCAUACGGUGGUGAUGGGAAAGGUCGGGAUAGAAGCUUCAUGUCGCAUUGAAUCCAACGGUGGCGACGGAGGCACCAGAUUGAGCUCCCAAAGCUGUGAACACUUUGGAGGUCGAUUGGCAGCAAAUCAACUAUUUGUGGUGAUGUGGGUGGUAAAACAAUGCAAGUAGUGACCUAAGGAACGAAACCCAGUCGGUGGCGUCACCCAAAACCAGUGAAAUCACAGUGAAUGGAGGUGGCAAAUACUGCAAGUUUUGCGGGCCCAAAUGACGGCUGUCUGGUCGUUAUUCAACAGUAAUGAUGGCGGGGAAGUGACCAUUGGUUCUAAAGCUUCUAAUCGGUACCUCCCGUUGCUGGUGGGGUGGUCGGGAACGAGAAAUGGUGACCAGGUUGGUUCAUGGGUCAGGUUUUCCGAGUUGGUUUUGGCAGCUUUCUCUCUUUCUCACGUGUGAAUAUGCUUCCUCUUCUUUAAACAAUUUCCAGCUUCCUUUUUUUAUAUAAUCAAAUAUCGAGUCAAAAUUAGUCAAAGCAGCGGGGUGGGGUAUUACAAAGUAUCACUACUACAAAAAUGUAAACCAAUAACCCAUACAUUAUGACGGUUUAUUUAAAAAAUCAUCAUUAAAAAUAUUUAAUGACAGUUAUUAUAUGAACGGUCAUAAUAUAUCAUAUUUAUAAUGACGGUUCUAUUAUAAAACCGUCAUUAAAUAUCAUGCCAAAAUGUAAUUUUACUUUUAACGAUGGCUACUUGUAAAAACAGUCAUUAUAAAUUUCAAACUUUUAAUGACGAUUUUAUUAUAUAACCGUCAUUAAAUAUCAAGUUAUUAUUUUUAAUGACGGUUUAUAAAAAAACCGUCAUUAAAAGUCAUUACAUAUUAAACUAUUAUUUUUAUAACGAUUCUAUUAUAUAACCGUCAUUAAAUAUCAAGUUAUUAUUUUUAAUGACGGUUUAUAAAAAAAGGUCAUUAAAAAUCAUUACAUAUUAAGUUAAUACUUUUUAUGACGGUUCUAUUAUAUAACCGUCAUUAAAUAUAAAAUUAUUACUUUUAAUGACGGUUUUUAAACAAAACCGUUAUUAACAAUCAUUAAUGACAUUAUAUAUAUAAACUGUCAUUAACUAUAAAAUUUUAUUUUUAAUGACGGUUUUGUUUAAAAACCGUCAUUAAAAAGCUACAAUAUUUUUAAUGACGGUGUUUAAUAGGCUUGGCAAAAUCCGGAUCAUGUCCGGGUUUUGGUGUUGCCCGGGACCGGACCGGAUGAGAGAAAUGUAAGUCCGGAACCGGGUUAAAACCCGGUUUUUCCAGGUGCGGUCUGGGCUUGAGCCCGGUACCUUCCGGGUCCGGGUUUUGAUCCGGGCUUUUAAAACCCGCAUGUGAUAAAUUUAAUUUUUUUUUCAAUUUUUUUUUUCAUUUCUCUAACAAUGCAAAUUUUAAAAAAGAAAAUAAUCAAAUAAACUCAUUCAAUCUCAAACUUUAAAAAAGAAAAUAGUCAAAUACAAAUAUAUAACACAUUAACAAUGCAAAUUUUGCACAAAUGAUAAAUAAAAAUUAUUUCAAUCUACUUUCUAAUACCUAAAUUCAUCUAAUUUCUAACUUAAACUCAUUCAAUCUAUAUUAAAAUAAGUAAAUUAAAUUCAACAACACAAUAAUUACACAAUAAAUUUAAAUAACAUCCAAUAUAUCAUAAAUUCAUAAUUAUAUAUUUAUAUAUAAUAUAUUUAUUUUUUAAAAUUUAUUUAAAAAACCGGGUCCGGUCUAGGUUCCGGGUUUUUUGUGUUGAACCCGGACUCGGGACCGGAAAUGUCCGGGUUUGAGAAUUUCAAACCCGAAUUCGAUUUUUAUAUGCAUGCGGUCCAAAUUUUGCCCGAACCGAAUUGGCCGGAUCCGGGCCGGGUCCGGUCCGGGCAGGCUUUUUUGACACCCCUAGUGUUUAAUGACCGUCAUCGAAUAUAAAGAAUCGUUUUUAAUACAUUUCAUGACCGUUUUAUAAUAACCGUCGUUAUAUGUUAUUUGCCUUAAAAAAUUAAAAAAAAAAAAGCCGAUAAAAGGAAUCAAGGUAACGCGCAAUCCCUAACCACUCACAUUCCUUAUCUUCUUCUUCAAUUUUCACGAAUUACAAUCACAACGACUCACUCAGUCACACACACCAGCCCUAACCCUACCUAAGCUAUCAAACGCCAAUGACGCUGCCGCUGUCAAAUCGAUUCAAGUGCUCCGGCGCUGAGUCUAGCCGUCCUUGAGCCGAUUUGCUUCCUUUUUCUACCGCCGCUGUCAAUCUCUGCCAUUCUUGAGCCGAUUCACUUCCGCAAAACAGCUGCUGUCAUCUCUGCCGACAUUGCCUCUGUGUUCGUUCACCGUCAGAUGCAGGGUUAUUGUGGUGACACUGCCUCCGCUGUCAAGUCAGUUCAAAUUUUCUGGGUGCUAUCUUGAAAAUGUUGGUGAGAUUGUUGCCAAUGAUUUUCUAAAAUUUUGAAUUCAGGGUUAUUGUUUCACCACUGUGAGUUGCUUUCUCCAUUUUUGCAAUUCUUUCCUCUUAAUUUGCUUUGAAAUAUUUGCUCGUUGGAUUUAUUUCCUCUUCAUUUAUAAUCGAUUAGGUGAUUUUGUGAUGUGUAGCUUGUACCUUAGUCUCUUCUUUUCCUUUCAUAAUAUUAUAAAAUAUGUCGUGCACUUUGGCCUUUCGUUUCUUGAUUUUCUUGGUUAAUGAAUUUGGAAAAAGAGUGAAUUAUGGGUAAGAGGAUAGAAAAUCACAUUGACAGAAAAGAGGACUGAAACGCCCUGAUUUUUACUAAGUGGAGUUUACUUAUUUGUUAAAAAAAUAAAUUUUAAAUUAUUAAUGAUUUAAUUGUCUUAUGCUUAUUAUAUUGUUCGUAAAAUUUUUGUUACAAGUCCAGCCCAUGAACCUCUUUAUAUUUUAGCAUUUCUUUAUUUAUUUACGAAACGAAAACCAGCGUUCGGAUUCAAAAGGAACAAAACAGAAAAAGGAAGAAAGGAAACAAGAGGAUAACAGGACGUGAGAGAGGAGAAGAGGGAGAAAGAAGAGAAAGACAAGAGAGGCUAGGUGAAGGAUCUGGAUUUAAAGAAAGAGAAUUCAAUUUCAGAGCAAAAUAUUAAAUAUCUGGCUUUUUGAAUUUGUAAGCCUUCUUUCUCAGUUCACUUUAUUCUUUUAUUUUUCUUCAAAAUUCUUGUUUAAAUUGGCAUGCCUGUUGAUGUUGUUAAGUCAUUUCUAAAUUAACUUGCAUGCAUGAUUAAAAUUCUGUUUAUUUAGGUAUUAUGUCAUUGAAAUUAGUCUCUUUUCCCAUGCUUGUUUCAAGUUCCAAUUCUUAUUUGAAAAAAAAAAAAAAAUUCGCUGUUUGUGCCAUAAUCUGUUUUGGGUAUUAAAGUUGAUACUACCUAGCAAAUUCUAAACUGUAAUGGCUGAUUUCUUCUCUUAUUUUUGUUUAAUCUAUUCAAAUUCAUGUAUAAAUUUUACAGGCGUUAGAUAUUUGUCUAAUUAUCAUGUAUGUGUUAAAUUCAUUUUGGGUGAAUUUUCAUACUAUUUAAUCAAGUUCAAAGUUACAUGGGUUUGGCCAAUUAUCACAUAAUCUCUUCUUUGACUAAUUGAUUAGAUUUUUGUUCAUGCGUGGCUUAAUUAAUUUCAAAAUCUUCUUACUUAUAAAGCAUUAAUAUCUUUUGCAAUUAAAUUCUCUAAAUUUUCCUGGCUGCUGUAUGAACAACUCUAGUUUUUUUUCCUUAAAUAAAUUUGUUUGAAUUCUAAUUAAUACUUUAAUUUAAUGGAUUAUAAUUUAAAUCUUGCAGCAGAUUAUAAUUUAUGGUGCUAAUGGUAUUUUUUUUAUUUAAUCCAUUGUUUUGUUCUUCAGGCUAUUGAUCCUAGGACUUGCAUGGUUUUAUUCAAAAUGCUAAAUUGGGUUGUAUUCCAGUGGCUGUAUUUUGACGGGAAAAGAAGUAUGUAGUGCUACUCUUCUUUUUUAUUUUUUUGAUUUUAUUGUCAUUAUUAUGUAGCUUAACGGCAACCCAAUUCUCUCCCUACCCUUGUGAGUGUGGUCAAACCCCAAACAAAUGAAGAAGUUUUCUGGUUUUAUGUCUUAAAUAGAGUGCCUGUAAAUAUAAAAUCGAGAUUGAGCUAAUGAGUGAAAAUGGUGAUACUUGGAUUUUUUGAGGCUCUGCUUUUUUUUCUUUACUUUAAAAGCUAAUUUGUUUAGCUUUACCUUUGAUUUGAAUUUUUUGUUUCUGUUCUUUGCAGCCAACCAAUGAAGAUGGUGAUAAUCGGGCUCCAAUAAAUAUUGAUUUAAUAGGAACCACAUUGGUAAGCCUAGUUGCAAGACAAGAACUACUUUGCAAAGCAUGCUAUGUGUAUAAUUCUGAGCAUUAAGGAUUCAGUUUCUGAAGGGCAAGCUUGCUGGCUGGGUAUAAAUGUUCCAAGUGCCAAUCCCACCUUAUGUAAGCACAAAAUAUAGUCUCCAUUUCCUUUUUGGAUUAUAUUUGUUUGUAUAGUUAUAUGAUACUGGAUUUUAAUUUAAGAAUUUGUGCAGUACAUUUUUUUACUGUUAGGAGUUAGUUUGAUCAAGGUUAUUUAAGUACUAAACUGUUAUAAUUGAGCUUGCAUGCAUUUAAAUUUUUUUAUAUGUAAAUGACAAUUAUAUCAAUGUGUAAUGUAAAUUGAAAUUUGCCAAUGUGGCUUCAAUUGGACAGUUUAGAAUGUGAAAACAACUAUCUAAAUUUUAAUUUAAAAAAACAAUUGAAGUAUAGUAAUUUUAAAUUGUUAUCUUUUUUUAUUUUUACUCGUGCAAAAGAUGACGGUUCUUAUAUAAGAACAAUCAUCAAAGAACGAUAUAAGAUGACUGUUAUGAUACAAAACCGUCAUUAAAAUUUGAUAUUUAAUGACGGUUAUUAAAAAACUUUCAUUGAAAAUAUAUAUGUAAUGACGAUUAUUAAAAAAAUCUGUCAUUAAAAAUAUAUAUUUAAUGACGGUUAUUAAAAGCCCGUCAUUAAAAGUAUAUAUUUAAUGACAGUUGUUGGCAAAAAACCGUCAUUAAAACUUAUGUACCUAUAGCAUAUAAUGACGGUUUAUUACAAUAACUGUCAUAAUAAGUAGACAUUUAAUGACGGUUUUUAAACCGUCAUAAAAAAUGUACCCCUUUAAAUGUUGCUGCCUAAGAUGACGGUUUUAAAACUGUCAUCUUAUGUCUUUUAAAAUUGUCAUUAAAGGCCAAUUUUGUAGUCCUGUAUGAUCUUGAAAAAAGAACACGUACAUACUGAUAUUGCCAUAGAUAAGCUUAAAGGUCUUAUUUCUUUCUUUGAAAGCCAUAGAAAAGAUGGAUUCAUGUUUGCUGUGAUUUCAGCAAGAGAACUUGCAAGUGAAAUGGAAAUAGAAUCUAAAUUUCAUGAAAAAAAGUAUAAUUUGUAGAAAAAGAAACAAAUUUAAUGAAAAUGUUAGUGAAGAGGAAAUGUUGUCUGUUGAAGAGUCCUUUAGAAUUAAUUAUUUUAUUUAUAUAGUAGAUCAAGUUAUUUCUACAAUAAGACUAUAUGUGAAUAAUUUCAAAUAUAUGAUAAUAUGGUUGGAUUUUUGUUUAAUUUCAAAAAAUUACAAUCGUUAAAUGACUACGUUUUAAAUAUUUAUUCUGUUAAUCUCGAAAAUACUUUAAAACAUGCUACACUUUCUGAUAUAGAUGGUGCAUAUUUAUUUUAAGAGUUGAGAUUUUAAAUGAAGUAUUUCAAGGUAAAAAAAAUACUAAUUAAUUAUUUGAAAACAAAUUGAUUUUUUCUCAAAUGCAUAUAUUGCAUAUAGAAUAUUAUUAAUAGUACUACUAACAGUUGUUUCUGUAGAAAGAAGUUUUUAAAAUUAAAAUUUAUAAAAACAUAUUUAGAAUUAACAAUCUCGCAAGAGAGAACAAAUGAAUUAGCUAUAUUGAUUAUUGAGAGAAAUAUAUUCAUGAAAUUAGAACAUAAAAAUUUAAUUAAUAAUUUUGCAUUUCAGAAAGCUAGAAUAAAUUGAUCUUAAAUAAAUAAAAAUUUUAGUACAAUUCACCUACGACUUUAAAAAUUGGUUGAGUGGUUCUUGCCUACAAGACUUGCGAUGAUAAAGACACUAAAAUGUACAUUGUUAGACACAUGUAUUUCUUUCUUUUUUUUUUAAUUUUUCAUCAGACUUAUCAAAUUGUAAUUUGAUGGUUAAUAAUUUUUUUCAUAUUGUGUCAAAAAAAAAAAAAAAUAGAGAGGCUCCUCGAACAAGCCUCGCACCACUAGUCUAAGUUUGUAUGCGCAUGUGCUUAUGUACUGCACACUGAUAUACUAUGUUAUCACUGUGUCAGAAAGGAAAGGCUCUGACUCCUCGACAUGCCCUAUACCAACCAGUCUAAAUUUUCAUAUGCAUGUGGCUCAUGUGCUACACUUUAGUGUAAUGCAGUAAAAUCAAGAAGAAAAAAAGUGAAAUAUGUUGUGUCUUUUCCGUGAGAAAUUCUAAAAUGCAUAAGAGAUAAAGAUUUUGCUAAGUUACUGCUGCUGUAACUUUCAAUUCCUUUAAUAAUCAUAUGGGUCCUACCACCUAUGACAACUAUUUACAUUAUUUUGAAAGGUUGUAAGUUACAGUAGUUGUAACUUAGUAGCACCCAAGACAUAAUAUAAUCAAUUAAUACAUAUAUGACAUAUGUAUUUAAAUUUUGUAUAACCACUAAUUACUUGUCGGUUCUUCAAAAUAAAUAUACUUAAUUAUUUACUUAUUGCAUAGAUGAUAUGGUACUUUAGAGGUAUUCUAAAAUAUCUCUUAUGCCCUUCUGUUCAUUUUCAACUACUAGUCAAUGAAGUGGCAUUUUACAUGUUGAUAUGGUGCCUCGCAAAAACUCUUCUGUUUCGAGAUUGAUGAUCCCAUGGAAAUGGUACAAGUAUCUCUUCUAAUGGUAUUUUACAGGUUGUUGAUGAAAAGUUGCAUGUGUUUUAGAAGACUAAUGGUAUUUGCAUUUUACUUGCACAUUCUAGUAAAAUCAGCUAUACAUGGAUUCUCUUUGGAUGAAUUUGGAUGAAAGCUCGUUUAAUUCCUCUAUUUUUAGGUUAGUAUCUUUUUAGUCACUAUAUAUUUAGAAAUACCUCAAAACAUCUCUAUUGUUAAAUUAUUGACACUCCUGCCGUUACUUUUUGUUCUUUUUAGCUUGCUUUUACAUAUUACUCUCUCGCAAUAAUGUUUAUUUUUUGGACAUUAAUAAAAAUAAAUAAAUUAUCAAUUUAAUCCCAAAAUAUUAAUGUAGAACAUUCUGCUGAGAAGUUAAUAUAUUUAUGUUUUUAUUAAUGUCCAAAAAAGUUUGUAAUUUAAUUUAUUUUACAAUAUUACUUUUUUUUACAUAUGUGAGCUUUUAGAAAAAUUAGUGUAUAUAUGUGUGUGUGUGUGUGUCAUUUUUAGGUUUAAAUUGAUAAUUUAUUUAUUUUUUAUUAAUGUCCAAAGAAAUUAUUGUAAAAGGGUAAUAUUAUAGAAGUUAAAAAGAAUAAAAAAUAAAAAGGCAGAUGUGUCAAUAGUUUAACUGGUAGUGUCGUUGAGGUGCACUAAAUUUAAAACCUUACCACUAAUAUAAAUAAUUAGUACAGAGCGAGUAAGGAUCGAUCCCACAGAGACUAUGCUAGUUGUAUUUAUUAUCAACUCUAAAGCAAGAUUUAAAAUAAAAUAAUAGUAGUAAUAAUAAUAGUAAUAAUAAUAUAAAUUAAUCUAACUAAAGAAAAUGCCAAUUAUAAAUAAAAGGGGGGAUUUAUGAAUUUUUAACUAAAUAGUAAGAAAUAAAAAAAACUAAAAUUACGAACAAAAAUUUAAUAAAAACUCUAAUUAAAGGAGAAAGAAAUAAUAAUGAUAAAAACUUUAGUUAAAGGAUCAUUCGCCACCACCAAACAUGCACAUAAUAUAUCAAUUCAAUCAUCAAUUUAUAUUGAAACUAUCAAUCGUAAACAACAAUAAGCUCUGUUAGUCUCAAUAUUUCCUUAGUGUGUCGUUAGGCAAAACAAGCUCUUCACCUAAUCUCUAACUAUUAAAUAAUUUAAAACAAGCUCUUUAAAUUUAAGUUAAUGGAAGCAUUAAACAAAGAAAGAUAUUAGGUUGAUCUAAACAAUAAACACACAAGCUCGGAUUAUUUAACCUAGGUUAUGUUCUCCAAUUGAAAUCACUGAUUCCAACCUGCUACUAAUGAUUAAAAUAUCAAGACAAUUACGGAUCAAGAAUUUUAAUCUAGCAAUAGAAUUUAUUCAAGUUCUAUCUAAUUGGCCACUCAAACAAGACAAGAAUAAACCAUGAACAUUAAUUAUAGAAGAACAUAAACAAUCUAAAUUAAAUAAAUUGAAUGAUAGAAAUUAAAAAUUAAUCAUGUGACAUAUUCGGGGUUUUGAAUUCACCCUCAACCAAAUAAAAAUCUAGCCUAACACAAUUGAAUUGAGAAUAAGAUAAUUGACAAAACCAAUCAUGGAGAUUAAUUCAAGCGACUGCCUUUGCUUUAAUUUAAUUCCGACUGCUGAUUUUUUUCUUCUCCUUGCGGCUGCUGAUUUUCCUCUGCCCGAAUUGCGUCUGCCCUCUUCUCUCUCGCUCUCUGGCAGCUCUCCUUUUAUAAUGCUAGUCGACCAAAUUCUUCUCCAACAAUUCUAAAGAAAUCCUUUUUCAAUUCUAAUUGAAAUCCUUUUCCAAUUUAACGCCACCAAAAGCCAUUAAUUCCAUCUUUUGAAAGUCAAUUGCGGGCCCAUUUAAAUUGCUUUCCACUUUUGCAAUGCCAUGCACGUGCACUCCAAUUGCCAAUUGGAAAAAUUAAAUCUUUUAAUUAUUCAACAUUUCUCAAUUGGAUUAAUUGCUUUGAUUUCUUCCACUCGGUUCUAUCAAUUCUUGACUAUAUUUUUGUCUUCCAAUUUAAUCUUUAUUCCUUUUCAAUUUGAAUUUCUUCAUGCCUUUUUUAUCCACAAUCUCCAAUUAAUUCCCUAUUCAAUAAAAUCAACUAAAAGAACUAGAAUAUUUAAGAUCAAAACAAGAAAAAGAUGGAGAAAUUAAUAACAAAAUAUAUGGAAAAUAUGCACUUAUCAUUAAUUGCAUGGAGUUUUGAUGUAUUCUUAAAAAUAUAAGUUACUAACCUCAAAAUAUAGGGAUUAAAAGAGUUUUUACGUAUUCUUUUCAAUACACUCUGACUUGUAUUCUGUAUGUUUCUGUUCACUGUAGGACCAUUAUAAAGAAAUAUCAACAUCGUUGAUUAUUCUAAACACAUGGAUUGGCAGGUUAGAAUUCCCUCAUGAAAAAUAUGACUACUUUUUGCGUUCUGGUUUGGGUUCAUGGUUCCUUUUCUUCAUUCUUAAUUUUUAUGACUUCCACAAUAAAUUUCGCUAGUUGAAAUAAUAUUAAAUUGUACAACAUACACACACACACACAUAUGUAUAUUGCUUAUUACUUCGGAGUACUUAGGAUAUUUUCUUGUAUGGGUUGAUCUUAACAUAAUUCUAAAGUGUUUUUAGUUACUGCAAGAAAUUGAACGAAUUAAACUAAAAAAAUAAAAGAAAUAAAUAUUAUGUAGUUUUCAUUUUGAGAUAUAUUAUAAUGAAAGGAUCAUCUACUUGUGUUAGCUUUGUUUAGUUUUAAAAAUCUCAUGUCACUUAAAGUCAUGUAUAUUAUUAGCCAUUUAUACUUUCUCUUGUUUUUAUAUUCAUAAUAAUCCUCCAAAUGCACAUUAUUGUAUUUGUCAACAUGCUUCAAGAAAAUAAGGUCAAGGCAACAUGAUUAUAACAAUGUGUUAGAGUGUUCUAUUUGCAACAUGAUUAUAACAACGUGCUAGAGUGUUCUAUUUAUUUAAUGUCAAGAAAAGUAGCUGCUAAAUUCUAGAAGCAGCCCAUUUUGGACAAAGAAAAAUCAAAGAGGGCUGCAGCAUCUUUGAAGAAGUAAAAUUGGCGGCACACGGUUUUGACGUUGAAGAAGCCAAAAUGUAAGAAAAAUGGUGGUGUUGUAGCAAAUUUUGACAAGAAAAAUAAAUAAAAUAAUAGCCAAUUUUGGCUAUAAAAAGAGAGCUCCCCAUUUGGUUUUGGCAUCUAAUUUCUUUAUCUCAUUUUCUUCUUCCUUAUAGAGAGCUAAGAAUUGAGAGUAUAGAGUUUUAAUAACUCUUGUGUUAGUAGUGAUUUGAGAGUUUGAGUUUAUUGGUGUUUGGGUAGUGAGUUAAAAUAUUACAAUACUUGUAAUUGCUUUUCACUAGUAAAAUAUUUUCCUUCUAUUUUCGCCCGUGGACGUGGGCUAAAACUGAACCACAUAAAUUUUUGUGUCCUCUGUGCGUGUUUGUUCUUCAUUUUCCUCCAAUUUCAUUUUAGUUGUGCCCCUGCUUCAACCAUAGAUUUUCUAACACUAAUAUCAAAGCUACUGGUUGUAUUUUUAGAGUCGCGGUAUUAUUUCACAUAUAUAGUAUUCUCGUGAAAUGGUGGGAGCCAAUCCUAACUAAAGUAGUUCAUUGUAAAAAGUGAUGACGGUAAAAUACGAAAUUAAGAAGUUCAGCGAAAAUAAUUUCUCGUUGUAGAAAAUGAAGAUGAAGGUUGUAUUGAGGAAAACUAAUUACUUGGUAGCAAUUAGAGAAAGACCCACGAAUAUAACUGAUGACAAGUGGAAUGAGAUGGACGGCAAUGUAAUUGCUUAUCUACACCUGGCACUUGCAGAUGGGAUGUUAUCUAGUAUGGCAGAGAAAAAGAUAGCUAAGGAAAGAUGGGAUACUCUUACAAAAUUGUACGAGGUCAAGUCACUGCACAACAUGAUCUUCUUAAAGUAGAGAUUUUAUCCUCUUCGAGUAGCGGAAUCUACAUCGGUGACCAACCAUAUCAACACAUUGAAGACUCUAUUUUCACAUAUCAACUCAUCAUUAAUCUGACAAACAACAACCAAGCAGACAGUCUAGCUUUCGAUGAUGUUGCAGCCUCCAUAUUAAAUGAAAGCAGGCGGAAAAAUAAGGAAGAUAGGCAAGCAAGUUCGCAACAAGCAGAAGUACUAUCGGUGACAAGAGAGAGACCAACGGAACGUGGUCCCAAUGGGAGUUACAAUCAUGGUAGAUCAAAAUCAAGAAGUAAGAAUAAUGUCAAAUGCUACAAUUGUGGUAAGAAAGGGCAUGUCAAAAAAGAUUAUUGGAACAACCAGAAGAGACGAGAGGGUAUAGUUCUUGUAUCAUCAAAUGCUCAGGGAUGUGUAGUAAGUACCUUAAAUGAUGGCGAAAUUCUCUACAGCAAGGCAACAACUAUUUCAAAAGACAGAAAACAACUAUAUAAUGUCUGGCUUAUAGAAUUGGGAGCUACCUAACAUAUGAACUCUUGGAGAGAGUUGUUCCACUGUUAAAAUAAAAAUGUUUGAUGGUACAGUUCGCGCAAUUAAGGAUGUACGACACGUCAAUGGCCUAAAUCAAAAUCUAUUAUCCUUAGUACAAAUAGAUAGUCAUGGGUACAAAACUCAUGUGGAAAAUAUGAUCAUGAAGAUAGUUAAGGGCGCACUUGUAUUAAUGAAGGCAGAAAUGAUUGGUGCUAAUCUAUUCAUGCUUAAAGGAAAAACACUACAGAAAGUUGAUGCGUGUGUCGCAUCAAAUGGAGAAGAGUGACGAUGAUGUGACAUUUCAAGCCUAGCCAAAUGUCAGAAUAAGGUUUGAAGAUUUUCUCUGAGCAAAAAUUGCUUCCAGGUCUCAAAUUGGUAAACUUACCAUUUUGCGAGCAUUGUGUUAGAAAUAAGCAGCAUAAAUUGAAGUUAAGCAGAUCUGUUGCUAGAAGUAAAUGCAUUCUAGACUUGGUUCAUUAUGAUAUUUAGGAAUCACCAGAUAUGUCCAUGGGAGGUGCAAAGUACUUGUUGACUUUUAUUGAUGAUUAUUUCAAGAGAUGUUGGGUGUAUGUAAUCAAGAAAACAUCAGAUGUGUUUCUGGUAUUCAAAUGGUACAAAGCGCUGGUAGAACUUGAAUUCAAAAAGAGGAUAAAGUGCUUGAUGACAAAUAACGGUGGAGCGUAUACAAAUGACAAGUUUAUUGCAUAAAAUAAGCAAAAAGAUUUUCAGAAGCAGUUCACAGUGGCAUACACUUCCCAACAUAAUAGAGUGGCAGAGCGGAUGAACAAACUUUUAUAGAAAUAAUAAGAGAUAUGUUGAGGACUGUUGGUCUACCCAUCUUAUUUUGGGCAGAAGCAGCCAAAACUGUUUGUUAUAUAGUAAAUUGGUCGACAUCCACAGCAAUUAGGUUAAAGACAUUGAUGGAGAUGUGGACAAGAAAGCUAGUUGAUUACUCUCACCUACAUAUAUUUGAAUGUCCUGUGUACAUGAUGUACAAUGCCCAAGAAAAAAUAAAGUUGGAUCUAAAAUUUAUAUGGUGUAUCUUCUUGGGGUAUGCUGAUGGAGUAAAUUGUAUUAUCUGUAGGACCCCACUGCCCACAAGAUAGUCAUCAGCAGAGAUGUUAUCUUUAUAGAUGAUCAACUACAAAGAGAGAUAAGGAUGAUAGCACUGUAAAAGAAAAGUCAAAGACUGUGCUGGUAUAUGUUGAAAAUAAUCUGGAAAAAAAGAUUCAGAUUCUUCUGAAGCAACACCAAAGCACGAUGAACAAUAACCAGUUGAGUCCGAGGCUCGAGAAGUUCGUUAGUUAACUCGUGAGAGACGAUCGCCAAUGUGGCACUCAAAUUAUGUCACAAAGAUCAAUGUUGCAUGCCGUCUUCUGAUAGAGGAUAGAGAACCAUAAACUUUCUAUGAAACUUUAAGUAACUCAGAUUUUGCUUUGUGGAUGACAGUAAUGGAGGAAGAAAUUGAGGCUCUACACAAGAAUAAAACAUGGCAACUUGUACUACUACCAUUUGGAAGAAAAACCAUUGGAAAUAAAUGGGUCUACAAGGUCAAGCGUGAUGACAAUGAAUAAAUGGAGCGGUAUUGUAAAAGAUUGGUCGUAAAAGAAAAUGCUCAUAAAGAAGGAAUUGACUUCAACGAGAUAUUUUCUCCGGUGGUUCAACUCACAACAGUCAGAUUAAUCUUGGUGAUGUGUGCUACAUUUGACCUAUAUCUAAAGCAGUUAGAUGUGAAAACUGCAUUUCUUCAUGGAGAACUUGAAAAAGAAAUUUAUAUGCUCCAACCCGAAGGUUUUGCUGAAAAGGGCGGAGAGAACUUGGUUUUCAGGUUGAAAAUUUUUCUAUACGGUCUCAAACAAGUGCCAAGGUGUUGGUAUAAGAGAUUUAAUUCCUUUAUCAUGAGCUUGGAUACAACAGACUUAGUUCAAACCAUUGUGCAUAUUACAAGAGGUUUGAAGAUAAUGAUUUCAUCAUUUUGCUAUUGUACGUAGAUGACAUGUUGGUAACAGGCCCCAACAAAGAUCAAGUCUAAGAAUUAAAAGCACAGUUGGCUAGGGAGUUUGAAAUGAAGGACCAGCAAAUAAGAUUCUAGAGAUGCAAAUUUACCGAGACAGAAAUAAUAAGAAGAUUUGGCUUUCUCAGAAGAAUUACUUGAGAAAAUCUUGUGGCACUUCAACAUACAAGAUUGUAAGCCAAUUUAUACCCCACUUCCUAUUACUUUCAAGUUAUCCUCAAAUAUAUGUCCAAGCAAUGAAGCAGAGAGUAAGGAAAUGUCUCGAGUACCAUAUGCAUCAGCAAUGGAAAGUUUAAUGUUCGCUAUGAUAUGUACAAGAAUGGACAUUGCACAAGCAAUAAAAGUAGUUAGUCGACACAUGGAGAAUGCUAGUGGAGAACAUUGGAAAAUUAUGAAGAGGAUUUUGAGAUAUAUCAGAGGAACCUCAGAUGUUGCAUUAUGUUACGGAGGAUCAGAGUUUAUUGUCAGGGGCUAAAUGAAUUCAGAUUUUACAAAAGACCUUGAUAAAAGGAAAUCCACUACUGGCUAUGUGUUUACACUUGCAGAAGGAGCUAUAAGUUGGGUUUCAAAACUACAGACCGUUGCGGUUUUAUCUACAACAGAAGUAGAAUACAUGGCAGCUACACAAGCUUGCAAGGAAACUAUUUGGAUACAAAGAUUAUUGGAGGAGCUCGGACACAAAUAAGAAAUUUUUUUUGUAUUUUGUGACAGUUAGAGUGCCUUGCAAAUUGCAAGAAAUCCAGCCUUUCAUUUCAGGACAAAGCACAAGGGGUACAAUACCACUUUGUUCGAUAAGUAGUGGAAGACGAAAGUGUGGAUUUGCAGAAAAUUCAUACUAAAGAGAACCUAGCAGAUGUUUUACCAAGCCAAUCAAUGUUGACAAGUUUGUAUGGAGUAGAUUCGCUUGUGACCUAGCAGAGACAUAAGCAAUAUGACAAUCGAAGUGGGAGAAUGUCAAGAAAAUUAGCUGCCAAAUUUUAGAAGCAGCUCAUUUUGAACAAAGAAAAAUCAAAGAGGGCUGCAACAUCUUUGAAGAAGUACAAUUGGUGGCACGCGACUUUGACAUUGAAGAAGCUGAAAUGUAAGAAAAAUGGUAGUGCUGCAGAAAAUUUUGAGAAGAAAAAUAAACAAAUCUUGUGUUAUUAGUGAUUUGAGAGUUUGGGGGUAUUGAGGUUUUGGGUAGUGAGUUAAAAUACCACAAUACUUGUAAUUUAUUUUCACUAGUAAAAUAUUUUUCUUCUGUCUUCGUCCAUCGAUGUAGGCUAAAAACCGAACCAUGUAAUUUUUUGUGUCCUCUAUGUGUGGUUGCUCUUUAUUUUAUUCCAAUUCAUUUUAGCUGUAGUCCUGCUUCAGCCAUCGAUUUUCUAACAUUUCAUUCAUUCAAUCUGUAAAAAUCAUUUCCAUAAAAAUCUAAUCCAUGGAUUGAUGGAUUUGAUUAGAUUAAAUUUUUUUUAAAAUCCACAUUCAAUGAAUUAGAAAUAGAUUUGCUUCUACAAAUUUAUAAAAAUCAGCAAAUUAUAUAUAUAUAUAAAAUUUAAAAAUGUUAUACUAUUAAUAAAUAAAUAGGUUAAAAUUUAGUUAGGGUGGACAUUGACAACAAUUAAUUAUGUAAGCUUUCAAUUUUCAACUUUUUUAUUGAUUUAAUUUUAAAAUUUAAGUUAGUUUUCAUUCAUUGAUCUAAAACAUCAAGAUUUUUUCUUUUGGUGGGCUAAAGUUCGAAACUUUGAAUGGCAUCCUUAAAAAACAAAUGGUUUUUCAGAAGUGGUCGUGACGUGUCAUCACGUCCCAUCUAUCCUACACGGAAGUUGAAACCAAUUACUCCAGCGUUUUCAUAAUUUUUUUAAAGAAAGAAUAGGGAGUAAAGAUGAAAUGGUAUAUGGCUUCAAAAUUAUGCUUCUUUAGGAACGUACGUUGAUUGAUUUAACAGAUGUUGGGUGAUAUAUCGCGUUCCUAAACAAGUACUUAAACUAUUGAUUUAUUUAAUCUUUUUAAAUUUGAAUUUGAUUGGUAAUAAAAUUAUUUUUGUAUUAAAAUAUUUAUUUAAUUAUUUUAUAAAUAGAUAGAAAGAAAUUUUUUUUAAUUGAUAUCGAAUUCACAAAAGUGCAAUGGGAUAUAAAUUAUGUCAAAUCCACAUUAAAUUCUUAGAGUUAUGAAUUAAAUUUGGAUUAAUUUCAUUAAUUCAUGAAUUGGGUGAGAUUGAAAAUUUAUAACGAUUUUACACCUAUUGUCAUUUAUUAGAAUUUUUUCACAACGCGCUUUUGUAGGACGUUGUGAAAUUGAAAGCCCAUUGAAGAGUUUAUAACAACAUUCUUUCGUUUGUUGUCAAAUAUUAAAAUUAUUUUACAACACACUUUCACCAACCGUUGUUAAAUGGAAGUUUUCUGAAAUUUGUACAAAUUAUCACAAUCUACCGAUACAUUAAAAUUCAUUAUCUAUUUAGACAGUAGAUACAUACAUUUGUACUAUAUAGCCCGGAAAUCUGCUCCCACUAACUUUUGAGUUGACAUCUACCUGCCCAGUCUACUUUUUGUUGAUAAUCAUUUUGUAAUUUAUUAAUUUGUUUUCCGCAAAAGUACUUUAUAACUGUAACAAAUAGAAUUUCGAUGUUAGUCCUCAACAUUAAGAUAUUGUUUGCAACUUUGUAUGCCUUUUUUUCCUUAAACUUAGUUUGUAUAUUCUUAUUUCUCCAUAAAACAAGAUUUUAAUGUAAUAAAUAGAACUUUUAUUAGUAGAAUUGAAUUUAUGAAUUUCUUGUUAUUUCUGCGUGCAUUUAUUGUGUAGUUUAUAGAAAGACUCUUUAAAAAAUUUGUAUGCAGGAAAAAAAAAGAUAAAUAAAAAAAGAUUAUACAACAUUCAUCCGAAUGUAUGGAUGAUGUAUGUGUCUUCUGGUUCAAUAUUGACCUCGUUCGCACAGUAUGAUGUACGCCCCCCCACCCAAAAAAAAAAAGAAUAAAAUAUCUUUGUACUAUUAAGACUUAAAAAUUAAACGCUUUCAAAACUCAGAAAAAAUGAGUAAGAAAAAUCAAUCACAUGAGCUUCUUCUCUGCCUAUAUAUAUAUAUAUAUAACCUCGUACAUCACCACAAACCAUAGAUUAAUUUGAGAAUCCUUGCCAAGUAUAACUGUAAGCUAGCUUACACUACAUCUAUAUAUCCAAUGUCUUCUUGCAUUAAUCCCUCAACCUUGGCUACCUCUGUAAAUGGUUUCAAAUGUCUUCCUCUUGCAACAAAUAGAGCAGCCAUCAGAAUCAUGGCAAAAAAUAAGCCAGUCCAAUGCCUUGUCAGCGCCAAAUAUGAUAAUUUGACAGUUGAUAGGAGAUCAGCAAACUACCAACCUUCAAUUUGGGACCAUGAUUUUUUGCAGUCACUGAAUAGCAACUAUACGGUAUUGAUUAUUAUUAUUAUUAUUACGUAUAAAUUUCCUUUGUUCAUUUCAAAUUAGGACCAUGAAUAACUAAAAACUAUAUGCUGUGCAUGUACAGGAUGAAACAUACAAAAGACGAGCAGAAGAGCUGAAGGGAAAAGUGAAGACAGCGAUUAAGGAUGUAACCGAGCCUCUGGAUCAGUUGGAGCUGAUUGAUAAUUUGCAAAGACUUGGAUUGGCUUAUCAUUUUGAGCCUGAGAUUCGGAACAUAUUGCGUAAUAUCCACAACCAUAAUAAAGAUUAUAAUUGGAGAAAAGAAAAUCUGUAUGCAACCUCCCUUGAAUUCAGACUACUUAGACAACAUGGCUAUCCUGUUUCUCAAGGUACCUUUCAUUAGUUCGCUUACUUUGUCAUGCACAUGCAAGAUCCGAAUAUUUGAAUCGAUCUCUCUGUUUAUCUUAUUCAUUCCUUUUAAAUGUAAAAAAGUGGACAAAACCCAAAUCAAUUUUUUAACUCUCUAUCUCCUGAGAAAUUCGAACUCGACAAGGCCGCUGGGGACACUUAAAUCAUUCUCUAAUUAACAUAUAUGUGCAAAAGUUUUGAUGAAUAUAAUUUUUUUUUUUCGGUUGAGCACUGCAGAGGUUUUCAGUGGUUUUAAAGACGACAAGGGAGGCUUCAUUUGUGAUGAUUUCAAGGGAAUACUGAGCUUGCAUGAAGCCUCGUAUUACAGCUUAGAAGGAGAAAGCAUCAUGGAGGAGGCCUGGCAAUUCACCAGUAAGCAUCUUAAAGAAAUGAUGAUCAUCAGCAACAGCAAGGAAGAGGAUGUAUUUGUAGCAGAACAAGCGAAGCGUGCGCUGGAGCUCCCUCUGCAUUGGAAAGUGCCUAUGUUAGAGGCAAGGUGGUUCAUACACGUUUAUGAGAAAAGAGAGGACAAGAACCACCUUUUACUUGAGCUCGCUAAGUUGGAGUUUAACACUUUGCAGGCAAUUUACCAGGAAGAACUUAAAGACAUUUCAGGGUAUCUAUGCCUUGAUUGCAUAACUCAUAUAUAUUCCAAAGAUUUGAUUUUAUCGAAUAGAUAACUUGUACUAUUUAAUCAUAUGUAUAUUAAAUUAUUCUCAAGUGCAGACUCCGCCUUUUACAACAGUAUAAAGGCGCCAGCCUACACUUUAUAUAAUUGUAUAUUAAAUUAUGCCAAACGUUUGCAUUAAAGAAUCUCGAACUAGAAGAUGACUCUAUAUGUAAAUGCAUUGUAAAGCCACAAGUCAUGUGCUUUAUAAAAUGAGAAUGCUUGUAUCAGAGAAAUAUUCUUCAGAAUUCCAGACAGAAAGCUGAUUCUAUAUAUACAGAUAUAUAAAACAUUUGUCGUAAUAUUCGUUUUAAUUUUCCUAUGAAGGUGGUGGAAGGAUACAGCCCUUGGAGAGAAAUUGAGCUUUGCGAGGAACAGGUUGGUAGCGUCCUUCUUAUGGAGCAUGGGGAUCGCGUUUGAGCCUCAAUUCGCCUACUGCAGGAGAGUGCUCACAAUCUCGAUAGCCCUAAUUACAGUGAUUGAUGACAUUUAUGAUGUCUAUGGAACAUUGGAUGAACUUGAGCUAUUCACUGAUGCUGUUGAGAGGUUUGUUGGCAAAUUAAUAAUUCAACUGCUACCUAGCUGCAUGGUACUUCUCAAUUUAUUAAUAGACCGUUUAUGUGAUUUUUUUUUUUCCUUGCAGGUGGGACAUCAAUUAUGGUUUGAAGCACCUUCCGGGCUAUAUGAAAAUGUGUUUUCUUGCGCUUUACAACUUUGUUAAUGAAUUUGCUUAUUACGUUCUCAAACAACAGGAUUUUGAUAUGCUUCUGAGCAUUAAAAAUGCAGUACGUGAAAUAUUAAUUUGAUCUCUCUCCCUGUUCCUUUCCUUUGAUUUAUCCUUUUUAAAUUACGAUGUUCUUUUUUUCUCAAAAAUUAUAAACCGUAACUAGAUGUAUAUUUUCUGUGCCAUGUGCAUCAGUGGCUUGGCUUAAUACAAGCCUACUUAGUGGAGGCGAAAUGGUACCAUAGCAAGUACACACCGAAACUGGAAGAAUACUUGGAAAAUGGAUUGGUAUCAAUAACGGGCCCUUUAAUUAUAACGAUUUCAUAUCUUUCUGGUACAAAUCCAAUCAUUAAGAAGGAACUGGAAUUUCUAGAAAGUAAUCCAGAUAUAGUUCACUGGUCAUCCAAGAUUUUCCGUCUGCAAGAUGAUUUGGGAACUUCAUCGGUAUGUCUUUUUUUUUUUUUUUUAAGACGACAGAAAUUGAAUUAAUCCUCUAUAUAUGAAUUGAUUGUAUUUUUUUCCCCGAUAAUCAUCAGGACGAGAUACAGAGAGGGGAUGUUCCAAAAUCAAUCCAGUGUUACAUGCAUGAAACUGGUGCCUCGGAGGAAGUUGCUCGUGAACACAUCAAGGAUAUGAUGAGACAGAUGUGGAAGAAGGUGAAUGCAUACACAGCCGAUAAAGACUCUCCCUUGACUCGAACAACUACUGAGUUCCUCUUGAAUCUUGUGAGAAUGUCCCAUUUUAUGUAUCUACAUGGCGAUGGGCAUGGUGUUCAAAACCAAGAGACUAUCGAUGUCGGUUUUACAUUGCUUUUUCAGCCCAUUCCCUUGGAGGACAAAGACAUGGCUUUCACAGCAUCUCCUGGCACCAAAGGCUGAUGAUGAAUUAUAAUGCACGAUGCGUUGCGAAUUCCCAGAGAGUGCAGUUUCAGUUGAUGUUGGCCUCCGCUUUUCUUUCUUCUGAGGGAUCUCUUUUCGAUAAUAAAAUAAAUUCCCUCAUUCAUCAAGGUUUAUAAAUGAAAAAGAAAUGAUAUAUACAUAUAUGUUACUUUUAUUGAGAAUAAAAGUCUUCAGGAUAUGCAAAUACUUAAGUCAGGCUCAUUCUAAUUCCUACAAGAUAAUUAUUUGCUAGCUAAAACAUGAGAACGACUGAAUUUGUUCUGCAUGCAGUUAUACUUGAUUAUUCAAGGAUGGUUCAUAGCAUUUUUAGCACAAGGGAUACUUUCAGUAUCCAUGCAUACGGCAAAUCAUACUCAUGAAAAAUGGCAUUGUGCAGCUAACAGUGACAAACGCAAUCCGCAGUCUGUUAAAUGAGGAUAGAAAUAAGAGCGGUGGCAUUUAAAGAAAAAAGUUACAAGAAUCAAAAAGUAAAAAUAACCAAUUAAAAAAAAAUGAGUUCCUAAUGUGAGGAAAGAUUGAAAUGGAGAAAAACCCUAAUCCACCUAUGGCUGACGACCGUUCCACAAAGAAAGCAGAUUUAAGGCUCAAGGGGAAGAUGGUGACAAUCCUCAGCCUCCUUCCUUUCGUGAUAAACCGAUGUCAACACAAAGGGUGGAUGAAGGAGUGUUUUUUGAUAGCGGGGAAUAUUUGGCAGUUGAACCGGAAGGUGUGGUUUUUGAGUGUGCAGACAAUUUUCACUCCAUUUCUUUUUCACAGAAAAGUACAUGCUCAACUAAUGAAGCCAUGGCAAUACACGGUGGUGGUCAAGCUUUUGGGUCUUCGCAUAGGUUACCGGACGCUGUGCAACCGCUUGGAAACUAUCUGGAGCUCGACCCAAGGGUUUUCUGUAAUUGACCUUGAGAAUGAUUAUUAUAUUGUUCGUUUCAGAACAGAGAGGGAUGUGGAGUUCGCUUUGACGCAAGGCCCUUAGGCUCCGUUUGGUACAACUUAUUAAAUAGAGCUUAUAACAGUAGAGUUUAUAGCAGUAGAGCUUAUACCAAUAGAGCUUUUGGACAAAAAGUCAUUGGGUGUUUGGUUGUCAAUAAAAAAAGUACUUUUGAAUCAUUAAAUUGUGUGAUAUUUUUUAUAUUAUAUAAUUUGUGGAAAAGCUCUCUAACUUCUACUCCCAAAAUCUCAAAUUUUGGGCUUUUGCUAGUAGAGGUAAAUUAGCUUAUUUAAGCUAAAAAAACUCUACUAAAAAAAUAACCAAACACCAUAAAAAUUUUAAAAAAGUGCUUAUGCGAUUAAAUAAGCACUUAUGCCUCUUAAAUAAGCCAUACCAAAUAGGCACUUAGACUAUUCUGGGGCACUAUCUAACAGUGAAGCCAUGGACUCCCCAUUUUGAUAGUUCGGCAGCAGUGAUUGAAUAUGUUAUAGCCUGGAUCUGCUUACCAGGCAUGGCCCUACAUUACUACAAUAAGAAAAUUCUUCGAAUGUUGGGACAAAUUUUCGGGAGAGUUUUUAAAACUGAUUACAACACUGAAUCCGCAUCCAGAGACAAAUUUGGUCGUCUUGCUAUUGAAAUUGAUCCAAACAAGCCCUUAAUUUCUCAAUUUUUUCUGGAUGGCAAGCUACAAAAGGUGGAAUAUGAAGGACUCCCUAAUACUUCCUUCCUAUGUGGUAAAUAUGGCCAUAGCAAGGACAUCUGCCCUAAUCGAACGGAAGAAGAUCAUGCCUUAGGAUUCCAGCCACAUUUGGACGGAGCUAAUGAAUCUGUUGAAAUGAACUCAAACUUGGUAAACGAUUUGUCGUUUAGAGGUUUAAAAAGUCAAGUGACAUGUUGUUUCAAUUGGUCAUGGAUCCAGAACCGACAACUUCGUGCUGUCGUCCAAGAUCAUUAAACUCUCACGUGAUUAACAUAAACUUGUUUUAAAGCUUAAACGACAUGCCUUAUCGUCGUUUAAGGCAGGCUUUAAGUUGCUUGUGGUCAAGAAGUUAAGUUUGUUAGUUUUGGAGGGAAUCUUUUGGAUCUGUAACGCCAGUAGCAGCUGAUAUAUAUGUUGGUUAUGAUUUCAUCUAGAUCUAUCGAAUUGAGAGUGAUAAGGAAGCCUUAGAGAGAGUGGAACUUUUCUGAGUGUUCUCUGUAUUGGGCUUAUCAUCUAUGUAACCUUUGAAGCUUAAUAAAGUGGCUCCCUGAGUUUAUUUUCCCCGAUGAAUGUAGGCAAUGUAACAAGUGCUGAAUCACUUAAAUUGUUUUGUGUUUUUGAUUCUUUGUGUUGUUAUUCUUUGAUCUGGUGAGUGUUACGACUUGUGUUGAUUUGUUUCUUAAUCUUGGAGUCCUAACUAGAUCUAGGGGGCAAGAUCAAUUCGAUAUCAAAGGGUUUGUUUCACAACAGAAUCAUCGGUGCAGGACGUCAGGGAGGGAUAUGGGAAUUUGCCUAGGUUUGGUGGAACACCCCAAAAAUUACCCAUGAAAACACAAGGGUAAAAUUGGAAUGAAACCUCAUAUCAUUUAUUUUUAUUAAUAAAUCUCAAGAUAGACAAUCAUUAUUCAUACUCCAACUGAAUCCUUAUAUAAAACAUCUGAAAUAAAGUCUCCAAAGAAAAAUCUCUAAUCCAAAAUAAAAAGUUCAGCCAAAUUUAAUAUUUAAAGCAACUCUAAAGAUCCACUAAGAAAAAUUCUUCAUCUAAGCACCUAAGCCACAUUUCUAAUCAAAUCUGCAAAAUAUUGGAGAUGAGGAGUGAGCUGUCAACUCGGUAAGCAAAUCCAUGCACAAUAUUUGAAAACCUUUGUCAUAUAUCUUUAAACAUUUUAUAACAACAUCUUCAUUUAGCAUAAGAGGUGGAUUCAUGUAAAGUAUUAAAAACAUUAAAACAUUCAUAAAAAAGAUUAAAACAUAAAUAUUUGGUAGCUCAUGCCUCGUAGUCAUCAUCAUUCAUCAUUCAUCAUUCGUCAGUUAGGGUGUUAUACCCCGUAUUGUUCCUCAUUCAGGGUACUAUACCCCGCAUUGUUCAUAAUAUCCUUGUGCACAAGAUCAUCACCAUACCAGCAAGCUGGCCAUAACAUUACAUAACAUCAUAACAUUUGUAUUGUAUACAUUACUACGGACUAUGAGCUAAAACAUUUUUGAAUCCACCUUACAUCCUUUCAUAAAUAGCAUUUAAAGUCUUCUAAAACAUUUAAGAACCUUUCUUUGAUCAUUUAAUUCUUUUAGAAAAUUCUUUAAGAAAACAUUUUGUUUAAGAAAACUAAUUUCUUAAGAAAAAUUUAUUUUAAAACACAUUUUUAUAAAUUCAUUUAAAAGUGUUUUUAUUUUACAAAAUUCAUUUAAAUAUUUUAGAAAUCAAUUUUUCUAAAAAUCUCCAUUUAAACAUAAUUCUUAUAACAUAAAUUGCAUUUAUUAUAAAGCACAUCAUGCGUGAAUCUACUUACCUCAAUCCGCAGCAAUCAACCCAAUACCUUAAGAACAAACCAACGAGCUCACCCACGUCCUAUAAUCAUAAUAAAAAUAUCUUUAUCAAUAUAAUCUCUAACCUUAAACAUAAUCUCAAUCAUCCUUAAUUCAUAGGCACUUAUACUAGCUCAAUACUUAUUCAUAUUCUAGACAUAAGUAUGAGUAUCUUGCACAUGCUGAUUUUUAAUAACCUAUACACAUGUCGGAAAAUCAUGAAAAUUUACAGAGGCACUGUGAACAUGCAUAACAUUGCAUACAAUAUUUCACAAAGAUCAGCACAAGUCAAAAUCAAGUCAGAAUAUUGACCUUUCACCAAAGUAACAAAAUUGUCCAGCAUUGACCAAAGCAAACCUUUACCACUUAGGAAAUUCAUAAAAUAUUCUUUAGUAAUUGAAAUAAUAUGUUUCUUUUUUUCUAAUUACAGAAGACACAUUCAGAAAGCAUAUAAUUAAAAUUCAUAAUUUUUGCAUAUAAUUAAAAUUCAUAAAAUUUGGACUCCUGAAACUAUUUUAAAAUGUUUUAUUUUCCGAGAACAUUUAACCCGUCCAGAAAAUUCCAGAUUUGAAAACAGAAUUUCAAAAAUUCGUAUCUUUUAUUUUACAUGCCCAAAAAUAGUGAUUCCAGUUUUUAAAGACAGAGGAAAGAUUGAAAUUUCAUUGUAAAAUCCUAACAUGGCAUGUAAUAUUCAUAAAUUAGCCCAACUGUUACACGUCUCAGCUUCUGCAAUUCUGGAAAACAGUUUCCAGAUUUGCAGCAGCCACAUGUUACGAUUUUUAAUAAUUUAACCAUAAAGAACAAAACUACGAAAUUAAACAUGUAAGCAUAGGAGACAUAGAUCUGUUGAUACAAAAAUCGACAUAAUUUUUAAGGAUGUGUAACCUUACAGAAAAAUUUCCAGAAUUGAGAACCACUGCUGAAAAUCGGAAUUUUCCAGCACCAGUAACCCAACUUCGAAAACCCAUAACAAUUUGCAUACUCAGACGAUUUCAACACAAAACCUAUCAAUGGAAAGCUUAGGAUGUCUAGUUCCAUGAUAUUUAAGCAUAUUCACGUGAUUCUAAGUGAAGAAAACAAUUUCAAGCAAGGAAUAGAGACUGUUCAUAUCAUCACAACAUUACAAAUACACAUAUAUUAUCCAAAUCAUACUACAAGUAAUUAAAGGCAAACAAUUCAUAAAAAUAAAUCAUAUAAGUCAAAGAAAUACUUAAUACCUUAAGGCAAACACUAAGAAAAGAAGUUAUAAAACUUUCUUUUCCUGCUCCAAAGACUUAUGUUUCUUUUUUUUUUUUAAGGGUUUGUAACGGUGUAAAAAAAUAAAAGACGGCUUCUUAGCACAGGAGAUUGGAGACCGAUCAAAUUGGCUUGCAAUGGUACCCCUCUGACACAUUUGUUUUUUUGCUGAUGAGCUAUUGUUGCUUGCUGAGGCGGCAUCUGGGCAAGCCAGGGUAAUUAACACAGUCUUUGAGAAUUUUUGUAAUAGCUCUGAGGCGAAGGUUAAUAAGACCAAAACUCAAGUAUUUUUUUCAAAGAACAUUAGUGAGAAGGAGAGGAACCGUAUUGGGAAAAUGCUUGGUUUCACUAUUACUAAAGAUCUUGGCAAGUAUCUUGGCAUGCCGCUUCUUCACUCCCGGGUUUCUAAGAGUACUUACUAAGAUAUUCUUGAUAAAAUGGAACAAAGGCUCUCUGGAUGGAAUGUUUCCCACUUAUCCUUGGCUCGCCGGAUUACGAUAGCCCAAUCUAUUUUGCAAGCUCUCCCUAUUUAUGCAAUGCAGUCAACCGACCUUCCUGCCGGGAUAAAACUGAAGAUAGACCAAGCAUGCAAGCGUUUCAUAUGGAGUGGUACUGUAACUUCUCAAAAACUAAGUAUGGUAAGUUGGAAUAAUAUUUGUCAGCAUAAAAUUAAUGGCGGUUUAGGCUUCAAAAGUCUGGAUGGGAUGAAUAAGUCCUUUCUCAUGAAGGUUGGUUGGGGUAUUCUUUCAUCUCCUUCAAGUCUAUGGUCCCAGGUUUUGUCAACUAAAUAUGGGGUGGAUUUAUCUGUCCUUCCUACUGAAUUGCCGUGUAGAAAUGGCUCCCACUUGUGGUAGUCGAUUGGGAAGGUUUGGACUGACGUUCUCUCAGGUGUUGCUUGGAAUAUAGGUGAUGGCACUAAAGUCUGAUUUUGGUUUGAUCGUUGGGUGAUAAAAGAAAAACCUCUGAUUUCUGAAGCUCUUUGUCCGAUACCCAAUGACAUAAUCUACAUUGUAGUGGCUAAUUUCAUAGAUAGUAAUAGUAGUUAGUGGUGGGAGCUGUUUCAACGUUAUCUACCUAAUAACAUUAUUCUGCAGAUAGCCUCUUGUGUUCUCCCUUUAGCUCAGUGUGGAAAUGACUGCUUUUAUUGGGUGAACUCUAAAAAUGGAGAUUUUUUCGGUUAAAUCCGCCUACCAUGCCAUUAGUUCCCAACGGUAUCAAGCGGAAGACAGAAUUUGGAACUUGGUGUGGCAUUGGCAGGGGCCCCAUAAUAUGAUCGCAGUGGUGUGGGAUAUCGUGAUGAUCGUUCUAGGAGUGUCCAGCAGACUUCUUGCCCUUUAUGUGGCAGGAAUCAUUAGAGCUAGUGUCGUGUUGGAGAUAGAGUUUGUUAUUUGUGUGGUCAGUUUGGACACAUCAGGAGAUUCUGCCCUACUUUAUCUAAGGGUGAUAGCUCUGCCGGAGGGACAGCCUCACGGUAUCGGCCUUAUUCUGGCCAGACUCAGGGUCAGAAAGGAGUUCAGAUAGGAGGUUCUACAUCUACCUUUAGGAGUCAGACGACUGCUCUAGGUCAGAGAGGUUAGCCUGGUCGACCUCAUACUCAGGCUCGAGUUUUUUCUUUGACGCAGCAGGAGGCACGUGCUGCACCAGAAGUUAUUAUAGGUAUAUUAUCUAUCCUUGGCCGCGAGGCUCAAAUUCUUGUUGAUCCUGGAUCCACACACUCUUUUAUUUCUCGUACUUUUGCUAUGCACAUAGCGCGAGAGCCCGAACUGCUAGAUUGUGGUUUAGUUGUUCGUACACCUACUGGAGAGUCAUUACUUACUGAGAGUGUUUAUCGAGAUUGUAUGAUGGAAUAGGUGAACAUGAAUUUGAGGCGAGUUUGAUUUCCUUAGACAUUCAUGACUUUGAUGCUAUUUUGGGCAUGGAUUGGCUUAAAUCUCAUUAUGCUACGGUGGAUUGUUUCAAAAAGGAAGUUGUGUUUAAAGAGUCAGGGAAAACUAAAGUGAAAUUCUGUGGAGAGCGCAAAGUUCUACCUUCAUGUGUUAUAUCUUCCAUUAGUGCAAGACGAUUGUUAAGAAAAGGAUGCUCAACUUAUUCAGCUAAUGUGAUAGAUACAGAAGCUCGAGAAUUGAGAUUAGAGGAUAUUGCAGUAGUCAAAGAAUUUCCAGAUGAACUUCUUGGGAUGCCACAUAACAGGGAAGUCGAGUUUUCUAUUGAUUUAGUCCCUGGAACAUCUCCUAUAUCUAUGGCACCAUACAUGAGGGCUCUAGCAGAAUUGAAGGAACUAAAGGUUCAAUUGCAAGAGUUGGUGGAGAAAGGGUUUAUUAGACCUAGUGUGUCCCCGUGGGGAGCUCCAGUCUUGUUUGUUAAGAAAAAGGAUGGGACUUUUAUACUCUGCAUCGACUAUAGGCAAUUGAAAAAAGUUACGGUACACAAUAAGUAUCCACUUCCGCAUAUUGAUGACUUGUUUGAUCAACUCCAGGAGGCGAAGGUAUUUUCUAAGAUCAAUUUGCGCUCGGGUUACCAUCAGCUUAGAAUUAAAGAUGUCGACGUUCCUAAAACAACAUUUAAAACCCGUUAUGGGCACUAUGAGUUCUUGGUGAUGCCAUUCAGAUUGACAAAUGCUCCAGCAGCCUUUAUGGAUAUCAUGAAUAGGGUAUUUCGUCCGUACUUGGAUCGGUUUGUGAUUGUAUUCAUUGAUGAUAUCUUGGUGUAUUCCUGAAGCGAGGAGGUGUAUGCAGAGCAUUUGCGGACUAUUUUGCAGACUUUGAGAGAGAAGCAAUUAUAUGCCAAGUUCAGCAAAUGCGAGUUCUGGUUGGAUAGAGUAGUAUUUUUUGGCCAUGUGAUAUCAGCAGAAGGUAUUUAUGUUGAUUCUCAAAAGAUUGAAGUAGCUGUGAAAUGGGAACGGCCUACAAAUGUCACAGAGGUUUGGAGUUUUCUUGGAUUGGCUGGUUAUUAUCGUCGAUUUGUGGAGGGAUUCUCUAAGAUUGCUACUCCUCUGACACAGUUAACCAAAAAGAAUGCUAAGCUCCAGUGGGAUGAUAACUGUGAGAAGAGUUUUCAAGAACUUAAGACAUGUUUAACCUCAGCACCAGUUCUUACACUUUCAUCUGGUAAUGAAGGAUUUGUGGUUUAAAGUGAUACCUCUAAGGAGGGAUUGGGUUGUGUGUUGAUGCAGCAUGUGAAAGUGGUGGCUUAUGCUUCUAGACAACUUAAAAAGCAUGACCUAGAACUAGCAGCAGUGGUGUUUGCACUCAAGACAUGGAGGCAUUACUUAUAUGGGGCAACAUGUUAGAUUUUCACUAAUCAUAAAAGUCUGAAGUAUUUGUUUACUCAGAAGGAAUUGAAUUUGAGACAGAGGAGAUGGAUUGAGCUAAUUAAGGACUACGAUGCACUAUUGAUUAUCAUCUGGGCAAAGCAAAUGUGGUAGCUGAUGCACUAAGUAGAAAGUCUUCUAGCUCUAUAGUUCACUUGCAAGUGAAAUAUAUGCCUCUGUUGAUCGAGUUCAGAUCUUUGGGAGUCGAGUUAAACGCUGACGAUUGUGGAACUUUGAUAGCUAAUUUUUUAGUUAGGCCGACUUUGAUUAAUAAAGUUCACCAGAUGCAAGCUCAGGACCUAUUGUUAAUGAAGUUGAAAGAGGAUGUGCAAAAAUGUUUACGAACUGAUUUUACGGUGAGAGGCGACAAAGUCUUAGUCAUGGGUAAUAGACUCGAUGUACCUAAUAUUAAAACUAUGAAAGAAGAGAUUAUGGAAGAAGCUCACUGUUCAGCAUUUGCGAUGCAUCUUGGUAGUACGAAGAUGUACCACACCCUGAGAGAUCAUUACUGGUGGCAGGGCAUGAAGAGAGAGAUAACAGAAUUUGUUUCUCGAUGUUUAGUCUGUCAGCAGAUUAAAGCUGAACACCAGAGGCCUGUAGGGUGUUAUUAGCCGCUUCCUAUUCCUUAGUGGAAGUAGGAGCACAUCACUAUGAAUUUUGUAGCAGGACUUCCACGUACUCUGAAAGGACAUGAUCAUGUUUGGGUGGUUGUUGAUCGACUUACAAAAUCUGCUCACUUCUUACCAUUCAAAAUCACCUACUCGAUGAACAAGUUGGGGAGUAUUUAUGUGGCUGAGAUAGUUUGACUUCACGGAGUACCUGUGUCCAUAGUCUCAAAUAGAGAUUCCUGGUUUACUUCUAAGUUUUCGACCAGUUUGCAAAAUACUUUAGGUACCAAGUUGAACUUCAGUACAACUUUUCAUUCACAGACUGAUGGACAGUCAGAGCGCACUAUUCAAACUCUGGAGGAUAUGUUGCGAGCUUGUGUUAUGGAGUUUAAAGGUAAUUGAGAUAAUUAUUUACUUCUGAUGGAGUUUGCUUACAACAAUAACUAUCAAGCUAGUAUCGAGAUGGCACCAUAUGAGGCUUUGUAUGGUAGAAAAUGCAGGACUCCAGUAUGUUAGGAUGAGGUUGGUGAGCGGAGGUUACUCGGUCCAGAACUUGUCCAGGAUACUAACGAGAAGAUACAAUUGAUCCGGGAUAGAUUAAAGGUGGCCCAAGAUAGACAAAAGAGCUAUGCAGACAAGCGUAGGGGGGAACUUGAAUUCCAAGUUUGUGAUAGAGUUUUCAUACGGAUAUCUCCUUGGAAAGGGGUGCUUUGAUUUGGGAAACGUGGGAAGCUAAGCCCAGGUUACAUUGGGCCAUAUGAGAUCAUUGAGCGCAUCGGUCCGUUAGUUUAUCGAUUAGCUCUACCACCCGAGUUAUCCAGAAUCCACGAUGUGUUUCACGUCUCAAUGCCCCAUAAGUACAUAUAUGACCCGAGUCAUGUGUUAUCAAAGCAACUAAUUCAGUUGAAGGAAGAUUUAACUUACGAAGAGGAACCAAUGGAGAUACUGGAAGAGAAACACCAAGUUCUACAUUCUAAGACCAUUCCUCUAGUAAAAGUACGGUGGAGGAAUCAUACAAAGGAAGAGGCUACCUGGAAACAUGAGGACUUAAUGCGAGCUCAAUAUCCCUAUAUUUUCUUAUUAGGUACAUAAAUUUCGAGGAUGAAAUUUUUAUAAGAGGGGAUGAUUGCAACAAAUGUGAAUUAAAAAUGAAUAAGUAUGAGGUGGUAAAGAAGUUAGUAAAAACAAAAGAAUAAGCUGGAAACAGAGGAAACAUAUGCACGUGUAACAGAGAGUGAGAGAGAAGGUGCCAAACCGACCCAACUACAGACCCACCUUGACCCGGUCACAUCUCCCAUUUCCGGCCACCGUUUCGGCCGAGUUUAGUACCAAUCUGAAAACCCGCGACUGUUUCAUUUUGUUCCGCCAGGAUUUUCGCCGGUUUUGGGUGACACGACCAGUUGAAUUUUGUUCCUCAUGACUCCCUCUUCCAUUUUCAACCGUCCAUAGCCACUGAAAGUCACUGUUUUGCCACUGGUCAAUUAUUGGAAUUCAGGGCUAUUGAGCUAGAUUCCGGCCUCGUUACCGUGCGUUGGAGCUCACUGCUGGUACCAUUGAACUCAACGUGAUUGGAACUUUCAGAAUUGAGCUUCCCGGCCAGCGUUGACCAAACUCCGGUGACCGUUGACCGGCAAGGGCAUUUCGGUAAUUUCACACGCCGAGGGAAAUUUUGUAAUUUCUGAGCCUAUGGAUAUUUUAGUAAUUCCUAGAAUUGAGGAUUUGGUGUAAUUACGAUUCCGAGGUUAAUUCGGUGAUUUACAAUUUCUGAGUAUUUUAAUGAUUUACGGACUCGAGGGCAUUUUAGUAAUUUUAUCGACACGGGAGUUGUAAAUUAUGGAUAGAUGUUCGUUUCGAGUUUAUUGCAUAAAUUUAGUCGUAAUUUCGAUUUACGAAAAAUAAUUAUGUCGUUUCCUUGAUUUAAGAGGAUCCGCGAGCGAUAAUCGGUCCACGGACAUUGACGAUAACCAAGCGCGAACACUGCACUGUGAGUGGAAUAUGCAAAACCUAUUUUCGUAGUUAAUUAUGAUAGUAAAAUAUGUUUACGAAAUAAGUAUUUUUAAUGUUCUGAUUUAAUGAUUUCCUCGAAAUGGAUUUUAUACAUGCAUUGAUAUUAUUUUAAAAUGUUUGGUCAAUGAUUUUCCGUGUCGACUUUGAAUGAAAUAUGAUAGUAUUUUAAAGAUGAGAAAAGUGGAUUUAGAUGUGAUAAUGAAAAGAAAUGUAUGAUUUAAAGUAUGAUUAGAAUAUACAUGAAUAUAAGUAUAGAGAUUGUUUUUAAAAUCAUUCGACAGUACCCUUCCCCUCCAGAUACAGUGAUACAGAUGAGAUAAGAUGAGAGGCCUUUAGAGCCCGUCUGAGCACACAUAGAGGCUUUGGGCUGUGUGUUUGGGUGUUUCUGCCUUUUGGGGGCAUAUGCAUACGGUAUGAUGAUUACAGAGAUACAAAUAUGAGAUACAGACAGAUAUUGAGAUACAGAUGAUAAAUAUGAGAUACAAGCCUUUGGGGCCCGUCUGAGUACACACAGAGGCUUUGGGCCGUGUGCUUGGCGCUUUUGUCCUUUAGGGACUGGAUUAUGCAUGCACAGAUAUGAUGAGUUAUGAGAUGAUACUUCCCUAUCUAUCCGUGUAGCUAAGGAGCGUGACGGUACCCAGAUACGUCAUUACCCGUCCGUUGAGGUCCGGAUAUGAUGAAAUUAUUUCCCUGGGCACUUGUUUGGUGAUGAUUUUCAUUCUUGUGUAUUCUAUAUGAUAUUGUGAUAUGAUUUCCAUGAUUAUUACUGUUGUAGAAUUUCUCAAGAUCCACUGUUGUUAAACAACCAAGCUGAGCUAUCGAACCCAAUCGAUCAAGAUCAACCUUUUUUUUACCAAGAAAGUUAACUAGCUCAUUGCAAGUAAUAACCAGAAAAGAAAGAAGAUGAACAAGAAAACAAUGCACACAGUAUAACGUGGUUCAGUACCAAAGUACCUACAUCCACGACCAAAUAAACCCUUCUGGGCUUGAAGCUUUUAUUUAACAAAGUGUUUACAAUGAGAGUAUUGAUGACAAAGAUUAAAUCUCUCAUACAGAGAAUUUUCUAUCUCUCACCCUAGCUCUCUCAAAAUCGUGACUUAACCAUCCAUCUGAUCAGCCCUGAACUAUGUAUAUAUGUAUAGCUCUAUUGUCCAGCUGUUAGCAGUAACAAAUUUAACUAACCCUGGCCCCACACAAAUGCUGAGUCAGCACGCCACUUAGUCACAUAACAGAAUUAACUAAUCAAGCUUCACAAAUAUCCACCUUAGUUGAUUCUGUCCCAGCUUCACCCAGCUCUGGUUCAGAUGGUUAAUAUGCUUGACUUAUAAGCUUCUAACUCCAAUCAAGUUCAGAGAGUUUCUGAACUUGACUGUUGGUAUUGGUUUUGUCAGUGCAUCUGCUGGAUUGUCUUCAGUAGAGAUCUUUACAACAUCCACUACUCCUCUUUCAAUUUCCUCUCUUAUGAAAUGUAGCCUCAAAUCCACAUGCUUGGUCCUCUCAUGAUAUUUGGAGUUUCUGCUCAACUGAAUUGCACUUGAGCUGUCACAAUAGAUGGGAAUUGUAUCCUGAAUCAAACCCAAUUCAGAUAUAAUCCCUCUGAUCCACUUAGCUUCUUUAAAAGCUUCAGUAAGUGCAAUGUACUCAACUUCAGUAGUUGAUAAGGCAACAACUGAUUGCAGUGAUGCUUUCCAACUUACAGCUCCUCCACACAUGGUAAAAACAAAGCCAGUAGUAGACCUUCUUUUGUCUAAGUCACCAGCAAAGUCUGAGUCCACAUAGCCAAUGACUUUACUUGUGACAUUGUUAUCUCUACUAAACAAAAUACCAGAAUCAGAUGAACCACUCAGAUACCUAAGUAUCCACUUAGCAGCACUCCAAUGCAUUUUGCCUGGGUUCUCCAUGAAUCUGCUAACUACUCAUACCCCGUAAGCAAUAUCAGGCCUAGAGCACACCAUGGCAUACAUAAUGCUUCCAACCACACUAGAGUAAGGAAUUUUCUUCAUAUGCUUAAUAUAUGCAUCAUCGGAUGGUUCUUGCUGUUUUGACAGCUUGAAGUGUGUGCCUAAAGGGGUGGAAACUGCUUUAGAGGUAACCAUGUCAAACUUGCCAAGCACCCUUUUGACAUAACCAGCUUGUGAGAGAAAUAGAGUCUUUGCAGCUCUAUCCCUUUUGACCUGCAUUCUUAGAAUCUUACUGGCAGAGCCUAGGUCCUUCAUCUCAAAUUCAGCCCUUAGCUCAGUUUUAAGCUUUUCUAUUUCUUCUAUGUGCUUGCAUGCAAUGAGCAUGUCAUCAACAUAGAGAAGCAAAUAAAUCCCAUCUCCAGAAGGUAGGAACUUGCAGUAUACACAGCUAUCAUAUUGACUUCUCAAGUAACCAUGAGCAAUAAUAAAUUGGUCAAACCUCAAAUACCACUGCCUGUGGGAUUGCUUUAAACCAUAUAAGCUCUUCUUAAGCAAACACACCAUGUCUUCUGACUCCCUUUGUAUGAAGCCUUCUGGCUGUUCCAUGUAUAUCUCUUCUUCAAGAUUGCCAUGUAGGAAGGCUGUUUUGACAUCCAUUUGAUCCAGCUCCAGAUCAUGGUGGGUUGUAAUUGCAAGCAACACUCUUAUUGAGCUAUACUUGACAACUGGUGAAAAGACUUCACUAUAAUCUAUCCCUUCUCUUUGUGUAAAGCCCUUUGCCACCAGCCUAGCCUUAUAUCUAGGGUGUUCUACACUUGUAACUCCAUCUUUAAGUUUGAAAAUCCACUUACACCCAACCAGCUUCCUAUCUUCUGGUUUUCUCACCAAAAUCCAGGUGUUGUUUUUCUUCAAUGAGGAUAUUUCUUCUUCCAUUACUGACAGCCACUUUGAUUUAUCCCUGCUGUUCAUGGCUUGCUUAUAGCUGCUGGGUUCCUCCCCAAUAACUUCUUCAGCAACAUUCAGUGCAUAUGAUAUCAAAUCUGCUAUGCCAAAUCUCUUAGGCAUUUUGAUAACCCUCCUUUCUCUGUCUCUUGCCAGCUGGUAGUUAUCCAUUUCUGAGGAUCUAGUUUUACUGUCACAAGACUUGGACUCUUCAUUAGUGUCCUUGUGAUCAUCAGUAAGCUCCACCUCCAGGUUAAGCUUAUGGUUGGCCUUUUGCUCAUAAAUUGUCAGUUCUGUUUCAACCUUUUGCUGGAGCAGGGAACCCUCAUCAAAUACAACAUCCCUGCUUACUAUAAUCCUUGAAGGUUUCCCAUCAAUGCACGAUAUUCUAUAUCCCUUAACACCUUCAGGGUAACCAAUAAAGAUACCCUUAAUUGCCCUAGGUUCCAGCUUUCCUUGGUUGAUAUGAGCAUAUGCUGGUGAGCCAAAGAUUCUCAUAUUGCUUAGAUCAGGGGGUUUUCCAUACCAAACCUCUUAUGGAGUUCUGAAGUUGAGUGCUGAUGAGGGACUUCUAUUUAUCAAGUAUGCUGCUGUGGUGACAGCUUCAGCCCAAAAAUGUUUUGAGAGGUUUGCACUAAACAACAUGCAUCUCACCUUUUCCACUAAUGUUCUAUUCACCCUCUCAGCAAGUCCAUUUUACUGGGGUGUGUGUCUAACAGUCUUGUGCCUUGCAAUUCCCUUCUCUCUGCAGAACUCAUCAAACUCUUUACUACAAUACUCCAACCCAUUAUCAGUCCUUAGUCUCUUUACUUUCCUGUCAGUUUGGUUUUCAAUUAAGGUCAACCAUUCCUUAAACUUUAGUAGAGCUUCACUCUUAUGCUUUAAGAUAUAAACCCAAACCUUCCUGGUAUAGUCAUCAAUCAAUGUCAUGAAGUACCUAGCUCCACCAUGUGAUAGCACUUGAGAUGGACCUCAUAAAUCUGAAUGUAUAUAAUCUAUUGAAUUAUUGGUUUCUUGCUUCCCAGUCCCAAACCUCUAUCGAGUUGCCUUUCCAAACACACAUUUUUCACAGAACUCAAGAGAUGAAAUCUGACCAGAACCAAUUAGACCUUGUUUGCCUAAUUCUUUCAACCCCUUUUCACUCAUGUGAGCUAAUCUCAUGUGCCAUAAUUUUGUUUUAUCUCUGCUGACAGAGGCUAUAACUCCUGGAGAGGAAGGGGAGCCUAUUAGGACAUAUAACCCAUUUCUUCUGAUUCCCUUCAUUAUAACUAUGCCAUUUUUAGUAACUUGGAGUUCACCAUUUCUGCCUUAAUGCUACAGCUUGACUGGUCAACAGUCCCUAAGGAUAUUAGAUUCCUCCUAAGCUCUGGAACAUGUCUCAAAUUCCUUAGCUCUCUAUCUACCCCAUCAUGUAUAGUUAUGGUAACAGUUCCAAUUCCAGUAACUUUACAGGCCAGGUUAUUUCCCAAUAAAACCUUACCUGUAUCAACUUUCUCAAAAGUCUUGAAGAGUUGCUUGUUUGGGCUCAUGUGGAAGGAGCAACCUGAGUCCAAGAUCCAUUCUUCAGUGGGUUGUCUUUUUGCAGCUACGAGUACAUCUGCACCUUCUGAAUCCCAUUCAUCUUCUGAUGCAAUGGCUGCCUUCCCUGAUGAUUCUUUCUAGAUCUUUUCAAGUUUCUUCUUCUCGAAACAGUCCUUUAUAUAAUGCUCUUCCCUCUGACAGAAAUAACACUUUCUCUUUUUCUUUUUCUUGUCAGCUUUAUCCUUCUUAUUGUUACUUUUCUUGUCAUGAUUCUUCUUCUUUUCAGGUUUUGAUUUGGCUAUCAGGCGUUCACCAAGGCCCUGAUCUUUUCCCUCAGCUCUUUUCUUUAAAUCUUUUGAUUCCAGAGCAUUCUUCACAUCUUUUAACGUAAGGGUUUGUCUCCCAUACAGUAAUGUGUCAACAAAGUGCUCAUAUGAAUCUGGCAGUGAGCUUAACAAGAUAAGAGCUAUGUCUUCAUCUUCAAGAUUUACAUUAACAUUCUCAAGAUCCAGGAUUAGCUUGUUGAAUUCAUCGAGAUGGUCUUUCAUGGCUGUUCCCUCCUUCAUUGAGAAUGUAUACAACUUCCUUUUCAUAUAGAGUCUCUUGGCCAAAGACUUCUUCAAGAAUAGUUCUUCAAGUUUCGAUCAGAGGCUAGAUGCAGAUUUUUCUUUAGCAACCUCUCUCAGCACUUCAUCUGACAGAUGCAAGAUUAUGGUGCUGUGAGCUUUGUUGUUAAUGGACCUUAUGUCUCCACCCAAGCUUGAGGAGCCUUCUGAUUUCUCUUUCUUGCCAAUUUGAUCUUCUUCAUUUUCAAGAGCACUGUCAAGCCCCCGUUGGAUCAAGAUUGCACGCAUCUUGAGACUCCAUAGAUAGAAGUCAUUUUCUCUGUUGAAUUUUUCUACAUCGAAUCUUGUACUAGCCAUUUGCGAACAAGAACUGAGAGCUUUUAGAGCUCUGAUACCAGUUUGUUGUGGAAUUUCUCAAGAUCCACUGUUGUUAAACAACCAAGCUGAGCUAUCGAACCCAAUCAAUCAAGAUCAACCUUUCUUUUACCAAGAAAGUUAACCAGCUCAAUGCAAGUAAUAACUAGAAAAGAAAGAAGAUGAACAAGAAAACAAUGCACACAGUAUAACGUGGUUCAGUACCAAAGUACCUACAUCCACGACCAAAUAAACCCCUCUGGGCUUGAAGCUUUUAUUUAAUAAAGUGUUUACAAUGAGAGUAUUGAUGACAAAGAUUAAAUCUCUCCUAUAGAGAAUUUUCUAUCUCUCACCCUAGCUCUCUCAAAAUCGUGACUUAACCAUCCAUCUGAUCAGCCCUGAACUAUGUAUAUAUAUAUAGCUCUGUUGUCCAGCUGUUAGCAGUAACAAAUUUAACUAACACUGGCCCCACACAAAUGCUGAGUCAGCACGCCACUUAGUCACAUAACAGAAUUAACUAAUCAAGCUUCACAAUUACGUAUGAUCAUUAUAUAUGCUUUUCAUGGUUAGUAAUAUGAUUUAAAUGUUAAAUGAUUUAUUACUAGUUUCUCGCAUAUGGUUUGAUGAAAUCGUGUUUGGAAAUGAUAUGAUUAUUUCUUUUAAAGUAAGAAUUAAUUUUAAAAAACUACUAUCCACUCAUUGAUCUCAUUGAGUUUUAAACUCACCCCAUUUUUAUUAUAUUUUUCCCCUCACUAGGAGGUUGCAGGUACACCAGACUGACCCAGCGACUGUAAAUAUAUUUUGAGUCUUGGCCACGUGAUGGUGUUAGAGGAUAUAGAUGUUUUUUAUAGGACAUCUCAGUUAUCUUGUUCUUUUGGGAUUGUAUAAUUUUAUUAUAUUAUUCUUUUGGAGAUUAAGAAUAAACUGAGAUAUCAAUAUUAGUUAUAAUAUUAUCUUUUGAGAUUCUUGAGAUAUAAAAUUCAGCAUUUUGGUUGAGGGUAUUGAUCACUGGAGUUUGUUGUAUAUUGAAUUAUAUUGGGAGUGUUAUAUUCAUAGUUGUAGAUUAGGAGUGAUAUAUAUAUAAAGGAGACUCUGCCAAAUUUUUGACAGAAUCCUUACUAAUUAGAUUAUUAUCAAGUCCGUUUUGAUGAGACUAGAGUGACUAGCCCGAGGGAUUCGGGGCGGGUCGUUUCAUUUAUCUUCAUCGUUUCCAACAACAACAGUCAGCAACUCGGCUUCUGCAACAGCAACAGCGAGAGUCGUUGUCAAAGAACAAAUUCACACUGAACCAGCACAAAAAUCACCACCGGCAGCCACAGCUGCUGCUCGAGGAAAGCACCAAUCCAGUUCCUAGUUGGCAAGAAAAUAUGCCAUUCUUGAAGUUCAACAAUCAUCUGACCUCACUUCCUCUCUCGAGAGGUCUUGUUUUGUCAUUUCGAUGGAUACCUAUUUGUUGUUUCUUUUAUUUUUUUGGUUGAGUGUUGACCCUUGAUGAUUAUCUCAACUGGGUUUCUAUUUUUUUCAACUAAUUUAGUGACAAAGUUAGGACUUUUCUUUUUUUUCUGAAUUUGUUUUCUGAGGUGUGUCGAUUUUGAUUAUACUUGACAUUGAGUUGCUGCGACUUCUAAUCCACAAUUAGUGUCGAAUAGAAAGAAUCAUUGGGUGGAUAGUUGAUAAAUAGUAAUUUCCCAUCAAUAAGUAAAAAGGUGAAUGUAUAUCAAACAGUUUAGUUGCAGUACUUUUCUAGUCGAAUAGAGCAGGACUAUUGCUGACUUACCCUUCAUUUUCUUAUAUGUAUGUUGUAUUUUGCAAAUUUGUUUUUGGAUGCUGACACUAUUGCAAUUUACAUGCUGACUUCGCUUUGGUUAGAAAACCUUGAUUCCUUUGCAAUGUUCAAUGCCAUUUAGUUUUGAGCCUAAAGUGAUUAGUAUGUUGUUUAUAAUGUUCUAUAUUAAUCGAAACAUGAGAGUUACAGUGUUAAUUUUGGAGGUCAACAAUGACUUUCCAAUGAACAAGUUGGCUAGCAGUCACAUUGCAUAAGCACUAUAGUAUAGUUUGAAUAAGAAGAAUAAAAUAAUCGUAAUUUCAUUGAGUACCUCUCUUUUCUUGACUGCAUUCCUCGUUGGAAAAGUUUGUUAGAUGGAAAUUCUGGUUGUCUUUUAGACUUAAGUUUUAGUGACAAUACAUUUGGUGAAAAUUUUUUUACUUCAUGACAUCAUCUUGAAGUUUUGUUGUUAUGGAGACAAAUAUGUAGCUCAAUUAGCUUGGCAUUAUAAGAUAAAUGUACUUCUUUGCAGAUUAGAAGGGAUAUUAAAGGUGCCAGACUUGAAUGCUAUUUUGCGACAUUUUGGGGAUCUUGGCCGAGGGCAGGAUGUUUUGGAGGUCCUACUACUUUCCUUUUGUUUUGUUUAUCUUUUGUGCACGCCAUUGAUAUUUUUGAUGGUAAAACCUGUUGAGUUUAUUUGUUUACAUUUCUUUAUUCAAAUGCAUGUUCAAUUCCUGAUUUAUUAUUAGUUGGGUUUGCUUACUGAUUAAAUAUCAAUUUUUUGGUCCUGUGUAUGUACCUUUUUUAAUGAUCAUUUUGUACCCAAUUAAGUGUUCUUUCUUAAAUGGAGAUCCCAUUUUGGUAAAACAAAAGCUGUUUCUGUUUUUUAUACAAAUCUCUGCCUUAUGAUUCAAAAAAAUGUAGACACUCCAAGAGAAAUAAGGUUAGCUGAAUAUGGGUGGGAGGAUUAUCUAUAUCCUUCUUCAAUAUUUGUUCAUUACACUUUCCUGAGUGAGCUUUCGCUGGAGAAUCCUCAUUUUUAUAGAUUCUAUAUUUGUUAAUUGCUUGAUUGCAAAAAGUUAUUCUGUAUUAGUAUACAAAAACUACUUUAUGCAUUUGUUUUUGUUUUUAUUAUUAACUUGUUCAAAUUAUGGUUUUGAAAUUAGCCUAUUUCAUUUCAGCUAUAGGGAAGAUCAUUCUCAAAACAGUAAUUGAUUUGCAAUUUAUCAUAAAUAUCAUUCUGAUAAUUUAGUAUGGUUUGUUACGACGGCAUCAACCCAAUUUAUGGCUUGCUACCACAUGAAGUAUCCCAAAAUGCUUCUAUUCUCUUUCCGUCCUAUGUGAACAAUGGUUUACUGAUGCUAAUAAGUACUAUUUUUUUAAUACUUUGUGCUUGGUGUUUCUGCAGCUCUUUGAGUGGAUGCAACAACAUGGCAAGACUAGUAUUUCUUCUUAUAGCAGUUAUAUCAAGUUCCUUGGGAAAAAAGGCAAUUCCCUUAAGGCUCUAGAAAUCUACAAUAGCAUUACAGAUGAAUCGGACAAAGUUAAUGUCUUUAUAUGUAAUUUGAUUCUCAGUUGUCUAGUCAGGAAUGGAAAGUUUGAGAGCAGCCUCAAACUGUUUGAUAAAAUGAAGCAGAGUGGUCUGACACCAGAUGCUGUUACUUAUAAUACGGUAUACCAAUCUGAUCACAUUACAUGGAUUUGAGGAUGUUAAAUGUUUGUUCGAAGUUGAGUUCAGUCAGGCAAAUGAUUAUAAAAUUCUGCCUUUUGUAUGACACUCGGUGUUGUAGUUGACAUGUAAGUUGCACAGUCUUUGAGUGACAGCUUUGUUGAACAACGGGUUUGACACAAGUGAAAGAGUCAACUUUUAUAUGCAUGUAAUAUUCUUUUUCUUUUCUAUGGUUACAUAAUCCAUAUUGUGAAUCUGAUUUGCUAUUUUAUUUUUGAAAGUUCUUCUAAAGUGUGAAUAAGCCAGAGAAAGACAGAAUAAAUGGAUUUGACAUAGAUUUAGAAGAAAUAAAUGUGCUGCCGUGGAAUAGCAUCAAGCUUUGUUGGAAUGAAGUGCCAAGAUCAUUUUCUAACAAAAUGCCAGAGUCUUUUUAACUGUUCUUUAUUACAUUUUUCUUUUGUCUUCCAUAGCUGCUUACAGGUUGCAUUAAGGAUAAAAAUGGCUAUUCUAAAGCAUUAGAGCUGGUUCAGGAACUUAAGUAUAAUGGAGCGCAGAUGGAUGGCGUGAUGUAUGGGAUACUUUUGGCUAUUUGUGCUUCAAAUAAUCUAUGUGCCGAAGCUCAGAGCUAUUUUAACCAGAUGAAAGUUAAAGGCCAUCCUCCUAACGUAUAUCACUAUAGCUCUUUGCUUAAUGCUUACUCCUCUGGUGGAGACUACACGAAGGCCGAUGAAUUAAUUCAGGAUAUGAAAUCUUCAGGGUUAGUACCGAAUAAGGUUUGUUUCAUGUUUAUAUGGCCAUUCUAGUUUCAGGAGUUACUAGGCAUUACUUAACAAUUGAGUUUUGCUCAUCUUGAAAUAGGAAAGAUUGAAAAUCGAUGUAUACAUGUGAAUUUGGUAGAAUAGAGAAUUUGUACUGAAUUUCAAAUGACAAAAGAACACAGUUAUGAUACAUAGUUAUCAUGGUGAAUUGAGGCUUAUCGAACCGUAUUCUGUCUAUGCUUUCAAAAUCAAGUGUAAUUGUUUUGGUGCAGCAAAAAUGUAUUAGUAUUAUGGUACAUGGAUGCUAUCCUGAUUAGGGGAUUUCAGUGAUUAGUUGGUUUGUUUGGCCUUUUUCAGUGGAAGCAAGAAGUUAAGGGAACAAGUCUAAAGGGAUACUUCAUAUUUGGGUUGAAACGGAACUAUAAAAGAAUAAAAACGCACCAUGGGGGUUUGGAUUUCAUGCUAUAAGAGAUUAUUGUAAAGGAAUGAAUUGGUGCUUUUCAAUAUAUGCCAAAUCUAUUUUCAUGGGUAUCUAGGUCAAAAUAGCACAUAAAGUAGUGAGUUUCUUGUUAUCUCUUUUCUUUUUGUUCUGUGCAUUUUCAAUAAUUUGCUUUGUAAACACGUGUGUUGGCAAUUGUGUGCUUUUCUUAUGUUUUGUUUUUUAGGGUAAAUCAUUCUUUUUGCAGGUAAUACUGACAACAUUGCUGAAGGUAUACGUCAGAGGAGGUUUGUUUGAAAAAUCAAGGGAACUAUUAGCUGAACUGGACACUUUAGGCUAUGCUGAAAAUGAGGUACAUUGAUGAAUUUUUACCUUUCAUAUGUAUGUUGAAAUAUCAAUCUUGUUGAAGAUAUGAUAUGUAGUUUUAAUAUUGUGUUUCAGAGUAGAAUGUGUUAUUUAUUACCUUCAGGAUCAUAGCAGAUCUGACACCGGACACAAUAGAUGGGAAAACACAAUGUCACACACCCAAGAAAUAACAAGCUCAAAACCACAGCAAAAAAUUCACCACCUAAAGUUGUUAAGCUAAGGAUACAGGGCUUAAAAUACUCACCACUCAAUGGAAUCCACCAAAGUGAUACAGAGUUUGAUAAUAACUCAAAGUUCAUCCAAUCCCCAAAAUUAAUCUCUAUCCUUUGGUUACAACUACAUAAGCUUAAAUAACUUUCUUGGAACAAUCCUCCAAGCAUAGAUAUACAACAAAGAAACCCUCCAAAUGACUUGACUUCAAAGACCAACAUUAAAGCUAGACAUUAAUAGAACAUUGGUAUGCUUAAAACACAGCAAAGAGCAUUAAAAAAAGUCCAAGUCCAGAAAUAUUCUUCUUGACUCAAAACUGAACAGCCUGCACUUAACUGAUCAUAACUUACUGUACAAAGCUCGAAAUUUGUAUUAGUAAAAUUCAUUGGAAAGCUAACAGAAAUAUCUUUCCAAUGAUGUAUGACUGGAAAAUUAGUUCAAUCUCAUGCAGUACAGUUUAAUUCCCAAAGAUGCCCCUUCUGCACAGAAAUUCUACUCACUUGAUUAAUGUAAGAACUUGAACUGCACUUGGUAUAACUUGAAUACCAAAUAUUUCAAACACCCCUGUGUUAAUCUCCCCUAGUUGAAAAAAAUUCAACCUCGAGUUUUGAUCAUUUUCUUCAUGAUAAGGAGACAAGUCUGAUAUGUUGAAUGUUGAUGAAACACCAUAGCCAUCUGGUAGCUCAAUCUUGUACACAUUAUCACCAAUGCGUUGCAACACUUUAAAAGGUCAUUCAGCCCUUGGUCUAAGCUUAGCAUACUUCCUAGGUGGAAAACGAUCUUUUCUAAGAUGAACCCAAACCAAAUUUCCUUCCUGAAACUUAGCAUUUCUUCGAUGCUUGUCUACAGAUUUUUUAUACUUCUCAUUUUGCUUCAAUAUUCUAUCUCGAACCUGUUCAUGCAUCUUCUCGAUACUUUUAGAGCGUUCUUCAGCCUCUCCACUAAAUUGAUGAUCAGUCAAAAAGUGGAGCCAAAUCCAAAGGACUAAUUGGAUUCUUGCCAUAAACUACUUCAAAGGGACUUGAACCAGUAGUUUGAUGUAUGGAGUGAUUGUAAACAAAUUCAAUCUAAGGCAAAAUAAGAUGCCAUUGACGAAUGUUCUUGCCCACAUAACUUCUCAAGAGAUUUCCCAAGCUUCGAUUCGUCACUUCAGUCUGACCGUCAGUUUGAGGAUGAUGAGAAGAGCUGAAUUUAAGAGUGGUUCCCAACUUCUUCCAAAGAGUGUGCCAAAAGUGACUCAAAAACUUUGAAUCCCGAUCAGAGACAAUGGUUUUUAGAAUUCCAUGUAGCUUCACAAUCUCCUUGAAGUACAAAUCAGCCACAUAAGAGGCAUCCAAUGUCUUGUUACAUAGAACAAAAUGAGCCAUUUUUUAGAAUUGAUCAACCACCACCAUGAUAGAGUCUUUGUUUCUUUGAGUUCUUGGCAACCCAACAACAAAGUCUAGACUAACAUCUUCCCAGGGAGCUUCAGGGACUGGUAAAGGAUUGUAUAGGCCUGUGUUUUAACCAUGAGCUUUGGCAAUAUGACAGAUUUUACACCUCUGCACAUGAUGCACAACAUCUUUAUCCAUAUUUGGCUAAUAGAAAUUACCUUGCAAGCAAGCUAACGUCUUAUCCUUUCCAAAGUGACCUCCAACAGCACUGCCAUGUGCCUCCAUGAUAAUAGAUUCCCGCAAAGAACACUGAGGAAUACAUAAACAAUUCCCCUUGAAAAGAAAGCCAUCAUGCAAUUGGUACUGAUCAUAUGAUCCAUUCUCACAUUCUCUCCAAAUCUUACCAAAGAAAGAAUCAUCUUUGUAUAGCUCUUUUAAAAUUUCAAAGCCUACAACCUUCACUUGCAUAGAAGAAAGCAAGGAAUUUUUUCGACUUAAAGCAUUAGCCACAACAUUUUGAGCACCCGAUUUAUACUUGAUGGUAAAAUUGUAAGCUUGAAGAAACUCCACCCAUCCGACAUGUUUUCUACUAAGCUUUUGUUGACUAUUGAUAAACUUUAGUGCAUCAUGGUCGGAGAAGAGAAUAAAUGGCCUUGAAAGCAAAUAUUGACUCCAAUGGUUCAAAGCUCGGCAAAUAGCAUACAAUUCUUUGUCAUAAGUUGAGUACUUUCUGCAAGAGUCAUUCAAUUUUUCACUAAAGAAAGCGAUUGGUUUCCUUUCUUGCCUAUGUACAGCACCAAUUCCAGUAUUAAAGGCAUGACACUCAACUUCAAAUACCUUGCUGAAAUAUGGAAGUGAAAGAACAUGCGCUUCAAUCACCUUUCUCUUGAUGAUUUCAAAACUCUCUUGUGCUUCUUUAGUCCAUUUGAAACCUUCUCCUUUCAAGCAUUCAGUUACUGGAGCAACAAUUGUACUGAACCCUCUGAUAAAUCGUCGAUAAAAAGAAGUAAGACCAUGGAAACUUUGGAUUUCAUGUAGCGACUUAGGAAUUGGCCAGCUCAAAAUGGCCUCCACCUUGCUUGGAUCCAUUUUAAUUCUAUCUUUCGAUACAACAUAACCCAAAAAGACAAGGCUAUCAGUAAAGAACCUGCACUUUUUCAAGUUGACAUAAAGCUUUUGAUUUCUGAAAAUCUCAAAGACUUGGCGAAGAUGCUCUUAGUGUUGUUUUUCAUCUUGGCUAUACACAAGCAUGUCAUCAAAACACACAACAACAGAUCUACCAAUCAGAGGCUUAAAAACGUGAUUCAUCAGCCGCAUGAAAGUGCUUAGGGCAUUAGAUAGACCAAAUGGCAUAACCAUCCAUUCAUAAAGUCCAUCCCUUGUUUUGAAGGCCGUUUUCCAUUCGUCACCAGGCCUCAUUCUUAUUUGAUGAUAGCCACUUUGAAGAUCGAUCUUAGAAAAGAUUGUAGCACCAUAGAGCUGGUCUAGAAGAUUGUCAAGGCAUGGAAAAGGGAAACGAUAAUCAAUCGUUAUCUUAUUCACUACUCUGCUAUCAACACACAUACGCCAAGAUCCAUAUUUUUUUUGUACCAAUAAGGCAAGAACAGCACAAGGACUUUUGCUUUCUCUCACCAACCCUUUCCUUAAAAGCUCUUCAAUUUGCCUCUAUAAUUCUUCGUUCUCCUUUGGAUUCAUUCGAUAAGCCGCUUUAUUUGGUAGUACAUAACCCGAAAUAAGAUCAAUGCAAUGUUGAAUCUCCCUCAUGGGAGGAAGGCCAUGUGGUAAUUCUUCUAUAACAACAUCUGAGAAUUCUUCGAGAAAAUAUGUAACGACCUGCCCCAACCUCCAUAGGGCGAAUCUUACUGAUAGAUCCUUUUACAAUCCAUAAAAAUUAUAUCCUUGAAAAUACAAAUAUAAAACGCAAACUGUAGCGGAAGAAUUUAAAAUUCAUGCCAAACCAUCUAAUUCCUCCAUUCAAGUCCUUCUCGAUGCUCAUCACGAAUCAAUCCUGAUUUAUGGAAAUUGAAUCACAAUAAACUAUAAUGAGUAUGAAACUCAGUAAGUAAACUAGUUUUACAUGUACCAAAAUACAUAUAUACAUAUAUAUAGUGCAAAUGAAUGACGUGCCAUGGUAUUAGAAAACAUCUUAAAACAAAUCAUCGAAAUCUCAUUAUGUCUUUCUCAAACUUUCACAUUCUCUUUUAAACCACUUACUUGAGCUACCUUCAUUCGAUUACCGCUUAGUAGGACACUCUCUUAACUUUCAUAACUUUCAUAACUUUCAUACUCUUUGGGCUUCUCGCCAAUGCGUCCUUCGCCCACUUAUCUCAUAACUAUAUAAACAUCUAGAGUGUCCUCCACUAAGCCAGUAAUGAAUUCAAACAUCCAAGCUAAAACUAUAAAACCAUAUUUCUUUCUACAAAUUUCGUUUGCUAAAAUCAACUUUCUUAUUUUACAGAAAACAUAAUGCAUUUUCGUGCUCAUGCCAAUGAAAUAUUCACACAUACAUAUGCCCAUGUCUAUACACAUACACAUAACAACACAUCACAUAAACACAUGGGCAAAGCAUAUCAAUUCAUAUCCGUAUAUAUCAAAAUAUGUUUUUCAAACAUGUCAAAUAUAUAAUAUUGUUUAUUGUGAUUCGUUUGGAAACCUAGUUUACUUACCUCCUGGUAUCAUCGAGUAGCAAAUGCACAUCGAUAUUGGCCUAAAAAUAAAUAAAAAUACUCUCAUAAGAAUAAAAUUAAACCAUAAUCAUAAACUCCAAUAUUCUCAAAUUCCUCAAUAUAAUCACAUUCCAUACUUAACCUCAAAUAAUCUUAAUUUAAAUCAUAAAUUAUCAAAAUACUCAUAAUUCUUGAAAUUAUGAAAUUACCCUCAAAUAUCAAAAUUACUAAAUUAACCUCAAAAUCAUAAAUUACCAACUUUAUCCUCAAUUUCAGCAAUUAUUAAAAUACCCACAAAAUCUGAAAUUACAAAAUUAACCUUAGAUUAUGAAAUUACCGAAAUACCCUUGUCGGUCAACGGUCACCGAAGUUCAACUGACGGCGACGGGAAGCUCAGAACUGAAAGUUCAAGCCACGCUGAGUCUAACGGUGGCGGUGGUGACCUCCCACGCGCAGUGAUGGCUCCGGAUCGAGCUCCCAAAGCCGUGACUCCUUCAACGGCUGAUUAACGGCAAAACGACAUCCCUGGCGUCAGUGGUUAGCUGGAAAUGGCAAAGGGAAACAUAAGGAACAAAACCCAAGUGAUGGCUUCACCGGAAACCGGCGAAAUCACGGCGAAUCGAGGCGGCGAUUCCGCGGAACUUCAAAGCCUUGAUCGGUGGUUUUCAGAUCGAUUUCCGGCGGCAAGGACGGCAUGGAUACGUUGCUCGUCUCUCAAGCUUCAAAUCGAUACCAACCUUGUUCGAAAUGGUGGCCAGAAAUGGGAGAACCGAUCGGGUCGCGCUCGCAGGUCGGGUUGGAUCCGGUUCGGUUUCUCCUCUCUUUCUCUUCUCUUCUCUCUUUCUUUUCUCUCUCUCUCUCAAUUUAUAAGAGUGGUCAACAGGAUCAAAAUCGGGUGUGGGGUAUUACAAAAUACUUCAUAAUCAAAGGCUGCUCAUUGCUAUCUUCAUUUUCCUCAAACACCACCAACACGUAAACUUCACUACCCAUUUCCAAUUAUUUUUUACAAUUUGAAACAGUCAGCAACUUGUUUUCCACUCCUUUGAUAGGUUUAGAACUUUUCUCUACCUUUGAAGGACCCAAAAUGACUUUACUUCCAUCUUUAAUGAAAGUAUAAGUAUUCUUAUAACCAUCAUAAACAACCCUUCUAUCGUACUGCCAAGGAUGACCCAAAAGAAAAUGACAUGCAUCCAUAGGGACAACAUCGCACCAAACUUCAUCUUUAUAUUUAUUCCCAAUAGAAAAUGAAAUAAGGCAACGUGUGUUUACCUCAAUCUCAUUUCCCUUUUUAAGCCAAGCAAGUUUAUAAGGCUGAGGAUGCUGCUUCGUUUUGAGCUUCAACUUCUUCACCAUUUCAGUUGCUACCACAUUCUCAAAACUGCCACUAUCAAUAAUGACAUUACAUACAUUUCCAUGACAAGUGCAUUUGGUGUGAAAGAUAUUCUUUCUCAGCCAAUCUUCCUCAUCUUCACAAACAUACUCAAACUCUUUUGAAUAACUAGAGAGUUUCCAUUAUCAGCAUAUGUAACUUCUCUAUCUUUAACAUCCCUUUCAACACUAGGAUUCUCAUGAUCUUCCGCAUCCUCGUCAUCGCUUUUUUCUUCAAUAAGGGCAACCACCCUACAAUUAGGACACUCAGAAGCAAUGUUCCCAUAACCAUAACAUUUAAAACAUUGACGAGAACUAGCAUUCGAACCACUUGCUCGCUGUUUAGAUCCUUCCCCAAUAUCAUUCCUCGUAAUUUUCUUUGUAGUAGAAUUCGAACCAUAAUUAUGCUUAGAAACAGAGCCACUCCCUCGAUUGACAUCACGAACUGUGAACCGAAUACCCCCACCACGAGCAUCUUUUUGUUGCUUUUCCACCUUAAGAGCAAGUCUGCAUACAUCACUAUAAGUCCAACAUGGUUGGAGCUGGACCACAUUACCAAUCUCAGGUUUUAAACCACCCAGAUAGCGUGGGAUCGUAUGCUCUUCUGCCUAUACCAAAUCACACUUCAUCAUUAGGUUGUUGAACUCUGCUGUAUAAUCUUCCACUGACAAUUCCUUUUGCUUGAAGUUAUGGAACUUAAGGUAGAUAUCUUGCAUGUAGUUAUCGAGCAAAAACUUUCUCUUAAGCUCUUUUUUCAUUUUCUCCCAAGUAACAAUUUUCCUCCGUCUUUGUCGUUCCCUUUGUCUCUUAAGAUUUUCCCAUCAUAAAAAAGCAUACUUUUUAAGUUUAAUGGCAAUGAGUUUCACUUUGCGAUCUUCAGGCACAUCUCUGUAUUAAAAAAUGCGUUCAAUAGUAUUAAGCCAAUCAAUAAACUCUUCUGGUUGCAUUCUUCCUUCAAAUUCAGGAAUUUCGACCUUGAAGUCGAAAGGUUGAUAAGAAUUGCGACGCCUAUGAAUUCGAGAACGAGAAGAAGAUUCACUAUUGGAGCUUUGUUCCUGAUGGAAGGGAUUAUAAUCUACCCCAUCAUUGAUUGAGCCUUCUUCUUCCAAACUACCAUUAGGAGCAGCUUCUUGAGUUCCUUCAAGGUGUUGUAAUCAUUACUGAAGUUGUUCUACUUGUCUUCUAAGAUAAUCCCUUUCUAUAUCACCCAAGUCCCUCUCACGAAUAGGAGGCUCUGCAACUCUUGCAUUACGCCGACGUCGUUGAGCCAUAAAUUUUCAGAACCUAAAGCUCUGAUACCAAAUUUGACACCGGACACAAUAGAUGGGAAAAUACAACGUCACACCCCCAAGAAACCACAAGCUCACCACCACAGCAAACAACAAAAGGAUACAGAAAAAAAAUUCACCACCUAAAGUUGUUAAGCUAAGGAUACAUGGCUUAAAAUACUCACCACUCAAUGGAAUCCACCAAAGAGAUACAGAGUUUGAUAAUAACUCAAAGUUCAUCCAAUCCCCAAAAUUAAUCUCUAUCCUUUGGUUACAACUACAUAAGCUUAAAUAACUUUCUUGGAACAAUCCUCCAAGCAUAGAUAUACUACAAAGAAACCCUUCAAAUGACUUGACUUCAAAGACCAACAUUCAAGCUAGGCAUUAAUAGAACAUUGGUUUGCUCCAAAUUUAGAUUAGUAAAAUUCAUUGGAAAGCUAAUAGAAAUAUCUUUCCAAUGAUGUAUGGCUCGAAAAUUAAUUCGAUCUCAUGCAGUACAGUUUAAUUCCCAAAGAUGCCCCUUCUGCACAGAAAUUCUGCUCACUUGAUUAAUGUAAGAAUUUGAACUGCACUUGGUAUAACUUGAAUACCAAACAUUUCAAACACCCCUGUGUUAAGAUCCUGAUAAGGAAGUUGGGAAUUCAGACAGAAAAGAGCAUAACAAAUUGGGCUGAGGUUCAACAUGUUCAAAAUUUUUUGUUUCUUUGCUAAACUUUAUUUUUUUAAUUCAUAGGUUGGUUUUACGAUUUAUAAUAACGCAUGAUUCGGCUGGAUCUGUUUAUUCUUCUUUUAAUUUAUUUUUAUUUAAAUUCUAAAUUUUAAUUUUUUAAUAGAAAACUGAAAUGAUUUAAGUGAAAACGAAAUACGAAAGUGAACCAGACUAGUGGGUAAUUUAUUAUAACAGUCAUAAAUUUCUUUAAGAACACUGAUCCUUUUUGAGGUUUUCGAGUGAAAAACAGACUUGCAAACAUCCACAUUGUUGAUUCAUUGUUAUGUGGUGCAAAUUGCAACUUGAUUUGUUUAUAAUGAUUUUGCUUGCCCCAAUAUUGGCACACGUUCUUCUUCAUCUAACGUAUAACCUUGGCUUUGUUCAUAUGUAUCUAUAUUCUCAUCGACAAUUUUUUUUUGAAAGAAUUCUUUGGAAUAACUCUUCUGCAGCUUAAGGUACACAUGCCAUUUUGCAGAUGCCCUAUUGUUUUCUUAUGGAUGGUCUUUCUAAGGCUGGUCGUUUAGAUGAAGCAAGAGUAGUUUUUAAAAAAAUGCAGGAAAAAUGCGUUAAAUCUAGUAUGUUUCCCAUUUGAUAAGGGACCUUCUAGCAAGCUGUUAGUUUCAAAUAUUUAUUAUUAUUAUUUUUUCUCUUUACCUAAGAAACAAGAACAUUCUCAAAAAUUAAAUCAUUCAUUUGACCAUUGUUGACAAAUGCAGUGUUGUACAUGUCAUUUCAAUGCCAUGCCAAAAGAAUGGGGAUUGCUUUUGAAAUUAAGUUAAAUUUCUUUUUCCUUAAUCUCAAAGAAAAAUAAACUAUCUGAUUCUAGUUAUAAAGCUUUAUUUUCACCUUAAACACACAUUUGUUUUAGUUCUGUCUUUAAUUAUUUCUAAUGCCCCGAGAAAAUCUAACUUCUAUGUUUGUUGCACAUGCUAUGAACUCCCUAGUUGCCUUUUCCUAGAUUUAAAGGCUAGGGAGAAACAUUGUUAUUCCUAUAUUAGAGGUGAGUAGCCUAUAUAAUUUGAUUAGUUCACGUCUGUUUUACUUGAAUCAAGAAUAGAGUGGCCUAAUCUGAUCUCUGUCGUUGUUGGCAUUAUUUAUGCGUUGAAGAAUGCUGUAUUGAGGUAUAUUCAUUGUAUUUUGCUAAAUAAAUUUUGUUAGACUUGACUUGAAGUCUGAAAAAUACUUGCGAUGUUUUCUUACCUAAUAGCUUAAGCAUAUGGAUCAAUGGAUUUUACUAACGUGUGUUGCUCUAUCUCAAUUAAUUUUCAAAAGGAUAUCUCUUUCAAAUCAAGGUCCUUGCCUUAUGUCUUAAGCUUUUAGGUUAAGCACAAAUUUUGUUUCCCUCACGCAGAUGGCUAUGCCCAUAGUAUCAUGAUUUCAGCAUUCUGCCGAGGUGGGUGUUUUGAAGAGGCAAAGCAGCUGGCUAGGGAUUUUGAAGCCAAGUAUGACAAAUAUGAUGUUGUUCUGUUAAAUUCAAUGCUUUGUGCCUACUGCAGAACUGGUGAUAUGGAGAGUGUAAUACAUGUCAUGAGGAAAUUGGACGAAUUAGCAAUUAGUCCCGAUUACAAUACCUUUCACAUUCUAAUCAAAUAUUUCCGCAAGGAGAAGAUGUAUAUGCUUGCUUAUCGGACAAUGGUGGACAUGCAUAAGAAAGGCCACCAACCUGAGGAGGUACAUCACAUAAAUUUAUUACUCCUUGUCAAGGAUUUACUCUAGUCCCUUGUAAUUCUAGAGGCCUUCGUUACUACUGUGAUUUUAGAUAAUAAAAGUGGUCAUAAACAAAUGAACUUUCACUUUGGGACUGCAACGCGAAAGACUUAUCACAUAUAUGCUGUUUUGCAGGAACUCUGCUCCUCCCUAAUUUUUCAUCUUGGUAAAAUGAGAGCACACUCAGAAGCUCUCUGUUUACAACAUGUUAAAGAUAUAGCAAAAGAUCGAUGUGCAAUGCCCUUCAUGAGAAAAUUCUUCAUAUUUUAAUAUCCGAAAAGCUCCUCAAAGAUGCUUAUGUAGUAGUUAAGGUCUGCUAUAUUGUCUUACCAUUUUAGAUCGAUUCUUCAACUAUCCUUUAUAUGCUUUUCAACCUAAAUUACUCUUUUUUCAGGACAAUUCGUAGUCAAUUUAUCAUCCUGCUAUUAAGAAGUUUGCAUCUGCAUUUGUGAGGUUAGGAAAUAUUAACUUGGUUAAUGAUGUAAUGAAGGCAAUCCACGCAACUGGCUACAUGAUUGAUCAAGUAAGCAAUCAAGGAUUUGUAAAGCAAACACAAGCUCGCAUGCGCGUACGAGCGCGCACAUACACACACACGAGUAAAAGUAAUAAUUUAGAAAUAGCAUGAUAUAUAGCAGAACGUGAGAAGAAGGAAUUGCUGCACAAGUUGCUAGAAUGGAUGACGGGUCAAGGUUAUGUUGUUGAUUCUGUUGUGCGCAGAAUGCGAAAUCAAGCGCACUAAAUAAUUACUGAAAAAUAAAGGACACAAAAUUUACAUAGUUCGGUAAUUAAACCUACAUCCACGGAGGCAAGAAAGAAUAAUUGUUUAUUUAACAAUUAAUAGAGUAACGAAUCUCACUUCCCAUAAACCCAAAUAUACCCAAUACUCUCACACUCUGCAGGAAAGAUAAAUUCCCAAGACACACUUCUCUCACUCUCUCAAAAGCUUAAAAACUUAUAAGCUUAACAAUUUUGGGAUGUUAAACAAAUGAAGAAUGCUUAGCUAUUUAUAGGAAAAAUGUUGACACUAUUCAUGAAACAAAUAUCAAGAAAAAAACCGCAUUUCAAACGCGUCCAAACCGUGUCCACACCGCGUGCAAACCGCGUUCAAACCGUGUGCAAUGAGUGUUGCCACCACAUGGAUUUGACUUGACUUUUCAACAAAUCUCCACCUCGGCGAAAAUUUAUCCAAAUCUGAGCCGAUUGACAAUGAUCCUCCAAACUUCAUCCCUCACAUGAUCCUCAAAAGGAUCCACAUUGGUUGCAUCUAUCCGACUGCCUACGUACCCAAAGGUUGGGAUCAAGCCUGCCGUAGUUCCUGUUUCCCAAGGAAACGCCUCAACAUAAUCGAAGGAUCUGAAUUAAUUUCAAGCAAUGUUGAAACUUAAUUCCUGAAAUCACCUUUGUCAACAUGUCUGAUGGGUUAUCUCUAAUAUUGAUCUUUUUUAAUAACACAUCACUGCUCUCGAUAAUCUCCCUUACACAAUGAUAUUUCACAUCUAUGUGCUUCGUCCGAGAAUGAUACGUCUGAUUCUUUGCAAGGAAUAUCACACUUUGAUUAUCACAAAAGACCUUAAUGUUCUUUUGGAUAUUUCCAAAAUCACCCAACAAGCCUCUCAACCAUAUAGCCUCCUUGACAGCCUCAGUUAUUGCCAUAUACUCUGCUUCCGUAGAGGACAGAGCAAUUGUUGAUUGUAAAAUCGACCUCCACCCAAUGUAAAUACGUAGCCCGUUGUUGAUCUUCGCUUGUCAAGGUCUCCAGCGAAAUCAGAAUCACAAUACCCAACAAAUUGUUGACUACAAUCCUUCUUAAACAAUAACCCAAUAUUAACUGUCCCAUAUAGAUAUUAGAGAAUCUACUUUACUACAAGCCAGUGAUUUUUACCCGGAUUGUGUAUGUAUCUACUAACCAUGCUCACUGCUUGAGAUAUAUCAUGCCUUGUGCAUACCAUAGCAUACAUAAGACUACCCACAACACUAGCAUAUGGAAUACGAGCCAUGUAAUCACGCUCCUCUUGAGAUGUAGGACAUGAAGAAAAACUUGAUUUGAAAUGAGGAGUUAGAGGUGUGCAUACCAGUUUAGUUUUGUCAUCUAUAUCGAAUUUUUCUAGCACUUUCGUCAAAUAAGACUUUUGAGUCAACCAUACGCUCCCAUUCUUCUUGUCUCUAUGAAUCUCUAUCCCAAGUAUUCUCUGUGCAUCACCCAAGUCUUUUAUCUCGAACUCAUAAUCGAGCUGCUUCUUUAAUCUUUCGAUCUCAUCUCUAUUCUUCGAAGCUAUAAGCAUAUUAUCGACAUAGAGUAACAAAUAGAUGAAAGUUCCAUCUGGUAGUCUUCUAAAGUAAACACAAUGAUUGUGUUCACUUCUGGUGAAUUUAUGCCCUUAUAUAAAUUGAUCAAAUCUUUUGUACCACUGCCUUGGCGAUUGCUUCAGUCCGUACAAAGAUUUAAUCAACCUAAACACAUGAUUCUCCUUUCCAGCAACUCUGAAACCACAAGGCUGAAUCAUAUAGAUUUCCUCCUCCAAAUCUCCAUGUAAGAACUCGUCUUAACAUCCAAUUGAGCCAACUCUAACUCAUAUUCUACAACUAAGGCAAGUAUGAUACGAAUGGAAGUAUGUUUUACAACUGGAGAGAAACUUCAUUGUAGUCAAUACCUUAUGUUUGAGCAAAACCUUUUGCCAUGAGCCUUGCCUUGUAUCGAGGAAUUGUUUAAUUCGGAGAUCUUUGCUUUUUAGUGUAGACCCAUUUAUUGCCAAUAGCCCUUUUCCCUUUUGGUAACUUUAUAAGUUCCCAAGUUUGGUUUUAAUGGAGAGAUUUCAUCUCUUUCUCCAUGGCUAACUUCCACUGAUCACUUUCACUGCUGCAUAAUGCUUCACCGAAAGUGUUGGGGAUAUCAUCAUCAAUAACUGGAAGUGCAUAGGCUACCACCAUAUCUUUAGUAAGCCAUCAGGGUUUCUUUAUCUCUCUUCUUAGUCUCCUUGUUGCUAUAAAAUCAUCAUUAUCUACAUUAUCAAUUGUUUCUUCAUUUUGUGGGACAUCAGAAGAAAUAACCUCUUCUUCAACUCUAUGUGUCACCUACAUAGUUGAACCCUUCUUUGAUGUAGAACUAACUGGUACAUAUAGAGUUGUAUUAAACUCCACCCGCUGCAAUACCUCUUUCGUCUUGUUCUCCACCUGCUAAGAACUUGAAGCUUCAUCAAAUGUGACAUCUCUGCUACACACAAACUUUUUGUCUUCGAGAUCCCAAAGCUUGAAGUUCUUUACUCCACAUUUGAAUCCCACAAAGAUAACUUUUCUAGCACGAGGAUCCAGUUUACCAUCUUUGACAUGAUAAUAAGCUGGACACCCGAAUAUACGAAGGGAAUCAUAGUCUUGUGCAGGCUUUCCAGACCACAUUUUCAUAGGAGUUUCACCUCCAAUUGUAACAGAAGGCAACCGGUUUACCAAGUGACUUGCGUAGCUCAUAGCUUCAGCCCAAAACUUUUUAUUUAAACUAGUAUUAGAUAACAUACACCAUACUUUCUCCAGUAAAGUACAAUUCAUACGCUCAGCCACACCGUUCUGUGGCAGAGUAUGUCUCACCGUGAAAUGUCUUUUAAUACCCUCGUUCUGGCAUACUUGCAAGAAUGGAUCAGAAGUAUAUUCACCCCCAUUAUCAGAUCGUAAUACUUUGAUCUUUCUGCCAGUUUGAGUCUUGACCAAUUUCUUCCAUUUCACGAAAAUCUCUAGAACCUUAUCCUUUGCUCGCAUGGUGUACACCCGCACACGUCUAGAGAAAUCAUCAACAAAUGUAACAAAAUAAUGGCUUCCACCAAUUGAUCCAGUCUUGGUUGGUCCCUAUACAUCACUAUGAACAUAUUCAAGGAUCUCACGAGUAUCGUGAUUAGCUGUACCAAACUUGACCCUUGUUUUCUUGCUUACUACACAAUGCUCACAGAAAUUUAAUUUAUAGGUUUUGGUACAUUUUAAGAGUCCAUGUCUCAUCAAAGUUUGUAAAGACUUCUCUCCAACAUGUCACAGUCGUACAUGCCAUAGCGUGGUGGUGUCACUGUGCGCCUCAACAGUUGUCCCAACAUUUACUUUAUCAGUUGUACCUCCCUUCAAAUAGUAUAGAUUGUAACGCCGAACCCCUUGCAGAAUCACCAUAGUCCCAUGUGUAAACUUCAUUAUGCCAUCUUCAAUGGUAACCUUGUAGCCUUUAGCUUCCAAAGCACCCACAUAAAUUAGAUUUUUCUUUAAAGUUGGAACAAAUCUAACCUCUUUGAGUUCUCUGACCAUUCUAUCAAACAUUUUGAUCCGAAUUAUUCCUAUCCCCAUUGUGCGACAAGGUUGAUCAUUCCCCAUCACAACUGCACCAGAUUCCAGAUUACGAUAAUCUAUAAACCAUUCCUUAAUAGGACACAAAUGAUAGGUUGCUCCAGUAUCAAGUAUCCACUUGCUCGAACUAGCCACGUAUGCUGCAGGAGUAAUACUUAGUGAAUAAUCAGAGCCCUCAUCUUUCCGUGCCAUGUUUGCUGCUGCUGGUUUCUUCCCAUCUCUCUUUUGAGCCUUUGGACAAUCUUUCCUCCAAUGGCCCUUUUCAUGACAAAAGGCACACUCGUCUCGAGCUAUAUUUCUGCUUCUCGAUUUGGAUCGAGAAUUCUUUCCACCACGCUUCUUCUGUUUCUCCAUCGCCCAAUCUCUACUCACCAAGACUUCAGACGAUGCUCGUUCAGAAUUUUUAUCAUUAUUCCGAAUCUUUAAGCUAGUCAAUGUUGUGCAAACAUUUUUAAAGACGAUCACACUCUUUCCAUAUAUCAAAGUAGUCACAAAAUGGCUAUAUUCCUCUCGUAGUAAGUGUAACAGAAUCAUAACCUUGACUUCGUCCUUAAUAUCUUCAUCAAGAUUCUUCAAAUCAGCAAGUAACUUUUCAAAUCUUGAGACAUGAUCGUGCAUUGACACCCCAGGCUUUAUUCGAAAGCCAUAUACUUGGCUCAUUCCAUGAACACGAUUUUCACAACUUUUCAGCAGCUACAUCUCCUCCAAUGUACGCCACAAAGUCACCGCACACUCCCCAUCUUUCACCAAGUAUUGCACCUCCUUAGUCAAACAAGAUCUGAUCUGACCACAAGCUUUCUCGUUCAUACAAUCCCAAAUUUCUUCAUCAUACAAAUGUCUUUUAUUUUUCAGAACAACAUCGAGAUCGAUUUAAAUAAGGGCAUCCAUAACUUCGCGCCUCCACAUGCCAAAGUUGAUUUUCCCAUCAAACUUUUCAACAUCGAUCUUUUGACCUCCUAUAACAGGUGCUGCAUAGCGAUUUGACAAAUCUCGCCUCGCACCUGAAGUGUCUUCUAAAAUAGUCUCGGUAGAUCUCUGAUUGACACUAAAAAGUGUACAUUUAAUAAGAAUAAAAUUAUUAGUUUUUCACUUAUUGUGUCGAUUAAUGCGUUCAUUAUUUUUAAACUAUUUUAAUACUCCCCAAAUAUAUUUUAUGUUAAAUUAAUUCGUAAUUUGUUAAUUUUUAUCUUGUAAAUAUUUUUCAGGAAUAAAGAUGGAAUUGUAAUUGAAAGCGGGAACAAAAAAGAACUACUGGAACAAAAUUGAAGAGAUGUAAUAAUAAAUAAUAAAUAAAUAAAAAGAACAAAAGAACAAAAACGUUUUGGUGAUGGUCAGGAGGCCAUUACGCCUCCUGACCAUCACACAUUUCAACACACUUAUAUAUUUUAAAAUAAUAAUAAAAUAAUAAAUAAGUAAUAAAAUAAAAUAAAAGUUAAAGGCAAUUGUUGCCUAUAAAAAGGGGACGCGAGGGAGAAGUUGGGGCGGAUUUUUUCAAAAGUAGAGAGAGCUAAUUUGAGAGCUGAAGCCGAGACUGAAGAUUUUCUUUCUUUCUUUUCUUUUCUUAUUUCCAUUUGUAUCAAUUUUCUUUGUAAUAUGUUUCAAAAAGUUUAUCAAAUAAAAAGAGUGUUGUGUUUUCUUUCAAAAUGAGCAGCUAAUUUUAUUAAGCUGAGGUGAAAGGUGAAGCUCAAUGUUUUAAACUAUUAAGUAUUAUUUUCUCAAAUGAGUUUUUAAAGUUUAUUUAAUUCUUUUCUAAUUAUUUUUAUGUCAUGUUAAUUUAUAAAUCUCACUGGAUUUUAUGUUAUUUUGACAUAAUAUCGACACAUUAAUAUAAUGUGGCACAUUAGGUAUUUUAUUCUAUAUUUAUCCACACACAUAGAAUUAAAUGAUAUAAUAAUUAAUUAGUAAAAGUGAGGCAAAAUAUAAAUGAGAGAGUAUUAAAAUUAUAGUUUGAAUACAGAGAGUGGAUCCUAAACCUUAGCUUAUUUUUAAAUCAAUUUCAAAUAAUUUCUUUGCCCCGCAAUUAAUUUUCUUAGUUUUACUAGAUUUAAAACUCUAUGUAGUUCGACCCCGUUCUCACCGGGUUAUAUUAUAACUAGACACUCUUAUACUUGAGAGUAAUACACUUUUGAGUCGUGUCAAUCUCUCCCCAAUUCUGGAAGUUUUACCUUCUACCAUUUUCUCAACAAAUUAUUUCCACUUGAAAAAUAACCUCUAUGAUGUUAAUUUCGCGUGAAUAAAUGCACGAGGAAAGUUCUCAGGAAACUAGACGGGAACUUGGUCCCAAUUAAAAACCAGAAUCCUUAGACUCUUAUCGCCUUUUUUGACAGAACUUUCCUAGACAUGCAAAAAUACACACUACUUACAAUAGAUUGUCUUUCAAGUACAAAUGGCCGUCUCCACCGUAUUCGUGAACAGUACCGUAUGUGAAUAGUGCCGUAUACGUGAACAGUACCGUAUCCCCCAAGUACGAACCUAGCUCUGAUACCACUUGUUGUGCGCGGAAUGCGGAAUCAAGCGCACCAAAUAAUUACUGAAAAAUAAAGGACACAAAAUUUACGUGGUUCGGUAAUUAAACCUACAUCCACGGAGACAAGAAAGAAUAAUUGUUUAUUUAACAAUUAAUAGAGUACAAAUAUUUGAGUAACGAAUCUCACUUCCCAGAAACCCAAAUAUACCAAGUACUCUCACAUUUUGCAGGAAAGAUAAAUUCCCAAGAAACACUUUUCUCACUUCUCUCAAAAGCUUAGAAACUUAUAAGCUUAACAAUUUUGGGAUGCUAAACAAAUGAAAAAUGUUUAGCUAUUUAUAGGAAAAAUGUUGGCACUAUUCAUGAAACAAAUAUCAAGAAAAAAACCGCAUUUCCAACGCGUCCACACCGCGUUCAAACCGUGUGCAAUGAGUGUUGCCACCACAUGGAUUUGACUUGACUUUUCAACAGAUUCAUCAACAAGAAACCUGAUACUCAAAAACUCACACUUAUUCGGGCGGCAGCUCAUCGCUGAUAUACUGUCCAAGCAACAUAUGAAGUCAAAAUCGUCAAGAACUCUGAAAGAAUGAGCAAUUUGAUAUUAAUUAAUGCUCGAGUUCUAGAUAAAGAAAUGAAUAUGGCUUACGUUUUACCCUAUCAUGCUAUAAGCUAGCAUGUCUCUGUUAUGUGUUAAAAGUUAAAACUCUAAUAUUUUACUACAUAGAGCGGUUAAUCAAAAGAUAAAAGAAAAAGGGGGGGGGGGGGGUGUUGUUGGAAAAGAAAGAAAUCAGACAGGGAUUAAAAAGAUCUAGCAUUGAAGGUGAUGAAAUCCUACUAUACUUGGAAAUUAUGAAUUUACCCUUCAUCUUCAAGCUCCCAAGGCCUGCAACUUAGGUCUUUAACUUGCAAAAGACAGUUUAUUGCUACGCGCAAGUUAGCAUUUGGUUCAUGAGAAAAUUUGUCAAUAAAGUGUAAUGAAGCUGUACCAGAGUUGUAGCAAGAAUGUUUCUCUAGAGACCUACUUAUCGUCUUCUCUUUCUCUCCUUGGAUGGGAGAGUGUUUGGAUUCACUUAUUUUUUUUAAUUUUUUUUUUAUUUUUCUGGUAGAGUCGCUUGGAUCCCUUUAUUAAUAUCCUAAAUCUGGAUUUAUGGUCCCAAUUAGUUUGACACUUUUAUUUGUAACUGCCAUAUCAAGUAAGUUAUUAAUCAUUACAGAGAAAAUUGAAGCACUGAGAUCCCUAGUUUUAAUAUUCUAAUUAUAGUUGUUGCUAAGAUUACUAUCGCUAGCUUGCAAUUAAUUCAGCUUAAGUUGUCGAUUUCCUACAAGCAAAAAAGAUGGUCAUUGAGCGUCCUUGUAAGGACACUGACACCUCUGUAAAGGAACUUGGAGACCCUCAUAUUUUCUAAAAAAGGAUACAGACCUCUUUUUGGACAUACAAAAAAAAGUUUUUUUAGACAAACUACAGACCUCUUUUUGGACAUACAGAAAAGUUUUUUUAGACAAACUUUGGGGUUCAAUGUGAGACGAUGAUUGUAUUUGAACACAAAAGAUAUUUAAAAAAGUACGUCCCGAAUAAUUGCUAUUUGUGGAGGCUCAUUUUCAAGAAAUUGUUAGAAGUUUUAGGAAAGGACGAAAUCUCUAGUCGUAAGAGAGCAUUGCCAUUUAUGGAUCAAUGUCCAAAUGAAUUUAGAGGUUCACCUCAGAAGGCUUUUAUAAUUUCAGUAUUUAUUUUAUAAUUUAUUGAUUUCAUCAAUCAUUCUAGGAAUUCCAGGCUGAGUCGCAAAUGUAGUCUCAAUCAUGUGACGGUGUCAUGAAAACUUUUAUUCUUUUUCUAUAAUUGGGAGGAGAUAUUUUUUCUCUCCAACAAGACUCGUGAUAAUAAAGAUACCAAAAUGUACAUUAUUAGUCAAAUGUAUUUCUAUUAUUGAUCAAUAUAAGGAUCAAUAAGAGAGGAAAAACUGUGGUGCAACUGUGGUACCGUGCCACAGUUACACUCAGCCAUUGGAUUCUAAUGGACCCCACUUAUCCAAAUGGAUCUAACGACUGGAUACAAUUGUGACACGGUACCACAAUUGCACCGUAGCCAGACCCCAAUAAAAGAUGUUUUACUUGAAUUAGAAGAAAUUAGUGAAGAUUCUAAAAUAAAGAGAGAAGUUAAGUGCUUAGCAACAUAUGAAUUAAAAGAUUUUGAAUUCAUAUUAGAUGUGAUUAUUUAGUACGAUAUUAUUUGCUGUUAACUCUGUAAGAUCGAUCUUGCAAAAAGAAGAUACGCAUAUUGAUAUUGCUAGAGAUAAGUUUAAAGGUCUUUUUUCCUUCUUCGAAAGAAAAUAGAGAAAAUGGGUCCAUGUCUGCUAUGAUUUGAGCUAAAGAAAUUGCAAGUUAAAUGGAAAUAGAACCUAAAUUUCAUGAAAAAUGUAUAGCUCGUAGUAAAAGAACAAAUUUGGUGAAAAUAUUAGUGAAGAGGAAAUUUUGCCUCUCAAAGAGUCUUUUAGAAUUAAUUAUUUUAUAUACAUAAUAGAUCAAGCCAUCUCUUCAAUAAUAAUAUAUUUGAAUAAUUUCAAAUUUAUGAUAAUUUAUUUGGGUUUUUGUAUAAUUUCAAAAAAUUACAACUGUUAAGUGACUAUAUUUUAAAAACUUAUUGUUUUAAUCUUGAAAAUACUUUAAAACAUGAUACGCUUUUUGAUAUAGAUAGUUUAAAUUUGUUUUGAGAGUUGAGAAUUUUAAACAAGUUUUUCAAGGUGAAAAAAUACUGCUUAAUUAUUUAAAAAAAUUUGAUUCUUUUCCAAAUGCAUAUAUUACUUAGAGAAAAUUAUUAACAAUACUAGUAAGAAUUGCUUCUGUAGAAAGAAAUUUUUCAAAAUUAAAAUUGAUAAAAACUUAUUUAAGAUUAACAAUGAUACAAGAAGAUUAAAUGGACUAACUAUAUUGUUUAUUGAGAAAAAUAUAUUAGCAAAAUUAGAAUAUAAAAAUUUGAUCAAUAUUUUUGCAUCUCAAAAAAUUAGAAAAUUUGAGUAAAAUUAAUACAUGUAUUUAACCUUAAUUUUUUUUUGAAAAGUCUAAUUGAAAUAAUUCCCCUAAAAACCCAUAAUUGAUUGAGCCGUUACUGUCUACAAGACUCUAAAAAUAAAGAUACCAAAAUGUACAUUGUUAGUCACAUGUAUUUCUAUUAUUUUUAUUUUUCAUUAAACUUCUGAAGUUGUGAUUUGAUGGUUGAUAAUUUACUUCAUCUUGUGUCAAAAAAGAGAGGCUCCCCGAACAAGCCCACACCAACUAGUCUAAUUUUGUAAGCGCAUGUGAUUAUGAAUUGCUCAUUGAUGUUGUAUGUUAUCACUGUGUCAAAAAGGAGAGGCUUUGACUCCCUGACAGGCCAAUACCGACUAGACUAAGGGUGCGUUUGGGAUUGAAGUUGGGCAGCUGUAACUUUUAAACUACAACACUAAAGUGUUUGGUAAACACUAACUGCUGUAGUUUGAAAGUUAUAUUAAUAUAAUUUUUCACUUGUAUAAUAGAAAAUCUAUUAUAUCUUUAAUAAUUUUGUCAAAAUUAUUAAUUAAAAUUUAUAUUUAUUACAUAUUAUUAAUUUUUAUUUCAUAGUCACAACUUUUUUUUCACAGCAGCUGUAGCUUAAAAGUUACAGCACCUCAAUCCCAAACGCACCCUAAUUUUUCAUAUGCAUGUGGCUCAUGCACCGCACUACAGUGUAAUGCAGCAAAAUUAAAAGGAAAAAAAUGAAAUAUGUUGUCUCUUUUUUAUGAGAAAUUCUAGCAUAUGUGUAUUUAAAUUUUAUAUAACCACUAAUUAUAUAUCAGUUCUUUCAAAUAAAUGUACUUAUAUUAUAUAAUUAUUUAUUUAUUAUAUAAAUGACAUAAUAUCUUAAAGGUAUUUUAAAAUUUCUUUUCUAUCCUUCUUGUCAUUUUCGACUAUUAUUCAAUGCGGUGGCAUUUUACAAGCUGAUAUGGUGCCUCACAAAACUCUUUUGUUUUGAGUUUGAUGAUCCUUAGGAAAUGGCACAAAUAUCUCUUCUAAUGGUAUUUUAUAGGCUGUUGAUGAAAAGUAGCAUGUGUUUUGGAAGACUAAUGGUAUUUGCAUUUUGUUUGCAAAUUCUAAUAAAGUCGGGCUACACAGGAUUUUUGAAUAAAAGCUUGUUUAAUCUCUACAUUUUGGGGUUAAUGUCUUUUUAGUCACUAUAUUUUUAGAAGCAUCUCAAAACAUCCCUAUUAUUAAAUUAUUGACAUCUUGCCAUUAUUUUUGUUCCUUUUCGCUUGCUUUUAUAUACUACCCUCUUACAAUAAUAUUUAUUUUUUGGAUAUUAAUAAAAAGAAAAAAAUAAAUUACCUAUUUAAUCCUAAAAAAUUAAUGUUGAAUACUCUACUGAGGAGUUACUAUAUUAAUUUUUUUUAUUAAUGUCCAAAAAAAUUGGUAAUUUAUUUUUUUAAAUAUUAAUUUUUUUGACAUACAUGAGCUUCCAGAAAAAUUAAUAUAUAUAUUUUAUUUUUAGGGUUAAAUUGAUAAUUUAAUUUUUUUUUUUAUUAAUGUUAAAAAUUUUUGAAAUUUAUUAAUUUGUUUUCCGCAAAAGUACUUUAUAACUGUAACAAAUAGAAUUUCGUUGUUAGUCCUCAACAUUAAGAUAUUGUUUGCAACUUUCUGUUCCUUUUUUUUCUUUAAACUUACUUUGUGUGAUCUUAUUUCUGCAUAAAACAAGAUUUUAAUGUAAUAAAUAGAACUUUUAUUGGUAGAAUUGAAUUUAUGAAUUUCUUGUCAUUUCUGUGUGCAUUUAUUGUGUAGUUUAUGGAAAGACUCUUUAAAAAAUUUGUAUGCAGGAAAAAAAGAAAAAGAAAAAUAAAUAAAGAUUAUACAACAUUCAUCCGAAUGUGCGGAUGAUGUAUGUGUCUUCUGUCACAAUAUUGACCUCGUUCGCACAGUAUGAUGUACGCCUUCCACCCCCCCUCCCCCCCCCCUCCCCCCCCCCCCAUGUGAAUAAAAUACUUUGUACGAUUAAGACUUAAAAAUUAAACGCUUUCAAAACUCAGAAAAAAAUGAGUAAGAAAAAUAAAUCACAUGAACUUCUCUGCCUAUAUAUAUGUAUAUGUAUAUAUAUAUAUAACCUCGGGCAUCACCACAAACCAUAGAAUAAUUUGAGAAUCUUUGCCAAGCAUAACUGUAAGCUAGCUUACAGUACAUCUUAAUAUCCAAUGUCUUCUUGCAUUAAUCCCCCAACCUUGGUUACCUCUGUAAAUGGUUUCAAAUGUCUUCCUCUUGCAACAAAUAGAGCAGCCGUCAGAAUCAUGGCCAAAAAUAAGCCAGUCCAAUGCCUUGUCCGCGCCAAAUAUGACAAUUUGACAGUUGAUAGGAGAUCAGCAAACUACCAACCUUCAAUUUGGGACCAUGAUUUUUUGCAGUCAUUGAAUAGCAACUAUACGG